rnacentral:lncRNA from 1 species
UUUUUUUUUUUUUUUUAAUAGAGUGUGUAUCAUGAAGAAAUUUUUUACUAUAAGUUUAUUGAUUUUGUAUAAUUUCUCCAAAUGUAAUAGGGACUUGAGUAUUGGCAAAUGUCACUAUCCCCACCACAUAAUUUGAAAAUAUCUUCCCAAUUAAUCAAGGUAGGAAAGAAGAAAGUGUUAAGUAAAAAUUGUAGCUAAUAAUAAAAAAUAAGGAAUAAAUGGCAGAAGAUUUAUAAAUAUUUUAGCUAAUUUUGUUAUAUUUAAAAGUGUAAGUAUGUUUGAUAUAAAAUGAUAUUAAAUUUGUAUAUGGUUAUGAAUUAUUAUUUGCAAUAAAAAUGCAAUUUGUGUGUGAUUAUAAAAUAAUUAUAUUUAACACAAGAAAUUAAAGGUAGAUGAAGAUGUGGGUUUGGUGUUUGGUGUGUGCUACACAACACAAUACAAUUGACUACUCCUCCUCUUCAUUUUAAUAAUUAAUUCUAAACUCCCCCAAUCAAUCAUUCAUACAUUUCAUCUCAUUCAUCUCAUCUCAACCGUCUUUUGUAUGCUUUCUUUAAGAAACAAACCUCUCUUUCUUCCCUUUCCUUAAAACCCCACUCAAUUAUUACUCUCUUUUCAUCCUAACAUACCCUCCUAUCCCAUUAUAUUCAACUUCAAUUAGUGGUGAAAUUACUUUUUUAAUCUUUAAUUAAUCACUAACCUAGUAUAUGUCUAGAAACAUUUACGACCUAGACUAGUAUUAUUGUUGUGUGUGUGUGACAGCUAAAUGUCACCAUCUUUAUGUAUAUGUUAUAUAUAUUACUUUGUUGUUGUAUAGACUCAUGAGAAAGUAAUUAUAGCAUGACUUAUCACAAACCAUCCCUUUCAAUGCUAAACAUUUUUACUUUAGGCAUGCUAAAGCAUUAUUUAAUCUUAAAAAUUGAAAGAGUAAUCCAUAUUAUAUUCUACCAUUAUUAUGGUAAAAGAAGUUGUAAAAUGAGAGUUAAUUAAAAUAGAAAUUAGGAUGGGAAGAAUAGGGGGAUUUGCUAGGCUUGCAAGAUCUUUAUGCAUGGCGUGUUGAAGAAGAAAGUGUGUGAGCAACUAAUUGUAUAUUUGUGUAAUGCUAAAUGAUAUCAUUUGUGCAUUACAUUUGUCGUCUAUCUAAAGUGUUAAAUUAUUGGGGUCUUUGUUUCUUCUCAAAUGAGUGAGGGCCCAAAUUCUUUCUAAUUUUUUUAUUUUUUAUUUAUGAAGAUAUAGACAUUUCAUUUCCUAAUUACUUAAUCUCCAUUUAAUUUGUUUUCCUUUCUUUUUUAAAUCAAUAAUUGGUGUGAGAAAUUUUGCAAUUCGGACGUGGGAUUUCUACCUCCAUUCCAAUUUUAAAUGUACGAACGACUUUGGUUUAUGGGAUAGGUUUGUAUUCAUAUUUUGAGCUACAAAUUAAUAAUGUAUAUACUAAAGUAAAAAUAUUUACUAAUUUACUCAUUUUAGUUUCAAUUUUAUUCCCUUUUUAAGUUAUCAUAUGCUUUGAAAGUGACUAAUUAUUAAAGUUUAUUGGUAUGUAGAUAUUUGAGAAAUGAAGAAGUACCAUUUACAUAAAUUGAUUUCCAUUUCAACCUAACUAAAAAAUUAAAUUGGAAUUGAAUAAAUUCAAAACGAUAAUUAUUUGAAAAUCUUUAUUAUUUUCUACAUUUUGUUUCUAAUUUGUAUUUUAGGAAUGUUUUCAAAAUUAAAAUCAAAAUUUGAAAGAAAAAAAGAAGAGAGUAUCUAUUAAUUAUUUUUUUAUUUUGCGUUUUUUAAAAUUAAUUUGAUAUUAUAAACCUCUCUUUCAGUUUUCACAUUUUUCUGUGUUGCUAUUUACUUUGCUCUUUUAAAACUAACCAUAAGAGAAAAUAAGAGAAAAUAAGAGAAAGUGAGUUUAAUAUUUUAAAAAAUCAAACGGUUAUCAACAAAUAGUAACAAAAAAAGAGUUCAAAUAUUCAAAAUUUGAGACUUCUUGAAUGAAUUUUCAUACGAAGAAGCAACAGAAACUAACAAACGUAGGUACAAUGAAUAGCCAUAAAAGAGAGGAACAAAAUGAGUACGAAGAAAAGAGAAUUGAAGCCAUAAAUGUAGUACACAACAAAGAGGGAAAUUGGGGGGAGAAAGAUGUAUGUGUGUAUGCAACCACCAUUGCCCACCAACUGUUCGAGGAAAUGUCUAAAUGAAACCAAAGAACUCCAAAAAGAACCCUAUUUUCGGAAGAAGAGAGGGUGCUGGCAAUAUGAGCUGUGUGUGUUAUUUUUGUUCACACUUUUCAUUUACUUUUGAAGAUUGUUGCAUGUGAUGAAUCCAGAAGCCUCCACAAAAAUGUAUUAACUCCUCCCUCACACCCACCCUCCACCUAAUCAACCUUUCUUUCUUUAGUCUUUGUGUUUUUUAAUUGGAUUCACACCUUCCACAAAUUUUUUUAUCUUAGCAUUUACUUUUCAUUAAAUUCAAGUUUGUUAGAAUAUAAACAUGUCAGAGCUCAUCGUUGAGUGCACUAUACAACCUUGUGGUCUCACACUCAUUUAGAAACCAAGCAUGUAUUAUUAGCAGGGUUGUGUAAAUAGCCUUGUGUGGAUAUUCUCAAGGGGUAGUUAACUUUAAAUAAUUAUCAUUUAGGACCAACUUCAACGACAUCUCUAGACUUAAAGGAAACGAGUUGAUUGAGCGCUCAAGACCUACAUGCAACUUUAUUGUGUAGAAAAUUUAUAUACCUUAAACUUGAAUGAUAUACUACCUUUUAAUUUAUGAUGUGAGUAAACUUUCUUGAUGAAACUUGUCUGUUGAAAUGAGAUUAAAGUUUAGAAAAAAACCAAAAUGACAAAACUAUGAUAUAGUCCAAAAUUGAUUGAACUAUAAAGAAAUACAAUAUAAUGCCAAAGCUUAGAAUUUUCCUUUGAGAAUUUUGUGGAGGUUUAUUCUGUGGUCAAUCUUAUUGAAUUGACUAAGUUUUAUUAUUAUUAUUGGUCAAAAUUUGGGAGUUUUGACCUUUAUAAAAUUAAUAAGGUAAAGUUUGAAAAUAAUUUAAAUAUUGCCAACCUUGAUCCAAAUAGAUCGUGAAAUUGAGAGAUUAAUUUUGGGAGUUAAUACACCGUGUAAGAUCUUUUUUUUUAAAAAAGUGAAUACUAAAUUUUUAAUUUUGAAAAAUAUAUAAUCUAAUUGUUUUGCAAAUAAACUAAACACGGGUGCGACGAAUUAAGUUAGUAAGAAAUCAAGAUUGACAAGUAGGGAGUAAUAUGGAAUAUUUUUGCCAAACCUUUUACCUAGUAAUUUAAAUGAUUUAUAUAGAAAUUCCUAUUAUAUAACUAAUACUUAUUAAGCUCGUAAUGUCACAUCAUUAAUCUAUGAAACUGUCAUGUCGUAUCACUUGGAACAAUUACAGCCUCCACCACUAAAAAUGACCACCAUUACCUCAUUUGUUAGGCUAAUGCUUUCAUAGGUUAUCCGUGUAUGACUUUGUUGCCACCACAACCACACGACUUUUCUCCAAAAGUCCACUAACCUCACUCUAGGUUCCCACAUAGGUCCUCUUGUACUUACUCUCGACCUAGACCUAGUCCUCAUUCAAAGGUAUUCUAAAGCUUACUCUAGACUUCCUUCCAGGGGUAGCAUGAGUGAUCAUCUCUUUGCUUCCUUAUAAUUCAUCUAAACUACGUUUACGCUCUCUUAUAAGUCCACUAAACAAUACUUCUCUCUCGAGAAUCUUAAAUUUAACUUACCUAGAUAAAUUUAUUUACAAUAAAACAAUAGAAUAAUUUUUCUUUUUUUACCAUAUGGGUAUCAAACUUCUCAUGAUUAUUUUAUUACUAUUGAAAUCCUUUGAUCAAUUAAAAAGAAAGGGGAAGGUUUAUUUAUAAAUAAUUGGUUAUAGUAAUGUUAAUAUAUAUAGAUUGAGAUGUGUACGACUCAAUCUCUAUAUGAUUAAUUGAGUCGAACACGUCAACAAAAAUUCAAUUGGGUUUUAUUGCAUUCCAUUCAUUCCUCUCUUCCCCAUAACGUAACCAACUUUCUUUGCCUAAUUUUGUUUUUACUUUCAUUAUAUAAACAAAAUCCCUUCAUCUUAUAAUUUUCACUUUAAAACCUCCUUUUAGUUCCGUGGCUUACAAACAACAAUUAUUACUCUUCCACCUUAACUUUCUCUGCCUCACAAUUUACAUAUUCAUACAUACCCACUAUUUUAGUAUAGUUUCAAAGACUCGAGUAUGUUCUCAACUUUAUGCUCUUCAUAUAAUAUAUAUUUUUUUUAGAAAAACUGUCUUACAGCCUUCUCCAGACACAAUUUCAAGCUUCACUCUUCAGUAAAACUUUUGACAUCCAUUUUAAUAAAUUCUUUUUUUAAAAGAAAGGUAUUAUUGUGUUGAAAAAUUUAGACCACAAAAUAAAUAAGACGACAUACAAUUAUUGUUGUCGGUUCUAGAUCAAAUGUAGUAGUACUUACAAAGUUGAUAUUUGAUAUAGAUGCAUGUAUUUGGCAUUAUUGCAAGGGAAGUUACACAAAUUUAGUCAUAUUGGAGAUUGAAUUCAAAACUUCUUCACAUAUAUUAUUCUAUUUUUAUGUUUUCUUUUUAAAGAUCUUUUUAAGCCUAUAAACUCAUUCAAGACUCGUCAAUUUUCUAAUCAUCUUUUUCAUAAUUUAUUGGAAUUACGAAAUCCAACCGUUAUAUAAUAUUUAUUGGUACGAGACUUUUUUUGGUGAUUUCGAAAAAGAAAUUAUAGAAUUUUACAUUUAAAGUAAACAAUAUUAUAUUAUUACAUAAAUAUGUAGGAAAGAUCACCGUUUCAUGUAAACAUGGACUCGAUGCAACACUUGGGAGAAAAUUAGCGGUGUGUGGUGUAGUGUGUUGUGUUGUUCACAUGAUUGUAUCUUUUCUUAUAGUUUAUAUUUGUAUUUUUUUUCCUAUCUCUACGCUAAGAAAAAUAAAGAAUCUUUUUAUUAAAUUAGAGUGGUAAUCGUUUUAAAUAGUAAAAUUAUUUAAAAUAUUUUUCAAAGAUAAUAAAAUGUCACAAAUGAUUAGAUAUAUAACAUAAGAUAACACUUUGUUAUAUUUAUAAAUACUUUAGUUUAUUAUACCAUAUUUAAAAAUAACUAUUGUUCAUACCUCUUUAAACUAUAUGAUUAUAACUCGAAACAUCUUUUAUCAAACCCAAAUUUUGCUUCUAACAUGUCAAAUUAUCACUAUAAACGUAUUAAACAAAAUUAGAUUGGGUAAAUCAAAAGAUUAAUUACUAUCUUAGUUUACAUAGUAAUUAAUGUGUUUUUUUUGGUUGAAGUUGAUGAACUUUUUAGAUGAGAGAGUGUAGAAAAAUCCCAAACAAAGCUUAUAAUUGAUAUUAAACUAAAGAAAAACAAUGAUUGGUCCACGUAUAUUCAUAAAAUAGGAUUUGAUAAUUGGAGCAUACAGCUGGAGGGUGGAAAGGACCAUAAAGGACAAAUAUGAGUCCAGAAAGUACAAGGAACCGGACUCCUCCCUUGUUAUUGUUUACGUUAUGCCUUUCUAUUCAAUCUUUCCCCAAUUCCCACCACUUUCUUUUGAUCAUCUUUUAAUCAAACGUGAUUAGCAUUACACUUCAAAGAUUAAAAACUAUUUCCUUUUCUUUUUCUUUUUCUUGUUCAAUUCAACAAUGAACGAACCAUGCCAAUCCUUUUGCCUAUAUAAACCCCUUUAACCCUCCCUUUCUCUUCCCCCACUCGCUCCAUUCUUCAUUGUUUCUUAAGGAGAAGAGCAACAACCUUUUCUUUCUUUGGCCCUCUUUCUGUAAUAACCUUCUUCUCUUGUUCCCUCAUUCUUCUUUUGCUCUUGCCAUUUCGUUCCUAGUUGGUAAGUCCAGUUUCUUCUCAUGUGGUUCCCUGAUUUUGCCUUCUUUUCUCCAUUAUCUUCCUUGUUUGAUCUCUGAUUUGGAUUUCCUUUCUGGGUUUUGUUGGGUUUUCUAUUCUUGCAUUUUUUUUAAAAAAAGUUUUUAAUGGGUAUCUAAAAUGGGGUUUGGAUUGAACUUGUAAUUUGACUGUUUGAUAAUACUGAGUAACAUAAACAUGGGUGUGGUUUUCUUUGUUGGAAUUCCUUAUGGAAUAUUGAACUUAUGAAUGAGAUUGGUGUGGACUGAACUUUUUAACAGACUAUUUUGUACUGCAUUCUUGAAUGAACCAUUAAAAUUGAAAUUUUGAAGAGAGAGUAUGUUGUUCAAGCAUACUGAGAUCAGUUGUGAUGUUUUUUUUUUUUUUUUUUUGUAGGAUUUCUAAAUCAAAAUGGAAUACGAGAACCGGUUCAGGCAGGCUCAGAGACCAAAAUAUGAUUGUCUUCUUUUUGGUAAGAACUUCGUCUUUGAACAAUCAGAUUCUUUUCUCAUAUGAUUUUUUAUUUCUUUCAUUUGGAAUAUAAUUUGGUUCGUUUCUAAUGUGUGUGGCUGAAACUGUAGAUUUAGAUGACACUCUGUAUCCCUUGAGUUCUGGCAUUGCAGCUUCGUGCCUUCAGAAUAUCAAAGGUAGGAUUAUAAAUAUAAAAUAAAGCCUGAAAUUUCCAUUGUGUUGCGAUCAUCAGUUUCUUGAUGUUGUUUGUUACUUCCCUUUUUGUAGAUUACAUGGUUGAAAAACUGGGGAUAGAGCAGAGUAAAAUCCCUGACCUGUGCAAUUUACUGUACAAGAACUAUGGAACAACCAUGGCAGGUCUCAGGGUAUAGCUUCUUGAACUAAUUACUUGUUUCAAAAAUGCUUUGAAGAAGUGUAGAACAAUAAUAACUAAUGGGGUUUUUUUUUAAUAGGCAAUUGGCUAUGAUUUUGAUUAUGAUGAGUACCACAAGUUUGUUCAUGGAAGACUUCCUUAUGAUAAUCUAAAGCCCGAUCCUGUUCUAAGGAAUCUUCUGUUGAACCUGCCUUAUAGGAAAGUUGUAAGUAUUUGUGUCUUCUUUUUCAGAUUCUGUAGAAACUUAAGAUUCAUUUUGCUGAUUUUUUUCUCUUUUUGUGUGUGUAUAGAUCUUUACAAAUGCUGACAAGAUCCAUGCAGUUAAAGUUCUUAAAAAACUUGGAUUAGAAGACUGUUUUCAAGGCAUUAUCUGCUUUGAAACCCUGAAUCCAACCAACAAGAAUUUUGUUUCAGUCGAUAAAGAUGAAAUGAAUCCAAUCCCAUCUGACUCGAAAAUUUUUGACAUCAUUGGCCACUUUCUUCAUCCCAAUCCUGGGACGGAAUUACCAAAAACUCCCAUCAUUUGCAAACCAUCAGAGGCUGCCAUUGAAAGAGCUCUCAAAAUUGCAGGCCUCAACCCUCAGAGAACUGUAAGAGAAAGAGAACCAUCUUAUUCUUCACUUAUAGCUCAAUUUACAGUCCAUUCCCUUUCAACUUCAUUUUUGGUUUUAACUUGUUCCUUUUGCUGUUUUCAGCUGUUCUUUGAAGAUAGUGUUCGAAACAUACAAGCUGGGAAACGUGUUGGGCUCGACACCGUCUUGGUAAGACAUUUUGAAACCAUGUAGAUGAGAAAACAAAGGGCAGUUCCUGCUGAAAAUUUGAGAUAUUGUUGGCUAAUUUGUUUGUCUUUUUUGUUGUUUGGUACUAUAGAUUGGCACUUCACAGAGAGUUAAAGGAGCAGAUUAUGCCUUGGAAAGCAUCCACAAUCUAAGGGAAGGAAUACCUGAGCUUUGGAAUGUUGAAAUCAAAUCAGAAAUGGGUUAUGCUGGCAAAGUUGGAGUUGAAACUUCAGUGACAGCUUAGAACUACAACAUCCUUGUUAGGUUCUUCAAAUCCUUCCCCCAAAAAAUAAUGAAAGAAAAACACAAGAAAAGGGGAAAUCUUCCGCCUCCAGUUUCACUGGGCAGCUGUUGUAAAUAAGCAUUUUGAUUAUGAGAGUAAAGUUCAUAAGUGUAAUCUUUUCUGUUUUUCUACAAUCACUUAAUUAACAAAAUCAUUGAAAAAAAUCACUAAAAAAGAUGUUGCCAUCUAUAUUAGAUGAAUAAAACACAGAGUUCUCAUACUCUCCACUAAUUUUCUAUCCAUUCAAAUUCAUUGCCACCAUGUUUUUGCAUGGCUGUAGUUCACAUGUAUCAUGUUAUGACAACUCCAUCCAUUCUCUUUACACCUAAAUCACAUCAUGUACUGUUUUAUUAUCGUAAAAUGCAUUCUAGACUCAACUCAAUAUAAUUGACAAAACAAAUUCUUUCACUGAUUUGGAUGAGAUAUGAUAUUAUUUUUUAGGUUCAAUGCAACUCAUCAAAAUCUAGUUAUACGUACAAUAAUUUUUUUUUUGUCAAAAGAUGCUCACACUAUUUUCAAAUAAUUGCGCGUAUUGCAACCAUAACCUUAAUGAUGAAGAUUGAAUGUCAAAAUAAGAAUUAAAAAGGUCCAUUAUUGAUUGUACAAAGAACGUGAAUGAAUACAAUUAAUAAAGAAAGAUGAUAGGAAAUGACAAGACGUAAAAAGUUUUAUAAGAUGAAUAUGAAUAUAGAUAUCGAUUAAAGUUGAAUGGAGUGAGUUCUAUAAAUGAUGUACAAGGAAAAAGCAUAUUAUGAAAGGAUGUUAGUCCAAAAUGGCAAAAAUAAAGGAGGAUCAGUUCCCAAUUGCAUUAUAGAAAGAAACCAAGUUCAAACAUUUGAGUCUUUUAUAGUAAACAUUACAAAAUGCUCAACACUCAUAUUUUUUCUUACAUUUGGCCAAUCAUGGCUAUUUAAAUAUGAUGUGAGACUUGUAAAAUACAGUUGUAUAUUAUUUGAUGUGGUUUAAAUUGAAUGGCGGAAACAAAUUUGGACCAUCCUCAUUUGGCCACAUAGCCCACAUAUGGGCGACCUUAUAGAUCAACCUACUUUUUUAUAUAGAGAUUUGGCAAAUACAAUCCAUCUUUCAGAUUGAAGCUUUUUAAUUAGUAAAUUGCAAUCGUGAUGGUUUUAUAAUUCAUAUAUUUUGAGGGCAAUAUUGAGAUUGUUUCAUAUUCGAAUAUCUUAUCUCUUCCUAACAAUAGUCCAUGAUUUGGAGCGUUUAAUUUAAAAAGUAAGUUAUUUUAAAAUAAUAAUAAAGUGUUUGUCAACUAAUCAAAAUAAUAUCAAAACUCCUUUUAAAAUUUUGUUUGAUAAGAUCCAAGUGAUAUAUGUCUAAAUCUUUAAAAAAAACUAUAAUUGACUCGUAUAUCAAUUUUUAGUUCAAAUAAUUUAUGGAAUUGCGAGAUUUUUAAUAAGGAGUACAUUGAAGUUUUGAAAAGAAAAAUAAGACUAGGUUGAAAUUUUUCUACAAUUAGAUAAGAUUGGAGAUUAAUCUUCUAGUGCCAUUAGAAAAUUUUCAUUGACUAUUUUUACAAACAGACCUUAAAAGAUUGUGGACUGAAAAUUGCACCAGAUUUGAUUAGUUGAAUAGUCAACCAAAUUUUGAAAACUAUUUUCUUUUAGUUUUCAAAGAUAACUUUAGGUUUAAUUUUCAAGAACUACAAAGUUAAAGCUAAAAUGAUUGCAAAAGGGAGAUACAAAGAAAUUGAGAAUUGGUCAAUGAAAGAUAGACAAUGGCAUCAGCCUCUCGGCAUUGAAAGACUCUUAUUAAGAGCCCUCUUCUCCACUCCUUUUGGGAAAGUAUAUCUCAUUAUUCAAGAAAUUGCAUGCCCUUCGGAUCCAUGUUCCCCCACCCCCAAACUUGGCUAAGGACAGAAAGUCCCCACAACAGCAACAUUGGGUUUUAGUUCACAGAAAACAGAGCCUUCAUAGGUUGAGGAGAAUGAUAAUAAUUCAGCUCACUUUCUAUUAUUCUAUAGUAAUAAUAUAAUGCCUUUACUAUAGUAAUUCAGCUCACUUUCUACUCUAUAAUAAUAAUAUAAUAUCUUUACUAUAUACUUCAAGUUGAAAUCUCAUUCUAGAAUUCCACUUUUUUCUUUUAGUCUCAUAUGAAAAUGAGUAAGAAACAACAGACAGGGUUUGAGAAUGGUUUCUGUACUUCUAUCAGAAAAUUGAUCUAUAUUGAGAUUCAAGUACAACAUUGUGACUACAAAAUUCUGACACAAAAAGUAGAGAGGUUCAAAACUUCUUGUGAAGAACACUCUCAAGUGAAAACGGAGGAAGGCAAAAAAAUUCAGUUAUGUAUUCCUACCCGUACAGGUAGAACGAAUGGCAAUGAUAGCUCUUGUUGAUUCUCUAACUGAACCUCACAAGACAGUUGCUAAAUAAGAUUUAUAUACUUGGAAUGGGAAGACGUCUUCCGUCUAAAAAAUUACAUGGAGCAUUGGAGCUUUCCUCAACAAUGAGUUUCAAAUUUCAAACGCUAUCUCCAUAGUUAAAACUGUUGAAAAAAUUGAGAGAAUUAUUAGUUAUGAAUAGAGGUGGGGUUAUCAAAAACCAAGAUAAAAACAGAGAUACUUGUAUAGUAGUUACCUCUUGGUCCUCGUGCAAUCUCUUUCGGUUUGAAUAGCUAAGGGCCAAAAGACACUUGCAUAUGUGAUCAGCACAAAAUACAAAUCCCAUCUCAUGUUUACUCGACAGAAGGUUUCCAUGUAGAGAUGGCAUAUAUAAUUCGACCCUUCCAACCCUGAAGUAACCAUCUGCUAUCUUCAUCAAUCAAAAAAUCUCUGUGGUAACUUGAUCGUACCUUUUCAACUGCUCUCUCAAAAAUCUCAGGAGCAAAAGGCAGUUGCACAAAUCCAGCCCUCAUGAUCCGAAAUUGCCACUGCUUGUAUGUUUCCGGUCUUUCCACUCUCUCCCAUCCCUCACAUGCUAUAACAUUUAAAGCUUCCCUGCCAAAAAUCUCUCUCUCCAACAGCAUUCUCUCGUAAUCCUCGCGAGGUACAACGGUUUCAAGCAUAUCAAAAAUAGCAGAAAAGUGAAACAAAGCCUCUCGGAAUCGAGUAACAAAGAAAGGGGCAUUAUAUGCCCCAUUGACAAUGCCACUGAUGAAUAAGUUAGGACUAAUUUUGUGAACCAAUUUAAGAACAGUAUUUCUAGCACUCUCUGUAGAAACGCUCUCAUCAAGUAAAUUUUUUGCUCGAUACAAACAGUUAACAACUAGGAACUCGUCUUGAUCAAUAUUGAGAUCUUCAACAGUAACAGAUUCCCAUUUUUUUGCUAUAGCAUUAUACUCGAAUGGCACAUUGAAAGUCUCUGCAUAAGCCGCCAAACGACGACCUGUCUCCUCAACUCUCUCUGCAGGACGAAACCCAGGCUGGGGAAAUUCUAUUCCAGUAAUUCGAAGCUUCGGAGGUCCACCUUUUCUCCAUGACAAUCUCUGGAUUAAAGUAGGCCACUGGAAACCGUAAAGGAUACCAAAAUCUAUGACAUGAAGCCUAGUUGCGCUUUCUGCAGCAAUCAUUAUAGUCCUGUUUGAAGUAAAAUUAGAGAUCUUUCUAAAUGGGCAUGCAGCAAGGUACAAGUGGUAAGCUUUCAGUACAUCAGCAGCAGAUGUCCUUUUAUUAAUUAGACCUUUGUAAAUCUGGCUACCAGUACCUGCCAACCGUGCCUCCAGACCAUCAGCAAAACAACUAGCUAACCUCUGACUUCCAUCACCAAAAGGAGAAGCAUGUUGUCUGACCUGCUUUAGAAGUUCACUGGCAUUCCUAUGGUCAUCAGCUGCAACAGCUUGAGCACAGCUAAUUAGAAGAGUUCUCAAAUCCACAACCUCUUUUUUCGCACUCUGCUUCUUCCGACGACCCCUACCACCAUUAGACACUUUUAGCUGCCCACUCUGCAGCAUGCUUUUGAUUUUAGCAUCAUGUAAUUCCUGUCGAAAUGAAACUAACCGUUCAUGUCCCUCUCCAGCACUACAAAGCAACACAAUAUCAAACAUCUUAGAUCGCAGAGGCGACUCUGCAAAUACGGCUGCUUGCUUGCUGCUUCUCUCUUCUUCCAAAUCUCCAUUCUCAUCAUGAGGAUUCUUUCUACCACGUGAUUCAGGUGAGAAAACAUUCCUCUGAUCCUUUCUAGCUGCCUUCAAAUAUAUUUGGCUCGUACCCUCAUCGGGACCCUGAGUUGCUGACCCAUUUACCUCAAAAUCAAGACACAAUUUGUUUCCACCAGGUAAAAAUUUGCUUGCCUCUUCAAAGCCUUUUUGAAACUGCCAAAUCGAUUGGCUUCUGUUAUUAGGCUCAGGAACUUGAAUUGUAUUAUUAGAGAAGUCCACCCACCCAUCACCCCCACUAAUUACACUAUUUGAGGAACUAUUAGAUGAUGGAGAUAUGGUAUCACCUAAAGCGCUUCUGAUUUGAAAUACAUCUUCACUCAGAGUUUGAGGAUCAUCAUCGCCACGAUAAGAAGUACUACUGUAAUUACUCAGGUAAUUACUACUAUCUCCACAAAGUUCUUCGUUCAAGCUAUCGGUGUAUUGAUUGGCCAGAGAUCUAUUUACCUCAGGGGAAGGAGGAUACUUUUUUCCGAGGACCUCAUAGAAUGAUUUCUCAGCAGCUUGAAGAUCCAAAGAAUCUUGAAGCAUGCAAGUCUUGUCCUCCAUAUCUUCUUCCAUGAGAAUUUGAUUUAUGAAUGUCAAAACAGCAUCCGAAAAAUCGCAAUCUUCCAGAUAAUCUUCCUCAUGACUUGCAUCAUUAGAAGAUGAGGUUCUAAUGCUGGAACUUGAGGCUAUGUUGCUCGGUGAUGGAUUAGGGAGAAGGCAAUCAAAUUCUUGAAAGUUAUGACUAAAAAUGGUAUUCUGAAAUCUAGGCCUGCCAUGGGUGCCCUCUUGUGCUUGAAUCCCAAAAGGACGAUUAUCUAUGUACCGAUCCGACUUUCUAAGUUCUCUAUCUGGGGUCAUUACGAUAUUGCUAGUCAUGUGGCACCGUAAACAAACAACUUAGUCAUAUGCCCUAUACAUUCUUUUGUGUCUUUACCUACAAAUUUUAAGAAAGAAAGUGAUGGAGCAUUAGAAAUAACGAGUAACCUUACAGUUGGGGUUGCAAUCUUAUGAAAAUGUAAGCUAAAUAACUUUAAACUAGUGAGAUCUAAAGUUGUCUUCUUAGCUUUCACUAUGCUUCCAUUUUCCAGGAUAUGUGUCAAUUUCACAACAUUAGUUCAAUGUACAUCAAUUUCAUAGGCAUUGAACCCAAUGGAUAUGUAUCAAUUUCAUGCAUCGAUAUACCGCAAAAAUUCUAAGAGCGUCAAUUUCACUUGGAGCUAUUGAACUUGCAUCAAUAAUUUCAUGCCACAGACAUGCAUAAAUUCCAACAUAAAUUCACAUAACAUUUUUGUGAUGCUAAAAGCACAUCUGACCAUGGAUAUCGUUCUUAAACUUGUAUAGUAAAUCACAAAAAAAAAAGUUAUUCUCAAUUUACAUAAAUCAUACAUAACAUUCUCUUCGGCCAGCCAAAAACAUCAUUAAAUAAUUUUUCGCUGACACUACGGCAUUUUAGUAGUAGUGCCACUCACUUCAACUCAAGAAAGUUAAGUUUUUUCUAGGGUUACGGGAACCUUAACAAUUCUGAGAGCAAAUUAGUGACCCGAAGAGAUCAAUACAAAAGCUUAAAACAUGGAGCCUAGCUUCACACGAACGAUCUCGCUCUUGAAGAUAGCCUUACGCCUUAAUAUAUUUAAUCUAAACUAAACCAAGAAAAUUCCAGAAUUAGGACCUAAAGUAAACUCAUGCAAACUUGAAAAGGCUAAAGGAACCGUUAUUACCAACGAAAACUCACCCAACACAAUCUGAAUCCUUGCUUGAUUGACUACAAAAGGACUUGAUUUCACCGUUCCGAGCUCCCUGGAUCGUAAACGAAUACAAGAUCUUUUGGAUAGUGGGUCACGAGACUAAAGUCUUUGGAGACCCAAAAAUCACAGGUUCACUCGCCGGGACGAGUAUGUGAGCGUCGGAGCAGCCUUGCCGUCGCCUGAUCGGGAUGUGAGAGCCGCAGAUGGAAUCGUGGAGGUAUGAUGCUUCGUGCCGCGACCGAAGGUGAGACGGCGACCUGAGGUACGACCGGCGCAGGGCGGAGCUGUAGACACAAUUCGAGAGAGGUAGAGAGAGAGAGAGAGCAGUUCUCUCGUGAUAUAAAUGGAUACGGCGGUGCAGGGGGAGCGGCAGCCGGAGUGAGAGAGUCGAGCGAAAGAGAGAGAGGGAAAUGGGAUCGAGAGAGAGAGAGAUGCUGAGACCUGAGAGUGAUCAGGGAGAGAGAUCGUGAGACGGAAGUGACGGCUGGGGGUUUUUCAGGAAAAGAAAAAGGUUAUAAUAAUUAUUUUCUUUUAAAGCCAAAUCCUAGUAGACUUAGUCCACCACCAAACCAAAACUCACCCUUUUUAAGUACAAAACUCUACUCGGUUUAACUUUACAACACCACCAUAAAUCAACCACUUUAUAACUCCACCAUAAAAGUUUUAUCUUUUAUCUUCUUUCCUAACAUCAAAAUCAUUCAUUACAAAGUUACCAUAAAUCUAUCCAAAUUUUCAUUUUAACUUAAAUAACUAACUCCUAUCAGAUUCAAAUGUGAAACUAUUACGAAGCAAAAACUAUAUACAAAUCCAAUUUUGAAAAUAGAAAUUAAAUUUGACUUAACAAGAAAGAAAAAGUACUUUUUUCUCAUAUAAAUAAAGCAAAGGCGUCCGGUCCGUUUGAACCUGUGAAAGAUGCUAAAACAAAAAGUCGUCGAUUUUGAAGACCAAUCACGACCGUUGAUUCUAAUCGAACCGGCUUAAUCGGUUGUUCCAUUGAAAAUUGACCGAUAAUCUCCGUUUUCUCUUGAUAAACAUACACGUGUCCAUUUCAAAACAAAACUCAAUCCGCAUUAAUCACACGGGUUUACUAAAAUACCCUUGACUUAAAAGUGUGUGUCAACAUGUACUAAACCACUAGUCCACACGUGUUGGCACGUGGAACAAAUCAGACGUGUACGGUGGAGGGAAUAUUAUGAUUUUUUUAGGAAAAGGUUUUGUAAUAAUUUGGAGUUGGGCCUACAAAGGAAAAAGCACCAAUUGGACGAAGAGAAAGAUGGAGAAGUCUCCAGUAAAGUGCAAGAUCAUCGUAGGUUUGACUUGUUUUUUGAACUUUCCCGCAAUUACGGGUUUGGUGCCAACCGAAAUCGGUUGCUUUGGAUCUCUUUUUCCCACUAGCGGUCACGGUGAGCGACUCCACCCUUAACGUUCGGUUCGAUGCAUUGCUCGCAUUGAAUAAGAUUAGUCAUAAGGUGAUCAGUGAUGUCCUCUGUACUUCUAUUUUGUUUAUUUGUUUUUAACAUCAAUUUGUAAAGGCUACAUUUUCAAUUUAUGUCAAAAUGGAUACAGAUUAGCUGAUAACAACCAUAAAUUUACUUGAAAGAAAAAUAACAUAAUUGUAGUUGUAGAACAAACAAAAUUUACAGCGGAGCAAUAUUUUUGAAGUACAAGUUAUAUUAGAGUAUUUAUAAGUAAAAAUAUAUUAAGAGUAUUUAUUAGAGUCUAAGUACAAGUUUGAGGGGAAAGAUGAAGUCACUCAUUCUUGAAGUUAUAUUAGAGUAUUUAUAAGUAAAAAUAGAAGAAACGAGGCUUGAAACUAAGCUUACCGAAGACUAAAAGACAGUUUUAUCAUUCUAGUUAUUACUGUUAUUGGUACUUUGAUUUUAUAUUAUAUAAAUAACGUAAAGUUGAGGGGUUCAAGCCUCCUAUAAUUAUAAGAAAGUUUGGUAUGUGUUUAUUUUCAUUUUCUUGAUAGAAUGCGUUAAUUGGAGAAAUAGUUGAAUCAUGCUUGGUGUGAACAUGUUUGGGGCGAUUUUAUUUUGUCGUGUCGUUGGAUUAAUUUUAAUAUUUUGGAUCACAUUUAUCUAUAAAACUAUUGACCUCUCAUUUCUGCAUUAUGUUGGUCUGGAUGAUAUAGUGACAAAUGAAUAUGUAAAUAAUCUUCUAUAGCCUUCCUAUAUUGGUUUUUAGAUUUGGAGAUUGAUAAAAUAUAAGACACACUUGUAAGAAAUAAAUAAGUAAAUUCAAAGAAACGUUAAUGGUUAGUGAAAUUAUAUUGCACUUGCAUGGUCAUUAUAUUUCAUUUUAAAUGAAUGCAGUAACAACGUACUAGCAAGCAAACAUGUAAGUAGUUAACUAAUUAAUCAUUAGUCAGCGAUAAAAAAUCAUAUCAAUAGUUCUUAGUCUUACUGAAGAUUUACUGACAUAGAUCUGUCGCUAAUACAACUUGCCAAUAGCUUAUAGUUAAUGUUAAAUAUUUAAUUUGUUAUCGAUAAACUCAUGACGUUUGUGAUAACUUGAUAGAUAUUUUAUAAUUUUGACAAGUAUACAUUUGAAAUACUUAAAAAUAUUUCAAACAAAUUGUAAUCGAUUAAGACUAGUUUUCUCUCGGCUUGCUCAAUUGCUUUAGUAUUUGCAUCAAUGAUUUCUUGAUUUCUUUCGUUCAAUAUUGGCUGUUCAAAUGACAACAGUAUCUGCAACGUCGAUUUAAGACAGCUUCCUUUCAGUUUGUUUAACUUACAAGUCAAAUGAAAGAGAUGAAGCUUAAGAGCUUCCUAUUUCGCUCUGUGAAGCAAUAUUUCUUACUUUUUUAUCAAGGAUAUCUAUUUUGGUCUUUACAAUACACUCACUUUUACUAAUACUUAUUUACUUUGGAUGUAAAUCCUAUUAGUUUUGCCUUCCGUCUUGUUUCAAAAGAUCUCGUACCAUUUAAGAUAGUUAUUGUCAAUCAUUCCUUUACCAAUGGAUCUAAGACUUUGGUUGCAUUUCCAACAUGCUAUUGUUCAAGAAACAUGGUUUUCUUGAUAUUUUUGUUGUCCAGAGGUUUAAGAUUUAUCUAUGUGGACUUGCGGGUUUAUCUGCAGGAUAGGUACUUGAUAGCCUUGAAGCUGAAAAGGGUUUGCAGUCAUUCAUUUUGUUGUUGUUACUUGUUAGUUUGACACUCAACAAUGAUUGAAAAAUUGUUGAUUGUGCACGGAGGCCUGAAUCUUGAAUUGCUAUGAAAUGCUGUAUGAUCAAGUGAAACUCUAUGUUGUUUUUUAAGUUUCUUUGCGCCAGAUUGGUAAGAGUUUGAAUUCGGUUUCAAAUGCAAAUGGUUCACUUAGGAUAGAAAAAUGCAAGUGUUUAUCUAUGAAUUUCACAUGUAGUCGGUUUCAGGCAAAACUUGUAUACUUUUAGUAAUUGGAAAAGGAACGGAGACAAUUGACAGUUAGUACUUUAAUAGCUCACUUGGUACGUUUUGCGUUGGUUUCGGUUUAUAUUUAUCCAGCCUGCUUGUGACAUGAUGUUGGGCACUGGGGAAAGACAUCUGGAAGACGAUGCCAAUGAAGCAAUUGAUGACAUAGAAAGCAAGAGCGCACAAGAGUCGACCACAGCCUUUCGUUGGAAAAGGUGACGAAGGUGUCAAUAACUGAUUCAUCAAACACUAUCCAUUGCUCUAUAGUCACGAGCAUGGGGGAGAUUUUCAGGUGCUCUUUCUGAAGUAAAUCAAGUGUCCAGAGAGAGUCAACACAGCACAUAUAGAGCAAGAGGAAGUAUAUGAAUUAUUAGCAAGAGUUGAGGUGAGCGACUAAACAUUUUACUUGGUGUUUACUUUCUCAUCAUGAUGGACAACAGAGUCAAGAAUUGCUCUCUAGGUUGACUGCAAAAAGAUGUAUAGUUUUCCACAGGCCCAUUAAACUUUUUUUAAAAAUCCAAAAUCUUGAUUGCUAAAGCCCAGUCUCAGGUCCAGUCCUUUUGUUAUUUUUACUCAUCUAGUUCAGAUGAUCUGUGAAUAUUGAGUCAAGUGUAUGACAAAUAAUAUCAUCUCCAGUAGACCCUUGCAGCAUGAAUUAAUUAUUUAAAGUUCGUUAUCUUGUGAAACAAAUAACAAACAUCUUUGAAUUAGUUAUUUUAUAGUUUAUUAUUGACUUUGAUUCUUCUUAUUUAGAGUAGGUCAACCAAUUCACUUGAAGAAUCUGAUGGUUGAAGUUUUCUUAAAAGGGAGUUGCUAGCUCAACUGCAACCGCCUGAUUGUUGAUGUGUGUCUAUUAUAGAAAAAACCAUUAACUUACUGAAAAUAAUUGUGUAUUUCUUUCUUAAUUAAUUGGUAAAAGCGUUUGAUUGUUGCAAGGAAUCAUACAACCAAAAAUUUACAUAUGCAUAAUAUCAAUUGACGUAUUGAAGACUACAGCAAAUAUGUAGCCAUUAUACGGCAUAUUAUAUUUUAAUAUAUUUGACAAUUCUGUUUCUGUUUCAUGCCAUACACAAGCUAUAGUUUGAACUUAAUAGUGAUUCAUGAAGACAUACGAAAAUUUCAAUUCUUGUUAGUCGUGGAAAAGGAAAUAAAUAAAACGAAGUUAAUUGGGGUCUGAAUUUUCUUCUUGUUUGUAUAUGACUAUCUAAGCAGCCAAAAAAAGAAGUUUCUUUGUGUGAGAGAAUUUUAACACAAGCCAUCUCUCGUUAAGAACAGUUGGGCGUCUAUCAAAUAUUAAGCGACCAUGGUAGGUGAUCUUUGACACUUGCACCCCAAACCAUCAUUCGUUAAGCUUCUAUCAUUGUCUAAAAUAAACAUACUGUUUUCUUCCAUCUUUUUCUCUUUUGGGUUGUUGAUCAGGUUCAUCCCACCGUCUCAUCCUAAACUUGAGAAGAGCUUCAAUGGCAGAACACCAUCCUUUAGAUAUUCAAAUCAAUUCCCGGCAAGGUACUGCAAUCCACCCUAUAGAGGCGGAUGGCCAGUCGUUACAGGCAUCAGGUUCAGUUGCUUUUUGGGAAGUCAAGCAAUUCAGGAAAUGGAUACCUUGGUUAAUUCCAUCAUUUGUUAUAGCCAAUAUUGUUACGUUCUUUAUCACCAUGUCCGUUAAUAACUGCCCUAAGAAUUCAGUCUCUUGUAUUGCUCGAUUCUUGGGUAGAUUCUCUUUCCAGUCCCUAAAAGAAAAUCCUCUGCUUGGACCUUCAUCUCUAACGUAAGUUGCUUUCACUGAAUUCUUCCUUUUUUUUUCUUCCAGAAUCCAGUUUGUAUCAGUUAAUCUUAAACUUUUCAUCAUUCAAGUGGUAUAAAUUUUCUGGGUUAUUGCAAAUUAAUAUGAACUAUGCAUCUUCCACUGAACCAGUUAUUGCUUGUGUUUCAGGCUACGGAGGAUGGGUGCACUAGAAGUUAAUAAAGUUGUUCAUGGAAACCAACUAUGGCGUCUUAUUACUUGUAUAUGGUUACAUGCCGGUGUUUUUCAUUUAUUGGCAAAUAUGUUAAGUCUCUUGGUCAUUGGAAUUCGUCUUGAACAAGAAUUCGGAUUUAGUAUGUAUCUUUUAUCAUUCUUUCUUUUUCUUUUCUGGUGUUGGUAGCAGAACUAUUGUUGGGCACUUUAUUAAGAGUUAUGUUUGUUGUAUUCUCGGAUAUGGAUUCUUUUAUGUUUAUAUAUUUAGUGGAUUUGAUCAUCGCCAUUCCACCCCUUACAAAUUCGUUUGUGGAUGUUUUACAGUACGGAUAGGUUUGCUAUAUGUUAUAUCUGGAUUUGGUGGGAGUCUGUUGUCUUCACUAUUCAUCCAAUCUAACAUUUCUGUUGGGGCUUCUGGUGCCUUAUUUGGGUUGCUCGGAGGAAUGCUUUCUGAACUCAUCACUAACUGGACGAUAUAUUCUAAUAAGGUAGUCUUCAAAACGCAUUUGUAUUGGAAUUUUCAUAUGAAUCCUGACACUUGUCUUGGUUGUAUUUUCUCGUCUUGUUGCCCCUUCAGGUUGCAGCUCUUGUUACUCUGUUGGUUAUUAUAGCGAUCAAUUUGGCAGUAGGAAUUCUUCCUCAUGUUGACAAUUUUGCUCAUAUUGGAGGAUUUAUUUCUGGAUUUCUUCUGGGGUUUGUAUUUCUCAUUCGCCCGCAGUUUGGAUGGGUUAGCCAAAGAUAUACUUCUCAAACAAAUUCUUCCUUUGGUGCCAAUCAUAAAUUCAAGAUAUAUCAAUGUGUAUUGUGGAUCAUUUCGCUAAUACUUCUGAUUGCCGGGUAACCAAAUCACUCUAUAUUUCUACUCCCUUCUACCAAUUCUAUUGAGAGAGCAUACAAAAUUAGACGUGGAGUCACAGGGUAUACCACAAGUAACCACGAACUUGUCCAAAUAUGCUUAUAACUCUUGUUUUGAUGGUGAAACAAUAUUCCAGUGUCCUAUUUAACAUUCUUUAGCUAUUACACACGACGAUAAUCUUCAGAAAUGUUUUUGUAAUUAUGGAAGGAAUGAUCUUGGAAAAGUUGUUAGGUUACUCCACGCCGUUUGUGGGUUUUGCCCUAUAAACUACACUGGCAAUUCUGAAAUGUUGGGUAAUUGGUUGCCCACUAGAAGUAAAUACACCUUCACUCUAUGAUCUGAACACUUUAUUCCUUCUAAUGCCUUAAAACUGGACUCAUGAAAUGAGACCAUGUUCUAGAGAGAUUGUCUGUAAUGCAACCUCAGAUUCAUUGUUGGUUGUAGUUCUUUAAUUCCAAGGUCUCUUAUUGACAGUAAAACUAAAAGAUUCUUUAUUUCAAAGAAGUUAUUGAGAGUAUACCUAUCUUGUUGGCCUAUUUGAGCAAAGAUGUAGGAAUUUCGAAACUGAUUACUGAUCUAAGAUGUUAUUUUCAGGUUCACCGUUGGUAUGGUUUUACUUAGUCGAGGAUUUGAUGCAAACCGUCAUUGUUCUUGGUGUCAUUAUUUGUCUUGCGUUCCUACUUCAAAAUGGAGCUGUAAUUCAGAACCUACAUACUGUUUGGUAAUAUUUCCUUCUGCAUUCUCUUUUCUCUGUUAUUUUCUCCUUCGUUUUUUCUUGCAGAGUAUUUUCUAUAGCCUUUCCUAUCAAAAUUCAAGCGCUACUUAACAAGUAUUCAAGGCCCUAUCUUAUAGUCAUUUUGUUGUGUCUAUUUUUUGGGAAAAAGUCACUUGACCCUACCCUAAACUUCCCAUUCUAGGUGUUAAUUUUACCUCUGUUCAAUUGCUUUCUAAUUUGUCCAAUUUUAAUGGAAAACAGUAUACAAAUAUUCACAAACGCAUUAAUCAAUCAAAUAAAAUUUACCAAAAAAUCAAAUUAGUGAUGCACAAAUUAAGCAUCUAAAAUUUUUUAGUAGCAACUCUUUUUUAAUCUAACUGUUUGGUAGUAGCAACUUGAAUCUAAACUUUUUCCAAAUUUCCACUGUGGUUUUCAGUCACAGCAAGUAGGUAACCAGUUGAAUCUAACAUGCUCAAGCAACGGCAAAUUCAGGACGUAUAUUCUACCAAAUGCUUCAAAUUCAGCGAUACAAGGUUUGUGUUCUAGUCUUUGCAAUUGAUUUAAUGUAAACUAGAUCACUCGAGAUUUGAGAAAAUCACCCUUUGUUGGACAUGUUUCAUUGCGAAAUAUGCUUCUCUUCUUACUUCUUUUUGUAUAUGAUAUGUUUUUUUACCCCAAAACUCUUACCUAAGUCACAGCCAUGGAGUUAUUUCAUCAGGUUUCACGAAUGCAGCUUCAAAUACAUAAUUAGAAGUCAAGACUUCGUACCUAGGAAAAAUAGUAACUCAAAAUCCAAAGUUUUUUAAUUUGUGGUUGCCAAAUGCCCAUGUGCUACAAUCUUGUUGCAAAUUUUUAUUAGUAAUGCUGAGAUAGAAAAAUUAAUGGUCCAAGUCUUAAAUCACCCGUUUAAUUUAGAAGUCUAGACGUGUAGAAAGAAGAAAGCAAGUUUAAUAUAAUAUUAGGGGAGGCAUAUUAAGUAUAAUAGUUUGCAACUUCUAUGGUCUAUUCUUUAAAAUUUGAAACACAUAUAUGCUCAAAUAUGAAUUUCUAACAUAUUAGUGCUAUGUAUAUAGUUUAAGAAGACAACAACAUCAAUAACAUUCUGACUCAUGCUCUGGUCAUUGCAUUAAAGUGUGUUUGACAUACUAAACAGAUGUCUCAUCAUAAUGAGUUUAUUAACAAUAAGUACUAAGCGGUUGUUAGUUAUUAGAGGAAUUGAUACAAAUAAGGAAUUAGUAAGUAAAUCUUUUUAAUUAAUGGGUAAAGCAAAGAUGGAGUGGGUGUGAAAAAGGGAGAAAGGAAAUCUGGAAGGGUAUAUUAUUUGUUGGCAGUAUCGUUAAUUCCAAUGGAGAGUUUUAAGGCGGGUGGUGGGGCUUUAUAAAGCCAAACAUCCCAAAAAAUUCCACGUGUCCACACCAUACCACAACUUGGGUGUGGGCCUUGGAUUUGUCUACAACAACAUCCCUACCUCUAGGCCUUAUUCUCUCACUAACAAACGUUACAAACACCAAACUAAUUUCUUUUUUAAAAAGUUUGAAAACACAAUAUAACCAACCACUACUACACCGCCGUCUGUGGGAAUCGAACCCACGACCACAUGGUUAAAAGCCAUGCGCUCUACCGGCUGAGCUAAGACGGCUUGACGGUAAAACAGUAAAAUUGCAAAAUAAAACUGUUUCUAUUUCUUAAAAAGAGAAAGGGCAACAUGAUCGUACUGUGUGGUUGGUUGUUUGUGAGGUGGUGGGUGGAUGUAAUUUUAGUUAGAGGGCGGCGGUGUUCCGGCGAAAAUGGGCGGGUGAGAGUGUCCCUUUCGAAAUGGGAGGCGAUGUUCAAUCUCGGAAUGGUUCAGUGUUAGUCGGCUUUUGGCAGACUGAAACUGAUUUUGGGUUAAAGAAGAGGAUCCCCCUCAAUUUCACGGCAGCUUUGAAACAUCAAAUCCCACUUUCCUUUUCUUUUAAUACUAUUUUCAUAGAUACCCCCAUUUUACUUUCUACAUUUCUUUUUCUUUUUCUUUUGUUUUGUUGUUAUUGAAAUAAAUAAAUAAAUAAAUAAUAAAAUGGGGGGGGGGAAUGAAAAAGAAAAGAAAGGAAAGAGAAGUUGAGAAGAUAAAAGGGAGGUAACGCAUCACUGACAAAAGCAGAGGAGAGGGGGAGAAGGUGAAGGUGGUACAGAUUUACAGAGAAAAAAGAAAAAGGAAAAAAAAGGUCGAGUCUCUAUCAAACUCCGUCACCUCGGGCCGCGAAAUCCGGACUACAGUCCACUCUCUCUAUCCUUCCCAUUUCCAAAAACUCUCACAAAAUAAAAGAAAAAACAUCCCAUCUUCAUUUUCAUUUUCAUUUUCGCUUCUCCGGGGCCACCGCAACCCAACCAUUCCUACCUCCCCUCUUCUCCUUUCUCCCUCUUUCCUCUUCUAAUUCUGCGCCCUACCCUCUUCCCUUUUCUCUCCCUCCCUAAACUACCUUCUUGCCUUCAAUUUUACGCCUAUAAUCACAAGACUUUUUAAUUCUUUUUUUAAAAAACAAUUUUCAUAAUUCAAUCUUUUUUAAGUAAAAUUUAAAUUUAUUUCUUAAAUUUAGAAUUUUUAUAAAUUUAAAUCUAAAACCAAUAAUUGUAUAAUUUAAAUAUCAACCUUUUAUCCUCAAACUAAUAAGUAUAUUAAUUUAAAUUUUAAAUUUAUAUAAAUAUAUAAAUUUGAAUGGAACUUUUUUAAAAUAACAAAAUAAAUUAAAAUAUUUACUAGUUAUAAUAAAAGUUUAGAUUCUAUGACCUAUAUCAAUAACUAUCAGUAUUUGUCGUAGGUUGUAAAUAUUUUGUAAAAUCUACCGUUUUAAAAAAUUCUCCAAAAUUUAAAUUUAAAAAGUAUGGAAUUAAUAUUUGUUAACUCUUACCCGUAUUAUCUACCAACAGUUUUAAAUAUUGUUUGUUAACUUUAAAAUUUUAUUGGCUAAAAGAAUUGCAACUUUUUUAGAAAAAAAUAAAUAUGAAAACUAAUUUUGUACUUGCAAGAUUUAUUUUCUUAGGAUACCAUAGUUUGGAGGUUAACUUUAUAAAUUCAAAAGUCACCACGUUAAUGCUAUCUACAAUGGCUGUCUUUUUUACAGUAUAUUUACUAUUUUUUGACAAUAGCAUGUACCUCAAUUACAAACUGUUUUCUGUAUUCAAUAUCUCCAUUUCAAAAACAAAUUUUAUAGUAUUGUAAUUUUUUUAGUGCAAUAACUGUGGAAAGAAAAAUUGAACACUUUACUUUUUUAUUAAAAGACAUAUGCUAAACUCAUUUUAAUGUUAUGUUAAUGCUACAAAACUUAAGAGUUAAAAUUGAACUAUUAUGGGCAUAUUUAAUCAUAUGAGUAGAGGAACCAAAUUGAUUAGAGUAAAUGAGUGGGAGUGUGGAGAGUGGCGCAGGUUAAGCGGUGAAACCAAGCUUAAAAGCUCUAUACGCCAUUAAACGCCAAGCAACACCCACUCUCUUCUUCCCUUUCCCUUUCUUCUUUUUUUUUUUUCCUCUGUGCAGCAGUUUCUGAUUCUCAGCUGUUUCGCUCUGUCUCAAUCGUCCCUUCUGGCUUUAUACAUAUAUAUGUAACAGUGACUAAACGAAAGCCUAAUGCUGCGUGCUGUGGCCUCUGCCCCUUGCCCCCAGUGGAACACCCACUCUUUCCUCUUUCUAUCUCUCUCUCUCUCUCUCUCUCUCUCUUCAUUAUAUUUACCUCUUUAGCCUUUUCAAAUUCCAUCCUUCCCUUCCUCCUUCCAUUCUCUCUCCUUUUCUAGCUUCUUAAACGAAUUGGGUUUCCUUUUCUCUCUUUGUUUCUACACAUUUUGAUUCUCUUUUGGCUGUGGAUGCUCGUACUUACCACUCCCAGUGUAUUUCCUCUUCUCUCUUUUCCCUUUUUUCUACUUUUUAUUGUGUUCUCAAGGACUGAAAUUGUUCUGAUGGUUUGGUUGUAGUCCUUUUUCGAGAAUGGAAAUUCUGGGUUGCUGUUUUUGUUUAAUUCUGUUGAAUUUUGCUGAUUUUUUUUGGAUGGGGGACAGUUUUUGGUGUAGAAUUCAACUGGGUUUCGUUUGAAUUUUGGUAUUUGUAUAUUUAUAUACUGUUUGGUUGUGUCUGGUUUGGUUUGUUGUUUAGUUGAGGUUGAAUUUAUCUUUCUGUUAUCUUCAUGGCACAGUGAAGGAACUUCUUUUGUGGAAUGUAUGAACUGUGAAGUAAAUUUUGGCCAAGUUUUUGUUAUGGAUUGCUGUGUUUAGUCAGUCUUUUCCCUGAAUUUUAUUUCCAUUCUGUUCUCUUCUUAUGAUCAGUCCUUUUAUCUUACAUAUUGAAAUCAUUUUUUAGAUACUAUAAAGAAGAAGGCUCUGGGAAGCUAAUAAAUGAAGCACAUAUGAACUAUUGGUUUGUCCUUGAAGGCUUGAAUUUAGCAGUGAGUGGAUGGAACAAUGCUUAAAAAUUGUGGGAGAAUAUAGUAGUAGAAAGAAGAAAUUUUACUUUGAACUUACUUGUAAGGCUAUACAAUAAAUAAUAAUAAUAAUUAAAACAACUUACUUCAUGGCCACUUCCAAUGGGGGAUUUCUUCAAACUGAUUCAUCCACUUCACCACCAUCUCUUCCUCCUUGGCUUUCCAACUCCAACGGUGGCUCUUCGCUCCGACCGCCUUCCCCAUCAGUCACCUUAACAUUAUCUUCCCCCACAGUUCCAGCCUACACUCCCAUCCCCUGGUUGCAACAGCCAGACAGAAUGCCAGAAAACAUGCCUCUUGUAUUAGGCAAUUUAGCACCUCAAAUGUCAAUGCCAUCAUGUGGUGGUAGCCUCUUUGCUUCUGAGCUCGUCGAGUGCUGCCGAGAGCUCGACGAAGGCCACCGUGCUUGGGCAGCACACAAGAAGGAAACAGCAUGGAGGUUAAGAAGACAAGAGUUGCAAUUGGAGUCGGAGAAGGCGUCUCGGAUUCGACUGAAGAUGGAAGAGGUUGAAGGGAAAGUAAAAGCUCUUAGAGAAGAAGAGAAGAUUGCUUUGGAAAGGAUUGAAGCUGAGUAUAAGGAACAAUUGGCAGGGUUUAGAAAAGAUGCUGAGGCUAAAGAACAAAAGUUGGCUGAGCAAUGGGCUGCUAAGCAUAUGAGCCUUACUAAGUUUCUUGAGCAUAUGGGAUGCAGGACUAGAAUUGCUGAGUCAAGUGGGAGGUGAGAAAACCACUUGCCACAGUUUCAAGUUUUGUGAUUGCCUCUAUGAAUUUCUUCAUGGGAAAUUCUCUUUCCUUUUCAAUCUCUCUUUUCUUUAUAUUUUUACUUCCAUUUUGUAUCCAUUGACAUCUGAAAUUAUGCAUCAAUGUCAUCCUAUAUUUGCUUUGUAAUUGAUACUCUUGCAAGCAAAAUGUCAAGUAUUUAUUUUGAUUCUGCUUAACAAGUCCCCUCACCUCUUUUAAUCUUACUAAACAUUUGUUUAGGAUAUGACAUUAGAAAUAGCAUUGAACAAACUCGAAUUUGAAGCAUUAACACAACCAAAUCUGAGUUGACUCAAACCUUUAUAAUCAGUCCCAAAUCAACUAACUUGUUUUACUUUACAAAAGAGAAGAUAUACCAAUGAAAUUUCAUCGACGAUGUGUCAGAAAUUUCAGAAAAUAUAUUAGUAAAAAACUUAUGUGAACUUAGGUAAUAUCAAUUAUCACAUGAGUGAUCAAUAUUAUUGAUCAAUAACCGACUAUUUCCUCAUUCACAUUUUAAUAUGAAUAGCUAGAAUAAAGACUAUCUCGAGGUAGUUAGCGUAUACUCUAUUACUCUAUUUUUUUUGGAGUUGAAAGUCUUAAAAUUAUGGAAAUAUGACGAUAUUAAUAACAAUAAAAUAAAAUGUAAAGUUUUAUCUAAGUCAGUAGAAUGCCAAUGUGUAUGAACACCAAUUAAGAAACACUACACAACCACUUUCAUGAUGUAAUUUAUAAUUUAAAAUCUAGAGACAUUUUGUGGUUGAUAGGGUGGUUGGUCAUAUUGGAUACCACAUUCAGUAACCUAUCUUUGAAAUAUUGAUGUUCUCACUGUAUUGGAUGCAUAAUUUAAUUCCUACCUAAUCUUUUAUAAUAACAUAUUUAAAUGCUACAAAUAUUAAUUAAACACAAAAGACCAUAGUUCUAAUGUCGUAUCUAAGAAAUAAUGCAUUAUGGUUGUUGGUUGCACAUUCAAUACUUUAUGUAGUUAAUUUUAUUUAGUGAAGAAGUAAAACUCAGUAUCAAUUGUGGUCUAAAAACAAAUUCGUAUCCGAUUCUAAGUUAUAAAUUUUGCCACAUAAUUUAUCACACUGGAGCAACGUUUCAAAUUUGCUACAUAGUAUACUAGAUAUCUACAUGGGUGGAACUUAAGAUUGUGGACCAUAUAAACGACUUAGGGUAGCUUGAAUACCAAGUCCACUGUUUAUUUAAAUACACGUGGACUAGACACACAUUUUCUUAUAAUCACAUAUCAAUUUCCUUUAAUUCUAUUAUUUUCUAUCAACUUUAUAUUCAAAAAAUGGAUAAUUACAAAAUGUAAUUAUAGGUUUCAAACCAACUUAACCCCACAAAAACUGAAUGACUGACGGACUCUCUGAAUGACUGACGGACUCUUACUUAUAGAUAUUGAACUCAAUUUGAACCUUUACUAAAUGAAUUAUCAAUUUUGUGAAAAGAAAACAGAUAGCUAAGGAUGAAUCCUAAUAGACAACGUAGACUAACUAAUAUAUAUGGAGGAGGAAGAGAGAGAGAGAAUGAGGUGGGCCAGGAAUGUGAAAUGGGCCUGGGCUGUUGCAAACGAGAGUCAUUUUGUUACAAUUCACCGACUCUAAGCAUUGCAUGAGACAAAAAAUGAUAUGAACUUUAUAAAAUUGAAAGGAAAAGAAAAAAAAAAAAGGAACAAUAGUUACGCAACCGAAGAAGAUACGAUCAGGAUCAACUACUUCGCUUCGAAGGGUUUCUGCAAUUUUCUUUUUUGUAAUUUUCAACGACUUUGGACGCAAAUUUAUUCCUUAAUACUUACCUUCUUCGAUGAACUUUUCUGUGGACGAUGUUUAUUUCUCUCUACGUUGUUUCUGGUUCUGAAAUUUUGUGAAUACACCCAACUUUUUUUUUUAUGCCAAGAGGGACAAACAAGAUAAUCUCAGUCUUGAAUUUCACUCCUACGAGAUUGAAUGAUCGAGGUGGAACGAAUUGGAGGAUUGAAUUUUAGGGUUUCGGAUUUCUUGUUGAGGAGUAGUUGUUGGCUGGAGUUGAAACCUGGGGAGUACAACCUCUCGGUUACGGCGCUGUUUUUGUUGCGCUGACUGGCUGGUGCCGUAUUGGCGCUCUCGGAGAAUGGAUGAAAUGGAUAUUGGCUCCCCUUCUGAAUCUGCGCCACUUAAGCCGCGUGAUCGAAUUCUACGGGUAAUGCUAGAUUUUCUUUUUUCAUUUCUUGUUUGUACAUUGUAUUUGAAAUACGGCGCUGAUUUAGAUGGGGUUGUUAUUUUUUAGUCCCAUGUAUUCUGUUGCUCAUCCUGCAACUAGUCGUUUAUGUUGUUGUGUUACUUUGUAAACUCGUUUAUCGUUAUCUGUUAUUGGAUUUUCUGUUCAAUUUCGACUUGGAUUUGGGAUUGUGUAGUGUGUCGAUUAAAUUAUGGGUAUCAUCGCUUUGCCUCGUUUAUAAUUCUGAUUCUCUUUAUCAGCGGCUUGCUGUACUUGGAGUUCCUGAUGAGCUAUUGGAUCAACUUUUUCGCGGUCUAGUUACUUUUGUUAAGGACAACAAGUUUCUUAUACCGGAGCUGGUAUCUGCAAUUUUGCCUACUGAUGUCGAAGUGGUAGAAGUUAUACGAGAUGCUAUACCUGGGGCAAAAAAAUCUCUAGCAGGCCCAACCAUGAAAGCUAAUUUCCGUGAAAGCAUGAUGUGGUUACAGUGGUUGAUGUUUGAAAGUGAACCAGCUUAUGCUCUGAAGAACCUGUCAAAAAUGAGUGUUGGCCAGCGUGGUGUAUGUGGUGCUGUUUGGGGACAUAAUGAUAUAGCUUAUAGAUGCCGAACUUGUGAACAUGACCCAACUUGUGCAAUUUGUGUCCCUUGCUUUCAGAGUGGAAACCACCAGGAUCAUGAUUACUCCAUAAUUUAUACAGGUGGUGGUUGCUGUGACUGUGGUGAUGCCACGGCAUGGAAGCGGGAGGGGUUUUGCUCAAAGCAUAAAGGUGCAGAACAAAUACAACCACUUCCAGAAGAAUAUGUUAAAUCUGUAGGGCCUAUACUUGAUGCACUCUUCACAUCUUGGAAAAACAAACUCUUAUCUGCAGAAGAUAUUAGCGUGGAAGACCCUAAAUUGAGUGACCGUGUUACAGAGCAUAAAAAGGUUGCAAACGAGUUAACAUUUGCUGUGGUUGAGAUGCUUUUAGAUUUCUGCAAGCACAGUGAAAGCUUACUCAGCUUUGUUUCAAAGAGAGUGAUUUCUUCAGCUGGCUUGUUGGAUAUUUUGGUGAGGUUAGAGAGACUGUUAACUGAUGGCGUAGUGAAGAAAGUCCACGAGUUACUUCUUAAAUUGCUGGGAGAGCCUGUAUUUAAAUAUGAAUUUGCAAAAGUUUUUUUGAAUUAUUAUCCUACUGUUAUCAGUGAAGCUAUAGAAGACAGUAGUGACCACGCUCUUAAAAAGUAUCCACUAUUGCCAACUUUCUCAGUGCAGAUAUUCACUGUUCCAACACUUACUCCUCGUUUGGUGGAGGAAAUGAACUUAUUGUCUAUCCUUUUGGGAUGCUUAGAAGAUAUUUUCAUUUCUUGCGUAAGCGAAGAUGGUCGCUUGCAGGUAAAGCACCCUUAUUUUCAGCUCUGAGCACACAGUCAAUUGUUGCCUUGCUUAAUGUGUUUUUAAUAGAGGAUAGAUGUGGUAUCUUCACUUAUUUAGACUCAGGCAACUAAGUACCAUUGAAUUUUGUAAUUAUAAUUGAGUUAUUAAUAAGUAUCCUCCCCCUUAAGGACUUCCUAUGUUAACAACCACAACAAGAACAAUUUUCAAUUAGUCUUUUUGGUAUAGUUCUGCCUUUUGCUUUCAUAUUCUUAAUCUUUUUCCUUUUCCUUUUCUUUUCUUAUCCAGAAAAAUGAUUUUUCCUUUCCGUAUAUAGGUUGUAAAGUGGAGUAAUUUGUAUGAAACCACCAUCCGUGUAGUUGAAGAUGUCAGAUUUGUUAUGAGUCAUGCUGUAGUGCCCAGAUAUGUAAUCUAUCAGCAGCAGGAUAUCCUAAGAACUUGGUUGAGACUGCUGACUUUUGUGCAAGGAAUGGAUCCUCAGAAGAGAGAAACAGGCCUCCAUAUAGAAGAAGAAAAUGAAAAUGUCCAUUUGCCUUUUGGUUUAGAUCAUUCUGUUGCUAACAUUCAUUCUCUAUUGGUGAAGGAAGCAUUUUCUGCUGCUAGUAGUAGUAGUUGUGAAGAUUCAGCUGAUGCAAUGUAUUUCCAAACGUACAAGCAGAACGUAGACGACAUAGAUAGUGUUAGACAUGCUAAAGUAGGACGUCUAUCACAGGACAGUGCUGCAUGUAAUGUAUUGGGAAAGAGUAGUGCAUCCACAUCUGCAUCAAGAGUUGAUGACGUGUGUUCAGAUGCAAUAUCAUCAACUAUUAUGUGGCUGACUUACGAGUGUUUGAAGAUUAUUGAUAGUUGGUUGGGAACUGAAAAUAUAUCUGGAAGCAUUCCAAACAUGCUUGAUGAGAGCAUUAGUCUAGCCCCUAGUUGCAAAUUUUAUUCAUUGAGAAAAACGUCUGCCCUGGCAUCAAAGAAAUUGUCAUACAAGAUGGAGAAGGGUAAAUUUGAGAAGCUUUCUAGAAGAAGCAAAUACCAUAAUAGACAAUAUUCCUCUCGUAUGUACAGUGGCCUUCAAAUGAGUAUUGACAAUGAGCAUGGUAUAAGUCUUGGAGAAGACAACCACUUGAUGGAUGUGACCAAUGAUACAGUUACUGAUGAAGACUAUGCCAUGGAGAUCGAUGCUCUACAUUUCCUAAGCUUAUCUUCUUGGCCAAACAUUGUUUAUGAUGUUAGUUCACAGGAUAUAUCUAUUCACAUCCCAUUACAUCGGCUACUUUCCUUGCUUUUACAGAAGGCGUUGAGAAGCUGUUUUAGUGAAUCUGGGGUGCCAAGUGCAACAGGUGCUAGUUCCUCAAAUUUGUCAUCUGAAUAUGUGGACUUCUUUAAAAGUGUUCUUACAGACUGUCAUCCAUUCGGUUUUUCUUCAUUUGUUAUGGAGCAUCCUCUACGCAUUAAAGUUUUUUGUGCUGAGGUUAAUGCUGGAAUGUGGCGGAGGAAUGGAGAUGCAGCCCUAUUGUCAUGUGAGUUGUAUCGAUCGAUCCGGUGGUAAGUUAACUUUUAGGGAACAAAGCACUUAUGUUCUAUCUUCUCAUUUUCACACGGUUUAAGGAAACUUGCUUCUUAAUGGCUUUGCAACAGGUCAGAACAAUGUCUGGAGCUUGAUCUCUUUCUAUUGCAGUGUUGUGCGGCAAUGGCUCCACCUGAUCUUUAUGUCAGUAGAAUUUUAGAACGCUUCCGAUUAUCAAACUAUCUUUCACUGGAUGUUGAACGCCCUAGUGAGUAUGUACUCAUCUAUUACUUCGACUUGGAACAUAUUAUUUUCUAAAUUCGGGUGCAAUUCAAAACCCUUGUUUAAUGCUGCUAGGAAUUAUUGAUUAUAAUAUCCAUAUCUAUCUAUAUAUUCAUAAUUUGUAAAGAAACCUAAAUUUCAUUGAAUUGUUAAAAAUUUGCAAUAAUACAGAAAUCCAAAUUUCCACACAACAUACUCGAAUACUCCAUGUACAUCAUUCAUUUGGAUUUUUUUAAACAAUUUUAAGAGCUUGGUAUUAUUCUUUUCGAUCGAAGUUCUUUAUUCUCAUUUAGGCCUCCUUUGUGUGCUUGAUUUUUUGUAUGGCCUUGGGCAUUCUUUCAUUUUUCUCAAUAGAAGCUUAGUUUCUCAUUAAAAUAUUAAUAAUAACAAUCAUAGCAACAACUCUCCCUUUAUAUUAAGCCGUAGUUUAGACAUUCCUUCAUGCACAGAGGUGUUGAAGAUACUUAUUAGGUUAUAAUACAUUUGACAAUAAUAACUUAUCAUAGAAGUAACGUUAACAUUCAUCUCCGUUUUUUGGUAUUUGAACUACUCCUUAUAAAAAGUUCUUAAAUUUUUGCAAUUGUAUGAGAUCAAAGGAAUACGUUCUGUAGAUGUGAUAAUUCUAUGAGACAGCAAAAUACAUCACAAAAGUGUUGAGAAAAAGAUGGAGCAAUAUAUACUAUUUGUCAAAUUAUUUGGGUGUUGAUAAUUGUAUUUUAAACAAAUUUAUAUAAUGGUUGGGAGCGGAAUUGCAAUCACGUUGAACUAUAUGUACUUUAUAAUUAUCCCUUUCAGAAAGCAAAUGUUUUGUUUUUAAAAUUUUCACAUAAGGUAUGAAACAACUAUUCUUCAGGUACGAGCCUAUUUUAGUGCAAGAGAUGCUCACAUUGAUCAUACAAGUAGUCAAUGAAAGGAGAUUUUGUGGACUUACAGUUGCUGAAAGCUUGAAGAGAGAGUUGAUUUACAAGUUGGCAAUUGGAGAUGCUACUCAUAGUCAACUUGUAAAAGCACUCCCUCGUGAUCUUUCCAAAUGUCAUCAGCUGCAGGAAAUUCUAGAUACAAUUGCUGUCUAUUCCAAUCCCUCUGGAUUUAAUCAGGUUAUGCCCUUCACCAGUUUGGGAUUUCUGAUACUUAUUUUUGCUCAUUGUUAUUUCUCAAGGUAUAAAUUUGUUUCAGGGGAUGUAUUCUUUACAUUGGAAGUAUUGGAAAGAGUUGGAUCUGUACCACCCUCGUUGGAGUUUACGGGACCUGCAGGUUGCUGAAGAACGAUAUUUGAGGUCAUGUGGUGUAUCUGCUUUGACCUCACAGCUACCUAAAUGGACAAAAAUCUAUCCUCCUUUUAGAGGAUUGGCUAGAAUAGCUACUUGUAAAACAGCCCUUCAAUUCAUUCGUGCUGUACUGUUUUAUUCUGUUUUCUCUGAGAUAUCAACUAAAUCACGGGCUCCAGAUAGUGUCCUGUUAAGUGCUCUGCACUUGCUAGCGUUGGCAUUGGACAUCUGCUUUCAGCAGAAGGAAUCAAGUGACCAAUCAUUUGAUGCUCCAGAUUCUAUUCCUUUGCUUCUUUUUGCCACCGAAGAAAUUGACGAGGGUUUAGCAUAUGGUUUUGGCAGACAAAGCUUAUUAUCUCUUCUUAUUUUGUUAAUGAAAAUGCACAAGAAAAAGGAAGGUCGAGAAAACUUGUUGGAGGCUGGAAGUUGCAACCUGUCCUCUCUGGUUGAAAGCUUGUUGAAGAAAUUUUCAGAGAUUGAUUCUCAUUGCAUGGGAAAAGUUCAGCAACUUGCCCCUGAAAUUCUUGGUUACUUGUCUCAAUCUGUACCUACUAGUACUACCAGUAGACCGACCGAAACUUCUGAUAGUGAGAAGCGGAAGGCAAAGGCUCGAGAGAGACAAGCUGCUAUAUUGGUAAGAUGUUUUCUUUUUGUUAAGUACCUUUUUUUUUUGUUUAUUUCUAUUUUUUUAAAACGGAAAAUGAGCCUCUUUAUUAAUACUAAUAAAUGAGACUAAAGCUCAAAGUAAUGAACCUUUUCUUUCAAAGAAAAAUAUUGCUUUCCAUUUGAUAGAUAAUUGUCUUGUAUUUGGAAGGCUUCUUUUUGUUCUGACCUUGUAAAGGUUAAGUUGAAGUUAAAUUUUCUUCGUAGAUUGUAAAUUCAUUGCCCAUUGCCCUUUUAUGCCUUGUCUACCUUGGUAAACUAUGGCUACACUUAAACUUGGGGAUGAUGUCCUUUUAUGCCUUGUCUACCUUGGUAAACUAUGGCUACACUUAAACUUGGGGAUGAUGUUUAUUGUACUUUCUCUUCCAAAUGAACUUCAUUCUGAACUCCUUGGGUGGUUGUCUGCAGGAAAAAAUGAGAGCCGAGCAAUCAAAAUUUUUGGCCAGUGUUGAUGCCUCUGUGGAUGACGAUGAUACAGAAUUUGGGCAAGAACCUGAGAAACCCAAUGUCAGUGACAGUGCUGAACAAUCUGAAACAGUUUGCUCGCUUUGCCAUGAUUCUAGUUCCAGUGUUCCUAUUUCUUUUCUGAUUCUUUUGCAGGUAUGCAGUUAGUUGUUUGUAUUGUCUGUCAACUUCAUUUUAUUUCCCCAUUUGGUUUCUUUUCAUAACUUGAUACAUCCUUUCCAGCUUUCUGUUCUGAUUUUAAAAUUAUAUCUUUCUUAAACAAGAAAUCGAAGCUUGUGAGUUUAAUUGAUCGAGGUGCUGUAUCAUGGGAUCAACCUUACUGCAGAGAUGAACAUACCUCAACAACGUCAAAAAGGGAUCUUGAUCAAUCAGGAGUAAGCACCUCCUCUGCAGGUUCAGUAGUGAUUUCAUCACCACAGUUUUCAGAGCUCAUUCAGAAUGCUGUAAAAGAAUACACCAAUCAUGGACUACCUGGGGAAGUUGGCGCUUUCCUGGAUUUUGUGAAGUCUCAUUUUCCUCCCUUACGAGACAUCCAAGUGCCUGGUACAUCAAAUGUUAAAGGAGAAAAGAUAAUAUUCAGCUUUGAUACUUUGGAAGAAGAUAUUUAUUUAUCUGUUUGUAAAGAAAUGCAUGAUACUCUGCAUUCUAAAUUCAACGACGAUGAAAAAAUUUCUAAAGUUGCAAGUGGAGGAGAUUCUAGGUCUGUGCUGCAUGUAAAAUAUAUAGCUGCUCUAUCAAGGGAACUGGCAGAAAAUCAUUCAACUUCUGAAAGCGCUCGUAACAUUCACAUGCCUGUUGAAUCUUUACAGCCUACCAUAUUGAAUGAAAUUGGUCCUACAGAUUGUGAUGGAAUUUAUCUUUCUUCUUGUGGGCAUGCUGUGCAUCAAGGAUGUCUUGAUAGAUACUUAUCUUCAUUGAAGGAAAGGUAUCCUUUUCAACAUCAAUCCAUUUUUACUCACAACAGAUGUUUGUUUAAUUGUUUUUAUUUUUCGUUGCAAUUUAUGGAUUUUGUCAUUUUUGGCCAACCUUAAUAUCAUAGUCUGAUGUUUCUAAGUUUGAGUUUUGUGGCAUUAUAGAGCAGAGGGCAAAAGCAGGAAAAACUAGUUGUAGGAAAAGGGAACUUCUUGUAGCAAUUUGUGAAUUCCUUUCUUUAGAAAGAGAAAAGUGAUGGUUAAAUUUUGUUCUUCAACGGAUUGAGAAUUGAAUUAUCCCUUAAAUAGACUGUGGGUAGUUUGAGUGACUAAUAGUAUAUGUUAGCUGUGUCUGUUUCCUCUUCUUUUAUCAUAUAUUUUGACUGUAACAGUAGUUCUAGGGCCUGGGAGGGUUUACCAGCACUCUCAAACUUCCUGGGUGUUAUCGUUCUAACUUUGAAAUUGUAAUUGUGAUAUCUUAACUUUUUGAGGAUCAAAUCAAUUGCAAGUAUUAGGGAAACAUCCUUACAUUCCUGCCUCGUUUACAUGUACUUGGGCCUUUUUAGGGCAAGGUCUGAAGAGGACUUUGUGCCCUUCCACUGUUGUAUAGCUAGAAAUAGGACAUUAUAAUAACCUUGCUUGAACAAGAUUCAUUCUAUAGGUUGUCUACGUUAUCCUUGAGUUCUGAGAAAUAAGGUAUCUUUAGUUGUAUGUUUAAGUGCAACAUUACGUAUUUUCGUAGACUGCUUGUGGUACUUUUGGUUCCUUCUGUUCCAAUAUAUAUUUUAAUGUCAAACAUACGUUCUUUUGUUGUACUUUCAGGUUUGCUCGUAGAAUUGUAUUUGAAGGAGGGCAUAUUGUUGAUCCUGAGCAGGUAUGUGCUUGUCUCAUGUAGUUCUUCUUUCUGUGUUUUCUUCGAAUAAAGAGCCAGAAAUUUUAAUUAACCUAAUCAUAAUAUCAAUCAUCUUCAUUGAAAGUUCGGUAUCCCAACUUAAGUCAAAGUUUGAUGCUUCAAUUACCUGAUCAGAUUAUCCUCUCAAUCCAAACCCAGAAAUUUUACAUCCAAAAAUUAACGUUGUGGCUUUUAUCUAGUUUUGUAGUCUCUGUUCUAAAAUAUUCUCUCUCGACCUUAUGUAUGAUUGUACAUCACAAGAUCUAGAUGCUUCAUGAAAGCAGGCAUAUACAUGGUUCUUAUUAAAUGGAGCUAUAUGUUUCUUCAAGUAGUAAUCUUCAUUAGUCUUUAUUAUGCAGAUUUAGUGGUUAGGAUUGUAGGUUUUUCAGAGGCGUUUAGUAAGCACUAAGCAACUACAAACCAUUUGUUUAUAAUCAAUUGUCAAGUCUAUACUUGGACUAAGAUAUAAUCCGUUUGAUAUUUGGAUGACACCUAGCCUGGUGCUAAUCAUCCCAACUUCUGAUCACUUGUAUGCUUGACCAUGUAUUGAAAUAGUACUAUCUUUUGAAUUUUAGGGACAGGAUGAUGGUAUGGUUUGUUGUUUUAUACAGGUUCAUAGUUAUAUAUAUUUAUAUAACUAUAAUAAGGAAAUUUGGUUUUAUGUAACAGGGAGAAUUCUUGUGCCCGGUGUGCAGACGUCUUUCAAAUUCCACUUUGCCUGCAUUUCCUAGGGAAUUUCAAAAGAUUUGGAGCCCGAGGACGAGUUCAGUUGGGACUCUUUCUCAUGUUUCAGGUCAUCUUAAUAAAUCAAAUGAAAGAGUGAAUCCACUUUAUAUUCAGGAAGCAGUAGCUCUCUUGCAAUCUGCAGCUAAGGCUGUUGGGAAGAAUAACGUUCUUAAAGAUAUUUCUGUACACAGACAUAAGAAAGUGAGUCGCAAUCUCGAAGCUGUUUCACUUGUUCUGUCUAAGUUGUAUUUUUCUUGGAAACAGGAUAAGUUAAUAAGCUCCUCCCGGGUUAAUCCAUCAAUUCUUAUGUGGGACACUCUCAAGUAUUCCCUCGUAUCAAUGGAAAUUGCUGCUCGUAGUAAGACUGAUAUGAAUCCCAGUAUUGGCCUUAAUACAUUGUAUAAGGAGCUUAAAACUUCUGGUGGUUUUGUGUUGUCUUUAUUGCUAAAAGUGAUCCAAAGCGUUAAGUGUGAGGAUUCUCUCCUUUUGCUUCAAAGAUUAUGUGGUAUUCAAAGGUUUGCAGAUUCCAUCUGCUCUGGAAUGUCAAAUGAAAAUGCUAGUGACUCAUGUGGACGAGGUACAACUCUAGGGCCUAGAAGCAUUUUUUUCCUCUUAGUCUUUCUGGGUUAUUUUGGGUGCUCCUAUAUUGGAUUUUAGUUGUUUCUUGCAUUUUAGGGACUGAGCUGAUUGGAUAGUUGAAAUCUUGUUGAAUGUGUUUCUAAAUGUGCAUCCAUAUUCUGUUUAGGGCAAGUCCUUUAUGAAGUAGUUGUCGAGGAUAUUAGAUACAAUGGCUCUUUACCCGUACAUGAACUUCCAAUAAAUGCUAAGAUAGAUUCCCAUCUGGAACCCUUUCUAGGAGUUUUUCUAUAUAUAUCUUUAACUGUUCAACUUAUAGUUUGCUAAUUGAUGCUAUUGCAGGUAUCCUCCACAUCUUGACCAGUCUUCGUUCAGAAUUGCCACAAUUUGAUAGCCAGUUCUUGAGCAGAGGAUCUGAUCCUGUUAUUGCCCAUGAUCCAUUCGCAUCGUUGAUGUGGGUUCUCUUUUGCCUUCCUUUCCCCUUUUUAUCGUGUAGGGAAUCCUUGCUUUCCCUUGUGCAUAUCUUCUACCUAGUUUCUGUGACGCAGGUAUGUAUGAGGCCUUUAAAGUUCCAAUGUUGAGUAUGUUUUACCAAAUCUAGAUUUGUAAUUUUUAAGUAUUUAUUUCAGGCUAUAAUCACAUAUUUCAUCAAGUCUCAAUGGGAGGUAGAUGGGUUGGGUUCUAGUGAUUGCUUGAUCACUGAUAUCUGCAAAAUUAUGGGAGAAUCUGGAUAUGCCCGACAGUAUUUUGUUUCAAAUUACACAGAGCCAUCUUGUAAUGUUAAGGAUACAGUACGUAACUUGACUUUCCCUUAUCUUCGGAGAUGUGCAUUACUUCUACAACUACUAAGUUCUUCUGCACGAGUGCCAAUUUUUGAUGGAGAGACUGCUUUGGAAACAUAUCUUGUGGGUAACAAUAUGAUUGACAACAUCACAGUGGAACUCAACGAAGUUGAGAAGCUCCAGAAAAUGUUUGAGAUUCCUCCAUUGGAUAUUGUUCUUAAGGAUAGAACCUCGCGGUUACUUGUUUCAAAAUGGUUUUGUCAUUUUAAUAAAGAAUUUGAAUUUCAGAGAUUUAAAAUUAUAAAGCACUGCACACCUGCAGUAGCUUUUCAAUUAAUUCGUUUACCUCAUGUCUACCAUGAUCUAUUGCAGAGGUAUGUUCGACAUCUAUUGAAUUUCUCUGUUUUUUUUGGUACCAUACUGAAAGUUUGGCUAACAAAUUUUCUGCUUGAACAGGUACAUAAAAAAGCGGUGUGCUGACUGCAAACAUGUCAUUGAUGAUCCUGCAUUAUGCCUGAUAUGUGGUAAACUGUGCUCACCAAGCUGGAAAUCAUGUUGCAGGUCUUUUUGCCUUUUAUAAAUAAUUGUACUUUCAGAUUUGACUUAGAUGGGAUGCAGUUAACAUCAUCAAAUGUUUUAUUUGUGCUUUACUGUUAGCUAUGAAGUUCUGAAAGUUAAUUAUGCUUGUCUCCAGAGAAAGUGGAUGCCAAGCUCAUGCAAAUAUCUGUGCUGCCGGCACUGGUGUAUUUUUGCUGAUUAGGGUAUGUCAAAAUGUCCUUUAAUCUUGUGUUUAGGGAUCCUUCUGUGGUACAUAUUUUUUUUCCUGCUGUGGGUUCACUAAUAAGAUAUCUUUUUCUUUUGACAGAGGACAACAAUUCUACUGCAGAGAUCUGCACGUCAGGCUCCUUGGCCAUCACCUUAUUUGGAUGCUUUUGGUGAGGAGGUAAAUCGUCAUCAACAUUUACUUUUAUUUACUUGAUUAUAUGAUUGCUUUAUGGUUCAAGGCAUGAUUGUAAACUAUGAUGGAAUGAUGAUGGAAUCUCUUUAUCAUUUCAAAUCUAGUAUUCUAUAGCAUUUUUUUUGGUCAUAUUCAUAUUCUGCCUUAAUAUUUAGUUUCCUCUCAUGCUGCAGGAUAUUGAAAUGCGUCGUGGAAAACCAUUGUAUUUGAAUGAAGAACGUUAUGCUGCCCUAUCAUAUAUGGUGAAGAAAACGAACUCUUUAUGUUUUGUUACUCUACAAUAAAAAUAUUUCCUCACCUCCUCAAGUGACCAAGUUUUCUCUGGUUUGGAAAUUUGAAAUGAAGCCUCUGUUAAGCUAUCGAACUCAACUAUUAAUCUUUAAUGGCGUAGCCAUCUAUCUAAUUCUUGUUUACUGUUGUUUAAGGAGAUAGAAGAACAAAAAGAAACAUUUAUUAUUUUUGCAUCGUAGUUCACUUUUUUAUUUGAUAGUGUUCCUUUGACUUCUCAAACAACUUAGUGAACUUGUGGAGGAAGAAAUUUUGUAGUCUUUAAUUAAAAUUAGAAUAUAAACUAUAAAUAGUUAAAGUAUAGAAUAGAUAUGCUUGAAUAUUUUUUAUUCAAUUCUUCAUUGUAGAUUAAUAUUUUUUUUCUUUCUUCUUUUUCUUAGGUUGCUUGUCAUGGCCUCGAUCGAAGUUCCAAGGUUCUAGGGCAAACUACAAUUGGGUCUAUCUUCGUGAUUUAAUCUGGAGUAUAUUUUGAGGUGAUUCCUUUGGCCACUACCACGGUUCAGAUUUUGCACUUACCUUUUAUAGUUUGUGCUUGAGUUCCUCGUCCUAGUUUGCUUAACAGAGAAGUAUUCUACACCGUGGAGGCAUUGAUAGGGAUACCGGAUACAGGUAUAGUGAAUAUGGAAACCCCCUAUAUUCCUCUUGACGUAGAAUAAAUAUAUUUGAAUAGAAUUUUAAUUAUAUAUGUAUGUAUCAUGUAUCAUGUAUAUAUGUAUAUUCGAUGAAAUCUUUUUAUUUAUUUUUCAUUCUUUUUAUCAUCAAAACAUAUUAAAAUUCCAUCACAAUGUACCUAGCCUAUCCUCUUGUCACGGUUUUCAUAUUAAAUCUAGAACGGGUUGUAAAUGAGGGAUGAAUGAGCUUUUUAAGUUCAUGUGAGAUGAGUAAGCCUUUUAACAUUCCAAUGUAAAUAAAUUCAUCCUGCUGCUCUUUCAUCCCGCCAGGUUUUGCUUCUAAAGCAGUAUUAUUCUGGAUAUGUUUUCAUGUUGUAGGUUGUGUAGUUAUUGGUUUUCAAGUGUCCGCCCUACAAGAACAAAUUCUCGUCCACAUGUCAUUUCAUAGGUGGUGAGAAAUGGCCCUUGACUUUCACAUGUUGAAGCCAGGAUCCAGUGGCCCAGAGGACAUCAAAAAAUGUUUCACCUUUCAAUGAGCAGUGUGGUUGGAAGUAGUUUUGAAGCUGACGUUUGUAAAGCGCUCUUGUAAAUAGCGAGGUCGCCCAGUAUGAUAAUUUUAGUGGCGAAGCAUUGUUUUCAAGUUGCCUUAAUUUCUGAAUCAAGGUCGGUUGUUGGCAUCUUUCCUUUCUGGGGGGUUGGUGAUUGGAGUGGUGGUCUUUUUGUACUUUGUCAAAUCUGGCAGAAUCAGUUUGGAAUCAGUUUCGUGCAAAUUAAUAUUUGGAAGGGUUGUUCUGCCUGUUUUUGUAUGUAGCUUUGAAGUUUAAACCAAUUGUUAGAAAUCAACAUAAUGAAGCGCUUCUAUUGUGCAUAGGGAAAAAGUAGAAGGGGAAACUUAAUUGUGCAUUUUUUCCAGUCCACUCAAUUUUUUAUUUGUUAAUCUUUAUUGUAAAAUAUCAACGUUCACCUCUUCUUCCUCUUUUCAACUUUUAUCAUACAUCUCCAACUUGGUGCACACGAUUUGAUUUCUUACAACAAGAUAACUCGUAAUAAGUAACAGGCUUGUGAUCCUGAUGCACGACAGGUAGUCAGAUUCAUCUCGUCUUGUUAUUAAAAUGAAAAUGACUUCGUUUAUUUCAAAGGAAUGGAUCUUGUCCAUCUUGUGAUUAAAAUCAAUGCCUUUCCACUAUCUGUAGCUAAAAAAUUCCUUUAAGAAGAUGGGGAGAAGGAAGUAUACCUACACAUGUAUUUCUACAUAUAUAUUUCCUUAAGAAGAUAGGAGAACGUUCAAUCUAUGCUAACAAAGCAACCCUGUUUUAAAUUGUCCAUUAAUAACUUGUGAUGUGAUAAAUUUUGUUUUCCUUGAUAUAUGUGCGUCAUGAAAAAGAAUCAUGCAUUGGUGCAUAGAAUGCAUCCAAGUAUUAUCUUGAAAACAAUAAUAAUAAUCCUUUUCUUUACAAGGAUUUACUUUUUUUAAGUCACAAGACACGUAACAACGGUAACAAUGCCUCCAAGAUGAUCGUUUUCAAACAUAUAUAAAUUUUUUCCCUUCAUUGAAAUGUGAGAGAUUUUACAGUUAGAAAAAUCAAAUUUUAUUUCAUAAAUAUCAGAAUUCUAAAUAUUGGAAUCUCGUCAGUGUAUAAUGAAACAUGUAUUCGUGGAUACUAAGAAGGAAAAACGUUAGGCCUAUCUGCAAUUUUAAAACAAAUAAAGUUCAAAAAAUUAUAUGUACGAAGGAUCUAAGUGAAUCAUCAUCAUUUCAACGAUUAUCGAUAGCAGUUGCUGCUUCAAGAAACACUGAAGAUAUGGACAGCAAUUUUCUCAAUAAAAACUUGUUGGAAUGGGGCAUUCCAUCGCCCAGGCUGUCAAAGAUGGAACUGUAUCAGUAAGUUUACAGAAAACAUCUCUAACAGUAUAUCUCAUAACAUUUAUAGGUAGAACGAGUAAGGUCGUUAAAAAUCAGAUGAAAUGCUUUGUUCUAGAAAAAAAAAUCUCAUAACAAACCAGUAGUGGUAAUAUAAUACACUGGUGUCAAUUAACUUAGAAUGAUGCACGGAAAGGUGUAGCGCUGAACUUGAUAAUAAUGACAUCCAAACGUUAAUAAAAACCCCUUUCCUUAUUCUGAAGGUUGAUACACAAAAAAAGAGUCUACUAGAAAAAAUUUCAUUCACAAAGCAGAAUAUUAAUGACUUAUAAAGUAUCUCCCUAAUAAAAUAUAAAAAACAAAGAGGAGUAUAUGACUAAAAGAAGCAAGAGUUUCAAGAACUUACAGUACAGCCUUUGCCAUCUUAAUGUCUUUGCCAAAGACUCCUUUAUCUGGAGGAGAUCUCAUCUGAUUCUAGUGACUUGAUAGUAUGGUUGUUCUUCUCCUUGUCAAAUGCAAACUCAAGUUGUUUUUCCACAGAUCUCGAAAUAGCUGUUCGUUUGGAUGUUAACCGGUAUGGAGGAGAUGCAUUGAAAGCCUUGCUGUUUGAUCUGGUGGGGCUGUGAUCAUUACUGGGACUAGGACUGUCACAUAAGCUUCCAUUUGGUGAACCCAAUCUGCUGUCACUAUUAUUAAGUAUUUCAUCAUGACCAGCUUCACAGGAGACGUCCUUGACUGUUUCUGAUUCUACGUCUUGCAUCUCUUUAAGAGGGAGACAAGUUUGAGUUUCAGUUUUUCUCUUGCGUAGUAUUGAGGGAGUGCUCGGGAAACUUCUAGCCGCAAUUCUUAAUAUUGACUCUGGACUGUGUAUACUCAAGUUUCUAGUCUUCACACAAGGGGGAGUGAAGAUACCAAUAGGCGAAGUGAUUGAAUUAUUAUUUGUCUCGAGCAGGUACAUGCUUAAAAGUUCUGAAUCUACUGGAAUACUAGUUUCUAAUUGGGGUGGCUCGUAGCACAAAGAACCAUACUUUGGGGAUUCAAAUCUUGAAGGUGUUCGUAGAAUUUUAUCUUCAUCAAAUUUGCCAAUAUCAUUCUCUGCUUCACCGUGAGUUAUAGUCCCAUUCUUUCGUGCUGUCCCAGAUUUCCUGCAUCUUGGAUCCAUGAUAUUUGAAGGUCCUACCCAGCGUUUGACAUGUCUAGAAUUAGCAGACUCAUUCAAAACCCCACUUGUUGAAGCAACCAUAUCUUCAUCGGGAGGUGCUGAUGACUCAAUUUGGUCCUUACAGCUUUCGUCCAAUUUGUACAAGUCUGUGUUACCUGAUGAUGUUUGGGCAGUUGAAUCCGAUCCCUUACUUGAGUAAGGAGGGAACCUUUUGGCAGGUGGAGUCUUAGUAGUGUCUCUAGCACCAUUCUGGGAACUAUUUUUUGCAACGGGUGGAAGCUUACCGGUUGCCAAAUAAAAAUCUAGCUUUUUCUUCAAGGAACUAUUCCAAUGAUUUUUUAUCGCAUUGUCCGUCCUGAAUAUAGAAGGAAUAUGCCAUAGCAUAUUAACCAUGUCAACCAGACAAAUUCCAAAAGACAUUUCUAUUUCAUAUGCAUGAUAAAGAAUAUCCAUAUUUGUGCUUGCUAUGUCAUAGCGUAACAUAUGUUUUCACAUUGUUUACCAUUCAUUCAGCUUAAUAAAAAUUCUUUAAAUACGAGACAACAUAACUAUUAUAGAGCUCCUUUUAAAUGACUACUAAGAAGACUGAAGAUCAUGAUGACAUAUCCUAAAGGAUAAAAAUGGGAGAAAACUUCAAGAAUAAAAUCUCAGUCUUCAUUACAAAUAAAAAGUUACCAAUUCAACAAGACAAAUUUUUUAUUUAUAGAGAAUUGGAAAAAAAACUAAUCCUAAUCCCAGUUAACCAAGGAAACAAAUCCUAAUCCUAAUCCUAUUCAAACAAGGAAACUGAUCCUAAUCCUCAUCAAAAAAGGAUUUGACUAAAAUACCUUCAUUUACCUAAUCCUACUACAUUAUAUCAUAUUAGUACACUUUAUGAAUUUAAUUAGAUGGGGCUGAACACACGGUUUACAUGUGCUCAUAUGUCUUGUCUCUCUAAGUGCAUUUCUAUGUCUGUUCAUCUCUUUCUUCAUAUUUCCAUUGAGGUAUUAAACUUUACAAAAACAAGAAUACUCACCUUCCAGGUAAAACCCUGGCUAUUUCAGCCCAUUUGUUCCCAUGUAACCGAUGUGCAUCCAUGAGAGCCAAUUCCUCUUCUAAUGUCCAAGCAUCCUUCUUUAUAUCUGGAUUCAAAUGAUUAUGCCACCUAGAAAUAAUAGAUCACUACUUUACAACAGAUCCAUAAAUCCACAUACCUUCAGCAUUCAGAAAGGUCAAAACAGAGAGACAGUAAUGAUAAAAAAGGCAAUUUAUCAAGCAUUAAGCAGAGGAGAAAAAAGAGCACGCAACUUUCCAGAAACUUGCAAAUUGUAUUUACGAUUAAAAAUCAAGACUUCAGCUAACAAUUAAUCAUAACAGAUUCAAGGGAGAUACCUCUCUCGGCAUUGUUUCCCUAUGCGACCAGGCAAAGACUUUGCUAUCAAAGACCAUUUGGUAGGUCCAUACUUCGAAACCAGCUCAAUAAUUUUAUCAUCUUCCUAUAAGAAAGAAAGCAAAACAAUAAAUUUUCGCUAUACAUGCAAUAGCAGAAAGCAUCCAAGGAAGAAGACACCAAAUACAAACCUCCUGAGUCCAUGGUCCCUUAACAAGAUCCGGAUUGAGAACCUUCUGCCAUCUAUGCAGACAUUGAACUUCUGAUCUAUCAUGGAAGUACUCAGCUGCACGCAAAUUUUUUCUAAUGAGGUCAAUCAACCUACCCAAGUUGUAUAAAAAAACGACGACCAGGCAACCAACUCAUCAUAGGUAAGAUCGAUAACGAUACUAAAAAACAUUCUGAAAGUUGAAUGAGAAAUAUAUAUCUGUUCAACUAAGACAAUGACCAUCUAAAUAUUUUGACUUUCAAAAACUUUCAACUGUAGCUUAUAAAACUCAAACAUGCAAAAUGCAUAGUACAGCUGGAUAAAAGUAAUGCCUUCUCUACAGUACGGAGCCACAAAUUUAAUAGAUGUAAAAAUAUUUAACAUAAUUUUUCUAUUAGUUAAAUGAACGUGUAAAAUGCUUCAAGCCUACGUUCACAGUAGAAAAUAUUUCAAUUUGUCACAUAAACAGAGAAAUCAACUGAAGCCAAAGAUUUAACUCUAUAAUCAUUUAUUCAAAAAAAAAAAAAAAGUGAGUCCCUAAGUAAAAAGAACAGAGAGAAACCUAUUUUCUUCCAAUUCUUCCCUUUGAAAGCUGCAACGGCAUUUCUCAAUGUUUCAUCCUGAAAAAGAAGUCACCAUCACAAGUCAAGAAACUGCUCCCUAUUAUAUAAAUGUUCCUAUAUGUUAAGAUUCUGCAAAUCAAAUCUUCCUUAUCUGACUCAAAAUUGAGUUUUUUUCCAAGUCUGGCAGGUCUAGAAAACAUGGUAUAUGCCAAUUACAGUCAUAACUAAGAACUAUACAACACUAGAAACUAUUAGAAGGGGUAAUCAAUGCUUACCUCUUGAGGAGUCCAGCCACCCUUAGCUCGACGAAUGGGGCCACUGGUCCUCCUGCCAAGUCAAAUUACAGCAUAAACGUCUAAGAUCUUUGAACUGAUCAUAAGCAGUGUAGAAUCGACGCAUUUGUCAAUUCCUUUAGCAGCUAACGAUAUAACUGCUUUGAAAAUAGAAUGUCCAGAAAUCAACGAAAUAAGUUUAAUAAAAUUACCUAUGAGAAGGAGAUGUCGAUGCUGGACUACACAUCCAAGGAGACUUGGCAGUUGCGCUGCCACUACCUUCAGAAACAGAGGAACUCGUAGCAGCAGUAGAUUGUUUAUUUUCAAGACAACACUCUUCUUGUUUCGCCUCUUCCAUCUACUCCUAGAACCAUCUCCAAAAUUCAAAUUCCUAAUAACAGAAUAAAUUUCACCUCAAAUUGUAACCGAAAAGCCAAACAGCAAAGCACUAAAGCAACCAAUCCCAAAAAAAAAAACCCCAACUGCUAUCAAGUUCUCGAAAACCCACUACCUAAACCGGAAAAACGAAAACCAACAAAAGAACUCAGAUCUUGAAACCCACAAUCAGAUCGAAAACAGGGGAGGAGAAUCAGAAUUGUAGGGUUUUAGAGACGAAAGAAGGGGAAAACUGAAACAAUCUUAGCCCAAUCAAGACAAGGUCGAUACGAAUACGAAAACAACAGAUGAUCAAACAGUCGACAAAAUUGAAGGAAAAUCAAGUAAAUUAGAAAAGAAAUUCGAAAUAUGUGAGAGCAAAGAAUGAUACCUACGCUGGAAAGGAAGUGGCGGGAAUCGAAGUGGAGCUGAAGGAAGCGAUGAAAUUAAGUUCAACACCGAAGGAACCACCGUUCCUUUCUUCAGAAACAAAAGAGUUCUCUUUUGGUUUCGAAAAUCGUCGCCCGUUGAAACAAAAAAGUAAGACGCGAAACAAAUAGAGAGUAAAAAUAAUAAAUGAUAAAUAAUAAAUAAAUACCAAAAUUAUUAAUUUCCCAAAUUUUGUAAUAUAUUUGUACAUAACGAAUAUAUAUCGCCACCACCACCGACGUCUCCGUUAACUACCGUUAUUGAAGGCUAAAGAGUUAAGAGUUUUUUUAAAAAUAAAAUAAUAAAAAGUGAAACCCUAUAGCUAACGGUCAAUUAACGAUUAUUAUAAAGGCGUUAAGAUAACGAGGUUUAAAAUCUUAAACGGCACUUGAGAUUUCGUGCGUUAAAGGUCGAUGUUUUUGGGGAUCGGAUUCGCGGGUGCCGAUUCGCGGGCAAUUCUUGACCGUUCGAUUGGAAAUAAAUGACUAGGAUUUUAACUGAUUAUUUGUAAACAGAUAUUGUGCGUCAAUUAAAAUAACAAAUGUUGAAAUUAAGCUGCUUAUCGAAUUUGCAAAAUUAUUCUUUUUGGAAAAUGAGAGGAAAUUUUCCAUUUACAUUCCUAAAUUUUGAAGUUAUCAAUUGAGUCUAUAAUGUGUGAAAUAUAUAGUUGUUUUAAUUAAUUUUUUAAAUAACAAUAGAGAAAUUGAUUUGGGUCCAUUUAAUAUAUUAUAGAUAAUAUUUGGUGUCUAUGCAUCAAAACAAUUCAAUAGUCCCUUUUGGAAAGAAAAAAAUAAGUUAUUUCGUAAACUUUUAAUCAAUCUUUCUAUGAAGAAAUGACUGUGUAAGAUAAAUUUUGUAACGUUUUCGUGAAUUUCUUUUAUAAAAUUUCAAAUACAAUGCAUCUUACUAGUAUUUUGACUCUAUUAUCAACCUCUGUAACUUACAUAAAAUGACAAUUACAUUAGAGUAUUUUCCUAAUAUAAGUGAGAAAAUAUAUAUAUAUAUAUAUUAGCACUUAAAAAGACAUUAAUCCUAAAUAGACUCCUAGUCCGAGUUUGAGCAUACUUGGCUUAACGAGCCAAUCAGAAAAUAAUGAACCAAAUGUGGCUAUAGUAUCUCUAUCUCAAUUUGUGAGAUCGAAAAGUUCUUGUAUGUUGAGGUGAUGAAAUAAUCUCAAACAUCCCAAAACUUUAGUCCUUGGAUGAGAAUGGAAGUUCGUCCAUCAGAAGCCUCUAACAAACAAACCCAAAUAAUUGCAGUUCAUCUAACUGUUGAAGAUUUGUUCUGCAAUCAUUUCUAACAAAUUGAUUGAGGAUGAAGAAAAUGGCAUAUUACCAACAAAAAGCAAAAAAGUUAAACCAGCUUCGGUUGUACUGCUACAAGCUUGAGUAAAUAUAUGUUAUCAUCCUGAUGGAUAUGGAACCUCAAACAUUUAUUCGAAGUCUCCUACUAAAACUUUAAUUCAUAAGUCAAAUCAAAUUACAACUUAAUCCCAGUUGUAACAGAUAAUGUAGAAAGAUACUUUAAAUUCAGAGGUGAAGGUUUCAAGAAUAAGAACACACAUACUACAAUUCCAAAGGUGAAAGAACUGAAGGUCUCAAGAAUAUGGAAGAAACAUACUAAAAUCCGAACUGAAGGUCUCAAGAAUAUGUCCAGAGUGGCCUCAUGCAACGUUAAUCUGAGGUAGCGGCUCCUUGGUUGAGCUCAGCAAAUCUCAUUCCAACGCGCAUUGAGUGCUUCAAGAACUUCUCGGCACACCUACGUACACAUGUUUCCUCUUGCUUGGUCAAGGAUUUUCGCUGGAAGUUAUCGAUACAAUCUGUGAAGCAUCUCUCAACCAAUGAGUUGUACAUUCUCAGACUGCAAGUUAUUAGAAGGCAAACGGUUAUGACCAUGAAUGUGUUCUUAUAUUUUUGUGGCGAAAACUUUCUUCCUGUCACAUGCAGUAAUUUACAACACUGGGACCAGAUUAGAAUAGAAUCGUAGAAAUAACACAAAUCACGCAUUGGAUACUUGCAUAAAUUAAGGAGAAGCAAAAGAGCUCCAAACUGCUGUAUAAUAAACUUUUGAAGACUUCUUUCAAUAUAAAUUACAUAUGGGCACCUUAGUUCAACUUAGAAAAAUACAUUGUCAUUCAUCACUCAUUAAUCAAGAUCACUCCAAGAACACCAUUAGUUCUCUUAUUUGGAGUAUAUUAAUAUUGAGGAUCCCAUAUUGAAAAAAUGGGAGACCUCAAAAUGAUAAAAAAAAAACAUACAUGGUCUACUCUUCCACAUUGAAAAAAAUGGUUUUAGAAUGAAACCUUGUGUUUAUCGAAUAUGGUAUCAAAGCUCAAGAAGUCCAAAUUGAUAUAUGAAUUUUUUUUAAAAAUGAAACUCGACCCAAAAGUGGUAAGCCCAAACAGACGCCAUCUUGAGGGGUAUAUUGGGAUCACACAUUGGAAAGAUAAAAGAAAGAGACUUCGUAGUUUUUUAAAGACACGAUGUACUCCUUGUAUUGUCAAUUGAUUUUGAGAUUCACCAUCAUGUUUAUCUAAUAAUUUAGGAGCAAAUAAUAGUUCCAAUGAGAUAUUUCUAUGAUCAGCUCUGAACAACUAAACUUGUCCCGGAAAAUCCUAAAGGAGCAGCUCACUUGGGGUGCUGUGAGGUACGAACCCCCUGAGUUCCUAUGGCCAGGGUUGGUCACUGAAUAGACUACCGUCAGUAGAGGAUACAACGAUCAUUCAAAAAAGAAAUCAAUAAGCAAUACUAUCAUAAUGUGACUUUUCUCAAAAAUAAAUACAUAUAUGUCCAUGAGCAUUUAAAUCACCUAACUACAUUUGGCUGCUAACGUAAUUCACAGAAUAUUAAACACUUUAUUAACCACUGUAAUUUGAACCCAUCCCCUUAUUGACCAAUAAGUCAAACCAGAACGGUUAUCUAAAGGUGGUGGUGUAAAACUUCAGCAGAAGUAUAAUAAAUUAUACCCUAAAAGACAUGCCCAAAAAAACAAAACAAAAAACCAUAAGCAGCAUACAGUAAAUAGGCUCCCAAAUUUAAGUAGCUUGAUCUUUCUCAGAGCAUGUCACGUAAUGACGUUGAAGCUGCGGUACCGCGCCAUAAGCUCUUAUCCUGGUCACACCAUAAUCACAAACCCCACAGAACCAAAAUUCCAAAUUGCUACCCCCAAAUUGACCUGUAUCUAGAAAAUUUCCAAUCCUUCCACUAUUCAUUCAAAGAUGCACAAGCGCAUUCCAAAAAUCUCCAAUCAGGUAAAUAUCAAUUUUCGCGCAAUUCAAAACGCUCCCAGGUAGUAAUAAUAUUUAAAUCAAUUGAAGGAUAAAAAUUCCAGAAACAACUUUCAACCACGCCACAACAUGUACAGAUAGAAAUAACAUACAUAAAUACCAAAAAGAAAGAUCAAACAAAUUAGUUCAUUUUCAAAACUCAAAAGAUUUUAGAAAAGUAAAUAGAACCUGUCUCGGAUCUGAAGCUGGUCGAUCAUGGUGGCCAUUUUGAUCUUGUCUUCUUCAGGAAGCCCAUCCAAAUCAGCAAGCAUGUUCUUGUCCAUCUUGAAUUCCAAUAAAAGCAAAGGGUUUAGGGUUUAACUUCUCUGGUUUCUUCUUUUGUAUCGCCGCCUAUAAUAGCUAACAAAUUAGAACAGUAGGUUGAAGAAACUGAAUUUGUGGUUUUCUUGCUAAAUGGUCCUUCAAUGUUUCAAUAUUUCCGAACUUGUCUCCCAUUUAUAAUACAUUUAAAUGUAAAUUAAAUACAUUUUAAUAUCUAAAUUUUAUCAAAUCAUAAUUACUUCGAAUACACACUAUUUUAAGGAUAAAAUAUUUUUUAUUUUAAAAAACAUUAGUUUGAUUUAAAUAUUUUAGUUUAUUAUAUAUAUAUAUAGGAUGUUUGAAGUAAGUAAGUUAUUAUAUUCUUAAGUUAUAAUAGUCUGUAUUUAAGAUGUAGAUAGUUCGUAGUUAUAAUAGUAUAUGUUGAUGUGUAAACUAUUUUAGUUUGAUAAGAGAAUGGUAAACUUGGUAAUAGAUGAUAAAAAAAUAAUAAUGUUAAAUAGUGAAAACGAUAAAACAUUAAGAGUUUUAAAAUAAUAUUUAUCAUAUCUAAUUGAAAACUUACUCAUAAGAUGAUUAUUUAGAUAAUAUUUGCCGUUAUAAAUUUCUACAUGGUCUAUCACAAUCUACCUAAGCUUUUUAAAACAUAUCUAAUUAUCAACAUCUCAUUUGCAAUUAGGAUAAUUGCAAUAGAUUAUCAUUUGAAAAAUAAUAAUUAAGGAUAUAGCAACGUUUAAAAAAAUUGUAAAUAUAGCAAAACUAUCGCUGAUAAACUUGUAUCACUGAUAGACUCGUAUGAUCUAUCAGUGAUAAAUCAAUUUUUACAACAUAUUUUGAUAAAUUUUUGCUAUAUUUACAAUUAUUUUAAAAUGUUGAUAUAUAUUUAAUUACUUUGAAUUUAAUUGCUAAAUUUGUAACUAUGUGCUGAUGUUUUUUUGUUGGGCUGAUUUUUAGGCCCUGGGCUCAACAGGCCCAACUCACGAGGGCCAUGAAGCCUGGCCCAAGGAUCAUUCAAACGAAGGUUUCGACUCAGAUUCAAAUGGUGAAAAGUUUUGAAAUGAAAAAAAUGGGAAAAUAAAAAGUAAAGUUCAAAUUAAGAAGCGGAACUCUGCCACCAACGGUCUUGAUUUUCAAAAUUACAUCUCUCCUUCCUCUCUUCCUCUCUUCCUCUCUUCCCUUCACUUGAUCUCUCGCCACUGCUUACGCGAACAAUCUUCCACAUUUCAAUGGCUUCCGAAAUUCUUGCACCUGCUGCAUCAACAAAUCACUCUGCAAUCUCAAAGGUCAGAGUGGUCGCAAGGGUUCGUCCAUUUCUCCCCUUAGAAGGUUCAGUAAAAAGUUAUAGGGUUCCAGUUUCAUGCAUUUCUGUCUUGGAUCAAGCCCAAAUCUCCCAAGAGGAGGUCACCGUUCAUCUAAAAGAUCCGGAAACCAGGUACUUAUUUUUUGUGUCUGUUUUAACUGCUGUAGAAGAAUCGUCUGAUUCAUUGGAUUGAUUGUUGUUUGUGAAUUUUCUGAGUGUAGUCGAAACGAGUGCUAUCAAUUGGACUCGUUUUAUGGCCAAGAAGAUCAUACGGUGAGGCAGAUAUUCGAUAAAGAAGUUAAUCCUUUGAUUCCUGGACUCUUCCAUGGAUGCAACGGAACUGUGUUUGCUUAUGGGGCUACUGGCAGUGGAAAGACUUACACAAUGCAGGUUAUGUUUAAUUAGCGGAGGAUUUGUUCUAUUCAGCUGAAUUAACUUAAACUCGACAGAAGAAUUUGGUUAUUAUUCACGAAAGCUUGAUCUUUCCCGAUUGAUAUAAAACAUUAAAGGAAAUGGAAUGAUUAGCACUCUGAACUGUGUUGAAUUUGGUUGAGGAUGCAGGGUACUGAAGAGGAACCAGGUCUCAUGCCGCUAGCCAUGUCUAGAAUUUUAUCACUUUGUGAGGAAACUGGGUGUAGAGCAGAGAUUUCAUACUAUGAAGUUUAUUUGGAAAGGUGUCACGAUCUUCUGGAGCCCAAAGCUAAAGAAAUUGUAAUUCUGGAUGAUAAAGAAGGACAAAUUCAUCUUAGGGGAUUGUCUAAGGUUGCUGUAAAUUCCAUGUCUGAAUUCCGGGAGACAUUGGCUAUAGGAUUUCAGAGGCGGAAAGUUGCUGAUACUGAUCUUAACGAUGUUUCGAGUAGAAGUCAUGGGGUUCUUGUAAUUGCAGUUUCAUCGCCGGUUUGUGCUGAUUCUGGGGCUUCUGUCACAGGGAAGCUCAAUCUCAUAGACUUGGCAGGUAUUUUCCUUAAGUUUCAUGGAAACCGAGCCCUAACCAUCAAAUAAUUUUAAAAGUUACAUGAUAGAAAGGGAGAUUUAUGCACCCCUCAAGAAUUCAUGUUAUCUGGAUAGUUGUUAUUGUUGCUACUUCGGUUAAUAUCUAUAUGUUCAUUACCAUCCAUGGCAGGUAAUGAAGAUAACAGGAGGACUGGCAAUGAAGGGAUUCGCCUUCAAGAGAGUGCGAAAAUCAACCAGUCUUUAUUUGCACUUUCCAAUGUGAUAUAUGCAUUAAACAAAAACCUUGCUCGAAUUCCUUACAGAGAAAGCAAAUUGACCCGCAUAUUGCAGGAUUCGCUUGGUGGAACAAGCCGUGCUUUGAUGAUAGCUUGCCUGGUAAAGUGAUGCUGAUUAAAUAUCUACUGUAAUCUAAAACCACAUUCGCUCAAAUUUUCUUCUUUUUUGAUAACAGAAUCCCGGCGCAUAUCAGGAGGCUGUGCAUACAGUCAGCUUGGCAGCUCGAUCGCGUCAAAUUUCAAAUUUUGUUUUGCCGGUCCAUAAACACGGAACUCCACAGGCUAAAGUUGACAUGCAAUCGAAGCUGCAAACUUGGCUUGAGUCAAAAGGCAAGACCAAGAGUGCACAAAGAAUUGGAGGGUUUGGUUCUCCAUUUUCUAGUAAAACUCCUUGUUCUACUGCUUCAAAAUUGAGAAAACCUCUCUUCAACAGUUCUGCCAAAGUUAAGAAAACUGCUGACCAGAGUGCUUGGAAACAAGAAAAAGAAAGGUUUGGCAACAAUAUGGCCUGGAUUUAUCGACUUUUAAUACCCUCUGCUAACGUCUUUUGACUAUAAUGCAUUGAUGAUGUUCAGGAGUGUAACCGUGGCUUUCGGAAACUUGGUUGAAAAGGAAGAUGUAGUUAAUUCUAUCACAACCAAAGAUCACGGUAUUUUUCUAUUGCAGCUCUGUUCUCUAGUUCACUCAAAACUUGUUCAUUUCUGCCACCUUGUGUUUUGGAUAUGAUUGAAUCUUCAUCUUUAGAUGCAGUAGUCAAGGUGAAAUUUAAUAGUCCAAGAAAGGCUCUAUCACCACUCCACAAUAACGGAAUCCAAAAGCCUAUGCUGGAAGUUUCGCUUACUGACCAUUUACUAACAGCAAAUACUCCAAAAACACCGCUCCCUGCAAAUGGAGAACUCAAAUCUUUUGGGACCCCACUGGAUAAGUUUGGUGCCCAAGUAUCAACCCUGAAGGUACUCACAAGGCCUAUUUAAAUAUUCGUUAUCUUACUUCUUCAUUCAGUUUGGAUUCCAAUAAUUCUGGUUUUUCUUGUCAUUUUAAUCAAUCAGAGUUGCGUUGCACAAGAAUAUGUGGAUUUCUUGAAUACAGCAAGCAGGUAGCUCUAUAAUCAUUUACUAUAUUUAUCAUUUCAGCACAAAUCCACAUAUGUGGGUUUAUCCUUUCAGUCCCAAACUGUUCAGUUUGAAAUAGUGAGAAGUUCAAGUACUUAUUCAUUGGCUUUCUUUGUUUUGCAGAGAGGAACUAGUAGAAUUGAAGGUACUAUCAGUUGGACUUUAGACCACAACUGGGAUUUUCUUUUAAUGAAAAAAGUAAACCUCUUCUGUUUUGUGUUCUGACUCUCUGUUCCCUUUGAAUCUCCAGGGCAUCGGAGUGAAAAUGGCUGAGUACAUUCUUGAUCUCAGAGAAACUAGUCCAUUGAAAUCGGUAGGAUGAAAUCUUUAAUUUUUUCAUAAUUAUGCAUGAGGGACAUUCUUCGGCAGUUUUUAGCUCUCAAAUUCCAGAUAAUUUUAUUCCACAGAUAUUUUUGCGUAAAUUACUUUGCUAUGUUAAAAUCCCUAGUGUGAACAAGAGAUUAUUCAAUAAGCUCACCACACCAUGGUCACCUCAUAAUAACCAUUGGAUGUUGAUUCACCUCAAAUCUAAAUACGAGAUAUUUCUCUCUUAUACGUUGAUCAGUGAAAAUCUGUAAUCCACGUUGUGGGAGUUUCAUCUAAUUAUUUUUCUUAGUGAACAACCAUGGUCCCCAAAAUCCAUUAAUUUGUAUCAUCCUCACUUGGGACCUAACUUUAUGCCUUUUUUCUCAUAGUCCAAUCCGUGCUCUAAAAGUCGUCAUUUUAGUGUCUAGGAAUGUGCCAAGAGCUCUCAUUUUCCUUUAACUUUGACAAAUACAGUUCAAUCCCACACACAUGCUUUUGUUCAUUUCUGAUAAUCACUUAGCAUCUAUAAAACAUCACAAAUAAAGUUAAUGGAAAAAUGAAAUACAAGAAAACAACAGUACACAACUUUUUUUCCUGAAUACUUUCUAAUUGGGUGUCAAAAUGAUGAGCUUUUCUUACCUUUUUCUUUGUUCUGUGUUUAGCUCACUGACUUGAAGAAACUAGGACUCUCAUACAAGCAGGUAAUGCUUCAGUAAAACAUAAUAACACUACCAUUUUAUUUAUUUCUUUUUCACUUUAGAAAAACCAAUCCACUGGAUGUAAGUAUGAGUUUGUUUCUUUCUGUUCUUACAGAUUCACAACUUAUUCAGCAAAGCUGCAAGAGGGAUGUUUGAUAGAACAGAAGAUUUACCAGAAACAACAUUAUCCACCAAUGAUGAAGAAAGAAGAUGUAAUAAUGUAUUGGGAAGCGUGCCAUAGCAACAUCCUCCAAGUUGCUGUAUGUUUAAUAUUUGUACUGAGUAGAGAAAAUUGUCUAUGUGUGAUUUAGGAUUGCCGACUGCCGUGAUGGGCUUCCUUGAUGUUCUAAGCCCCGUCUCUCUGUAUUAUUUAAUAUCCAUUUGUAACUAAUGUGAACUUAUGGCUGAUCAAUUUAAUUCAUGCUGAAAGUUGUUUCCAUGUACGUAUUAGAAAUAUUUGGAUUUUUUCUAUUAGAAAUACUUUCAUCAUUAGCAACAGAAUUAGGUUGCGGGUUUAGAAAGUAAAUUGAAUUACCUUCUAAAUUUCAUAAUAAACAAUAGAAGUACAACUAGGAAUUGGAAGUGGAAGGUUAUAGAACCACAUUAAUUUCUGUAAUGACAAACUUUGAAUCCAAUAUUCUAAUUCAUUUUAUUAUAUUUUAAAAUAAUUCAACGAAAAUCAGUGGAAAAAAAAGAUAGUUCAAAUUAAUUACGUAAUAAAGUAGUGGACUUUCAAAUCUUGUUCGUUUUUGUUGCGACUAUAUGCGUUGAAGUAAAUAUAAGUUUGCAAAGAAUGUGAUAUUUUCCACAACACAUUCAACCAGAAUCAGCGGUAUGUCUUACAAAUCAAAAAUAGUUUUCUCAUAGCUUUCUCUCCGUUGUGUUUGAUCUUAAUGUGGAAAGAUUCUAAGAAUGAUGAUCAGAAAAGUUAAUCCGAUUCCGAGAUCAAUGAUCGGAAAAAACUGUCCGUUGAUUCUGUGAAAACGCUACACCGCGCACUUGGCAAAAUUCUUUGUUGGAUUUCAGUUCUAAGGUUAAGAUUCAGAUUUCAAACUCCGAUUAAGUUUAGUGAAAUUGUUUAAACUAUAUACUGGGAUGAUAUUUUGAUUAUAUUUAAAAACGUCCAUUUAAAGAAAAAGGAUGAGAAGAAAAAAUUGAUCUCUAUAUACACCGACUCAGUGUUUGGUAACGAUAAGUUUAACAAAAACGGAGAAAUACUUCAAAUCUUCAAUAAAGAAACAACGAUGUGCUAACCAAAUCCUUAAAAGCAAGAGGACAAAACUAGACAGAAAAAAUUGAUCAAUUUUCAAAACUAUUAACCAUUAAAAAGUUCGGCCAUCAGAGGAAAGAUUCUACAAGGACACGCAAAUACGCAUUUAAUUUUUUGGAUGGAUAUACAUCGAUUUAGAACGAAUGGUGCUGCUUAACUAUUCAAUCGUCCCCACCACCGAAAAUGUGAGAAUUCUGUUCUUCAUUUCCAAAUAUUAAAAUUCAGGAUAAUGAUUGAGAUCGAGAUUUGGAGAUAUUUAUCACGUCAAGAUUUUUCAUCAUUUUCAACCAUAGAUUAGAUAUUGAUGAUGAAAGAAACUCUGUAAUCUCUCAAAUUAGCACGUACUAUUUCUUAAAUUUCUUACAGAGAGAGAAGCAAAUACUAAACAGACAUGGAUGAACACAGGAAUCUUCAGCUAAAAAGAUCACUGACUGAACCUUUAUAACAACAGCAUAUAAAGUUUUUCCACAACUCCAUGACUGCUAUUAUUCAAAAGGAACGCUACAAUCGACACUUAAAAAGACGCAACACAACGGAGAACGAAAGCGCUUGGAGAUUUUAUAAUUGUUAUUAAGAUGGAUGCAUACUAUUAGUACUCGAACAUAAUCUCCACCUGAGACGGUUCGAGCUGCUCUUGAUGCUGCUGCUGCUCAUUUACAGGUGCAUGGAUCGCAGGUGCAGUUGUCACCGCACUUGCAGCCGUUCUCGGCUCCCAUCUCUGCUACCUCGUAGGACCUGGUAUCGAAAACGCCGAUAUUGUUAAAUAAAAUCAUCACUAAAUACCGAAACCUCUCUUGAAAAAUUAGGCUUGAUUGCAGAAACUUACAUCUUCUGAGGAGCGAAACCGACUACGAAAGUCUCGAUCGUAGCAGAGGUCUCUGAGAAGCUCAAGUCAGGGAAACUCUUGCAUCUGCAUGACAAAAUAUCAAAACAUCAGAAUCAUCGCGAUUAUCCUCGGGUGAAAUGAACACCGUAGUCAUUUUCAGAAACUUCACAAGAAAAUCCGCCUUGAUCGUACGAAUGAAGAUAAUCGGCAAGUGAUCGGAUCGCCGUCGAACGAGGGACAAAGAUAUGUAGAAGAUUAAGAAAUCGAAAGCGAUGUAAAAGAAAACAGAAGAUCAGAUUCUCGAGAGAUCAUGCUCUCCACAAAAUCAUACGCGAACUAAAAGCAAUUUCACUCGAUCAAACUCAAAAGAGUUAAUUGGCGAGAGGUUACUCACCCUCCACAGCCAUUUCCGCACUUGCAGCCAGAGCCGCAUCCACAGUUUCCGCCACAGCAAGACAUUUUGGACGAUGAACAACAAAGAACAGAGAGAAUUGGAAGUUUGUUAGGUAAUCAAAGUAUAACUUAUCGCGAUUGAACGAGCUUGCAAGAAGAAAUGGUGAUGAGUCCUAUUAUAUAGAGACGGGGUGGAGAGAAGGAAUGCAUCCACCGUCCACGUGUCGAAAUCGUAGAGGAAGGGAAAUUUUCGUGUAUAGUCCCGAAGCUGCGGCUUUUCUCUUCCACGUAUCUCUCGUGUUAAUCACUCGUAUGGUUUUCAGUUGUAUGGGGCUUCUGUGGGGUCCGCAAUAGACGGUCGAACGACGUUCAUACGUACAUCCAUCUAUUCAAGAUCAAUCAACGGUGGGCGUUUAACUGAAAGAUUCUUCCCUUUUUUAAAAAAAAAUAUUUCAAUAUUCUAAAAUCUCUAAAUUAGGGAUAGUUAGGGUAAUUGUAAUGCUAGUUAUGGUAAUUGUAAGGGAUAGUUGCAAAUUUAACAAUUAAAUUCAAAUUAAUUAAGUAUGUAGCACAAUUUUAAAAAAAUUGUGUAAAUAUAGCAAAAUUUGUCAAAUAUUUACCUAUCACUGAUAUACCAUAUGAAGUCUAUCAUCGAUAGUUUUGCUAUAUUUGCAAUUUUUUUAAAAUGUUGAUGUAUUCUUAAUUAUUAUUGCUAAAAUAGUCCUCUAUUGUAAUUUUUCUAAUUGUGAUGGUUAGUCAUUUGAGCUAGUAAUAAUUAAGGAUAUAGUAAUCUUUAUAAAAAAAUUGUAAAUAUAACAAAACUAUCACUUGUAUCAUUGAUAGACUUGAUCUAUCGGUAAUUGACCAAUAUUUACAACAUGAUCUAUCGCUUGUAUGAUAGACUUCUCUUCUUGAUAUAAUUUGACAAAUUUUUCUAUAUUUGGAAAUUUUUUAAAAUAUUGUUAUAUACCUAAUUAUUUUUAAUCUAAUUACUAAAUUUACAACUAUCUCUUAGUUUAAAACAUGAAUUUGGUUGGUUUGAAAGUUUUGGUUUUUUUUGUUCGAUUGGGUCUCAAGUUAGGGGUUGAAAUUUUUUUGUUUAGCUCAACCCAAUCCAAAUCAGUAAUAUAUUUAUUUGUAUUAUAUAUUAUAUUUUUUUUUAUUUAACAAAAGUAAUGUUAUAAGUAUUUUGUUAAACGAUCACAUGAAAAGUUAUCUGAUCCGUAGAAACUAAACAAUCAUUUGAAUAUAGAAAAUUAAACGAUCGUGACAGAAGAAAAUGAAGAAAAAAAACAAUACAAUCUGACAAUCCAACUCACAUUUUACUGCUUGAGUUGUGGAAUUAAUUUGGUUUAUUCGGGUUGUUAACUGAAUUAACUAAAAAAUAUGAAUUGGGUUGAGAAUGUCUGUCAAUCCAUUUAUACCCCUACUGUAGAUUUAGUAUUGUUUAAAAAAAAAUCAUAUUUACUUUGUAAAUUUAGAAAAUUAUUUAUAAUAUAUAUAGCAAAAUUCAUCCAACUCAUUAAUUUUUAAAAAAUAUAAUUAUUAACCUCUUGUUAUUGUAUAAAAGUUAUUAUUAAACAAACUCAAUAAAAAUACAACUUCCAUAAACUAUAUUUAAAAUUUGUUCGAGAGUAUUUUUCUAAAAAAUAUAUAUCUAUAUUGAAAGUAUACAUAGACUUUUAAGAAUAAGAAUGGUUAAGAGUGUAGACAUUCUAAAUAAAUUAUUGAAAAUGACAAAAAAUGCUUUAUAAAUUUUGUAAAUUAUAUUAAUGACGAGUGAUAUACAUUGACAUAUAAUGUAUCAUAUAUAUAAUUUGAAAAUAUUUUUAUUAUGUUUUGAAAAUAAUUUAAUUCAUUUUGUUAUAUUUAAAAUUAUUCUCAUGGAUAGUUAUGUCAAUUUUAAAUUUAAGUUAAAUUUAACACAAGCGAGAGUAUGAAUAAGGAGAUCUAUCAACUCAUAGUAUACAUGCUAGUUGAAACUAUUUAAACCAUUUUUAAAGAGCAAACAAUGUCGUUAUUGAAAUUAUGUUAUCAAAUAAAAAAUAAACUAAACACAUCUGUACAUUAAAAGUAAUUACAGUUUUAUGAAUAAUAAUUAAGUAUAUAGUAACAUUUUAAAGAAAAUUGCAAAUAUAGAAAAAUAUAUCGGUGAUAGAUAGACUUUUAACUUAUAGACCAAUAUUUGCAACAUGAUCUAUCAGUGAUACAUUUCUAUCAUUAAUAGACUUUGACAGGUUUUGUUAUAUUUACACUUUUUUUAAAAUAUUGUUAUAUACUUGAUUAUUUUAAACAUAAUUGCUAUAUUUGCAACUAUCUCGAACAUUAAAUAAGUCAAAUAGAGUUUUUUUGUUUUCUUAUCAAAACAAAAAUGUUGUUUUCAAAACAUUGAAAAAAAAUGUUGUAUUUAUUAUAAGUACUUGCUUGAGAUUUUAGCCUCAUUAUGUUUUUUCAUUAUUACUCCUUUAAGAGAGAAACAACAUCAAAAUCAAAGUAACAAACAAAAAGUCCAAACUACCCUUUUCUUUGACCACUUAGGAAAGAGAUACUAAAAAAGGUAAGCAUUGUGAUUGUUGUCAAUUGUACAUUUACUCAUCUCUUUCUCCUAGUACCUUGUUUCAAAAAAUAAAUCUCAACAAACAAUAUAUAUACACAUAUAUAUAUAUAUAUUAAACUACAAAAUCAUGUAUGUUGAUUGCAUACAACAUUGAACAAUGAAAUUUGUAAGAGAACCAAAUCCACCGACUAAGUAAUCGAGUCACGACCAUACCAUUUUAUUUUACAGGAGCAAGACAUAAACCAAUUAAUUUUCAAAAUGGUUCAACUUUUUCGAUAAUUUUUAUAAGAUUUAAUUUAAAACUAAUUACUACCUACCAACGGAUCGAUAGACAUCAAAUCUUAAAAUAUAGCAACAUCAAUGUUGAGUUUUAAAGUAGUGAAAGAAGAUAAAGUUUAGUUAUUGUUGAACGUCUUCAAUUAUUGUCUAAAUUUGAGACACCCUCCUAAAAACUCAAAUUGGAUUAAACUAAAAUGAUCGUUGUUGAAGAAAAUGUUCAAUUAAGGAAGUAUGUCUUAUGGAUUGAACCGUUCCGUCACCUACGUUUAUAAAUUAACAAAAAAAAAAUCCUAGAAAAUUGAUGGCAAGUUACAUUAUAUUUUAAAUAAACCUGUCAAACUAUAUUCUAUUUUCUAAUAUUCUUUUUUUAAAAAUCAUUAAGAAGGAUAAUAUUUUUUCCAAACAAAUCUAACAAUGAAAGAGGUAGUACACAAAUGUGUCCAAUUAUUAAGUUGUAGUACACUCGAGCAUCAUAUAGUAAAUAUAGUACACUCAUGAGUCUAUGAGAUGCACUACUUAUUCUUAGAAUCUUUUUUGCAAUGAUUUUUUUUUUGUUGUUGUUGGUGAUGUUAAAUAUCAUCAACUACUACUAUUUUACUCAAAUCAAACCAUUUUGAUAAACUUUUAUAUAAUUUUGAACUUCCUUCUAAACCAUAUGAAUUCAUUUGAAUCAAUAACUAAAUUACUUUUAUCAAGAUACAAAACUAUUAUGAACUAAAAGGUUUGUGCUUUUAAAAUUUCACUACUUUUAAUUGUAGUAACAAGCUAUAGAACUUAUUAUUGGUGUUAAUCGUCUUUUAUCUUUGUGACUAAUUGAUAACUUUUGUGUGUAAACUUCUCAUUUCAAAAUCUAUAAUGCAAAUACAUCAAGCUAAAAUAAUUAUUCAUGCAAUAAAAUAAAAUUAUGGUUACUUUAAAAGUUAGGAAUGAAUGUGAUAUACCAAAAUAUUAAGUUGAUCGAUCAAAAAAUGAGAGGGAUUGAUCAAGAUCAAUUUUAAAAAGUUUCAAAUCAAUUUGAAUGGGUUGGAUGACAAUUUUAGAAAACUAAUUUGGAGGCACCCAUGGACGCCAUAGUUUGUAAAAUUGGAUUAAAGGUAGAAAUGGAGAAUAUGGAGGGGGGAUUUGUUUAGGGAAAAGGAUGGCACAUGGGUCAUUCAUUGUGCGGGGGACCCAUGAAAUUCACUAUUUUUUAUUGUUUGUUGAUUUAAAUUUGUAAAACAGAGAUAGGGUCCCACGUGAUAAAAAAUAGAGAGUAAAGUAAUGGGCCCAGACGGAAUUGUGUCCAUUUGCGGUGGAUGUCCAAAGUCGGAACGCCGUGGCCCAAAAGUUCCCCUCAUUCCUAUUUCCUACCUCUGCCCUUCUCUUUCGUCUUCACGAAUCUACUUUUCCCUCUUUCUCCAAUAUUCUUCAUUUUAAUCCCUUCCAUUCUUUUAUUUAUUGUAAUUACACCUUCAAUUCCUAAAUUUAAAAGCCAAAUUGGAAGAAAAGAUAAAUAAAAAACCUAAGGUUAGUCAAACGUAAAUUUGAUAAUUUUUUAAUUAACAAUUGAAUCAUUAUUUAGCCAUUUUAAGUGAUGGGAAAAGCUUGCUUUUAUAUAUUUCAUUCCCUUUUGUUUGUUAUGUCUAUUUUUUAAAGAGACGGGAGAAUCAUGAUUGUUUUAAUGGAGUUGAAGAAUAUAUAUUAUCGUAUAAUUUGAUUUUUAGAUUUGGAAUAGUUGUAUUUAUUAAAGAAUUUAGAUUCAUUGUCUUUUAAUUUCACGUAAGCAUACAGUGUCAAGUUGAUUUAUAAAUAUUAAUAUUUUUGUAAUUAUCAAAUUAGAUAUAAAUCAUUUUACGUAUAGAACGAAAAUUCAUUUAUUUAGUAUGUAAUUGACAUGUUACUGGACUACGUGGAGUGGAUUGCAAAGUUUAAGAAAAUGACUAAAUUGACCCAUUUAAAAGAUAGGUCAAAAUGAACCAAUUAUUCAAACUUAUAGGGACAAAAGGGUUAUUUUUCAAAACCUAUCUAGAAAAAAUACAAAUGAUAAUGUGAUGAAAUUCACUGGUUGCAAAUAAAGCUAGCCAUUUCAAAUAAAUAACUUGAUGAUCUAGUUCAAUAUAGUGUUAAUUUGGCAUUUUGUUUUGAAAAUGUUAUAAUUAAAUUUAUUAUAGUUUAGGGCUUAGCUUAGGUUCUAAAUUAGUGGAUUUGGUUCCUCGGUGUAUGUAAGAUUAGAGGUUUUCGAAAAUCAUAUAUUAGCAAAAUACAAAUAAUUUGUUUUUUAAACAGAUCUAUAAAUUGUUACUUAUUGACUAAAAAUUAUACCAACUUAUUUAUUGCUACGAUUAACUAAAAGUGGUAUCCCAUAAUUAAUAUUAAGACAAUAAUUAAUGGUUUAAUUUGUUCUUAACACAACGAGUCGAUAUGUCCGAGUGGUUAAGGAGACAGACUUGAAAUCUGUUGGGCUUCGCCCGCGCAGGUUCGAACCCUGCUGUCGACGGUUUUUUAUUUUCUUGUUCUAGAACAUAACAUAUACAUAAAAAAUUCGCUGUAUUUUUUAAAAUUAAUUAAUUGACAAACGAGCAAAUCAAUCUUUAGAAGGAAAUCUAUUUAGGAUGGAUGAUCUUCCAACAACAAUGACGUUAUAUGAUGUAUUUGAACAUUGAUAACAAGUUGAUUUUGUGAUUAAUUUAUUAUAAACUAUAAUAUGAGUCAACGACAUACUAAAUCUCAUUGCAACAACUUGAAAAUUCAUUAAAAAAGCAUAUAAUCAAUAUCGGUCUAAGGGCAUUAGUAUCAACCUCAACGGUGUUAGAGUUGGCUUCACAAGAGGGUCAUAGCCCCUCAUCAGCUUCAACAUAGUCGAUGAAAGAUUGGUUAUUUUCUAAAGCUAACAAGGGUUUUCGCUUUUGGAAUUGCAGUUUCAACUCCAAGAUUCACACCAUUGCUUAUUAUUAAUGCAUCUUAAUUUACUUUGAAGAAGCCUCGAACGGGGAGCAAUUUGUCAUCAACAAGUGUAGCAUUAUGACAAAAAGGUUGUUCUACUAUCAAAAGAUUCAAUCACGAAAAGCACCAACAUAUUGGAUCCGAAACAACGGCCCAUAUACUGGGCUCGUGGGCUUAUCUUCGUUCACAGACGGCUGACCCAAUAAUCUUGCAGGCCCAUCCACGUGAAUAGUGGCUUCCGUCUCGUCUUCACCAUCCAACGAUGCCGUUUUGGCAGCGUAUGCAUAAUUCAAAUUGUUAAGUGCCCGCUAUUUUAUUUCCGGGAGGGCGGUCGCUUCAGAUUGCUCAGAUGGAGCCGGAGAUGGCGAAUGAGCCUUCUCCGAUGGUUUCAGCUUCUUGACUUCUGUAUGUACGUUUUCUUCUUCUUCUUCUUCUUCUUGAAUAAGUGAAGUUCUUAUUAAAGUCGCAGUUCCGAAGUUCAAGCUUUCCCUACAAUGGCGUCUCCAGUCACGUACUCUGCAAUCGACGACAAAGAUUUCGACGAUGCAGCUUUGUGGGCUGUAAUUGACUCUGCUGCUGCAGCUGCAGCUUCUUCCUCCUCGUCCUCUAAACCUCGCAAGUCUCUAGCACUUAAUUGCAUCAAUAAAUCAAACCCUUCUCCGCCGCCAAAAUUCCCGAAAAGCCCUAAAACUCCAUAUCAGGCGCAGCGGAAUUCUAGGGUUUUUAUCGAGGGUGAAGUUGUGCAUGAACCAUGGGUGUUUCAACCUCCUCGGAAAAUUGCAAAGACACGUGCAUCGGAAGUGAGCGAUAGCAGUCCUCUUGCGGUUGUCUGUAACAACGCGUUACGGACUCCGCCUGCUCCGGUAUAUUUGUCUCCUGAAGCGUACUUGUCGCCGCAGAUCGGUUCUGGUUCUGAAGGUUCUCCAGGUUGUAGUAGAAGUGGGGUGAACGCGGAAAGGGAAAUGUCGAGGCAUUGCCUAUCUGGGCAGUUUCCUUCAGUCUCCCUCUUUAAGGAGUAUCAAAAUGCGGCAAUGGCGGUAUUUUCUAAUUCCGUUUAGUUAUGCCUUUAGUUUUCGUUUUCACAUGAUGCAUUCCCUGCGAAAACCUAGCCUCUGUUUGAACAAAUCUCAAUUGAACAGGAAACUCUGGUAUAGCCCGAGAACAAAAGUUAGAUACUUAUAGAAUUCAUUGCUAUCAGGAACAUGUGUUUUGCGUUAGAAUAUACAUUGUGGGAAUCAAGGAUUAGCUCCCAAAUCGUGGGAAAUACAAUUCAGAUCAAGUCAAGGUCAUUAUCUCAAUUAAUUUAUAAUGUUGAGCGACAGUUUUAUUGCUGUAGAUUUUUCGAGUUUUAGUUAAAAGACAAUAGAAAAUGUUUUGCUCUCUCAUUUGUCUCAGAGACUACGUUAAACCUUUUAAAGUAUCGCAUGUUACCAUGUCUCAACAAUUCAGAUCAGAUUUCUGUGAAAUAUUUCUAAGUCAUCAUUAGCUAUUUUGAGUGAAAAAAAUAGAAAAACGUACUGUGAGGACUGAAAAAGAACCUAAGCAAACCAAAUCAUGGUUUAAUUAAUGCUAAAAUCCAAUUUGAUUUUUGCUAAGCCAACAUGAAAAUGCAUUUUUUCCUUUCUUUUUUUUCAUACCACUUUUAAGGUAGCUACCCGAAUGGCAUACUGUUAAUAUCUCUUAUAUUUCCAUUCUAAUACUCUAGCAGCUACAUUUGCUUCUAUGAAUAGUUAUACUCUUAAUAAUCAUACUUGUACAUGCAUUAUGGGAUUGAUUUAAGUUCUGUGGUCAUGUUACUAUCUUCCUUUUUUUCGUAUUGGCUAGUAAAUUAAGCAAUCUGGCAUGGGUUUUUUAGCUCUCAUUAUCACACGCUGAAGGCACACGUUUUUUUAUGUUUAUAUAUUUUGAUUGGUACUUUCCUUUCUGAAAUCUUGUAAAUUGAUUUAUUUCUCUGUUUCCAAAUAUUAUUUAAAUCCUAUAUUCUUUGGCAAUCCCAAUAUACAGAUUUUAGAGAAAUCAGACUUUACCAUGAUUGCCGGGAACCCUUUCAUAAAAAAAUCAGGUUGAGUAAUGUAUUCUAUGCCUUCUCAUUGCAAAAUGGAGAAAUAGAUGUAACGGGGUAAUUUGCUUUACACAGGAUGGAGGAAGAUAUCGUUUUAUUUCAAUCUCUCUUUUGAAAUUAAGGACAAGACAAUUGAAUUUGAUGAGAACCGCAAUGUCCAGCGCGCUGAAUUUGUUGUUCGAGCGUAUAUGCAGUAUGUUCAUGGAUGGAACUUAAUAACUUACCCAUUUGUUUGUCUAUUUGCUCUUUUUUUUUUCUGCAAUGUUAAGCUGUUUACACGAGAUAUGAUCUUAUACUGAACUAUGCCCUUAAAUUCAUUUUCUCAAUGAUAGAGGUGGUAGAUUUUGUGAUGGAUGGGGCUCGUGUGAACGACGCGAGAAGAGAUUUGUAAAACCAAAUCAUGAUGUUCCUAGCACAGCAGAAACCAGGGCAAAGAAUAAGGCAUGCCAGGUAAGUCACUAAUUCUCACAACUGGCUUAUCCAAAUUUAUUUUUCUAAUAGUUGCUUAAUUUUUUUGAAUCCCCGAAUGGAGAAUUAGUUCAUUGUACCUUUGCUUCGGUUUUAAAUAGGUCAAUAUUACAAAGCUUUAAGUUUAAGUAUCACUAAAUGUGCAAAUUUUACUUUAUCGGUUAGAGCAUGUACAUCAAAUAUCUUUUAUAUAUUCCUAGUUAGUACUUUUCUAUUUUGUGGACCAUAAUGUCUAACAUGCGAAUUAUCAAUAUCUCAUAUCUCAUAUCUAUUAAGAAGGAAACACAUUACAAGAGUUUUGAACACUAGACCUCCUCCUAUUCAGGGGAAAAAAGUCCUUACUCGUCUGUCGAUUUUUCCAUAAUCUUUUCUACAUAUUCUCAACAGUUUCACUCACUCAGUAUGUAGAAUGAAUCGAGUUGGAUAAAUUCUACAGUUUUCAUGCUUAUGCUAAAUCCAUUUCCGAGUAGAGUAGAUGAGAUUCUACUGUAAGCAAUUACAUAUUUAAACAUUUCCAGGACCUGCUUGGCAUUGGAGAGUAUCGACCUGGUGCAUGCCAAGGGCAAAAGUAAAGACUUCCCAGAUUUAUCCCCUAAUCUAACUUGUAUUGUAAGGAGUUAGAUGAUAGCAAUCUUUAACAACAACAACAACAAACAUAAUUACUACAAAAGUUCAUUGAAUGUAAGUUGUAACCAAACUGAGAUCUCAAGGAACAGAAGUUAGUAAUGGAGAAACACCAUCUACCAGAGAGAAGUUCAUGGGUUAUUGUAAUGUUGUAGGCAUUUCCUUAUAUUUGGUAAAACUUUCAUAUCUUUUUAUAGAAAGUGAUUUAGAUGGUUUGGUUAUACUUUUUCUUAAUGUACUGGCAUUGCAAUAUGUAAUAAUAUAUGAUCUUAGGUCCCACUGCCCCAGUUUGGAGGAUCUUUUGGGUUGUUGAGAAGUCACAAUUUCUUGGAUGCCUGGUAUGGGCACUUUAUCAUUAUUAUUUCUCAGUUGGUGGAGGUCAUUGGUUUACUAUUUCAUGGCCCAAUUUUAUUAAUGGAUCUCACAAGAUAGUUGGAUAUUCUAGAAAAUGCAAACUUUUAGGAGCUUUUUUAUAAUCUAGCCUAAAAUUAAAGAAAAAUGUUAAUUUCAACAUAGAAAUAAUUAAGAUUUAUACUUUUUUAUUAAGAUGUUAUAGGUUUGAAACUACACAGAAUAGUAUUUUUUUUUUCCAUAUUAGGCUAAAUAUACAUUACUCUUUUUUAUUUAAAGUCCACUGCUUUUAUUCUUUCAUAUAGGACAUUAUUUGUCUUUUUCAUUUUCAAUAACUAUUAAUAUAUUUUGAUAUAAAAUAUGCAAGUUGAAAGUAAUCUAUGCUCUAAUUUUAGAUACAAAGGAAAAGAAUAUUUAGUAAACUUUUCAUUUACUUCAUAUCUAAAUAAUUAGGUUGCCUUGUAAAUGAGAUUUUAUUACAAUUUACAAUUGAAAUUUUUUACCUUCCAAACGUAAACUUGUUUAAGAGUAUAUGAGAAGAACUAGUGAAGUUUCACGUAAUUGUCAAAAUGACCUAACUUUUCAUACUAGUAGAUUAUGUAUAAAUUACAAUGGAUGGUAAUAGGAGGAUUUACAUACAAUUUAAUAUAAAAAAGUUAGUAAUAUAUGGGUCUGUUUAGGACAUAGAUUCUAAUCUAAAACUGUUGGUUAGAAGAGAUAUUUUUGGUAAUAGAAAUUUAGAAUGGGUGUUGAUGAACAACAAAAUGACAGCAAUAAACCCUGGAGAAAAAACGGAAGAAGAAUAGGAGGGAAGGGUAUAAGAGUAAUUGAAGUAAGAAGAAAAGAGAAUUUGGUAGUUUCCUUCUAUUCCUCUGGCCCUCCAUUGAUCGUUAGUCCACCUUCAAAUCGUAUGUCAGUACGAAAUUAUUCUCUCACGUCCUUUCCCUCCACCACCUUCCAUGUCUGCUCCUCCACACAAAACUGCAUUUCUUCACACUUCAAAUAUUCACUCAACCUGCUUCUUCCACCGCCAAAUGCCAAUUCCCGUCGUUUUUCACAGCCAGUUUUGCAGUACAUUAUUGUUUUCUCUCAAUAAUUCCUGCCUAUUUUAUCCUGGUUUCUUCCUUGUCCAUUCUUGUUCGUCGAUUUCUUCCGUUUAAUUAUUGCUCCUUCCUCCUCCUCAAUUCUAUUACGGUGUCAUCGGAUUUGACUCGUCGUCGUACCUCUGCAACUCUGAAUUAAUCUCUUCCUCUUUCUUCUGCUUCAUUAUUGCACUUGAUGCUUCCAGAUUCAACUAUGGCUCAGCAGGUACCUAUCUCUCUCUGAUUUUUUUUUAGUGUUUAAUUUUUCCGUAAUUUUGCGUUUGAUUUCCGAAUUUAGGAAGAUGGAUGGCCAUUAGGCUUGAGGGUUAUGAACGCCAGAGUUGGUGGGGUGGCGGGAAAUCAUGAUCUCUCUGCUUCGGUUUCUUUCAAUACUUUGCGUACUCAUUCUCCUAGUUCCUUCACUGAUUCUUCCUCAGAUCUUGACACAGAGGUUUGUUACUUCCAUUUUUUUCUUCUUCUUCUUCUUCUGUAUAACUGUAUGCUUGGGAUUGGAGAGGCUGGAAAUUUAGUACAUUAAGCAAAUACAGUGCUUUGGGUUGUGUCAUAAUUAGGACUGCUUUUCAUAGUCUUGUUCUUCUGAAAGUGAUUGAGUUGAAGUAGUUGCAGCCUUGCAUGUUGCCCUUUUUCAAAACGUUUCUUGAUUUUCUUUAGAGCUUUCGUUAGGCCGCCUUUCUAAGAGUUUAAAAGAGUGAUAUAGUAAUUUGAAUUGAAAUUGUUGUUGGUUAGUGAGUUCUUUUUCUUCUUACCUUCCCUCUCCUUCUCACCAUUUACUUUCGCUUCUUAUUUGUCGCUCUUGUGUCCUAUCACAAUAAGCGCUGAAUUGAAAGUUCAGCCAUAAAAUGUGAGUGAGGGGAAAUAGCAAAAUCAAGAGGAAAUAUGGGUAUUGGGUAGUGAGAGCUAAAAAAUUAAGUUAAAAUAUCAUUUUGAUUUAAUGUAUUUUUUGAAGUUUGAUCAAAUUUAGUCCAUAUACUUAAAAUUGUCUAAUUUUAGUUUCUUAGUUUCUAUCAAUCUUAAAUUGAUUAUUUUUCUCAAAAAAAAAAAAUUUAUCCAUUACAUUUUUACUUCGAAUAUUCAUAUAUUGUAUUUUUCUGCAUGAAAAACUAAUUUCGGUAAGAAUUAACUUUGGACGAAAAUGAUGUUUUAACUCUGAUGUUAGAAUUUUUUUUUUUUUUUUUUUUUAGAAAUCGAUUCAAAUUUCAUAUUUUCAGUUUGGUCUUAAAAUAUUCGAAGGCUUUUGGUAUGGUAUUUUUUUUGUCUCUGUUUUUGCUAAAUUCCAUCAGGUAAAUGAUUUUUAGUCAACUGGAUCAUUCUACCCUGACAAGAGCAUCACGCUAGGGAGUCUCAUUGGCGUCUCUAGCAUUCUUGAGCUAUCACGAAGAUCAACAAAAGGAAACAAAGUGGAAAUACUCGAAGAUAAGAAAAAGUACAAGUCCAAGCCAGGGUUGUUUUCAUUGUCUUUAUGCAUUAAACUCCGUCCUGAUGCUGUCAGCUUCAGCAGCUCUCCUUCACUUCAACACUCGCUUGAAGCAGAAAGAAAAGCUACAAGAAAUCGCAGGAAUCACAAUCCGACCCUUUACGGACCCAAUGAUUACUCACCUGUUCCUGGAGCAAACUCUUUGUUUUCCAGUGAUCAAGUUGAUCCUGUAUCUUUUGAACAGGCGGGCGAAGAAGAAAGCAGAAGAUCAGAUGGAGAACUUGUUCGAAAUGGUAACAGUCAGGGGAUUCCUCUACUCUUUUCAUGUCUAUAUUGCCAACUGAUUAAAUAAUUCUCUCUUUGAUUUGCUACAUUAACAUUUGAAUGCAACUUGUUCUUCAUAAAAAAUGAUGCAUUUCAAAUGUUAUAUGGUCAUUUCUUUCAUUCUACCAUUUCAUUUGUAGGAGACUUACUUGUAAUAAUCAUCAUCCAGCCAUUGUGUUUGGGUCAGAUAAGUUAGUGAACCACAUUGAUCGAUCCAUAAAACCAUAACCAGUAAGUUGUAACUUGGUUAGCCUUUUAAUAUCUGUUAGCAUAUGAUAGAAGAAAAAACUUCAAAUGCUCGUAUAGAUGUGCUAUAUUUGAUAGUAAAUAACCGACAAUGAUAACUCUGAGCAAACAAACCUUAUCGAACGUUUGCUCACAUUGAACUGGAUAUAUCCAGAUGAUAACAGAUGCUCAAUAGGUGAAGUAAAGAUCAUAGACCCAGAUGGAGCUUACUCUGUUUUCAAGUGAACCCGAGGUUGCCGUAUCCGCUGGAUCAUCUCUCUGAUAAUGGCCAUUUUUAAGGCUUGAUACACGUCCCUGCAUUUUGUUCGCUGAACUUCCCAAACAGGGCAGAUAAGCUCUUCAAGCUGUUGUUUUCUUCAUUAAAAUUUGAAGUUCGCAAUCCCUUCAGUUUCAAGGGGGAAAUUUCUUGGUCUACACUGUCAUUAUUAUUCUUCACCUCAGCAACGAGAAGCUUAGAGAUGCUGCUUCUGCAAAAGGGGCAAACAGGGGCUGUUGGACAAGCUGUUGUUGGAUUAGGCUUCUUGUGGCAGCACAAAGAUAAUGUGCAAUGAGCGCACAUUCUAUGGCCACAGGGUUGGGCUUCAAUAUUGCACAUCUGUUCAAAGCAUAUGCAGCACAAAUCCGUGUCGCUUGCCUGUUCAGAAGAAUUUCCACAAGUAAUAUAAGAAUGAUGCAUACAGAAUUGAGGAGUAAUAGUCUCAAUCUAAUUAACUACUGAAAUUGAAAUGCAAAGUAACAUAGAACCAUCCCAAAGAGUAAAACUAGAACACUUGAAAAGGAAAUCCCAACAGUUUAAGCACACUCAUUACUUAUUUACUAGUGGAAGUUAUUUUAACAAAAAACUGAAAUGAACAGUGUGGAUGUAUUACCUCAGAUGCUAAGUCAUUGUCGACAUAAGCAUCAAUGUCAACAUCAGCUUCCAAAGGACAUUGAGAUGUGAUGAAUGUUUCCUUCAAUAUAGCCUUCUCUCUCUCCAUGUUUGCAUCCAUUAAAGCCUUUUCUAGCAAAACUUUUGCAUCUGGAUCUAGCUUAAUUAUUAAUUUCAAAGGUGAAGGCCAGAUGAGGGGUUCUGGUGAUGAAGGAUUCAACAAAGCUGCACAAGUUUGAUGCUUAUGCUUUAAAGCAACCGUAAAUGGUAUUCUCCUGCAAAUGGCCAAGCUCAUCCCUUGAGAAAACUUUAUUAGGAGGUUUAAUGUUUACUUUUAAACGGUGAUUGCUAUAAAGGAAGCAUGGAAAUAACUUGAUUACAUAGUUGCCGAAGGCUUCUAUUGAUAAUGAAUGGAGAAGCAACAAUAUCAGGAAAAGAAAGUCUAGAUGUCUGAUAUUUUCAAUCCUACAUGAUCACAGAGUUUAAAUAGUUAAAUCAAGACAUCCUCAAUCUUCAGUAACGUCUUGAUCUUUUUUUCAUCACACAACUCUGAUUUUUUUAGCUAGCAUUUGCGUUCUUACAAGGGCAUCUGUUCACAAGUGGAUUGUGGUAUUUAUGAAUUCGAGAAUUUGAUAACGACAUUAAUUGAAGUAAUCACGAAUCUUUCUUGAAGCUUACCCAUAUGAAUCAAACUGAAAUCUGUCAGCACCCCAAGCAAGCAAUUCUCGAACACACUCCAAUGAACCACCACGGGCUGCUAAAUGAAGCGGCGAACUACCUGCACAACUGCACAAUACAUUCACAAUAUAGUUUCUCCAUCAGAAACAACAAACCACUAUUCUUUGGCUAAGAUCAAAAUUAAAAAAUGGAAGAACAUUCUUCAUACCUGCAAGUUGAUACAGAAACAAGAGCACCAUUGUUAAGAAGCAUACGAACACACUCAAGUUGGCUCUGCCUGGAUGCUAGAUGCAAUGGAGUUGAGCCAUCUCCAUCUCUAACGUUCACAAAUCUUGCAAAACCCCUUCCAUUUUCAUUCAAUCCAAAUAAGAAAAAAUCAUCAUAUGAAGGCGACACUCAAAAUGGAAUGAGGCAAGAAGAAGAAGAAGAAAUCAUCUAACCAAGAGUCGGACACAGGGGUGGAAUGGGCAGCAGAAAGAAUCGCUUGCAGACAAUCUGAAUGUCCAUAAAAAGAUGCGUAAUGCAAGCAGGUUCUUCGAUGUAUAGAAUCGAACAUCAAUAUCUACAGAAAAUAAAUAGACACCGUUAAGAAAAUUUUGAUCCAAAACUAGAAACAGAGGCGAGAAUCGUCCAAAUCGGAAUGCGCACAUUAGCUCCUGCUUCGAUCAGCCUUUGAACACAAGCUAUUCUCCCGCUCAUUGCAGCCAGCAUCAGAGGAGUCUAAGUCAACCGAAAAAACAAACCGAUUCAAUGAAAAGAACAAUCGAACUACCAAGGAGUUCAAAAAUCAAAACACACAUUCAAUUAAACGAAUAGAAAACCUGAUUAUGCCGAUUGAGAAUAUCAGGAUUCACAUUCCGGUCCAAGAGCAUCGAAAGAAUCUAAAUCAAGAAAUACACAACUAAAAACUCAAGAUGCCACAUAAAAAAAGAAACAGAGAUCAAGAGUUCGUUGAACUUAAACUAUAACUCACAUCGAUGUGUCCAUUGGCAGCCGCAGCAUGUAGAGGCGUUGAUCUUUGAUGGUUAAUGGUGUGGUAUAAGACAGAUGGAUCAUUGUCCACCAUAGCUCGAACAACAUCCACAUCUCCAUUAUGCAGAGCUCUGAAGAAUAAUCCAGUUUCAUGGCUGUGUGUACAGCUCAGGCCCUGACCCAUCGCCUCACCCCUCCCUCGGCAACCUGAAAUCAACAAACGCGUCGUUGAUUGAACAUGGAGAGGAGCUCAAGAAGAAGCUCACUCAGAGUCACCGGGGUAGGCUUCAAUGGAAGCCGUAGAAAGAAGAAGAAGAUGAGUGGGGAUGGUGAAUUGGAAGAGAGCGAUAUUUGAUGGAAUUGAAUUUGUAUUGAAAUGGCCUCGGAAUUUGAACCUGCCCGCCAAAGGAGCGGGCAACUUCGUUGUGUGGGUAAUAUGGGAAUACUCCCUUUUUUCUUUCUUUCUUUUUCCUUUUUGAAGAAUUGGCUUCAUUGUCCGAUAUUUUGAGCAAUUUGUAUUAUUUUAUGUUAUCUCCUCAUCCCCAUGCAUUAUAUGAUUUUGCUGUCCCUUUCACAAUUUCCUUCAACUCUUAUUAUUUUAUUUCAAAUCAAUUCACCUUUCUUCUCAAAUUAAAUUUUAUUUCCGUUCCUAAACUUUAUAUUUGGUGUCGUUUUUUUUUAUAUCUAUAGCUUAUGAUAUUCGUUCGAAUUUGUAUAUUUUAGUUCUUAUCGUUAAUUUUAAUUGACUUUCUAACUAAAUGAUGGGUAACUUGUAUGUUUGAGUGAUUAGCUACGAAAUAAGAUAAUAACUCUUAAUAAUUCAAGGUUUUAGUUUUUAAUUAAAUGUUGUAUGAUAAAGGAUAAUUCAAAAAGUAAUUAUCUUCGACAUUUUGAUAUUCUACUUCGUUUUCUCAACUUACAUGCUAUAGAUGCAAUUCAUUCACACAAAAUCAUGUUGAUUACCGCUAAACUAAACUUAAUUGAAAAAAAAAACUUUUAAAUUUUAUAUUUUAAUCGUAUAUUGAGCGGAGUCUUGAAGAGUAUGUUGUUAAAUUAUAACUUCGAUUUUGUUUCAAUUAACUAUUAUCUUGUUAAUUGUUUGAUCCUUUUGUGAAUUUAAUAACUUUCUCGAAACCAAACAGUGAAUGAGAUAACAACUCCACUCUUCCAUUAACUACUUGCCAAUUUAAACACGACUUAAAUGAGAUCUAGAAAAAAGUGUUUUGUAAAAUUUAUAACAAAGAUGUCCGAUAUACUGAGAUGUUGUACAUUUAUACACAAUGACACUUCUUAUCUUACCAUAACAAAUAUUCAAAGUAAAAAAAUGAAAAUGUGUUCCUUUACAACAAUAAUAUUCAAAUUCCUUACUUUAGCAUAUACACAACGACUUGAUGGAAUUUAUAAAGAAGUUUUAUUGUCUCAAAAGAAUACAUAGUUUAAAAUUUUCAAAACCAAUGAUUUUAUUCAACCUUUUUCUUCGUCCAAUGGAAGGUGCACCGCUAUUGUUAAUUGCAUAAAUACAACUCAUACUUAAUGCUUAAUUAAAUGCACUUAGAAGGUCUUAAUUAGCUAAUUUAUUUAAAUUUCUUCUUAAAAAAGAAGAAAAAAAAACACAAUUUAAUUUUCCACCGAUUUUCUUUUGUUAAAUUUCAAAAAGGAAAUAGUAAGACGUGGGUUUAAUUAUAAUGAUGCCUUUGUUUUUGGGGACAAAAGACUGUUGUACGUUAGACCAAUUUCCCCCAUUUUAGCCAUCAACCUUCCUUCUUCACCUCUUUCCCUUUUCAGAAACUCUUUCAAUCAUUCGUCAAUUGCUUACGCCUCUAAAAGUAUAAAGCAACCCACGGCCGCACAGUGUAGAUUCUCCAAUUAUUUGCAAAACUUUCCUUAAUGGGCUAUCUUUCUCAUUUCAGCCCAACACCACCUUCCUUACUGGGCCCCAGGCCCAUUCCAGCGGUACACCCCUCCCGUCCCAAAUACAACAAUUAGAUUAGCAAUAUUUUAAGAAAAUGAAAAACAUAUAGUAAAAUGCAAUUACCUAUCUUUUAAUCAUUUUUCUAGAGAAGAAAAAGUUUAACAAUCCAAAUGUUUUGAAAGGCUAGAUUUCUCAAGCUUUAAAAAGAUUUUGUACUGCCAAAGAAAAUCAUCACAAAAUAUUUAAGAGGUUUUAAUUAAAUUAAAAUGAAUUUAUUAUAUAUAAUUACUUAGAAAAAACAACAAUAAAAACAAAUAUAUAUAUAUAUAUAUAAAAGGACCAAGAGUGAUCUUCGGUCGGUCGAAGUUGGUAUUUUGAAAAAACCGAUUCCAAACGGACUCUGAACUCAAUGAGUAAUAGUCGGCUGGAUUGGUUUAACAGUUAAUAAUACUUUUUAAAAAUUUUUAAUUUGAAACUUUUGAAACCAAUCCCUCCCGAUUGCUGAUCGAUUGGCUUAGUUUUUCGGUCUAUCAUGUUUACUUGGUAAAACAGUAAAAAUUAAUUCUUAAUAAAGUUAACUCCUGGGCAAUUUUUUUCAACAGCGACUCCAUGGCCCAAUGGAUAAGGCGCUGGUCUACGGAACCAGAGAUUCUGGGUUCGAUCCCCAGUGGAGUCGUUUCUGUCAUUUUUUUUUGCCUUAUAGCGUGGGCCACGGUAUGGAUGUAAUGGGCUUUGCCUCUUAAGCCCACUUGUCAACCAAUAAUGACUAACCACGUUUGCACUCCUGAAAGGUAAUCGGCAAAUAGCGGGAACGCUCCCCCUAGUUUAUUUCCAAAUGCUUGAAAUCUCGCGCGUUUCUUCCUCCUCUCCAUUUCUCCGAUCAACUAUGGCUUCAACAUCUUCUGGUAUCUACAUUGUCAAUAUCAUUAUCUUCACAACUAUGUUCAUCCAUUUUGUUGUGUUUACGAAUGUUAUCUUCAGCAACUGCCAUGUAAUGGAUCGAAUUCAGUUCACUAAUUUAGGUUGGUUAAUUUAUAUGAUUACUGCGUUUUGGGAAUUCGAACACCAGAGGUAUCUAAACUUCGUUACUGAUUGAGUAGAAGUCUAAUUCCGCUUUAACUUUUCUUUUAUUAUUGAAACCAGCCAGCCGAUGUUUUGAGUUUUACUGAUGCAUGAUUACAAACUGAAAUUCUCGAUGAUCUCUGCCCCGAUCUGCGGCUGUAAAUUAUUUGAGCGUACUUUUACUAAUUGGAGAUGAUUUAAUUUGUUUGAAAUAAAUCAAUAAGGAUUUUGAAUCAACGCAUUUUUUGGUUCUUGAAUUUUGAUUUCUGUGUACUUAAGACACAAUUCUACCUGCCGAAUGUGCAACAGUAAUCUAAUCGAUUGUUCUGUUUCGAUAUGGUUCUAUUUGAUAGAUUUCGACGUACCACAGCCUUUUCAUCCUUAAACCUUGAUUCUCCUUAUAUUGAAAGGGAACAGACUGAAACGAUACGAGUGGUUUUUGAUUGUGGAAGCGUGUGUCAUCAACCUUAUAUUCGGCAGUGCCUACAUCCACUGUCAAAGGAGCGACACCAAGAUUCUUUAUCGACGACCAGUCUGACGAAUUUUACAAGCUACAAUAUGGAAAAAGAUAUAGUAAGUUGGCCGUUUAAACUUGGCAGAAACCAGUUCUAAUGGCUUUAAAAAACGUCUCUGUUUCUUCUUAUUGCAAAACCGUUUUGACGAAUUUUCAAGAAUCUUAUCAAAUCCAAAUUUCCAUGACAAAUAUCAGUUCUGAAUUGGCCGGUGUUUUUCCUUACUCUACAGGAAAAAUGUUGUUCUAUGUUACGUUAUUAGCUCCCUAAACUGUUAUUUCCAGCAAUGCAUUCAGGAUUUAGUUACCGGAGAAUGUUAAGUAUUCGGGAUAUAAAGUCGGUGUCUUCGGCGCCAAACAUUUUUUCAGGUAGGCAGCUUACACUGCAGUUUCCACAUUCUGGUAAGCAGGGAUAGCCUCUGCAUCUGCACGCCUGAUAAUUAUACAACUGUUAACUACUGUUUAUAUACCAGCUUCUAGCACUAACAGUGUCUGUCCGUAUACUUCCUAUAAUGUUCUGAUCAUCCGUUUCUUAUUUGGUUCCAGUCAAUAUGAUUCGAAGAGGUGCAUUUAUCAAAAACCAGAUCUAACCAGUUUGGUGUUGCAGCGUUGUGACCAUUAUUUGUGCUUGACGUGUCAGGUACAUUCUAUUCUUGUCUUUUAGCAAGUGUUGUUUAAAUGUAUGGGGCUGGUCAGGCAGACUUGUAUCGUGGUUUAGACGGAAGAGUGUAUGACUUGACCUUCAUUCUCAGUUUGCAGUUAGAGGAAGAGCUAGGAAGGACAAUUUAGGGGUAACCUUCUAUCUAUUAGUCCACAAUUUUCUUGUCUUAAUAUGCUGAAUAAAGUGUUUUAAAUCAAUUCAGGGGAAUAAUUUUUUUUUGAAGUAAUCCAACAUAUAUUUUUCCCAGAAGAUUGGCAUAGCCCUUGCGCAAGGAUAACACACAAAUCAAAAUAAUCUAACAUAUAUUCCUUACUAACCAGAAUAACAAUAAAGAAAAUCCGUUAAUUUUUGGAUUAAAGCAUAUUGAUAAACGUUGGCUAUAAAGAAGACGUGUCUCCUGUAAUUAUUUGGCCCUGCAUUCCAAAGUCACAACAAUUCUUCAAAAGACUUCACCUGUAACCAAGUCCUCUUACAAAUCCUCUAUUGCUUAGAAUUCAAAAUUAAAGAUAGUCAAGAACAAAACUUCAAUAAGAAAAAUUGAGAAUAAAAAGAUUGAGCAUUUGUAGAUGCUACUGAUGGGGUUUUUUUUUUGCUAGGGGGCAGUUCCUUUUAGCAGGAAGAUUUAUUUAACAAGCCAGUAACCACUCUGUCGUAUUUAAUAAGAAGAGUGGAUUGACCAAGUUAAAAGAUUAAAAUCAAUAAUUUAAAAACAUAAAGGAUCCUCAUAGUUAUCGCAGUUAAAAAAAGUUCAAACUAAUGUAUAUCCUCCAAUCUUGGUUCUAAAUAUAGCCAAAUUUAAGCCACGAGCAUUCACAACCUAAAAGAAUAGACAUCCAAACCUACAACUUCUAAGCAACUAAAGCAACAAUAAAAUUAAGACACGGUUAGAGAGGCUGACAUAUAAUUUAUACUAAUUCAUCCAAUGUAAACCAUGAUUCAGUUCUCGGAUGUAGGUUUACUAAAAUCGUUCAAGAAUGGUUUCUAAAAGAUCUCAUCAGUCACUCAACAAAGCUUUCUCAAAACUCUUCCUUCCAUGGAGACUAAACAGACAUAUUUCCAUCACCCGUAAACGCCCGUGAUUCCUGCCAAUUGAAGAAAAGUUGCUGUUUUAUAAAUAGCAGCGGCGCUGUGGCGCUACAAACGGAAAUUUUAACCCGUGUCUUUUUCGGAAUUCCAUGGCGCUCCUUGCUAGGUAUUUCUGGGUCUCUAAAACAAUUUGUGUUAGUUUGGCUCCACUUACUCAACAUUUGAAUGGUGUUUAGUACUCUGCUUGACGGUAACUUGAAGCCAAAUCAACAAUUGACUUGGCUUUCAAUAGCUACAAUUUUUUCUUCCACUUGAAUGUUUAUGGGUUUUAGUUUUGAAAUUUACUAUUGUAGUGGAAUGGAGCAUUUGUUUCCAAGUCAAUAUUCUAUUUUACAGGAGUAUUUGUGUUUAACUCAGUGCUUCCGUUCAAAUAACGUGUCCGCAACUACAAACCAUGUAGGUUUUGUUUCUAUCCAUGACUUUAUGUUGAGUGGAUACUUUGAUUGUUGUUUUGACGUUCUUCAAUAUGCUUGCUGAUAUUUGUUCCAUUCAUUAACUUGCUUAAAAGUUCAUCGAACAUUUUAGGACCCCAAAGUCUAGUAUUUUUUUAAUCUGACGAUAAUUAUCGCAGUACUAGUAGUAGGGCUGUGAAGGAUGAUUGACUUUUACCUUUUAAUUUCGAGAUUUCCCCCAUUUCUGUUACACUUUUGUUUUCUGAUAUGUCAUCUUUUUGGAAAUAUUCUUUUUUAAUAGGAUAAAAAUAGAAAGUUUGAGCUAGAUUGUUUGUGCUGAAAUUUCAUUGAAUAGUAUCCUCUUAAUUUUGAUAAUUAAGUUCACCUUAGGAAUAGUCAUUAUUGUUUAACAACAAACACACAUUCUUUGUAUAGAAUAGUGUGCCUUUUUUUUUUAAAAUUAUGCGGACAUUUAUCUUGGACGGACCCCUUUAAGACUAAUCUGUAGGUAAAAGCGAAACCUGAAAGUGGUCUUCCAUUAGCUAAAGACUAAGCCUUAAUUGGCAUUCCGUAGCUAAAGAUUAAACCUAAAGUGGUCUUUAAUUAGCUUGACGUUAGCUAGAUAUUAAGCUUGGACAGGUCUUCCACUAAGAGUUACUUUGGCUAUGUGCAUGGAGCAGCCCCUGUCGGCUUUCAUGGAAUAUUUUAACAAAUAAAGGAGGUCUUCUCUCAUAAAAUUCCAAAAGAUAAGUUGGGAAAAUUGACUUCUCUCUUGAUUGACGAAUAAUAUUGGCAUAUUAUUUAGCCUUCACUCGCAUAGUCGCAUGUUCAUUUUAAUCGACAAUUCCAAUACUAUAUCUUUCUUUUUCAAUAUAUUUUCUCUCCGUAGACUACCCUUCUCAUGCAGAUUGAACUUAGUUAUGAAAAACAAAAGAAAUGUUGAAUCUCUCGUCAUAUUUUGUUUGGUCAUACACCUCUGCAUCCUCCAUAUAUGGUGAAUUCCUAGUAUAGAGUAAUUUAUUUUAUUAACCAUUAUCUAUGCCCUUUGACUACUGAUAAGGACAUUAGAGUCCUCCAACUAUCUCGACAAUGAUAUUAUAUUGUCGACGUUGGAUAGAAAUCCAUGUGGCUUUGCUUUUAAAACUACCUAAAACUACCUAAAGUGUUGUGUGAUUACUUCCUUGAACAAAGUACUACACCUUGAGUCUUCUCUUAUUCAUCCACUCCUAUCGUCCACAAGAGCUUGCUCUUAUCAAGGUCAGUUGCAAAGUCAGACAAAGGACGACCCUAAGCUUAUUUUCGAGGAAUAUACUUGGUUUCAACCACCUGUCACACCUUUAAUCUCCUGACCAUGGAUACUCCUUUACCAAUGAACUUGCUAGGGUCAUUACUUGCUUACCGCUAUAAAUACUUUUUCUCAAAUAUGAGAGGAGCAUGACCUAUAAUAUCCACUACUCUUGUUCAAAAUUUCUGAGAAUCUCAUUUACGUAGCUAUAUUUAGACCAUGACUCUAAUACCAAUUGAUAAGAACAACAAAAUAUUCACAAUGAUGAUAUUGGUAAUUUUAGGCAUAAAUCAUCACGACUUUGUUCUUGGAACAAAUCCAAAAGACCUCACACCACUAAAGAUAAUUGUUCAUGCCAUGAUCACUUUAUUUUCUAACCAACAUGAGAUCUUGUUCGUACUCCCUAACAUACUACCCCUUAUAUGAUUGGAUGAUGGUUGAAGAUCAAAAGUUAAUUUUAUAUAAGUGUCUGAUCUAGUGAAGGUACUUAGUAUUAUUCAAGAUACCUUCAAGGUACUCCCUUAACAUACUACCCCUCAUUUACAAUAUAUGACGCACAAAUAGCUUUAUUUGGUCCUCCUAAGCAAUUGUUUCUGAUUUAGUGACGGUACUUAGUUAUAUUCAAGUGUCUGCAUUUUGAUGGGUUUAAAUUUGCAGUGUAGGGUUCAUCCAUUUUUGUAGCUUUUUGACCUUUUAGCCAUAAUGAUUAUUUAAGAUCCUAUAUGUUGGGAUUGGGAGCUUGAUUGAUUCAUAUCUUGUUCUAGUAUUUGCAAUAUUAUAUCUUAUCCUUUCCUUCGUGGGAACGUUAAAUUAGAAAUGAGGUGGUUUAAUAGAAUGAUUCAAACCUACCGAAAGAAACAUAUAUCAAUAUCAAAUUAUCAUUAUCUAAAAGAAGGUAGUCUAGAAUUCGUCAUCAUACAUAUACAAUGGUAGUUUAGAGUUGACAUCACAUACUAAAAUGAUUGUAGUGGCGAGAGUAGUCUAGAAUUGAAAGGUUCAAAGUAGAACUUUCCUGUAAAUUUUAAUCCUUAGAUUUUCUACCAUAAAUUUAAAUUUAUAACAUUUAUCUAUUUGAAUUUUAAUACUUUUAAGCACUAAGAAGAAUCAUAAUAGUAUUUUUUUUUUAAUUUGACAUUUCUCCAUUGGAGUAUAAACAUACUUUUGUCUUUUGUUUCUCCUUUUCUGUCUUUUUUAGUGGGUGGUAACAUUUGAAAUUUUGGCUGUGCUGACUUCGAAUCAAAACCAUCACUAUAAAAAUAUAAAAGGUAACGUAUUAGGAUAUCAAAGUCCAUGGUCUUUUUUUUAUUGGCCUUCAACAAGCAGACCAAUUUUUCCUUUUCCUUUUGGUGUGAGAAAGUUUGCUUCAAUUUUUACCCUCAAUUCUUUUUAAAAGGAAAGGAAAAAAGAGAGAGAGAGAGAGAGAGUUCGGUAGAGUUUAUCGAAGGAAAAUAAAUAAAUUUGGAAUGGUUACUAAAACGACGUCGUUUCUUGGAUACCAUAACAAUCCAUUCGCUCCAAACAUGGUCUUGUUUGGGCACGUAGGUCCCACAUAUAUUCCCAUGCAAAAAAUAUAUAUAUUUAUAUAUAAUAAUAAUAAUAAUAAACGGAAGACUGUCGUACACCACAAAAGCCCCCAUCUAACUUCUUUUAUUUAUGAUCUUAAUUUAAAAAAAAAAAAAAAAAAUCCCCUUUUUAUGUUUUAAAAAUAAAAUAAUUAAGAGAAUAUGGGAUUUACAUAAUUCCAUUCUCCAAACUUCAUUAAACUGGGUCACCACUCUCUCGCCUCCCAGACAUGUACACCAACUUUUUCUCUUUCUCUUUACAUUUUUUCCCCAAUUUUUAAAAAUGUAUUUUUCCCAUAAAACAACAAUAACAAAAAAACAAACAAACAACAAAUAUCAUUUGUACAUGCUACAGUAUUUGAUACCAUAUAUUAAAGUAAGCAUGGUUGAAUUGACCUAGAAGACAUGAAUUAGUAAGUAAAGAGAUUCUUUGUGGUGUGAAAAUUCUUUUACAAAUAGUUGAAUAUUGUUUCUCAAAUUUUUAAAAUCCUCAACCCUUCCAUUUGAAAAUUUAAAUAAUUAUAGCGUCUGAAAUUCUUUUCUAGUAGAGUAAGAAAAUUUUAAAAAAGUAAUACUUACUCCAUCCCAAAAUAAAUCUCUUUUUCAUUACUCACACAAAAAGAAUUAAAUUAUUUGAAAGAAAAGAGAGAAGAAUUUAUGACAUGAUGAUGAUGAAUUAUGGUUGAAUAAUUUGAAAGGAAGCAUAAAAUUGAUAUAUUUUUGGAGAUGCAUCUAAUUAUUUUUAAUUAAUAAACUUUAAAAUUAUUUAAAAAGACAAGAAAGAAAAAUUAUAUAAACAAUUAAGUUAAACUAAAGGUACAUGUAAGUAUUAAAAAAAAGAAGAUGAUGAAAACCACACUAAUCUCUCUCUUCUCUGAAUGAAUUAGUAAGCAGCAAAGAGUGAGGGAGAGAGAAUGUGAAAGUAUCAAAAGAAGCUUAUGGACUAAGAAACAACAUCUCUUAUGCCCUAAAAAAGCAAUAGAGAACAAAAGGAAAGGAGGGAAUGACAACUACUAUUUUAUUUUUCUUUUUCUUUUAUAUAUUAAUUAUAUAAUUAUAUAUAAAUAUAUAUAUAUAUAUAUAUAUAUAUAUAUAUAUAUAUAUAUAUAUAUAUAUAAUAAGUUCACUCCUUUAAUUUUGCUCCUCUUCUUCAUUCCUCCUUCUUCCUCUUCAACCCUCUCUUCUUUUUUCUCUUGAUGUGAUUCUCCACUAUUUAUCUCUCCCCCAAAACCCAUCAAACUUUACAAAAGAGAAAGAUAACCCAGAAAAAAAAAGAAAAAAACCAUGAAUUUUUCCUCCAUUCCUCCUUAUCUUGAUCCUUCCAACUGGCAACAGGUAAUAAGGGUUUCCUCCAUUUUCUUUUUCUUUUUCUUUUGGAUUAAUUUUCUUUUUCUUCCUUUGCAACUAAAGCUAAAGAAAAAAAAAAAUGGAACCCCCCUUGAGAAAAAGAUAAAUAUUCCCCUAUUUUGCUUUCUAUUGUUGUUGUUGUUGUUUUUUUUCUUUUGAAUAUACUUGAGAUAUUUGAUUUCAUUCCCCCUUAUUCCAAUAAUUUUACUCAUCUCAGCAAGUCACCCAUCAGGUGGGAACCAGUAGUAGCACUGCACUUAGUUCUCAGCUUCUUCCUCCUCCACCGCCUCCUCCUCCACCUCCUCCUCCUCCUCUGCCUCCUCAUGGCGUCGGUGGUGCCGGUUCGAUCCGCCCUGGUUCGAUGGCCGAACGAGCUCGAAUGGCUAAUAUUCCCAUGCCUGAGGCUGCAUUGAAAUGCCCAAGAUGUGAAUCGACCAACACUAAGUUUUGUUACUUUAACAACUAUAGCCUUACUCAGCCUCGCCACUUUUGCAAGACUUGUAGAAGGUAAAUUCAAAAGAUAUAAAAAAUAUUCUUUAUAUAUUAUUCUCUAAAUUUUUUACAGCUAUAUAGAAGAUUAUUAAUUAAGAUGUAAAAAUUUAACUUUUUUUUUUUUUUUAAAUUCUUAAUUUUUAUUCCUCUCAUAAAAAGGGUUGGAACUUCACAAGGGCACUACUUAUAGCUUGUUGUUAAUUCAAAAAAGUAUCUAUAAAAUAUUGAAGAUAUUAUAUUUUCUCUCUAAUCUGGGCUCCGCUCGAGAAGGUACUGGACCAGAGGCGGGGCCCUACGGAACGUACCGGUCGGGGGUGGGUGCCGGAGGAACAAAAGAAGCAAAGGGAGUAGUUCGAAGUCGCCACCGGUCAGCUCGGACCGACAACAAACCAGCGGUUCAGCCAAUUCUUCAUCAAGUGCAAUAGCUUCCAACAACAGUGGAGGUCUUUCCCCACAGAUCCCACCACUCGGCCGGUUCAUGGCUCCUCUCCAUCAACAGUUUAGUGACUUUGACAUCGGAAGUUACAGCUACGGGGGUGGCCUUUCAGCUCCCGCCUCCGCUACCGGUGACCUGAGUUUCCAAUUGGGCAACACUAAUUUAGGUGGAGGAACAAGCAUUGGAUCUCUCUUGGGAUUUGACCACCAACAAUGGAGGCUCCAGCAACAACCUCCUCAAUUUCCCUUCUUAUCUAGUUUAGACCCUUUCGAAGGCGGUAAUGGUGGUGGCGGAGAAGCACCUGGAACCGCGUGGCAAAUGAGGCCAAAAGCACCAUCAACAAGUUCAAGGAAUAAUUUAACCCAAAUGGGGAAUUCAGUGAAAAUGGAAGAAACCCCGGAUCAAGUUAAUAAUAAUGUUGGAAGACAAUCUAUUGGGAUUAAUGAACAAUAUUGGAGCAGUGGAUCAAUGGCAUGGUCAGAUCUUUCUGGUUUUAGUUCUUCAUCUUCAACAAGAAACCCAUUAUAGAGAAAUGUCGAUCAAAUUAGUUAUUAACACUUUGGGAUGAACAAUGGGGGUUUCUUCAUCAUACAUCUUCAUUUCUUCAUGUGUGUUAUCAUGAUCAUGUUUAUCUAAAACCCUAGAAAAAUAUGGUAGUUUUUCUUUUUCAUCUUUUGUUUAAUUUAAUUAGUUUUAGUAUUUAGGAUUGGAGUUGGGAAUUAUGAGAAGUGAGAACAUUAUUUUUAUUUACCAUAUAGACUAAUGGAGAUCACUUUAUGUGUUCCUUCCUUGACAUAUAUAUAUAUCUAUAUAUAUAUAUGAUCAUAUCAGUUUCUCAAAAUGCAUGCCUUUUAAUCUACAUAUAGAAAUAUGUAUGUUUUGUGUUGGAAAAUCAAUGCAGCUCAAGCCAAUUUAUAAUAUAAUAUAUUAUAUGUUUUUUUUUUUCUUCUCUUAUAUUAUAAAGUCCUCAAGUAACUCAAGCUUCCCCAAUUGUUGCAUAAUAAUGACAUGUCUCAGUAACUUAAACACAUGUGUCAAAUUUUAUUCCAUACUCAUAAUUUACAAAUAAUCGUCACUCCCCCAUUAGAUUUAUCGUUAGAAAUGAUAUAUGAAGUAUUAUUAAUUAAUUAGUAAUAUAAUGUUAAAUCCAAUUUGAGUAUAAAUCUUAUCAAUUAAUUAUUGGUUUAAUUAAAUAUUAAUGUAUUAAUUAAAAUGUAUGUUUCUUUUAUAAGCUCAUGGUUCUAAAAUGUGCCAAAUUGGAAGUAAAAGCUACGAAAGCUUUUAUUUUUGUUUAAAACAUUUCCCAUAAAGGCUAUAUAUUAUAUAGUCAUGGGAAAAUGAAGUUAUAUUCUGCAAAGUGAUUUUUUGUUUUCUAUAAAAAUUUAUCUUCACUCUAGACAAAGGGGUUUUGUAGUAAAACAAAGGGAUGUCUUUUUUUUUUUUUUUUUUUCCUUCACUUUUUAUUUCUUUUCAUUUUUCUUGAAAACAAAAAGAAGAAGAAUAAUGUUAUAUACCAAUGCAGUUUUGACUCUGAAGAAGGUGCCUAUUAAUCUUUUUCGAUAUCGAAAAAAGUCGAGAUGUGAAUUGGAAAGACGUUUUCGAAUUGAAUACCCAAAAAAAAAGGAAAAAAAAAAUAAACUUCCCAAAAAGAGAUGAAUGAACUAAACUUGAUUUAUGCUUUUAGUUUAUCCCUCAAAAUUAACCAAAGGCAUUGAGUUAUUUACUCACUUGGACUUGAGUAAAUACAAAGGUUAAAAAGUACGAAAAACAGUGUGUUUUGGUCAUUGGGUUAGUACUUCCUAUUACAACAACCAAAAUUAGAGAGCAUAAAAUUAGGUUUCCAUAGGGUUGUUUGUUGCUUUGUUUUGAUGAUUACGUCAAAUUUUGAAAUCAACAAAUUUUGAGACAAAGAUGUGAAAAAUUAAUUAGCCAAAUUUGUUGCUUGAAAAUUUUGGUGUAUAAAAUCUGGAAGAUGAUUGGUUUAUGGUGUUGACAAGUCUUAAUUUGCAUCAGUUUGUUAGUUAUUACUUGGAUUAUAUUGAGGAUUAAUCAUCAAUUAAAGAAAUCUAAAAAUAUAUUUAUAAUGUAGUUUUUGUUUGGAUUCAUAUAGUUUUUAAUAAUAAGAAGAAUAUAUAUAGGCUAUAGCUAAACUACUACCCUAGCAAGCCUAAAAAGGGCAGGGUUUCAAAACUUAGCUUAAUUAUGAAUCAAUAAUUAAUUGAACUCUACAUUUGGAACAUUAUCCAUAAUUUUACAAAAAAAUCAAAAUCGAUCGAACCAACGAAAAAAUCAAUAUAAUCGAUUGAACGAGUUGUAAAGAAUUGACAUGGUUCACAAUAUUUAUAUAUUUUUAAUUAGGUUUGAUCGGUUCAAGUAAGAUAUUGAUCAAUUUAGCUUUGUAAGAAUAAUGUUGGAUCGUUUUAAUAUGAAAUCUUUAACAUGGCUUUCUAAAAACACAACUCUAUGUUAUAUUCCUCCUCUAUAGAUACUCGGUUUGGUUUUCGAGAACGUAGAUAUUGACCCAAAAAGGAAAGACGAAAGAACAGGCCUACCCACUUACAGUCCCCUCAUGAUCAAUUAUGAUUAUUCCUUGUGUAUGUGUGAGGGAAGUUAUAAGAAAAUUUUGGAAACCCCAAAUGUUUGAAUGAGAGAAAAGAGAGACGAAAAAGGGGUAUUAUAUAUAUAUAUAUACACAUGUGUGUGUGUGAGGAAAACAAAAUCCAACACAUAUAACAAAAAAGCCAAAGAUUUUGCCAAAAUCAGUGGUUAACUUCAAAAAAACCAUUCAAACUGAUUUUGGGGUUUGGUGCAUUUAUGAAGUCUUUGUUCUAACUUCUCAGUCAGAAAUAAUCAGAGAGAGACAGAGAGAGAGAGGAAGAUCGAGAGAUUCAAAUUAAUAAUAUUAAAAAAUUAUAAAUGUGAUAUUACACACUUCGAUAUGUGUGUCUAUAUAUAUACACACAUAUGAUAUUAAUUAAUUAAGGUAGUCAUUGUUCCAAUAAUUUAGUCUAUGCAACAAUUCCAAUGAGAUGGUUUGUGCAUCAAUUCAAUUGGUUUAUAGUACAAACCAAAUGAUUAUGAAGUCAAAAAUUUUAGCACAUUUUUUCAAGUACACACUUUCUUUUUAAAUAACCAAACUUCGACUUCGUCCAAAUAGUUGUUCUUACCAUCUUAAUAUAUAUAUAUAUAUAUAUAUAUAUAUAUAUUAUUUAAUUUAACUUUAUCUUUAUACUAAAAAGAAUGUAUCAUAAAUAUUUUAGUUUGGAAACUUAUGUCAAUUUAAAUAGUAUUGAUUAAAAUUAAUUGAAGACUACAAAAUAGUAUUUACUAUGUUUAUUUAUGGUUAUUAGUUGGAUCUUUUGAUCUUGUUGAAGACCUUUUUAGUUGAAUUUUGGUCGGAACACAAUAUACUAUAAGUUUUAGCUUAACUUUAUAGCAAGUUUCCAGUUACAUUAUUUAUAUCUUCAAUUUCAUUUCAUUUCAAGUAUUGGAUUUUAUUUCUUCAAUUUCAUUUCAUUUCAAGUAUUGGAUUUUAUUUUUUAUAAUGUAUUUGUAUGUAAUAAUUAUUAAUUAAUUGUGAAGAUAUUCAUACAAGGUCUCAUUCUCAAAAUAUAUAUAUAUAUAUGGUUGAUCCACCAUUUUUCUAUACCUUUAUCGAACUUGAAAAAACACAAAAGGUGGUGAAUACAUUAUAUUAUAUUUCUUUUGUAUUAAUUAAUUAUUUUACACACCAAAACAAGAAACAAACGAGAAAAGUGAUUGUUUUAGUACCCAAAAUAUAGAACAAAGGAAAAAUUAGGUCGUCCCAAAAAAACCUUAAAAGAAAGAAAAGUAAUAUUUUGGAAGUCAAGUGAUAGGAAAAGAAAAUAUCAUUAUUUAUUCAAUUACAAAUGUUUAAUCUUAGUACUGUUAGAGAGUUAUUUAGUGUGAAGUCCACGUUGUAAAAAGUUACAUAAUUGAAGUUUUGAGUAGAUGUUAAAGAUUGAACAAAACAUAUAUUAAACUUAAUCUCUACCACAACUUUUUUUAUCACCUUGUAAUUGUUUUUAUUAACAAAAGAAAAAGAAACUACCAAUUUUUACCCGAAAUUCUACACAAAUGGAUUUCAAAGCAAUAAACUUAAAAUGACUUAAUCCAUUACACAAAUUUAAGAUAAUAUAAAUUUUCUAAAAUUUAUUUUUAUUCAUGUUGUAAAUUUAAAAGAUAAAGAAGAAAGAAAGAAAGAAAGAAAAAGAAUAAAUAUUUAAACCGAAAGAAAAAGAAAAAAAAAUGGUAUUUAUGUGUUGUGUUGUGACGCAUGAGAAGGCGACAAAGCUCUGUUUUGUCAGCAUUGUUCUGCGUCCCAACUUUUUUUAAUUUCUCUUUAAAAUGAUUUUUUUAGUUUUAAUUUAAUUUUCCCGCAAUGUUUGAAUUGGACGAACUUUUCUACUUCAUCUCUUUCUACUCUACACUACACUACACUACUCAUCGUUUCGUACACAAUGAAUGCCAUCUCCCUAAAGAAUUCCUCUAUUAUAUUCUACAAAUCUCCCUUUACUUGCACAGACCAUCCCCCAACAUAUUACUUCUUCUUUCUUCUUCUUCUUCUUCUUCAUCAUCAUCAUCAUAUUAUAUACAUAUAGAGAGAAAGAGAGAUUUGUUAUUUGCUGAAUGUGUCCUUCCAAGUAAACAGUACUGUUUUUCUUCAUUUUUGUGCAUUACUUAAAAAGGGUAGUAGUCAAAAGUUAGUUCCCAUUGAGUUUAAAGCUGAUUCUAAGCUGCUUUUCUUUCUUUAUUUCCUUCUCUUUUUUUUGGGUUAAAUGUACUUUCUUUUUAUUGUUUCCAUUUCUUUUUUGGUAUACAUAUAUAAAAAAAUACGGUUCAUUACUCAUAUUCGGGUUAUGUGCAUAUAAGUUCUUCAUAUUUUCAAACUUAAGAUCCCUUAACUUUGCUUUUAAUAGCACUUUUGGUGGUCAUUCUAUCAAGUUUGUUGUUCGUCUAUAAUAAAAAGUUGAUUUGAUGUUUGUUUUCAUUAAAAAAAAAUAUUUUUCUUCAUUUUCUCUUUCUUUUUAUUUAAAACUAGUUGAGAAUGGGAUGAAAUGAAAAUGGUAUCAUUAAACUCAAAUCUCGUAAAAUAAAGAGUUGCAUUUGAAAAAUUAUAGAUAAGUAAACCGUCGAAGAUUAAAAAUGUAAUAUCUUUUUAUGUAAACUUAUUCUCGAGAAAAUGUGUUGACUAGAAAAUAUUUGAAUUGUUUGGAUUAGUUUAUAUAAUAUAAAAGAAAGUUUAAUCAUGAUUAACGACAAGAUUACAAGUUUUAAUGAAUAAAAAGAAAAACAACCCUAACUUAUACAUAUGUUACAAAUCCUUAUUCAAAUCUAAUUAAGAGAAUGAAUCUACUAUAUAUUUUAUUUCUUAAUUAAUUCAAAUUUUAUAUAUCUACUAAAGUGUUGUGUUAGCAUCUAGUGAGUCGAUAAUAAUUAACAUCAAACAUUAAUCAAAGAGAAACAUAGUAUAAUGUUUAGGGAUGUAAUAGAAAAGGUUUAUAUUAACUUAUAUUAAAGCUAAGGGUCAAAUGUACCCUUUUGUAAUAUCUUCACAUAUACAUAUUGUAAUAUAUAUGAUUGCAGAAAGACUCUUAAUAAGUGAGUAUAAAAUUGAUUUUCCCACAAAUUUGUUGGAAUAACAUGCUUUGAGUUUUUAGCUAACCCGGUGAUUAAAAAACAUUUUAGCAUAUAACCCUAAUCGUGUAAUUUUAAAAACGAGAAAAAAACUAAAGACUUGAGAUUGGAGUCUGAAAUAUUAUCUAAAUUGAAUGGAUCUGGUACUAACAACAAAAUAGGACAAAAACUACUUAUAUGAUUACCAUUUAGUUAAGCUUGUUAUCUCAAUUAGUACAAGAUCUUCUAAAAAGUGUUGAUCAUUGAGAAAAUUCCAUGUGAUUUGUAUGGAAAGAGAGAAAGAAAGACAGACAAGUAGGUGGUGGAUAUUUCAAUAGACGUACGUAUUGAUUGAUAAAGUGUAUCCUCCAGUCUCUCUUCAAUUGUGUGUGUAUAAUAAAAUACGCAGAGAGAAGAAGCUUUAAUUUAUUAGUUUCCCAAGAAACUAAAGAUAUAUAUAUAUGUAUGUAUAUAUUGCCAUGCAAAAAGCUGAAAUGGGUUUGAUUGAAAGGUGAUUUGGAGAUAUAUAGUAAAAUAGAAUUAAAAUCAAUUAAAGUAUGGAUAUAUAAAUUAGUAAUUAGAGAUAAGAGAGAGGGAAUGAUAUAUAGUAUAUGAAUUAAUUAUAGAUAUAAAAAAAGAAAAAGGAGAAAAGGAAGAGAGGAGAGAAAUGGGCAUCUAGAAAGAAAGGAAUCUUGAGGGGAGCUGUUUGGAUUUUGCUUUUACAAAAAUCGAGGCUGAAGCUCAGCCUGAGGCUGUGACCCUAACCCUUCCUACUAACAACGAAUAAAGCAACAAACACACACUCUGGAAAUAUAUAUACAUAUAUACAUACAUAUACACACACACACACACACACACAUAUAUAUAUAUAUAAUUUUCUAAAAAAAAUCUUUUCUCUCUCUCUCUUUCUUCCAAGUUCCAACAGUGUUAAGAGAAAAUAUCGUGCUUGGUCGGCUUGUCGAGGGAAAUAAAUAGUUUUUCAUCUUUUUUGUUUGAAGGAUGGAAGAAUGUUAUAUUUGUAUUGAUUUUAUUAAAAGAAAAAACUUCUCACAAACUACCACUAAAAUAUACAAGUUGGUAAGAAUUGAAAUCCUAGUUUGAUAAAUUAUCUUUACGUUGUUUGUUGUUUGUUGUUUGUUAGAAUCAAAUACACUUAGCUUAGACAUAGUUAAAGGGAAAUUUUUCUUAGCCAGUAAACAAGAGAUAUGAGAAGUUAUUGUUUAAGGGAGCUCUUUGGUAGGUUUAGAUGGUGGGAUGUUUGAAAGUGAGUUUAGUUUUCAUUUGGGUAAUAAGCAUGUAAAGAUGAGAAUGGGAAUAGGAAAAAAUGGGUCGGAAAUCCAAGUGAAAUAUUAUUUUGUAUUGAUCUUCAAAAAUAAAAAAGAAAAAUGUGUGUGUGUGUGUGUUUGAGUGUUGUGUGUGAUUUCUAUGUUGGUCGUCACACAUCAUUACCAACUCCUCACAUUGAUCCUCGUGCUCUGUGUUUCACAUUCAUCUUCCAUUCGUUCCUCUCUCUCUCUCUCUCUCAUUUCCCUUUUUCAUCGAUUCUCCAAACAAGAGUCGAUUGACUUAUGUUUGGAUCUUGUAUUUACUGUUCUAAAUAAGUGAUAUGAGUGUAAAAGAUAAACAAUAUCGCAUCCUUGGAAAGAUAUAGUUAGGUGCAUGUCCUUCAUUAAUCCUAAUUGUUGGAUAUGGAGAGUGUUUGUUGUGAGCCUCAAAAGAUAUUUAUACUAUAGUACUUAACAUCAAUAGUGUGCUAAUCUCGUUAGAUAAUUAAGAAAAUUAGUCAAUUUUAAAUAUUCUACCUAUUUCAAUAUUAUAUCAUCUAACACUUCCUUUAAUUUAUAAACUUGAAAUAGGUAGAAAAACUCAACAAAAGAAAACCAAUAGUAUUUUUUAGGAAAGGAAAUAACUAUUUGAAACAAAAGUUUAGUGGUUACCCUUAAUUUAUUCAAGGAAGAGUGAAAUUUAACUUAAUAGUAAUCUUUAUACUAUAAUAUUAGUCGUUUCAUUGAAAUUAAAUCGAUUAAUACUCCAUCAAUAUUUUUCUAAUAACAUGAGAUGCGAUCAUUCGAACCAAAUUCACACGUCCCGAGUAAAACAUAUUUUUCAAAUAUAGCUACAAAUUGUACAACUUAAUUUUCUAUGUGUGUGUAUAUAUAUAAUGUACAGUUGGUUAUGCAUCAGCUUUCACUUUUUUGUAGAUAUAUAUAUAUAUAUAUAUGAUCUCUCCUACAAAAUUGAUUUGGUAGAGAGAGGAAUGAAGUAUAUAUGUUUUGGUCACGUUCUCCCACAUGAACUCAAUCAUGCAAACCAUAUGGCCCAUUUACACAUUUUUAGAUUCCCAAUUUAGACAUCACAUACACCAAUUUUUGCAUUUUGGUCCCCCAAGCAUUAGUAAUUUUGUGCAUUGGACCUACCUCCCUCUUUCAAAACCUAUAAACAUUUCAAUCCCGUCUCGUCUCGUCUCCUCUUCCUUUUCUAAUUCACUUUAUUAUGCUCUUCAAAGGCCUCGUUUCAUAACGAAGCUUAUCUCUCCAGUGCUCCGUUUGACCACAUUAACUUAAGAUCUAAGCAAAAGACUAAAAUUAGCUACUGCUUAUUUUCUUAUUUCAUAUAAUAUAUAUAUCAAUGAUGUGAUGUCUAUUGAAAAAUUACAUUAAAUUGUUUAAUCGAAAUAAUAUAGGAGCAUACCUAUGUUUUCUUUAGGCUAUAGUUAGACUAGCUAAUUUGAAAAAUAUAAUCUUUAAAACGUUCAAACAAAAUGAAAAUAAAUGUAUGAGUAAAAUCAUACACUUUUAGGGUUUAACGUUUUUUUAUAAGAAAAAUAAAUAACCAAUUAAUUUUGUAUUUUUUUAGAAUAUGUAUUUGAUACAACCUCUCAAACUCUUGAAUACAUUCCAAUCAUCUCAUCUUAAAAAUAGAAAGAAAAGAAUUGAUGGGAAUUUACAAAUGGCUUUGUCAAAAAAUAAUAAUCUUUAUAACACAAGUUGAAAGGGCCUACUUAACAUUAGUAUCAUCAACUUUUCAAUAUAUAUAUAGUUUUUUUUUUUUUCUUCAUUCCUUAGCCCAUUAAUUUUGACCCAUAGCAUCCAAUGAAAAACAAAACCUUUCUUUUCUCUACUCUUUCAUUUCUUUGGAUCCUUUUCAAAUUUAACUUUUUAUUUUAGAAAAAAAAAAAAGGAUUUUGAUUAUUUAUCUAAAUCUUUUUGUGUCAAAUCUUUUUUAAAAUCCAAAGAUUAAAAUUUUAAAAAGUAGAAUCAUCUUUUUCGUCAUUAAUUGUGACAUAAAUUCAUAAAGAGAGAGUGGAAGAGUAACAAAUUAUGUCUACACGUUUUUCAUUUACAUAUAAUUUAUUAUAUCACCACUAUGACCAAUAAUUAAUUAAGUGAUUCUUUUAACUAUUAACAUUUAAAUAUAUAGUCUUUAACACAUUCCCUAGUGUUUAUAUACUUAAAAAACAUUGUCAAGAAAUGUAUCUUUUUUCCUUUUUCUUAAAUAAACAUUAAAAUCUAAUAUUUUGUUAUAUCUAUCAAACUAUUUAUUUUUAGUUUUCAUAAUAAAAAAAACAUUAAAUCAAGCUUAAUUUUUGACAACUUUGUUACUUAAUAUAAUAUAAAUUAAAAGUAAUAGUUAGUGAUGGGUAAAGAGAACAACUUUGGGCAUGGUAUGUAUUAUUAUAAUUAAACACAUUUGAGUGAUGAAUGAAAACAAUCAAUUAUUUUUUUUUUCUUUUUCUUUUUUCAUAUAUGGAUAUGGUUAAGGAAUUUGACUGAGUGGGAUCUCCAAUCAUUGUUCAGUUUUAUUUAAAUUAAUAAUGGAUAUUUAAAAAUGAAAUUUAUGGAUGCUUGCGUGAGGAAGCACUAAUAAAACACAAAAGAAAAGAGGAAGAAUAUUUAUCUUUCUUUAUUGGAUUAUAAUUGAGGGAGACGACAAGACCAAAAGCAAACCCCUUUCUUCAAUCAAUCGUAGAACGACACCAAAUCCCUCAACGUUUUGCUGCCUCUUUCCAUUUUACAAAACGACAAGUCGUUUUAAAGUGAUUCAGACUUCAUAUCAAUUCUAACGAGCCCAUCAACUAAGUCCGGCCCAACCUUACGACAUAUUUGGGCCUAGCCCAAACCCCAUUUCUAUUAGCUUCGUGCCAAUUUUAGGAUUAAUACAUUUUUUGUGCCAACUUUAGGAUGAAUACAUUUUUUACAAGUGAUAGACUAAUAUUUGCAACAUAAUCUAUCAGUCAUAAAUUUCUAUCAUUGUUAGACUUACACAAAUUUUACUGUAUUUGCAAUAUUUUUAAAAUGUUGCUAUAUAUUUAAUUAUUUUUUAAAUUUAAUUGAUAUAUUUGUAAUUAUCUCAUUCUGUUAGUAUAUAGAUACAAUAGAAAAGAAUUUCUAAAAAGUCUACAACUGUAACAGAUAAAAAGUCUACAAUUAUUCUUGAAAAUAUUUUAAUGUGAAUGAAUGAGAUAUUGAAGAAUAGUCCAUAAGUAAAAUCAUAACUAUUGUUACAAUAGAAAAAGUGAUAGGAAUUGUACAAGAAGAAGAUAUAAAUGUCAAUGGUGAUAUCGUUUGAAAUGGUUUCACAGAAGCCAUUGUCAUGACCAUGAGAUAUGGCAACUAUUUUUUAUAUGGAAUUAGUCAUUCGUCCACUUUAGCAUCUUUUCGAACAAAAAUGGUGAUAUUGUUUCAAGGAUUUCGAUUUUUUGAAAAGUAUCACAAUUUUCUUUCCUGUAAUUAAGAGUAGAUGAAGAGGCCAAAUUUCUCAACCAACUAAUUAAUUCGAUGAUUUAAUAGCAUAUAAGUAUAGAAAGGAGACAGCACAGGUUGACUAACAUUACCCUCUUGUGUAAAUGAUGGAGAAACACGUGUGUGUAUAAUAACACAUCCGGGUGUGAAAUUGUGUUUCUAGAAAUAGAUCUAUGGACAUUAAUUUAAUGUGAAUGAGAUACCCAACAAGUCCUAGAAUCUUUAGAUUAUAUCAUUUAUGAAUGAGAAUGAUAUAAAACCCUUAGCAUUUAUAUGCUAUCACCUUCAUACUUUAACUGUACACAGGAAUCAUUCAUAGUGGGAAUAUCGAUACCUUUGCUACGUUAUCUACAUUGUCUGGGUCUGAAGUUCUCAUGAUCAAGAAGCUUCAUCAGAAGCUUUUCCAGCCUCUUUGAGUUACUAGUUGGUUUAACAGCAUGGGGACUACCAUAGGCCAUACAAGGACCCUUCUCCGAGACCGAGCUCUUCAAGCACCAGCCACCCGGUGUGAACUGCCCCUUCGAUCUCUUUAAGAGUUCCUCAUCUAUUCUGUUAAGUACUGAACUAUUCUCGGCAAAACUUCGAGCAAAAGGCAGACCGCUUUGGACCAUGUCGAUGAAAUGUUCAGAUGUUAGAUUCAUGGGGUGUUGGUUUGGCGGAUUGUCCCACUUCAUAUAAUGCAAAUCUUGGUUCACAGUAGUGUUUUGGUAGUCCUUGUGAUUGCAGAUGAUUGUGUGGAAGUAACCCUCUGGUGAAGAUAAGAAAUUGGUGUAGUACAUGAGGAGAGUCCGAGGGAGAUUGUCCCAUCCCCAUAUGCAGAAUUCCAAAAAUGGUUUCGUGAGCACCACCCAUGAAGAUCCUGGCAAGAGGUUUUCACAUCACUUCCAAGAAUAACAAACCAUUUGAAUGGAUCACUUAAAAUCAGUAAACUGUGAAUAUCUAGAAUUUUUCAUCUCAUUGACUUGAGUCAAGCUCGACUUAUAUCUCGCACAACCAAAGUAUCAAGAAUGAUAAACUAUCAAAAGAGUGGAGAAAAAUGUUGCAUAGAAUUAGUUGUAGGAAGUGCCUUACCAGUAAACAGCUUGAAUGAUGAUGGUAUCGAUCUUCUCUCUUUUGCCCAAAACACUCCCGAUUUUUUUGUAUGAUAUAAGGCAGGAUCUAUUAUUAUGGUCCUUGCUCCCAUGUCCCUAGUUCAUUUUAUAAAACAAUUUAGAUAACAAUGGUGACAUCCAAAGGGAUAUUAGAGAAUUAUGAUGCAAUGAAGACGAUCGGGCUUACUCUUUCCAGCCAAGAUUACUUGAGUGAUCGACGAAGUUCAAAUCCCUUGGCAGGAAGGAGAAUACGUGUAAAAGAUCUGGAACACAAACAUAUAGGUUACAUGAGCGAAAAGAUUAUUAAACUCACAAAUCGCACAUAGCAGUACUGUGAAUUCGUUUAUUCUUCCAAAAUAUCACCAUGACAGAAGGAAAAGAGUUCACGAGUUCUUGCAACACGAACAGAAUAGUUCACUCGAACUUUCUUCUUGUUCGUCGGUUGGUAAAGCAAAUGGCUGCUUAAUUAGGGAUCAAGAUCAAUACAAGUAUCUUAAAAAUAUGGAAACUGAACAAUAUAUGAGUUCUAAAACUUAUAGACUUCAUGUAUAUAAUCCACCACCGAGUCAGCAACAGUUAACAAUACCUAAGCUAGUUUAUGAAUUGAACACCAAGAACUUCUUAACCCCAGGACAAUUUACACGUAAAUUAAUCAUUUGCUUAUUGAACUUUCAGAUUCACUCACGGAAAUAAAUCGAAUGGUACUUAUGUAUAUAUUCAGAAUGGGAGGUCAAAAAAAUCACAAGUAAAAUGUUAAUAUCAACAAAACUAACAGAAAUAUCGUUGAUUUCUAUAAUUGGUAGGCACUAUAUGGAAAUACUCAUUCCAAAUUUAGAAUUAACGUAUAAACAGGAAACAUGCCAAAAUAAACUCAAUGUCGUGUUUAAAGUCGUUUAGAAUUCCACUUGACCAAAACUCAAUGAACAAUAAAAUUGAAUACCAGGAAUUUCGUUCUUAACAAACAAAUACCAGUUAGAAUAUCGAUUAAACAUUCAAUUCGAGGAAAGAUAGUAGAAAUGAGCUGAAGAAACUACCGUCUUGCGGGAGCAGAGGAUAAUCAGAGGCGCUGAGAUUAAUGAACCAAUCCCAAUCCUUAGCACGCUUCAGUAAUAUGGCAAUCGCCUGAAGAGUAGACGCAAUCAUAGUUGGACCUUUAUCAGUGAUCAAAUUGGCCUUACCCACAACCAUCACAUUCCUGAAUUCUCUAAACACACUCUCCGAUUUCACAUAUUUCGCAAGUUCGAGUCUCUCGGAAUCCGAAGCUUCAAGAUCAAGAUGAAGCAGAUAGUAGUUCCUUGGGUGAUAUGCUGCCUGAAGAAGCCGCCUCAUCGAUCCGCCAUCUCCUUUAGUUCCUGAUAUCAAAUACGCAAAUCUCGGUAACGGCGGAAGCCCUAGCCCUAGUAUUUCAUUCGCAUUGGGUUCUAGUACGAAUCUCGAUGCGGAAUGAGAAAAAUCAGCGUCGGAAGAAGAUUUAGGGUACUCGGAAGUAACAAUUAGAAGGAAUAUCAGAAAGAGCAAACAAAAUACACACAAUGGCAUCAGCCAUUUCCGAUCUGGAUAAUAGGGAAUGUGAUUCUUCUUCAUUUGAACCUCCCAACUUCAAAUUGGAAUGCGAUUUCUUCAGAUGAACUGACGCAAAACCAGUUGCUACUUGGGAGCUAAAACCCAAAACCUCGAUCCGAAAGUUACCAACCUAAAAGAAGUUGAAUCGAAUUGUUGAACUUGAAUCCGAUAAUGAAAACUGCGGUGGUUUUUGAUGGAUUUACCGCCCUGUCCGAAGAUUUUGAUGCUUGAGAAAGAGCCCGGCAGGUGAAAGUGAGCUGUCGGUGCGCCGGUCACGGGCAGAAUUGGUUGGUGGGAAAAAUAAAAUAACUUAAGACAUUAUAAUAUAUAUCUCAGUACUAAAAUGGAAAUAUUGAAACUUUAUGAACAAAAGUGGAAUAAAUCUUAAAAAAUAAUAAUAAUCAAAAUAAAAAUACAAGAAAUUUGUUUUUACUUUCUUUUAUCUAUUAAUUUAUUGCAAAAUGAAAACAUUAUAAUAAAGAAAAAAAAUACACCAGUUCUAUAAGCCUAGGGUAUAAUCAUGAAUUAUAUUUUCUUUUAACUUUUGUAUAAAUUUCUUCUUAUAUUUUAUGUUGGUCUUUAAUCAAGAUUAAAAUUUUACAUUAAAUUGAAUAAUGUUACUAUAGGGUGAAAUAAUAUAUUUUAGAAAUUUAAAAUUGAAUUAAAGACGUAAGAGACAUAGGACUGAGACUGACUGAAAGCUAUAACCAUGUGGAAAAGUAGAUAUUAAAAAGAUUGUUAAAUCAAUUUUCAUAGUCUUACCGUUAUGUUAGUUGAUAUGGGUUUCAUUUUCAUUUUCCUGUUAAAUCAUUUUUCAUUGACUUUCAAGUAAUUAUUAAGCAAUAAAAUAUUAUUUAUUUAUUUAUCUUGAGAUAGUAUAAUUUUCUUUUGAUUCAAAAUUUUCGUUAAAAUUAGAGAGACGAAAUGCAACUUUUAAAUUUAUGUUAUUUCAAAGUUUAUUUAUGUUUAACGAUAAAUCUUCAACCACUUAAUUAAAAGUAUAAAUUGUUUGUUUAUCUACUUUCACAUUCAUCUUUUCAACACAAAAAAUAAGAUUUAUAAAAUGGAUGGAGCCAAGAUUUGGAUAAGUUAUAAUUAUUGGUGUUUAAUACAAAGUUUCUAUAUAAUAAUAAAGUUGAAGCUUUAGGAGCAUAAGCAAAUAUAGAUAUACUCUAUUAAGAUUGAAAAUAUAUAUUCACAUUUAUGAUUAAUUAAGAAAAAGAUCAAGAGAGGACAAUGGAAUCAAAUGACGACGACACGUGUAACAGAAGAAAUAAAAGGGAAGGAAAUUUCAUAAAUCAAUUUCUCAUCACCCAAAAAGGAAAAAGAAAAGAAAAAGAUCUAAUCCUGAAUCCUAUUAAGUUUUUGGGAUUUGAAUUUCAGAAUCGAAAAUCAUUCCAAUUUUUCCAAAUUCUAUGAAAUAAAAACUAUCUAAUUCCAAAUUAUCCACAAAAUAUAGGGAAAUGGAGAUGAAACUUGAACGUAAUUUUUCGAUCUGUGGUUCGAAUUUGCAUAAAACGGAAGAACAAAGAGAUGGAAGAAGAAGAAUUUCAAACUAAAUAUCCGGCAUCCGGCAGUCCUUGGUGGAAAUCGUCGCUUCUAGAAGCCGCCGGCCGUCGCGGCGCGUGGUUGUGAAUCGGCCGCUUAACAGUGACGGGGACGGCGGCUCGACAAACAGGACAAUUAGGGUGAGAAUAGAGCCACAUAUCGAUACAAUCCACAUGAAAAGAGUGUUUACAGACGGCGAGUUGCCGGAUCUCUUCACCGUCGUCGAACGCCGACAGGCACACUGGACACUCGUUGCCGACUUCCUUGCAGUGCUCGUCUUUGUUGUAUUUAACGGCAGCAGCAACGUCACUAGAAGGAGUACGAUUUCCGACCACAACGGUGGCGCCGGCGCCGGAGAGCCUUGUGGAUCUUUGCCGCCAGAGGCGGAGGAAAUUGGGCGGGCACUUGAUGGCGAAGAUGAAGGAGUAGACUAGGGCAGGGAUUGUGAUGACGGCGACAAGGCCGAGAAUGAACUCAAUUGGAGAGAAAUCAACGGUGCGAUGUGGCGUUGGGUACGGCGGCGGUGAUCGAUUCAUGGAGGAGGCUGUGGCGUCCAUGGCGGAAAAAUGAAGGGGAAAGGAAGGCUGUGGAAUUGGUUUCUUAUCAUUAAACAGCUCAGGUUCAUACAAGAUUUUAGUUUUAUUGUUUUUGUUUGGAUUUGUAGGAUUUUUUUUGUUCAUUGAGACAAAUUAAAUUAAUUUGAAUAAAGAAAAAAUGUAAUUGUAUUUAUUAUUUAAAAUGAAAAAAAAAAACUAAUUAGCCUUGUGAUCUAUUAAAAAAUAGUUUAGAGGUUUAAAUUGUCAAAAUUUUGCAAUUGUUUUUGUAAAGAAAAAAAAAUGUAUAUCUUAAUUCUCGUGUCAACCACGAGAGUACUGAGGUUGAGAAUCUCACGUUAUAAAAAUAAGAUAGAUUCACACUCUUUAUAAAAUAGAUGAGUUACUUGUCUCAUUAUAAAUUGGUUUUGAAAUGAAACUUUAACUAGUUAUCAAAUAAUAAAAAUGAAAACAACUAUAUUUAAUCUAUAGUAGAGAUAUUUUUUAAGAUCGUUAUUUCUACAAAAUAAUACGUUCAAGUGCAAUGUAGAUUGAGAUGACUAUUUAAGAAACAUUUGAAAGGUCGAUAUCUUCAACAGCCUAACAUUUUGAAUUUUCAAUCUCUAAAGAAAACAUUUAUUUUCUUUCCACAACAUAGUUCAUAUAAAACACUAAAAAUUCAAAACUAUUAUUUUUAAGUAAUCAUAAGAUCGUACUAUAAUAGAUUUUAUUUAAACUCAACUUUUCGAAACCUAGAAUUCUUUUCUUUUUGGCUUAUGAGAGAGUCUAAGGAACAACAAACAUUAGUAAAGCAAUGGUAUGUAGUGCUGAAUUGAAUGAGGGAAAAAUGAAAGAUAAUUUUAGUUGGAAAAAGAGUUACGUAUUCUAUUGAUUAGGUAUGGGAAAAUGCUUUCUUUAAUAAAGAUGAAGAGAGCAAUAAUUGAGAGGCUGAGGCUGUCAUCAGCUUGAUGGCUAUCAAACUUACCUAAGUUUUUGCAACUUGGAAAUGUGGGCCAAAGGGAAGCCUAAAUACAAUACAUCAUGUAGUUUUCUAAUUGUCACUUUCUAUAUUCAAAUUUUCAUUCUAUGUUUAUUGGGAUUUUCUUUUCUUGAAAUUGUUGGGGUUAACAAUAUAUUUCACUCUCCAUCUUGUACCAAAAUCCGGUUCAAUUGACGAGAUACCUAUUGGCUAUUGAUGAUUAUUCUCUUAGUUAUAGUUAAUCAUCGCAUAUCUCAUAUUUGUUGAUUAAAAAAAAGGUAAUGCAAACUCUUUUUCAUUUUUAGAACUUUAUGAAAAUAAUUAUAAAUGUUUAGAAUUAUAAAAAUUAACCUGAUUAAUUUAUUUUUGUAAAUAAAUUACAAUUUAGAUGCAAAAAUGGUCAUUUCAUCGAUAGGUUGCAAAAUUUAUGGGCCUGAGCCCAACCUCAAAAGCACCGGCUCAUUUUCUGCUGUUUACACUCAACUGGACGAGACAGUACGUUGUGGCCCAAAUUUUGUGAAGGCCCAUGAAGAUCCAAAAUAUGUAACUCAGCCAUUCUAAAUCCUAAUUAACGAGACAAAGUGAAAACAAAACAGAUUUGUGAAUAUUUAUCAACUUACAAAUAUUGUAAUUGGAUAAAGCUCCCUACAUGAUAAAUAAUGACUUGAGUUAGUUGAUAGAGACAUGUAGGGUAGAGAUAGGCCACUCUUUUGUCUAAGUUUAAAAGUUUUUGGUGAGAGGGAAUCUAAUGCUAAUAGUCUCGAAUAUGGAAGAAGCGUCACUUGAGACUUAACAUGGAGGACUAGUACCGUAUACGGAUGAAAAUAUUCUAUGCCAGUUAAAGUUUUUGCAUCUUCUUUUAUGUUUACUCGUUGGAGCUCCUGUUGUCUAUUAGUGGAGCUUCAUUUAUCAAAUCCAACCAAAUAAAGUCUUUCAUUAACUCCAUCAUGGUAAAUUUAAUCAUGUGCUUAAAAUUUUGUAGAAAACCUCGAUAGAAAUCACUAAAAUUUCCAAAAUCUCUUAGAUUUGAUGAGUUACAAUAAACACUUGGCAUUAAAAUUUCCUAUGGUGUAGCAUAGACUUCAUUCUAGUUUAAUUAAACUAUUAUAUAGAGCAUUGUACCUGGUAAUUUAAAUAUUAGAUUUAAUUUCAAAAUGAGAACAAUAAACAAUUAGUAUUAUUGUAUUAUUAUUAUUAUUUAAUGUGAAUGAUUGUGAAUAUUUUAGUGGGCAAACUAAGCCAAGUGAGGUGGGCAGUAGAAUAAAGAUAAAAAAGGGUUAGGCAUAAGGCAGGCAGGUAGGGUUCAAUAAUUAAGAUUAAAAAAGAUUUAACAAUUUUGUUUUGAUAAGUUUUGAUGUUAAAGCCAUGAGCUAAUUACCAAACCCACUUGAUGAGAACUUAGAUGUUUCUUUGACAAAAAAAAAAAAAAAACUUAGUGAUGUAUAUAUAUUUCUCGUUCUUUGAUAAUAUUAUUCGGUAAUCAAAAUGAACACACAACAAAAUGAUAUACUUUUGUGUAUGGGUAUAAUCUAAAGUAUAGAUUUAAAACGUCAUGUCUAACGAUGGAGAUAUGCUUAAACGACAGUUACAUUCUUUGUCACACUAUAUACCUAUCUAGGUCGAAAUGUAAUAUCUUUUCAUGUAUGAUUGUGAUCAAGACCACACAUGUAUGAAAUAUCAUAAUUGAUCUAAUGGUGGAGAUAUUCAUGAAUAUAUAAAAUGUCACGUUCUUUGUCAUUUGUCUCUUUACAAUUAUUCAAGUGAUUGGAGUGAUUACAAGACAAAACAAUGUAUCAUUUAGUGUAUUAUAUGUAUGCGAUCUAAACCAUAAACACGAAACAUCACAAUCUAACAAUGUAAAGAUGCUCGAACAAACAAAAUCACACGCAAGAAACAUAUACUAGACAAAAAAAAAAAGGGUUAAGAUAGUUCAAAUCUUCCCUAAAAUGCAGUUAUUUGAACUCCUAAGAUAAUUAUAUAAAUCAUAUAACAAUGACACAUUAAUCUAACACAUCACAUAAAACAAAGAAAUAAUCAACAAAAUUAUAAAAUUAAAGGCUAAUAUUUUAUAAAAUUCGUCCUUUUUACUUUUUAUUCAACACAUAAGAAAGUACUACGAAACAACAACAAUUUAAAAAAGGCUAAUCAUCCUUUUAUUAAUAAAGAAAAGGACAUACAAUGCAUUUCUUAAUCCCCUUUUCAAUUUAUAUAAACUUAACAUUUUCCUUUAUAUUUAGUUGCCACUUUUGAAUUUAUAAGGGGAGGAGGGAAAGAGAAAAAAAAAAGAGUAAAAUCCAACCAACCAUUUGAAAGUGUUUAUUACAAAGAAUGCACUAAUAAUUUGACAUAAUUAAGAAAAAAGUUGGAGAUGGAUUAAUUAAAUAUUUUAGCAAAAUCUAAAUUAUGCAAAACUAUAUUAUAUAAUCUCUUCACACUCAAUUAAUAAUUUAUAAUUUUUUUUUACCGAUAUUUAUUUUUAUAAAUGUAAACAAGAAUAAUUCAAUUGACAGAUAUCUAAACAAAUAAUGAAAAAAAGAGUAUUAAGUUUUGAUUUGACAAUAUUGACCAAAAUAUUCAAUUAUUGUUUAUGGCAUUUUAAAAAAAAAAUAAUAUUAUCGUUUUUUUAAAAAAUAAACAAAGAAAAUUCAAAAUUUAAUGUGAUAUUCGUUUGAAUUAGAUGCUACAAAUAAUUGUGGUAAUUAAAGGCAUGUUUAAAUUGAUGUUUAAGUAUUUUAUUUUAUUUAUUUAGAAACAUUUAUUUAAGCAGACGAAUCAAAUAAGAAAAAAGAUAAGCAUUUAUUUUUCCUUUAAUAUUUAAAGAAAUUUUGAAUUGGGGAAAAAAUUUGAAUAUCACGCUAUCUAAUUCCUUCAUUGUCAAUAAUGUUAGCAUGCUUUAAAAAAGAAUAGUGUGUAGUUGCCCAUUUUCUUUGUUAAUAAUUAUAAUUCGAAAAACAAUUAUAAUAAUAGAUUAUAAAUUUAUUAGUAGAGCUUUAUUUUUAAAGUAUUAAGGAAAAAAUGGUACUUAACAUCUUUCAUUAAUUUCAAAUUUCACGCGACAAAAAAUGUAUUUUGGUCUAAAUAUUAAUUUAUUAUUUCUAUUUUUUCAAAAAUCGAACAUCUUAUGUUGAUAAUAUUAAUAAUAUAUUUAUUAAGAUAAUUAACAUUAAUUUUCUUUACAAAAUUUGAAAUAUAUACCAUAACCAAAAUGAAAAAAAAAAUUUAUUAGAUUUGUUGUUUUUAAUUAAAAAUAUAUUUUCAUUUGGAAUGUUUUAAAAUUUAAAAAAAUAUUAAUAGAAUAAAAUAAAUUAUUGGACUUAAAAUAAAAGGAAACUAAAAUUACAUAAUUUGGACAACAAAUAACAAUUCACCUACAAAAAAUUGUAAGACUACUAGUGAAGGUUCAUCUAAGGUAAUUGUAAUUUGUGAAAUAAAUUAUUGUAAACCAAUAAUAUAGAUGGAGAUUAAGCAAUAAUUGAAGAAGAAAAGGAGAAAGGAAAUAUAAGCAAAGCAUUAAGUUAAGAAUUAAGAACAUGGUAUUGCCAAAAUUAUCACCCACUUAUCAUAAUGGACCACCAAAUUCAUCAUUAAGAUGUAGACUAAGUGUAAUAUAGUGCUCCAUUAUACUUUCUUUAAUGAAUAAUUAAGCACAUUUAAUUAAAAACAUAGGCAUCAUUAUUUCUUUUUUAGAAAAGGAGAGGCUGUGGGACAUAUACGAAUAACUUUUAGUCAAAUCCAAAAGGAAUCACAUUUCAAAUACCAAUAUUUACAUAAGCAAAAAUAAUACAAAGUCAAGCAUAUAUUUGAUGGGUGAAUUUACUUAUCAUAUUACAAAUUGUAUAAAUAUAGUAGAUAUAAUUAGCCAUACAAAAAAUAACAUUAGAAAAUUUGAAACAUAAGUAAAAAAAAAACGUUUUCAUUACUAGUUUUGAAAAUUAAAUCAUUCCGGAUUAACGUAUUAUUUAUGAAAGAUAGACCCUAACAAUCCCAUAAUAUAUAAUAAGUCAAAGAUGUAAAAUGGUUUGGUGUUUGUAAUUUUGGGAUAUAUUAUUGCUUUGUUUUGAGGUGGAAGAAUGGGAGAUAUUUUAUUUCGAUAGGAAACCUCAGCAACAUAUAAUAUAUAUUAUAUAAUAUAUAAUGAAUAAAAAUGAAAUGAAUAUGCACCACAUACAACAUUAUAAAAGCAAACCAUACCCUACUUUUCCAAUUUCUUUUUAGGGUUUGAGAUCAAAUUUUCUAAUUACACUUUGAGAUAAUUAAUACAAACUUUAAUAUUAUCUUAUCAUCGUCAUCUUUAUUUUGUUAUUAGGCGAAGUGUUGGUGCGGCCCUAAAGCCCUCAACAUGAUGCCUUUGCUUCUGCACUGCAGUUGCUCUGGCUUAGUGCCCAACACAUGUUAAGUUUAUUCUUUCUAAUAACUUUCUUUUCUUCUUCUUUCUUUCUUACGUUAAAGUUUGUAUAACUAAAAUUACUUUAAACAUAUUUUAAUUUAGAUAACAAAAUUUGAAAAUAACUUAAGAAAGCCUACUGUAUUUGUAAUUUAGAAUAGUCAUGGAUUAUGUCCAAACAUGGUUUCUUUGUUUUACUCUAUUGUUUAGAUUAUGAUUGACGAAUAGACAUGUUAUAAUAUUAUUUAGUUAAUUAUGUCAACAAUAUAAAAUAAGAAAAAUGAAUUAUCGAAAUUUAAACACGUGAUUUAAAAAGUGAUGGAUGAGGUUUGUGGGACAAGUUUUAGCUAUUAGAUCGAGGGGUUGAGAAACUUAGGUGAAGAAAAAACUGUGGUUUAUUGGGUAGGUUUUAGAAAAAAAUGAAGGCAAGUUUUGAUUCCAUGACCAUUGUUCAAUUUUGUUGCUAUUUCUCUUAAUUAGAUUUGACUACCGCUCAUUUUGAUAAAUUUAAAAAAUAUGUUUGUUUUUAGAAAAAUACAAAUGAGCAUUAAAUUAUCAAAAGACCAUACUUUUAAUUCAACAUUUAUGAAAUAUAGAUUAUAAAAUGGUUAAUUUGACUCAAUUUCUAUUUGGAUAUAAUUUCAUAUAACAUUUCAAAUUUUAAACAUUAAAUUAGUGAAUGAAAUUCACCCCAAAAAAGAAGGUGAUGGGUUAUAAUCUAUUUAUAAUAGAGUUUAUAAAAAAGUAAUCAUUGAUCCAAAAUCAACUUUUUUUUUUCUUUCUUUCUUUCUUCCACCUUUUUAGUGGCUAAUGGGUAUUAUGUUUUUCUGUAACAAUACUCUGCACUUUCCCCUUUCGCUUUUUUGCCUUUCUGGGUGGUGAUUAGAUUGCUUAAUUCAAAACUUUAGCUUUUCUUUAUAUGAAAUCUUAAUAAAAUAACAAACUCCAUAAUACUUUAUGGGAAUUGGGAAGUGAUGAUCAACAAAAAUAAAUAAAAAAAAACUUUGUUAGAAAAUCAAAAGUUCCUUUAGGCAUUAAUAAAUCCAUAGUUGAGUUGAGAAGAGUUGUUUGGGUUUCUCUUGUUUGAUUACAAAUAUUUCCUUCUGUAGUAAAAAAGUGGAAGAAUAAAAAGGCAACACAGGGGAGAUUUUUCAAAGUGGGAUAUGCUGUGGUGGUUGUUUUGACCAUCCAAUUUUUCUUUUUUUCUCUCUUUAAAACUAGGCUGCGGCAUUUCUCUUCAAAAUCCCUCGUUUCCCAUUUCAUCGUACUUGCCGCAGCCCUAUUUGGCUCCAUUUUUUUUUUCUGGGUUUUUCUUGGGGUUGGGAAGAAAGGGGGGAGGAAGAAGAAGAAGAUAUUGAAGAACUGAGGUAUUAAGGGAUGGUUGUUGACGAUACGAUGGAAAUGAACGUUGUUCUUGGUUUUGGAGGUCCUUCUACUUCUAGAUUUCCCGAUGCCUAUCCCAAAAGGUAUGUAUAUCUCUUUGGAUUCCUUUUUCUUUUUCGAUAUCUGGGUUUUCUUUAGAUUUUCAUGAUUGUUGCUUAUUUUCUGUUUGUGGGUUAAUCGUAGAUUUCUUUGAUGGGUUUGAUUUGGGGGAUUUUUGGGAUCUGAUAUCGGUGUUUACGAGUGAUUUGAGAGUGAUUUGGGGACUUUUUUUAAAGUAUGGGUUCGAUUCGAUUCAGUGUAUUGGAGAUUGGACGUUGAUUCUCUUUUCAUUUGGGAUGUUAUUGCUUUGUUUAUCUGUUGUGUUUGUGAGUAAUUUGUGCUCUGUUUGGUUAAUCUAGGGUUUUGAUGGAGGGAAGAUACACUGGAGAUUGACAUCAUCGGAGUGUUUUUCAGGGUUACUUUCUUCAGUUGGUGUUGUUUUUUCCUUUUUCUUUUUCUUUGUUUCUUUGUGUUUUCCCUUCAGCAAUGGCAAUAUUCAACUUCUCAGAAACAAUUAGGAUUCCAUAAGAGAUGAGUUGAAAUGGGAGAUUCUCUCAUUACAGCCCUUUCACUGGAGAAUCAUCAUCCAUCUACACUUUUAUUCAUGGAUUCGAGUGCCUCAUCUCACGAAGAAUUGGAUUUGGAAAUGAAUAGACAGAUCGUUCUUUCCCGUCCGCCUGAUAUCAAUUUACCAUUGUCAACUGAAUGCAGCUACACUCUGCAGCCAUGGAAUUCUGAUCACUGUAACAUUUUAGAUGUUGGACUUGCUUCACAAGUUUAUGAGACCGAAAGUUUUCUUACUGUUCCAAAAGUUGUAAGGAAAUGCACCAAACGGGUAGACAGCAUUUGGGGUGCAUGGUUUUUCUUUAGUUUCUACUUCAAACCUGUGUUAAAUGAGAAAUCGAAGGCUAAGAUUACCCGCGACAGUAAAGGUGUUUCGGGAUUUGAGAAGUCAGAUCUUAAGGUUGAUGUUUUUAUGGUCCAACAUGAUAUGGAGAACAUGUACAUGUGGGCUUUCAAGGAGAGGCCAGAGAAUGCAUUAGGUAAAAUGCAGCUUAGAAGUUACAUGAACGGGCACUCUCGCCAAGGCGAGCCUUCUUUCCCAUUUGGUUCUGAGAAAGGCUUUGUUCGAUCACAUAGAAUGCAACGAAAGCAUUAUAGGGGUCUCUCAAAUCCUCAGUGUGUACAUGGGAUUGAGGUUGUUGCAUCUCCAAAUCUAAUGUCUCUCGACGAAGAACUACGAAAAAGAUGGGUUGAACUAACGGGUAGAGACUUUAACUUCACUAUACCACCUGAAGCAAGUGAUUUUAGCUCAUGGAGGAACCUUUCUAGCCCAGAUUUUGAACUCGAGAGGUCAGUUCCUUCUGUCAAAAGUGCUUUAAAUUCUCAACCAAAGAAAUUGCUCAACGGAUCUACCCUAAAUUUGUCAAACCACAACAACUGUGAUAUGAUGGAUUUAUCACCUGUUACCAGCAAGAAAAGGAAGAGUUCAUCUCCUAAUAUGAAUGAUGAUGAUUGCUUAUUGAUGGUCAAUCCCCCCGACUGGAUUUCAGAUAUGGACAAGCACUCAAAUGGUUUGCAGUGGUUGAACGACUUUAGCGGAGUUAUGAAGAACAGUUACGGGCCUGUUACAGCUGCAAAGACGAUAUAUGAAGAUGGUGAAAGUUAUUUAAUAAUCAUCAGUUUGCCCUUUGUGGAUCUACAAAGGGUCAAAGUUUCCUGGAGGAAUACACUCACCCAUGGUAUCAUAAAGGUUUCUUGUGUGAGCACAUCUUGCGUACCGUUCGUCAAGAGGCAUGAUAGAACCUUCAAGCUUUUAGAUUCAUCUACUGAACAUUGUCCCCCAGGUGAAUUUGUGCGAGAGAUUCCUCUUUUGACUCGAAUUCCUGAAGAUGCUAAUAUCGAAGCAUACUACGACGGACCGGGAUCUGUUCUUGAGAUUAUGGUCCCCAAACUCCGUGAAGGUUCAGAAGAACACGAGGUUCAUGUUUGCCUUCGACCGCUCCAUGGAGUCAAAUCUAAUGUAAUGUUGAGAUAGGCAGUGUUCUGAAAGGGAAUUAAAGAUGGUGGUUGUCUUGAUGCCAUGGUUGAUUAUAUCAAUUUACUAACUUUAUACCACAAGAUAGAAUUCUAUGAACCUCAAUCUGUUUUUCACAUUUUUCUUUUACAAUUUACGUCAUUAGUCUUAUGCAUCUGGUCUCGCUUUGAUAGGACCUGACACUGGUUGUCAAAGUCAUAAUUCUUGAGAAAUGGCUUAUCAUUUGGUUGAAUAUCAAUACCUCAAAACUUAUUUUUACAUCUACUGUAGUGUUACCAGAACUUCAUUCAGUUUAACUAAAGAAUGCCAAAGGAUACUUCUGUGGUACUUCAACCUCAGAAACGUUAGCCUUUUAUCCUACUUAUCUUCUUAGAAUUGUAUCUAUUUCCCACUUUGUCGGAUCAGGAAAUUAAAUCUCAAGGAGGUUGAGAUCCCUUUAUGGAGAUCUUACAAAGUUGUAAAUUGUUGAUGUUCUUCCCUACUCGAGUACUGUAGUUUGCACAUCUUUUCCCAUGAUCAAAGAAAAGAAUUUUAAUAAAGCAAAGUAGUGAGGGAAUUUAUAUCAAAAUACAUCAAUACUCACUUGAACUUGGAUGAAGAGUCCCACCACAAAAAAUUUGGAAAAACAAUCUCAUUUUUUUCGAAGACUAUCAGUAUAACAUAUGGGAUUACAAGGGACAAAUAACAAAAUGUAGCAAACAUAACUUUAUCACGAAGAACAUACGAUAAAAAUUUUCAUUUUGUUGGACAGUCUCCAAAAUUCUGAACCAACCAAGUCGGAUGGAUGAGUUGAAUCUCCUUACAAGCAUCAUUUAUCAGAAUGGUAAGAUGAAUAUCCUGGGGGACUUCUAGGCCUUGCAUAUUCUGCAAAUAUCAUCCAUCCAUCAAUAAACUGCACCGUACAUUAAACAAUUAUAAAGGUUUAGAUCUCUUUUUUGUCCGCGAGAAAAGAAUACAUUCCAUAGUUUGUGGUUCAAGGCGAAGAAUCGAAGAGAAUAGAGAAACAAUUGCCGGAUACGAACAGGAUCGUGGAAGGAAUCAGCUGAGGUUUCCAUCUCCGUAUCAUUAUUAGAAGUAUCAAUGGAAGGAAAAGCACCGGCGGCCACUGCAGCUGGCGGAUUGUAUAGAAAAGCUUGAAAUUGAAAGAAUUCGUCGGAAUAGUACAGCUUUCAUCGCCAUUUUUCUACUGAAGAAUCUUCCUCCAAAGAUAUUUGAAUUCUCUACUAAUGUGUUGUUGAACUCAAAACACUUUCUUUCAAAGUACUUUGAAAUAAAGCAGUGUGAAUGAAUAAACUAUAUCACUUCAUUAUUAAUAAUAUACAAUCUAAUAAUCUAUAACUAUAACAUAUUUAAAUGUGGUUGGGAGUAAUUUUAGCUUCCAAUUUACCUUAUAACUUAGUACUUACACAUCUAUUUUAUCUUUAAAACUCUCAGAGGACAUGGUUGUCUGCACAAUGCGUUAAUUGAGAGAAAUAAUACAAAUAACUUGCAAUUGCAUAUAAAUGAAUGAUUGAGUUGUGUUGUAUUUAUACUUACGCCAAUCUUCAAAUUAUUAAAACAUGUAAUCGAUGUUGACGAGACAUAUACAUGAAUCACAUGAUCGUUCGAAUCAAAAUGUUCAUUGAGAAAUGUGGUUCAUUUGUUUGCAUAUAAGUCUGAUUGAGACUAGAUGUAAUCAUCGUGAUCUAACAGUUGAGAUGUGUUUGUAUGAGCACAUCCCUUCACACAACCAUAUCCAAUAGUUAAUUAUUUGAAAAGUUCUAAUUUAACAUUGUUUAUAUGGACUUCAAAUAUUUUAUUAUUUUUUUUCUGAGGCUGAGAAAGUGAGUAUUAGGGUUUGAAAGUUCGUUUACAGAAGGUGUGAGUCUAAACAAACGAGUAUAUUUAUACUAUCGAUACGAAAAGUAAAAUCUAACAGCUAAGGUGUGUCCUUUUACAAAAAAAAAUGGGAGUAACAACUUUCCUUUGGUAAAAAAAAUGAAGAAAGCUUUCUUUGAUAUCUACUUUUACGUGUAAAUUAAUAUGUUGUUUAAAAUGAACGGUAGCAAUAGCAUAUUGGUAGACAAUAGUAUAAUGUUAACACAUGUAAAAAUAUUCCCAUCUUUAUUCUUCAAUAUAUUACAAUAAAACUUGGUGGUGACAGAGGGAACAAGAAAGAUCAUCCCCUACCUUAUCUUCUUCAGCAUAUGGACGACCCUAUUAAAUUUUUGUUUGUUUCCUGUAGUUCUGUAGAGAGCACUUUGAAAAAUCACUUUUGGAAGUAUUGGUAAAGGCGUAGACGUAUUAGACACUUUCUUAUGCUUUAACUCAGAUCUCUAGAUAUCAAAUAGAGAUGGACUAAACACAUAUAUUAAUUUAUUUUUAGGCAAAAUUCGUUAAGAAACUACAAUUGUACGUUGGUAACAGAGAUAUCCUAACCAGUUAUCUCAUAGAUUUUUACGAAGUUUUAGCGAGUGGGUAUCAACUUAGAUCAAGCCUCCAACUGAGAGUCUCCAUUGAAAGAUUGUAAUUUGUAACAGAACAAUCUGAAUGAAAUCAAAAUCAAGAUUACCUAAUCGUUCUACACAUCUCAAAACAAAAGAUUCUUCAAUCAAAUAACAAGAGCAGGUCCCCCUUAUGAGGAUGAUUUCAAGUUCAAUAAUGGUAAGAAAUCACUCCCAAAAUUUGAUUGUUCAAAGACAUGUUUCGUGUAUAAAGAUAGGCACAAACUAAGAUUCCAAACUCGACAAAGAGCUACCACAAACAUUCAAGUAUCCUAAUGUUCUUAAACAAUUGAAACGGAACAAAUUCUAUGAGAAAUCAAAUCAAAUCAAAUUCUUGCUCAAUUGCAACCAGAAAAACAUACACGAGGAAUGAAUGCCAUUAACUUCUAUUCAUUACAAAACAGGAAAAAAAAAUCAACUGUGAAGUCGCAAAUUAUGUUCCCAACCACAUAAUAAACAGUGUCUAUAAUUCGGGUUUACCUCUAUGGACGACGUUUUUUUGAUGAUACAGCACUUGCAAACACAACAUGAUCCCCCACCCCCCUCCCAAAAAAAAUGAAAAAAAGAAAAAAGAAAAAGUGAAAACUGAAGAUGUACUGACCUGAAACAAACAUGAGUGGGAUUUGAUAUCCACUUCCAUAAGAAUCUUAUCAGCUCUAUUCUAUAUGUUCCUGUAAUCAUCAUCUUUAGCUUUACCAAUGUGUUGACCAGCCAUCUGUAUGAGCUACUCCAAGUAAUUCAAAUUUUCAUCAUUUGAGGAAACCAGGAACUACCUUGUGGUGUGUAUUUCAGAUGCUACCUAAUCAUACAACCAUCUUUUUAUUACUUGGGAUAAAGAUGUAAGGAUAAUGGAUUCAGGAAUACAAUUGUUUCUUUCAUACGUAGCCAAGUAUGCAAAAUAAACAAAAAUUACAGGUCAUGUGGCCAAAGAAGAAAUGAGUUUCGACUCUAGAGGGUAUAUUUAUAAGGUCUUUAUGACAAUAAAACCAUGUAAGUAUCAUUACUCCCAUGGAGAUAUGGAGAGGAUCCAAGAAGAUCCAGACAACCAUUGAGAAUUAGGUUCAUUGUUACAAACCUCAGAGAAAGCCUCCCUCUGACCAUGUACCACCACCUGCUUUUCCAUUUUGACCAACGGUUUUCCGAUCGGAUGCUUGAUAAUAGUGAUCAUAUCCAUCAUCUUUUUGGUCAUCCCAGCCAGCCCAGCCAUCAUUGCUAUUAUUAUUGUUGUUGUUGUUAUUGUUAUUAUUAUGGGUUCCACUCACUUUGGUUGUUGUUUCCUCUUUCCUGUUGUCUUUGGUAUCCCAAUCAUCCCAAGAACUUGAGUUGUAAGAAUUAUUGUGAUGUCCACUUCCUGAUGACUGACCUGUUCCAGAAGAAGAAUUCCAUCCUUUGUUAUCAUGCUCAAAUUCUUGAUAAUAUCCAUUUUUCUCAUUCUCGUUCCGUUGCCAUCCAUCAUUCUUCCAGUUCAUGCCAUCUUUGGCAUACUCUUCAACCUUCUGUGAAGCCAUUGCCAUUACACCUCUCAUAAUUCCCCAUGUCCUUUGCCCAAUUUCUGUUGUUUUUGCUGUGACAACAUUGACGGUUUCAUUUACUUUGUAAUCAUAGCCACCCUCCUUCACCUGUAAAAAGAAUUUACAAAUGUACAUUUGGGAGAAUAAUAACUUCAGUACCAAACAGAACUUAGCUCCCAUAGGGAUCCCGUAACAAAUCAUUGCUGCCUAUAAGAUACAAGAAAAAAUGUGCAUACCAAACAGAAGCAAAGUACUAGUAGUCACGAAGAUGUAAUUGAAGGAUUUUCAAGGAAAAGAAAAGGCAAACUAGGCAAAUACCAAAACUAAGUCAUUUUCACACAUAUAACAACGGUCAUCUCCAUUUUUUGUAGUGUAAGAUAUAAACAUGGAUAAUAUCUUUUCAAAAGCAGGAGAUGACAUAUUCAAUAUGAAGUACCCUACCAACGAUACAACUCUUGUAAUUUGCAAUAUCAUCUAUUUCAAUGGAAGUAAUCACGACAUGAAAGUGCUAACACCAAUCUGAAAGAAAGUACCUUGGUAGUCAGCUCUUUUGUGCCAGCUUGAACAGCAUUUGCAGCCGAUUGAGCAGCAGAAGCAGCAACCAGAGAUAACUUACCAAACCCCUGAAAUGAAACGAUGCAUUCAUUGAUCAACCUUAAAUGAAAAUCCACAACAUAAACACAAAACCAAGCAGAAAAUAUUGAUCACACAACAACAUAAUACCUGAGAAACAACAGAGAAAACAUCAUUUUGUGGAUCGUUCCUUCGAGCAGGUGCAGGACUCGACCCAAAUCCAACAUACUUUCCACCUUGUGAUGGCGGAAUUCCUUCAGGCCUUGAAUCAUUCUCAGCAAUUUUCUGGGCAAAAAAAUUAUCUUUAUUUGCAGCAGAAGCCUCCAAUUGAGACCGUGUAUAAAUAUCCUCAGUCGAUCUAGACCUAGACGGCAUCCCUCCGCCGCCCAUACCUCGAACAUCGCCUGUUGAUUGGUUACGCCUCAUAUCACUAGAAGAUCUAAAAUUAUCUUCGUUAUCCCAACCUCCAUUAUUCACCUUACUCCCUCCUCCACCAGCACUUUGCGCUAAUGGAGGCCUGGAUUUUCCUACUCCAAUAUUCUCCUUCACCGCAGGUGGAUCCUUCCAAGAUCGACCCUCAGCAAGAGCUUGAAUCCGAUCCCUAUAAACCCCAGCCGCACUGGUAUUGUAUUUGGUUACAAUAUCAGUCUCCUUAGGUAUUCCAUACUGGGAAAGGAAAGCAUUAAGCUGCUCAUUACCUCCAGCCUCCAUCUUCUUGAUCUGGAUCUCAGACCAAGAAUCCAUAGUAACAGAUCUAACAAAAGAGAUAUGAACACCAAGUCCACGAUGCUUCCCGGAACAUUCCAAACACAUGAAAACCCCAUAAGAAACAGAAGCCCAUUGGGGAUUCUUUUGGGAACAAUCAACACAGAUCUUAUUCCCCGGCCGUGAUUGAAGGUCCCGUAGCCGCCGUGACGCCGCCAUUAAGAUCAGAUCCAAUUGGGUAUUGAACAAAUUUAAAAAGGUAAAAUCGGAAGAAAAUCCAAACUCAGAAAAAAUGUAAAAAUCGAAAUCAAAACUUGUUGAAUAAUAAUAAUAAUGUUAAAACAGAAAGAAAGAGGUGGGAUUGAUUAUGAAGGGAAAAGGGCCGCCGAUUAGGGCGCAACCUUAAAUUUCAAAUCAGUUUCUUCUUUGGUUGCUUCAACCUCUUCCUCUUUCGCCGCGACACCGACACCCUCCACAAAUCGUCAAAAGCUCCUCCUUUUUAGCAUUCUGUUUUUAUAAACGAAAGAAAAUUAAGUGAACGGAAUUCAACCUUUCAUAUACCCAAAUAUUAUAAAUAUAUAUAUACAUACAUACCUAUUUGUCACUUUAUUAUAAAUAACCAUUUUCAAAAAUUUUCCUAAUUUUUGAAUCUCUCUUUCCAAUUCCUCAUUCCUAUUUUACUUUUGGACUUCUUGUUUCCUUUCCCACUCUUAAUGUAUUUUCCUAUCAAUUCCACUUUUUUUCCUCUCUUUUAUCAUAAUUUCCUUUCUUCCUUUAAUUGAAAUUGAUUCAAAAUAAAUCCUAAACUUAUGUUCGUCUUCUCUUUCAAAUUUUAUACCUAUCUAACUGAUAAGGAGACAACAAAUAUAUAAAUACAAAAUAUACAAGAAAUAUGUUUUCUUUCUAAAAUGAUGAAUUUAGCAUUUAGAGAACUGGGUCUAGAGAAAACUAAAAACACUUUAACCAUUGAGCUAGCUUAUGAAACUGUGUCUAUUGAGAACUAAAAUACAGUUUUAUCAUUGGGCUAACAUGUGAUAUUAUAUUUUUUUCAAAUUUUUUAUACAAAUAUUAUAUAAAUAGCACAAAAUUGAGGGAGGGAUCAAACCCGCGAACCUAUACUAAAUCCGAUUGAUUCUAUGAGACUAUUCUUUCCUUUAAAUUCUUCCACGGUGUUGUCCCAUUGGAUCAUUUUCCCUAUGUGUGUGGCCUUUGUGUAUAACGAAAGUCAGGUAUAACAAUGAGCCUGAGCCCAAUCCAAUAGCUAACUGGGCUGAAGGGCUUUAUAUAAUAGGUUUACUCUUGGGCUUUCUUCCAUAUUUGGCCCAAUGUAUGACCCAUUAAUUUAAUAUGUGGGCCUCAUACAUUUCAUCAUCCAAAAAUAGGGUGGAUCUCUCUCAAUCAAUAUAUAUAUUUGAUUUUUUGUAGAAACAAAGUUGAGAAUAUAAGUGCACGACAAUUUGUAGAUGUUGUAUAUGUACAUUUUUUCAAUAUAUUAUCAAAUGAAAGAAUUGAAUAAUUAUAAAUUUUAUUUAUUAUAAUAAAAGCCCAUCUUUGUAAUAAAAAAAUUAUUUACUAUUAUUCAUAACAUUUUCAAAUAUAGCAAAAUAAAUGAAAGUUUAAAUUUUUCUGCAUUUUAUAAAUAGUUUCAACCGUUUAAUCAUUUACAAUAAUUUUUCAUACUAUUUGUUACGACUUGAGUAGAUUCAAAUAUUUGAAAUAAUUAGCCUCAGUUAUCAUGUCUUCCCUCCACAGUAAGUUUUUAAUUAUUUUGAAACAGAAAACCAACUGUACGUAAGGCUUUAUGCAGUCUUUACUCACUUUUCUUCUUCUUCUAAUGUUUAGUACUUUAAAUUAUUGGAUGUUUUUCAAUUACUUUCACCACCAAGCCCACAGGUGAUUUCACUAUAAAGUUUUUUCAUACAUUUAUUAAUAUAUAUAGUAAAUGGAAACUAAAUUUCAUCCAGAAAUAAUAUAUUAUUUUAGAAUGUUUCCUUUGCUGAAUUUUUUUAAUUAGGUCAAAUUAUAACAUCUGCUUACUCUCUAAACUGAUCUCAAUUAGAUUAAUGUUAUGUUAAGUUUUUUUCUUUCAACAAACACUAGUCAUACUACGUUAAUAGCAUCUCUCUCAAUUUAUACAUCUUUGAAAAAAAAAUUCAAUUUCAUGUUUAAUGAAUUCAUCUUUAUUGAACAAAAACAAUAUGUUGUUAAGGUCGUAAACAAACCUUCUAUACAAACUAUGUGAAGUUGUAUCGUCAAUAAUCAUUAGAUAAGUGACUACAAUGAUAAUAAAUCUUAAAACUAAAAAACAAUGUUAAAGCAAUUUUCUUGGCAAAAAAGGUAUGUGGUUUGAUGGAAAUCCAAACCUUUGUUCUCAUUUAUUAUUAUUGCUAGUAAAGUAGUUCAAUUUCAUUUGAAAUAAACAAUCCAAACUUUUGUUUUUCUAUUAUUAUUUCAUAAAGUUUAUAUCAUCAGGUUUGAUUCACCUACCCAUAGUGUGAUCGUUCUCAAAAUAUUAAAUUUUCUAUACUUAAAUUUUGGGCUUAGUUUCUAUUAUGUCUAUAAUCUUUAAGUUUUACCUCAAGUUUCCACUAAUUCAUACGUACUUUCAAUCAUUUGCAAUAAUCAUCUAUUUAUUAAAUUAAUUUUAAUAACUCUUAAAAUUAUCAUACCAUAACUAUUCCCCGAGAAAUUAUCAACUUACAAACCCAUAAACUUUAAAGUUUGUAGCAUUUAAAAUCUUAACUAAACUAGAGUACAUAAUUAGAUACGAAAAUAAAACAUCUAUAACAAGGUUCAUUCCACCACUCCAAAUGAGAGAGUAAUAUAAUAUAAUCUCAAAACGAGAGACUGAAACUUAAUUACUCAAAGAUCAUAAUGUAGUAGACUCGACUCGAGAUUAGAUUGAUAGGAAAAUGUGUUAUGGGUGAAAGGUGAAAAGAAAGAAGAAGCAUGUGAAGAAGAGAGAAGGAAAUUGAGAAUGGGAGAAGUUGGUUGAAAUCCCAUGUUGUGUGAUUAAUUGUUAGCAUUAAGUAAUGGGACGGCUUAAGAAAGCACCGCCGGUCACGUGCAGUGCACGUCCCCGUUUCAAUUUUCCAAAACAACUUGCUCUCAUCUUCUCAUCUUCUCAUCUUCUCAUCCUCUAAUGGCAAUGCCCAUGUUCUGUUGACUUGAUGCAGCCCUCGCCCAUACUUAGCUUCCCCAAAAAUAUUCAUAUUAAUACUCAAAUCAACCCUCACUAUCUCAUUCUUCAUUUCUUCCUAAACUAUAUCCAAAAGUAUAUACUAAUCCCUCUCACUUAUGUCCUUAUCAGAAAACCAACACCCAAUUCUCUAUAUACAUUGAAUUCAAUUCAAUAAUUUUUCUCAAUAACAUGUUCUUUUCUACUGCUGUGAUAAUAUAUUUAAAAAAACUCACAUUAGUUUUUGUUUACCAAAAUGUCAAGUCUAAAGUAAUUAAUGAUAUGGCAUAGUGAUCUUGAAAACUUGUUAUAAAUAGUAAAAUAUGUCUCGUACAAAAAUAAAUAAAUAUUGAAUAGUAAAGGAGAAAAAUUUGGUGUAUAACGAUCAUUUUUAAGUAAGCUGUAAGUGUAUCAUUUCCUAUUUCAUACAAAAACGUAAGUAAUUAGUAUAUGAUAAUAAAUAGGGAAAAAAAACCAAAGUGUCAAAUCAAAUCACAAGUAAUGAAAACUUUGGGUUCUAAUUAAAUCAAGUGAAAGUGAGGUAAUGGAUAACAUAGCAUAGCUCUAGGAGAUGGCCAUAAUUACUGCAAUGUUGUGUAUUCACAUAACAAUAGGGACAAUGCAUGACUUAACUUUCAUCGCAACAAAUCACAUUAAAUGAUUGAUAACAUAUUUUGGUGUCCAACCUUACCAUUUCCCAAGCUUUAAACAGUGAAUAAUAAAAAGAUAUAGAACACUCCCCCAAAAGAAAAUUUUAAAAUUAAUGCAUUAAUGUAGGACCACAAAUGACUUUGUUUUAUAUACAUACACACUACAACCCAUUACCCAAAGUAUUGAGUGGUUCAUAUCUCAACUAAAUACUCACAUUUAUGAUUGAAAGCUUCCCUCCCUCCCCAACUCUAUCAUAAAGAAAAUUCAAAGUUUACUAUGGAGGAUGAACAUCUCUCUACCCAUAUAUAUAUUUUGACGAGACAACAAAGUAGAGUUUGUUUUCUUGAAAUUGACCUGUGAAUGUAUAUAUUUGUUUUUGUUAAAAGUUAAAGAAUGAUUCGAUGGACAACGCCAUUGCGUGAAACUAAAGUUGUAUCGAAACAGACCACUCAUGCCAAAAUGAUUACAAAGUCGGCGAUAAGCGUGGAUAUUUAAUUGUGUUAAUUAUAGUUAAUUUCAAUAUAAUAUAGGUUAAAUUACAAAUUUUAAUCUCUAAACUUUCAAGUUUGUCUCUAUUUAAUUAUUGAAAGUUUAAAUUAUAUAUAUUAGACAUUUUUAAAUGUUAUAUAUAUAUAUUACUUACUUCAUGAAUUAAAUAACUUUUUUAAUUUAACUACUGCCGAAGGUAGAUGGAAGAUUUGUUUAAGUAUGUAUUACUUCUAAAAUUUAUAAAACAACGUUAAAUUGGGGUAUAAGAUUCCAUAAUUAGUUAUCGUUAAUCAAGUAUAACUUAAAUAGUUGACAUGCAUUAAUUAAUUUCGAAACUAAUAAUUGUGGUAUUUUUCAAAAAAAAAAAAGAAAGAAAGAAUGACUAAUUAUUAAAAUUAAUAAUUAUAAUGAAUAGAUUUAAUCACUUUUUAAGAAUAGGUUUAAUAAAUUUUAUAAGAACAAUUUGGUUUUUAGAAAAUUAAAUUAAUAAAUAGAUGGUAAUUUUUGCAUUCACAUUCUCACCUAUAAAAAGCAGUAAUUAUAAUUUUCUGUACAUGUUUGGUUGGAAAUGACAUUAUAUUGGCAUUAAAGUUUUAUCAAACUUGUAUUAAAAGUUGCAUGCAUCAAGAUAUGAUUUUGAUAAAAUAUUGAAUGAAUUCAACUUAAAGUAUCAAUAAAUUUGGUCUACCACCAAAAUGUCCCCAGUUUCUAAUUCAACAAUUUAAUGUAUACCAUUCUUACCAAAUUACUUUAUAAAUUAUUACUAAGAUUCACAUAUGUUACAAAUGUAAUAUAGUACUUUCAAUCCAUCUUAAAUUUAAUUGUUAUGGUUAGUUAAUUCAAUUUGUUGUGAAAAACAUAUUCAUGCAGUGAAUAUUUAUUCAUAAAUAAUAAGUCGUCGAGCAAAUCUCAAAAUAUAAUUAAAAUUGGUUAGUUUUCGUUUUAUUUUUCAAAUUCUUUAAAAGAAUUUUUCUUGUUGAAACUUUAACUUGGUUUUUUAAAUUAUGUUUAGAAAGUUGAUAGCCAAUCAUAAAUGUUUUUUUAGUAAAAAAUAAUAUCUAAAAACUUAUGAAAAUUUGAAAAAAAGAAGGUUCAUAUCCAAAAUUGAGUAGUAGUAGUAUGGGCUUCUAAGGUUUCCAUCCCUCUCUUGUCAUUAUUGCAUAACAAACAAAUUCUUAGUUGAUUUUGUUCAAGUAGAAGAGACAGUUGAUGAAAUUGGAUAAUAAUAAUCAUGGUUUUCAACAAUUUGUCAAGUUGAUAAAAUUAAUUUCUAAAUUUUGACACUAGUUGACUAUUUCUAAGUUGGGAUUUUUUUGAAAAAGAAAAGUUAAAAGUUUGGGUUGAUCAAUGAAUUAAUAUCUAAGGACUAAAAUUAGGGUUUGAAAGAUGUAUAAGUUUAAUUUACAUAGUCACUUGAACUUAAUUUUAUUUUAUGUCUCUUUUUUGUCUUUCAAUUCUAAUUGCACCUUAUAUGAUUCCACGUGUAAUAGACACUUCAUCCAUGAAGGAGAUUUUCAUAAGAUACACCGUAUCAAUGAUUUUUGUAAUACAUGAAAACACCAUAAUUAGCUACAUGUAUCAAUCUUAGUUAAAAUGGUAAUUUAAAAACACAACUUAACAUGUUAUUUAAAUAAGAUAUUUAUCUUUAAUCAACAGUUAUGUAUAUAAACAUAAGAAAUAAAGUGAUUUUACAUUUCUGUUUAUUAAAGAAGUACUUCGAUUGUAUAUAAUAGAGGGGGUUGAAACUAUAAAUGCUAACUAUUAAAUGGGACAGUCUGAUCAACAAAAAGCCUAUGUUUUGGCUUUAAAUUCAUUGUGAAAUUUGUUAAAAUUGCAACCGUUUUUUGUACUUAUUAUUAUUAUUAUCUCAAGAUUCCAAGAACUCAUAUCUUUGCCCUAACUCUCUUUUAUAUUUAUUUAUUAAUCAACCCAUUAUAAUCACUUCUUUAAACACACAUUCAAAAGUAUUCCAACCUUCCCACCAAAAAAAAAUAGCAUAUUCUUUCAAAAUUAUUGAUUAAUUUUGUAACAUUUAUCAUAUGUGAGCUAUACUCGAUAUUGACAAGUAUUUAUUGGUUAACUAAUUUACUUCUUUUAUUUAUUUAUUUGAUUGGUUUACAUGUGAAGUAGGGUGUGAAUGGCCUAAAAUUUAUUGCAUGAAUUAAUGUCACGUAUAAUUGAGGCAUUAUUUUAACUACUAACUUCAUCAAAAUAAAUUAUUUUAUAGAAAAGAAAAUUAAAAUAAUUAAAUUUUAAAAAAAAAAGUUUAAUGAAUUUUAGAAAAUAGAAUAAUUUAAAAAGGAAACAUAAGAGAGAGUAAUGUAUUUUACAAAUUCAAACUAUGGAGUAAAUUAAAAAUUGAACAUAUUUAAUUCUUAGGAUAUAAGUGUAAUAAGGACUUCAUUCAUUAAACUAUAUGUAAAUUGGGAAAGCAUAGUGAUCUCUAACAAUUAUUAAUGAAUUUCAAAAGAAAACUAAUUGGAUUUCUUUAUAAAUUGAAAAAAAAGAAGAAAAAGAAGUUAAUACUUGAAUUUUAUAACUAAGGAAUUGCUCAAAAUUUUCAAUUUUGUACAAAAACAUAACCCUAAAUUUAAAAAUUACAUACCAACUAAAUUAAACGAGAUAUUUUAAAAAGACGACUUAUAUAAAACAUGGAAAAACUAUUUAAGAAUAAUAUGUUCGAUAAACAUAGUAUAAAUAUAAACGAACAUUGACAUAUUUUAUUAAUGGUUUCAUCCAAAUUUUGUAAAGUAGGGUUGAUAUUUAAAAUUUUGAAAUAAAAUGAGAUUGGUUUUAGGUUGAUUUAAGAAAAUAAAAGAGAAUCGUUUAUAAUAUAUGAAAAUGAAAAGUGAGAAAAGAGAUGAGGGCAUAUGGUACCCCUAGCACUAUUGGGAGAGGGGUAACCCCUCCUUUUGCUACUAAUUUAAUUGUUUCAUAAACCAAAACGAGAGUAUGUGAAACAAACUCACAUUAUUGAAGUUGGCGUGGGGUUAUACCCCUUGUUAGCCAAUAUACGUAGGGCACCCAAUAAUGCUUCAUCACACUUUAUAUAUAAAUUUAUUCACACAAGGUUCGAGUUUUAGUCUCCUUCCAUCUUAUACUUUUUAUAUAAUAUGUAUGUAAUAAUAUAUAUACUAUGUGCUCGAUGAUACAAUUGUGUCUUUGAACCCUCUUUAGACCUACUUCAAGCCUUACUUCAUUAUUCAUAUAGUUUUUUUUUUCUUCUUAAUUAUAAGUAUUUGUCAACAAAAAUUUUGGAUUCACCACUAUAACUACAUCGAUCUAUAUCUAUAUAUAAAUAUAUUUAAGUUAAAAGACUUACAAACAAAUUUUAAACACGUGGUAAAGAUAAACUACAACCGUAACUUUUAAUCCUAAUGUUAUUAGAUAAACAAAGCACUUUAUAAAGCUUGUAAGGUUCCAUCAUCUUUCCAACUUAUCUAUAACAUGACCUUGUUGUCUUUUUUAUAUUCACUAGUUAUCAUUUUUUUCCGAUCAAAUACCUGUUAAAACGUAUUGUGGAUUUGAAUACCGUGUUAAAUAAACAUAGAUUCUAUGUCAAACACAAUAGACUUAUAUAUACAUACAUAUAUAUAUAUAUAUAGUGAUAUAGGUCGGAAAAGAUAUUGAAAUCUUUAAUUUCCAUCUUUUUAAUGUGGAUGGAUUUAAAAUUCCCUCAUCUAAAGGUUACAUAGGGGGGGAAAAGUGGAUAGAUAAUAAAUAAAAAAUGUAAAGAAGGAGGCAAAAGGUGAAAGGAAAAAAAAGAUAAACCAAACAGCGAGCUAUUUACUAUCAAAAACCUGCCAAAUCCCCAUCACAUUAAUUCCCUUCUCCACACUUUUUUUUUAAUUUGCAUACACAUCCCCUUCCCCCUCUUCCCCCUCUAUAAAUUUCCCUCUUCUUUACUUUCUUCUUUGCCUCUCCCGUUUCCAUCGUCCUGUUGUGUUGUGUUCAUCCAAAAAAUAUAUAUUCAAUUCUUUUUAUCAUCAUUCCACCCUUGUUCGUUAUUCUUUGUGAGAUUUUGGGAGGAAAAGACGACAUCAAUAUAUAAUGUCCAUCAUUUCCCUAAUAACUGGAUGGCCCGGACCCAGCGGCUUCGGCUCAGCCUCCACCGCGGAGGACGUCACCCAAGGGAUCGAUGCCGGCUGCCUUACUGCCAUUGUCACCGGUCACAUCUCUCUCCCUUUUAGAAUUUUAUUUUGUGGGGGAUGGGUAUAUUCUUUUGUUUUGUUUUGUUUAGAACUUAUUUUAAAACAAAAAGGACUUUACUUUUCUUUAUAUAUAUAUAUAUAUAUAUAUAUAUAUAUAUAUAUAUAUAUAAUCUUUCAUCCUAUAUCUAUUAUGGAGUCUUUUAUUUUACAUGUUGAAUUACAAGUUUAGUUCUUGAAAUUUUAAUUUUUGUGGGAAUUAAUUUAGUUUCUUAACUUUUAAUUUUCCUUUGUACAACUCUGAUAGAUCUAUGGCAAUUUCAAAUCCUUCAAUAUUUUACUUUUUCCAAAUUUUAUUUUAAAUAUUUUGUCCUCACGUGGGAUGUGACUAUGACUAUCAAUUUUACUCUGAAGGGGUGCUGUGUAUUAACAUGAAAAUCAGAAUCAUUUGCAUUUUCAAAGUCCUUUUAAGCUAUUAUUCUUUUUAACUUUUGAUCAAAAUUAUAAAAUUAUAUAUAUACAUAUAUAUCAUUGUAGUUUCCAAUUAUGGAAAGAGUUAUUGAAUUGGUGUAGUGUAUCACGAGAUGGGGCAAGGGUUCAUUUGGUUUGAAAGCAUUAAAGUUAGAAGCAGGUAGAGCCAAAUGGAGAAAUAUUCAAACUCAAACAUAUUUAUCACAUACAUACAUGACCUAAAUUUGUUGCAUUUUUUCGAUUUCUUUAACUCCUAACUUUCAUUUCAUCCAAAAUAAAAUGUACAGCGUGGAAUCAAUAAUAUGUCAAGCAUUUUAUGGAUCGGAACAACGACAUUGAUGAUUCCAUUGAUAUAUGAUUUGUAGGAGGAGCAAGCGGAAUUGGGUUAGAAACAGUAAGAGUAUUAGCGAUGCGAAAAGUGCACGUGAUCAUAGGUGCAAGAAAUUUGGAGGCAGCAAAUAAAGCAAAACAACAAUUACUUGAAGAAAAUCCAAAUGCUAAAUUGGAAGUUCUUAAACUCGAUCUUUCAUCCAUCAAGUCCACUACAGAAUUUGCUCAUAAUUUCCUUCAUCUUAAUCUCCCUCUCAACAUUUUAAUGUAAAUUCCUUUCUCUUUCAUCCCUUUUAUUUUCUCGUUACCAUUUUAUUUUAACUAAUUAAAAUUAUAUAAUAUACACGAUCAUAGAUAGACUAUAAUAUAUUUUUCUAUAUUUUAUAGACAUAUCCAUCGAUUAAGGUUAUUGUGUUUCUCAAAAAUACUCCAAUUACUUAGAAGGAUAAUUUGAAAUCAUUUAAAGAAAAGAAAAUUAGUUUUUGUUGUUGAUUGAUAUAAUUAAUUCAGGGUUUUAUAUACUAUAAUAUUUAUGAGAUCCAUAUUAUUUUUUGGAUGGAAUUUCAGAAACAAUGCUGGUGUUAUGUUUUGCCCUUUCCAACUUUCUGAAGAUGGAAUAGAGAUGCAGUUUGCUACCAACCAUCUUGGUAAUUUAUACAUACAUAACUCAUCCAAAUUCCUAUUUUAUUCUUACCAGAUUGGAGUUUUGUUUUAAUUUAGUUAAUAAACUUCAAGAUUUACCCUUUUAAUUUAAAUUAUUUGCUAUCAAAUACUAUUACUCACACUGUGUUUAAUGGGUUUAGAGUUUAAGUGUAAAUAAAACUCAAAUUUCCAAAAACAAAAUUGUAACAUUUUAAACUCAAAAGUUAGAGAAUAAAAUUUUAUUUAUUUUUCACAUAUAUUUGUAUAUGUUAUAUAGAUAUAUAUAAUUAUUCGUAGUUACAUUUUAUUUGUCUAGGUCAUUUUCUGUUAACAAAUCUUCUAAUUGAGAAAAUGAAGAACACUGCAAAAAGCACAGGAAUUGAGGGUAGAAUUGUCAAUUUGUCAUCUAUAGCUCAUGCCCAUACUUAUGGUGGUGGAAUUCGCUUCAAUAAAAUCAAUGAGAAGAAUGGGUAUUCUUUUUUAUUUUUAAAUUUAUUUUGUGUAAUUUAAAAAAAGAAAAACAAAUUGAAGUUAUUAAUUUGUAGGUAUUCUGAUAAAAGAGCAUAUGGGCAAUCAAAAUUAGCCAACAUUUUACAUGUCAAAGAGCUCAAUCGUCGAUUCCAAGUGAUUCUCCUAAUUUCUUCUUCUUCUUCUUAUUAUUAUUAUUAUUAUCUGUGGUUAAUAAAUAAAUAACCCACCAUUAAGAAACUAAAUACCAAAAACAAUUUGUUUUGUUUUGUGUUUUUGGAUGGUUGUAGGAAGAAGGUGUGAACAUAACGGCAAACGCAGUGCAUCCAGGGUUAAUAAUGACGCCUCUUAUGAGGCAUUCUUUGUUUCUUAUGAGUACGACAUGUCGACUCUUUUUUUUUGUUUCCACUAAAACCUCAUGUCGUCACUUACCCACCUUCAUUUUUCUUUGUCUCUCUUCUUCUAGGGCUCUUGCAGGCUUUCACCUUCUUUAUCUGGAAGAAUGUCCCUCAGGUAAAUUCAACAUUGUAACUUGGAGAAUAUUUGAUAAAUGAGCAUUUGUGUUUCUUAGAUGAUAUAUGUGUGUUGUUUUUGUUUUUAGGGGGCAUCCACGACGUGCUAUGUGGCGCUUCACCCGAAUUUGAAGGGAGUGAGUGGGAGGUAUUUUUUGGACAACAAUGAGAAGCGACCGAGCUCAUAUGCUAGAGAUGAAAAACUUGCAAGGAAACUUUGGGACUUCAGCAAGGACUUGAUAAGUUCAAAGUCUAAAGUAUGAAACAGAAGUGGCAUUUAGACCUACACUACUACUACUACUACUACUACUGAAGCCUCAAGUCACAUGCUUGCUUAAUUAAGUUUAUAAAGAAUUAAGAGAAAUUCAAUAAUGUGGUUCUUUAGGAGGGGAAAUAUUAUAAAUAGUAUUCUUUUUUCCAAAAAUGAAAAGGAUGGAAGUGGUGUUAUGGAGGUUUGGAAGCUCCUAGUGUUUGUGUAAUAGUGUUUGUGUGAGAAUUCCAUUCGUAUUGUUUUGCUAAUUAUGAUAUUCGAUCUAUUACCCAAGUAUAUAUGAUUUCUAUUUCCAACCUUUCACGGUUUGUGAAUGGUAUUUCUUUAGAAAUAGAGUGUGUAUUUGAUUUUUAGUAGAUUUGAAAUAGAAGGUUUGAAAUGAGGUGUCAAAUACUUAAAUGUUUUAAAAAAAUAGAACUCAAUGAUAACAGAGAGGAAAUAAUUUUGUUAUAUUUAGAGUUUUUUGGUAUUUUGUUAUAUCGGCUAAUAUUGUAGGCUUGAUUGUUAUAUUUAUCGCUAUCUCAAUUGAAAAAAUGGUAAGAUUGAAAUAUGAUUCACGAUGAAUGAAUGAAUAAAAACUAAAAGUGGCAUUCAAUUUCCCAAUUUGUAUUGAAUAGAUACAUUUUACACAAAGAUUGACUGGCAAAGGAAAUGAACAGUUCAGAAAGAAAACAAUUGGGGAAAGGGCAGAUUUCUUUCGCAGCAAUAAUAACAUGAAUAUAGACAUGCACACAUAUAUGAUAUAUCCAGCGUCUACACAUUAUAAUCUUGAGAAUGAUUUCUCUACCCCAACGGUUAAAGUCAGAAAAGCAACAUAUGAGAGACAGAGAACAGAGAGUAUAAUCACCAGCAUUGUGUGCAAUGAAAUGUAUGGGCUGAAAAAGAAGACGAUCGCAAUAGUCGCACUGUGCCAGACCUUUAGCUGGGCAAACGCUCCUUCCUAUAAACCAAAAGAUAGCACCAAUUUGAAGAAACCCAUUAGUGACUGCCUUUUCGAAGAACCGGAGAUUAUAAUAUGAGAAUAACAACGGCAAUGGAUGUAAUGAGAUUAUAUGAAAUUGUUAAAUAAUGAGGUCGCCAAGUAUGGAUAGAGAAUAGAAAGAUCAAUGAUCAAUUCACCAAUUCACCAAUUCCUAUCUUGAGAAAGCAGUGAAGGAUGAGCGACUACCAUGUCGUGUUUGAAAAGUAUUCCGAGAAGAGCAUUCAGCUGUGGAUACAAAAAUCCAUCACCAAUUCCCAGAAAGGCUGAUAUAAGAAGCACGUAUACGGUGCCAAGUGUUUCACUGGUUUGAAGAGUUGUAACAGGGCAUUGCAAGGUUUAAUUAGUAUACUUGCCCCUCGUGGUAUUCAUUACAAAAUAAUGCCAAAUGUAAAAGGUUUUCCAAUGUUACUAACCUCUGCCCUAGUAGAAGCCAAAUAAAAACAACAGCUUGAAUGACGGCCCCACCAGAUACUAAGAAAGUGAUUGAUGGAAGACCAGAUGUAAGACGGCCAGCAAUCAAUGAGCAAUAGAAAGACCAAAAAAGGAAAAUAAUUAACACUCAAAUCUCACUUUUUUCUAUUAUCACUAGCUCCGAUUAAAGACAAAUACCAUUUUAAUCUACCUCUGCAAGUGCGAGCAUAAUGAAUAUUUCUAAUAGGCAUGGCAUAACAAUGAACACUAUAUUUACAAUUUGUUGGGAAAGUUGAGCAUUAUAUUAGUUCGUGAAUUAGGACUCUCGAGAUAUAUUUUGGUUUGUGAAGGGAGAGUCCAAUGCCUCAAAACACUUAAAAUUUUGUGGUUCAUCUUAAUUCAAUAGGGUUUGGUUUGGUUUAGAGUUCUUAUUGGCUAGUUGAAUGGAAAACCGAGGGAAACAAUAGGAAAUAAGUAGGCAUACUUACAACUGCAUCAGCAGCCCCAUAAACUGCCAUUGCACCACCGACCCCUGACACACCAAGUGAUGGUGUGACAACUUCUUUUGUGAACUUGGCCCUAUGUUUGAAACUCUAUAAUGCUCAGUAAGGAAAAACAUAGGCUACUGCAACAAAAGAGCAUGCAAUACUUCUACUUUAUUCCAGUAAUUACCAUACAAAUGCCGCUUGUAGUCCUGAAUAUGAAAUUAGAGGAAUGGUCAAAAUCAUUCUUAUGUCAGCCAGUGGAGCAACUACUGAUUUUGAUAGAGAAAAUAUAGAAGAACGUAGGCUGGACGAGGACAGUGAUGGUUCUUCUUCUUUACUGUCUUCCUUUCUUAAGAACCCCAUGAGUAAGAUACCUAACGUCACAACGCAAAGGAAGAUAAUGAACAAUACAGUUGUGCCAUUGGUACUUCCACCCUGCAGCAGUUAUGAGGCAAAGAAACAGGAUUCAAUCUAGAGAUGUUAUUAGUGUAGACUAUUGAAAGAAGAAAUGUGGUCAAAGCUGAAACAGAAUUGCAUGACUCGGAAAUUGCCUGCUUCAACAACGUUACGGUUGUUUCCAAUGUGACUGAACAUCCAAACUUUAAAAUGAAACUCUUUAAGAGAGUAAUUAAGUGGAGACUACAUACCGCUUCAUCUUUCAGCACAACGAGGGAGAUAAUAUUUCCAAUGACCUGCAAUAUUUAAAUCACAUAAGAAAGGUAUGAACCUUACUGUUAAGUUUAAGUAUUUGUUUUCCAGAUAACAUUUCUAGAUGAACCAAAGUUUGUAAACUUGAAAUCCAUGAAUUCACCUGGUGACUUGCAAAUACUGCCCAAAAUUCUCCAUUGAAGUUGCCGAUGACAGUUCCUUCAUGUAAGCCAUUCUUUCUUGCAUGAUUACGUGCAGUUGAAGUGAGAUAUGUACCCUGAGCAUUCAUUACAUGGCAAACACCAAGAUGUUUUCACUCUACAGUUAUAGUGAUUAUCCAUUACCAUAUACUCCAAAAAUAUUUACUACAUUUCACCUGCGCAACCCAAAUUAUAGAAGCAGCAAAACCAAGGUAGACAGAAGACGGAACCAUUGUAAACCUGAAAAGAAGUGAUCAGAAAAUCAUCUCCACUUUUGCAAUCACCUAAACAUUGAGUUGCAGUGUAUUGUAAAGUUCAAGACAGUAUAACACUACUGACCUAAUUAAAAAUGACAUAAACAUUCAAUCUGAAGAAUUUUUAAAAAUACUUGUUAAAUCACCCAUUGAUCAAAAGUUUAAAUUGAUGCAUGAAAGUCUAUAUUAAUUGGAGAGGAAAUAACUGUCAGAUAUCAUGUUAAAUUAUUGAUUGAUCCAAAAGCUUAAGUUUAAAUUUACAUAAUCUAUCAGUAACAGUACUCUUUCGAACACUAUUAAACACAGCCAGUGAUUGCUGAAGAACUGGCAUACAGUCUAACUUUUAUUAAUUCGUGUCUGCAAAACGCUUUGAGUAAUUCGCAUUGCCAGAAUCAGCUCGAUUACACUUUGUCUUGUCAAACUCCCUUCAUUGUAUUUUCAAAGCAGACCAUCAAAAUCAGUAAAAAAAAAUACCAAGUCGGCUUCAAAUUUGCAGCUAUGAACAACCAAUAACCAGUAGUCCCAAGAAUCAAAGCGUUCUUAGUCCCCAAUGCUCGAACCACCAAAGCAGCCACCAGAGAGAAAAACGUAAAAGAUAAAUACAAUAUCCCCAGCGAAGUAGUCCCCAAAUCCUCCUCCUGAAUCAAAAUUCCACAGCCCAAAGUCAAACCUAAAGACGAUAAUAUCAAUUAACCACAAAAAAAAAAAAAAAAAAAAAAAACCCAUCAAAUACAGAAUCCAAAUUUUCCUCUAAGAGGCACAAAUUAAGGUUCCUCCUCCAUUUCUUCAACAUCAUCCAGAAACACCUAGAGAAUAGUGAAAAGAACCAAAAACUUACAGUAUUAACAGUACUCUCCAAGUUCUGGGCAGCUCCAUAAGCAAGGAAAAUUAACCAAAAAGCAAAGCUCAAAACAUGAACAUCUCUCGUAUAAUUCACCGGAGCUGAAAUUGGGGCGUUAUUAACUAACAACCGCGCCUCUUCGUCAACAGAAUCCAUGGCGUGUCGGCUUUUCAAGCCGAUUUAGUCGUAGAAACGCUUAAAAAGGCGGAAAGAGAAAAACCCAAAUGGAGUGAAGUCAGAGGUGAAGAAUCGUCGGCUGAAAGUGAAGACAGUCAAAACUCAAAAGGGUUAAUAAUUCGAUUAACUUAAAGGUGGAUCGAGCUCGAAAUUUUGUAUUUGUUUGAUGCGAAAAAGGAAUAAGAGCUGACCAAUUACGAAUUUAUGUACGCCCCAUCUAAGGAAACAUUUUCCACAUUUUCGCAAUCGCUCGUCGCCCCAAGGUGUGGCGUUGGUGUCCUUAUCCAAGUUCUUAACUUAACCAACGGUAUCUGCUUCGAACUCUGUGCGAUUCGGAAUCUUCUCAAAUUAUAACACUUUUUAAGUUCUAUCACUAUACUCUCAGCUUCCAAAAAUAGCUUCUACAUUAAUUGCGUUAUUUUAUUAGUGAAAAAAUGUUUCUUUUUUUUUUCUAAACUUUGGGUGUACGUGAAUUUAAAUGUUAAACUUACAGGUAAAUAUAUUAAUUAAUACCUCUAUCACAUUUCACUUAUGUUAUAUAUUAGUUUAUACCUCCUAUUAAAAUAGGUUUCAUUUGAAAAAACAUUAUGCCAAAAAUAGGAUUAUUUCUAUUAAAUCUAUAAUUUUUCAUGAAUAAAUCAAUCUAAGUUUUUAGAUAAACUUUUUGUUAGAAUUCAUUCAUUUGUUUGAAAAUUAAUCAGUGUCCAAAUUUAUUGGUUGUAUGAGAAUUUAGUUCUGAAAUUAGAAGUUUGCAAAGUUUAAGUGUAGGGGUAUAUUUUAAUAUUUAUCCAAUCUUUUAUUAUAUGGUUCUUUCAUACUAGUCAAUAAAUUGAGGUCAGAAAAAGUAUCCAAACUACUAAAUGCUACAAAAUUUUCUCACCAUGGUACAAAAAUUUGAGUGUUCGAUCUGUUAAAGCUAAAAUAGUGGACAGAUGGUGUUUGCGUGAGUAUUCCAUUCAUAAUGUUUUGCUAAUUAUGAUCUGCAAUCUAUUACCUAAAUAUAUACGGUUUCUAUUUCCAACUUUUCAUGAUAUGAGAAUGGUAUUUCUUUAGAAAUCAAGUGUAUAUAUGAUCCUUAGUAGAUUCGAGCUAGAAUGUUUGAAACAAACCAACAAUCCACAAGUCGAGCUCUUAAGAGAUGUUGAGAACCAAAUAUGAAUUUGGUUAUAUUUACCAUUUGUUUGCAUUUUGUUAUAUCUACUAAUAUUACUUGAUGAUGGUUAUGUUUGCAGCAGUUCCGAUUAAAAAAAUGGUAAGAUUGAAAUAUGGCUCAUGAUGAACAAAAGCUAAAAGUCGCAUUCAAUUUUCCAAUUUGUAUGGAAGAGAUGCAUAUUACACAAAAGAUUGGUUGGCAAAGGAAAUGAACAGUUUAGAAAGAAAUCAAUUGGCGAAAGGGAAGAUUUCUUUCGCAGCAAUAACAUGAAUGUAGAAACACAUAUAUCCGUCUCUACACAUUAUAAUCUUGAGAAUGAUUUCUCUACCCAAACGGUUAAAGUCAGAAAAGCAACAUAUGAGAGGCAAAGAACUGAGAGUAUAAUCACCAGCAUUGUGUGCAUUGAAAUGUAUGGACUGAAAAAGAAGACGAUCGAAAUAGUCGCGCUCUGCCAGACCUUUAAUUGGGCAAACGCUCCUUCCUAUAAACCAAAAGAUAGAACCAAUUACUGACUGCCUUUUUGCAGAACCGAAGAUUACAAUAUGAGAAAAACAAUAGCAAUGGAUGUAAUGAGAUUAUAUGAAAUUGUUAAAUGAUGAGGUCGCCAUGUAUGGAUAGAGGAUAAGAAAGAUCACUGUCAAUUCACCCAAUUCCUAUCUUGAGAAAGCAAUGAAGGAUGAGUAGGUACCGUGUCGUGUUUGAAAAGUAUUCCAAGCAGAGCAUUCAGCUGUGUGUUAAAAACUCCAUCACCAAUUCCCAGAACGGCUGAUAUAAGAAGCAGGUAUACGGUGCCGAGUGUUUCACUGGUUUGAAGAGUUGUAACAGGGCAUUGCAAGGUUUAAUCAGUACACUCGCCCCUCGUGGUAUUCAUUACAAAAUAAUUCUAAAUGUAAAAGGUUUUCCAAUGUUGCUAACCUCUGCCCCAGUAGAAGCCAAAUAAAAACAACAGCUUGAAUGACAGCCCCACCAGAUACUAAGAAAGUGAUUGAUGGAAGACCGGAUGUAAGACGACCAGCAACCAGUGAACACUGGAAAGACCAAAAAAAGAAAAUAAUUAACACUUGGAACUCGCUUUUUUUCUAUUAUCAAUAGCUUUGACUAAAGAUAAAUAGUUGAAAGUAACUUCCCUCUACUAACUUGGAAGAACAGCCACAAAUAAUAUGUGGAGAGUUUAAAGAACUUUCAACAAAUAGACAAAUACCAUCUAAAUCUACCUCUGCAAGUGCGAGCAUAAUGAAUAUUUCUAAUAGGCAUGGCAUAACAAUGAGCACUCUAUAUUUACAAUUAGUUGGGAAAGUUGAGCAUUAUUUUAGUUCAUGAAUUAGGACUCUUGAGAUAUAUUUUGGUUUGUGAAGGGAGAGUCCAAUGCCUCAAAACACUUAAUUUGUGGUUCAUCUUAAUUCAAUAUGGUUUAGUUUGGUUUAGAGUUCUUAUUGGCUAGUUGAAUGGAAAAACGAGGGAAACAAUAGGAAAUAAUUAGGCAUACUUACAACUGCAUCAGCAGCCCCAUAAACUGCCAUUGCACCACCGACCCCUGACACACCAAGUGAUGGUGUGACAACUUGUUUUGUGAACUUGGCCCUGUGUUUAAAACUCUACAAUGCUCAGUAAGGAAAAACACAGGCUACUGCAACAAAGAGCAUGCAAUACUUCUACUUUAUUCCAGUAAUUACCAUACAAAUGCUGCUUGUAGUCCUGAAUAUGCAAUCAGAGGAAUGGUCAAAAUCAUUCUUCUGUCAGCCAAUGGAGCAACUACCGAUUUUGACAGAGACAAUAUCGAAGAAUGUAGGCUGGCCGAUGGCAGCGAUGGUUCUUCUUCUUUACUGUCUUCCUUUCUUAAGAACCACAUAAGUACAAUACCUAACGUCACAACGCAAAGGAAGAUAAUGAACAAUACAGUUGUGCCAUUGGUACUUCCACCCUGCAGCAGUUAUGAGGCAAAGAAACAGGAUUCAAUCUAGAUAUGUUAUUAGUGUAGACUAUUGAAAGAAGAAAUGUGGUCAAAGCUGAAACAGAAUUGCAUGACUCGGCAAUUGCCUACUUCAACAACGUUACGGUUGUUUCCAAUGUGGCUGAACAUGCAAACAUUAAAAUGAAACUCUUUAAGAUAGUAAUUAAGUGGAGACAACAUACUGCUUCGUCUUUCAGCACAACGAGGGAGAUAAUAUUUCCAAUGACCUGCAAUAUUUAAAUCACAUAAGAAAACAGAUAUUCACCAAUUUAAAAAGGUAUAAACCUUACUGUUAAGUUUAAGUAUUUGUUUUCCAGAUAAUAUUUCUAGAUGAACCAAAGUUUAUAAUCUCGAAAUCCAUGAAUUCACCUGGUGACUUGCAAAUACUCCCCAAAAUUCUCCAUUGAAGUUGCCAAUGACAGUUCCUUCAUGUAAGCCAUUCUUUCUUGCAUGAUUACGUGCGGUUGAAGUGAGAUAUGUACCCUGAGAAUUCAUUACAUGGUGAACACCAAAGAUAUUUUCACUCUACAGUUAUAGUGAUUAUCCAUUACCAUAUACUCCAAAAAUAUUUACUACAUUUCACCUGCGCAACCCAUAUUAUAGAAGCAGCAAAACCAAGGUAGAGAGAAGCUGGAACCAUUGUGAACCUGAAAAGAAGUGUUCAGAAAAUCAUCUCAACUUUUGCAGUCACCUAAACAUUGAGUUGCAGUGUAUUGAAAAUUUGGCGUAAAGUUCAAGACAAUAUAACUCUACUGACCUAAUUCAAAAUGAUAUAAACAUUCCAUCUGAAAAUUUUGUAAAAAUACUUGUUAAACCACCAAUUGAUCAAAAGUUUAAAUUGAUGGAAAUAUGUAGAAAACUCAACAAGUGAAGAUCUAUAUUAAUUGGACAGGAAAUAACUGUUCAAACACAGCCAUUGAUUGCUGAAGAACUGGCAUACAAUCUAAUUUUUAUUAAAUCAUGUCUGCAAAACGCUUUGAGUAAUUCACAUUGCCAGUAGUCCAUCAAAAUCAGAGGGGAAAAAAUACCAAGUCGGCUUCAAAUUUGCAGCUGUGAACAACCAAUAACCAGUAGUUCCAAGAAUCAAAGCGUUCUUAGUCCCCAAUGCCCGAACCACCAAAGAAGCCACCAGAGAGAAAAACGUGAAAGAUAGAUACAAUAUCCCCAGCGAAGUAGUCCCCAAAUCCUCCUCCUGAAUCAAAAUUCCACAGCCAAGCAAAAAACAAUCAGCCCAAAAUCAAACCUACGGACGAUAAUAUCAAGUAACCACCAAAAAAACCCAUCAAAUACAGAAUCCAAAAUCUUCCCAUAAGAGGCGCAAAUUAAGAUUUAUCGUCCAUUUCUUCAACAUCAUCCAGAAAUGCCAAAAGAAUAGUGAAAAGAACCAAAAACUUACAGUAUUAACAGUACUCUCCAAGUUCUGGGCAGCUCCAUAAGCAAGGAAAAUUAACAGAAAAGCAAAGCUCAAAACAUGAACAUCUCUCGUAUAAUUCACCGGAGCUGAAAUUGGCGCGUUAUUAACUAGCAACCGCGCCUCUUCGUCAACAGAAUCCAUGGCGUGUCGACGUUUCAAGCCGAUUUAGUCGUAGAAACGUUUAAAAAGGGGGAAAGAGAAAAAAAAACCCAAAUAGAGUGAAGUCAAAGGUGAAGAAUCGCCGGCUGAAAGUGAAGACAAUCAAAAGGGUUAGUAUUUCGAUUAAGUUAAAGUGGAUCGAGCUCAAAAUUUUGUGUUUGUUUGAUGCGAAAAUCGAAUUAGAGCUGGCCAAUAACGAAUUUAUAUAUGCUCAUAUGGGUAAACAUUUUCCCCGUUUUCGCAAUCGCUCGCCGCCCCAAGGUGGGGCGUUGGUGUCCUUAUUCAAGUUCUUAGUUUAACUAACGGUAUCUGCAUCGAACUCUUUCCGAUUUGGAAUCUUCUCAAAUCAUAAUAGUUUUUUUUUUUCUCUCUCUUUAAAGUAUCAAUUUCUUUUUAAAUGCUAACACUGCAUCGAGAAAGUUAUUUUAAUCACAACACGUUCAGCUUCCAAAUUGUAAAAAUAGGUCACCAUAUUUUCUAAAUCGUAAAAAGCGGAGUUCAAAUAUUGUUUCUAAAAAAAUAUUAUUAUCUAAUUCAAAUUUCGUAAUAUUUUAGCACAUUUUAGUUAAUUCUACAUUAACUGUGUUACUUUAGUAGCGGAAAAAUUGAAUUUAUUUUCCUAAAUUUAAAUCUUAAACUUACAGGUAAAUAAAUUAAUUUAUACCUACAUCAUAUUAGGUUCCAUUUCGAAAAACAUUAUACCCAAAAUAAUGAUUAUAUAUAUUAAAUCUUUGAACAUUUAUAAAAAAAUCUAUACUAAAUUUUUAUAUAAAAUUAUCGUUAGAAAUCAUUGAUUUGUUUACUCCAAUCAUUUAUUUCGUUAAUCCGAGUAAGCAAUUUUCUUACUCACGUUUUGAGAAUCGUAGAAGAAAGCUACCCACGUUUGAAAAUCAUUUUAUUCGUUGUAUAGAAUUUUAGUACUCAAAUUAUAAGUUCACGAUAGUAUACUUUGAGUGUUCUCUAUUUAAAUUGACUCUGUUAAAAGCUAAAAUAGUUUCAAACUAAAUAGUUUUCCUCGACAUUUUAUUAUCAUACAAUUAUUUUAGGAUAUCUAAACUAAUAAAUUGAGUUUAGCGCCUACACCUUUUUUUUCCCUCUCUAUUCUCUUGUUUCUGAAAUAUUUUGAUCGUCGGGUGGAGAUGAGAAUUGAUCCAAACCUCUCCUCGACUGAGGAGAAAUAACCGAAAAUAAAAUAUCACAAUCUAUAGAACAUAUUUGAGCAUAUUAAAAUAGUAAAUAGCAAUGAUUAAUUAAAUGUAGUCUAAGGUCCACUUUUCUACCAAUCAAAUAAUACCUUUUUGGCUUCUAAAGAAGACAAAGGAAAAGUACAUCAAUAGUUGUUCACAUACAAAUGUUCACUCCUUUCGUGUAGUAAUCUAUGGAGUAAGCAGAACAGAGCAGAGCUCAAUCUCAUAGCCAUCCUGCUCCAAUAUCUCCCUAAAGUAUAAAAUUAUGUUGUUGUCAAACAACUAAAAGACGUUUUAGCAAAAAAGCCAUUUAGAACAUAAAUCCAAAACACAUUAUAUACCACAAAGACAGGACCAAGACACUCGUUCACCUUGAAAAGAAGACGUGGAAGGAAAUUGGAUACUAUUUUACCAGAAUUGGCUGUGUCAAAUGUUCGAAUAAAAGUAUAAGCGUCAGCCAACUCGGCUUCGAAUGACAUCAAGACCCAUUUCGGUGGGAUCGGUGGCUUGGAGCUCGACCUGAAAGCCAUCCAGCUCUCUCUUGAAUCUAUCUUUGGAGCUUGCGUAUAUCAUCUUGCUUCUGACUCUUGAAGAAUCAGGGGACCUUCAGUUCAUACAAUGGCGUUUUUGUUAAAGUGUGUGAUAGUUGGAAAGACAAACAUGUAAGGAUGUAGUGAAGCGUAAAGGAGAUUGUUAACUAUACCAGGCAAUAAAGAAGAUUCUGCUCUUUUGACAGUUCUCUUCCGUAACGAAGUCGAAAUCAUAGAUAGCAUAACGACAUUCGUCUGAAGGGAGGCUUUUAGCAAAGUCCUCGUAACUUUGCGUUGGCUCACCGACUUUCUCUACUACAACUUGCUUUUGUUUCUCCUCGAUCUUAAACACAAUAAAGCGAUAGGUUCUUUUUGCCUUGAGCUCCAAAAACUUCAGCUUGCAAUCAUCAUGCACUGCUAUUCCCGAUGCUGCAUUGGCCUAUAAAAAUCCAGAAUGAAACUACUUAAAAAAGUUUCAAAGUCCAAAAUGGAUGCAAACAGAACUAGUUGAAAAGGCUGAACAAAAUUGGAAAAUAAAAUGUUAUUGAUUGUAAUAUAUCAUACAGCUAUAAAAUCAAAAGCUGCAAAGCAAAGCAGUAAGUUGAAUGUUGUUUAACCUAACAAUGGAAAUGCAGAAAAUUGGUAACAAUAUAAUCUGUCUGAUUUUAUCAUAUUUAACAAAUUUCCAACAAUCGUUCUAUCUCUCCCUUGGGAGCCUUGACUUAUCCAUCAAUUUGUGGUGAUAUUUAGUCAAAUUUUCCACCUCGUAGCCGCAAUUAAGCUCGAGCUCUGUGCCUUGCUUCAAAGAAGCCUCUCAAGCAAAGGCUCCUAGACGCCUUAGUACUUGUAGUGUGUGCCUCAGCUCCUUGAGUUUGAUUUCCUACUCUCCCUCUCUCUUUUUUUUCUUUCUAAUCUUUAAGAAAAAAAUGCAUAAACAUUCUUACAAUCUCAAAUGAAAUCUCUAUUUUCUUCUUAUUCGUCCUAUUAUUUUUCUACUUGUAUUACAAUUCAAUCUACAAAUGUCUAGCUAUUGUGUUCAUAAAACCUGUAAGUUCUGAAGGCUAUUGCGUUUUAACGCGCCUCGAGCUUUAACAGAACACUGAGCCAAAGUAAGAUUAUCUCCUAACAAGUAUAAACAGUAUGGAUUCUGAUUUUUGAUAGCUGAUAAUGGUUUCCACCAAAAUUUAAAGCAGAAUCACAACUUGACUACACAUGCACGAGAAGGAUUAACAGCAACUCAAAAGGAAGGAAUACACGAAUAUAAGUUAUAUAACUUGUAAUCGAAAUCCUCGACAUAAAUAUUCAAACACAAGUACAAAAACUAAAACGAUGAUCACAAUAGAUCCCACGGCCACCGGAUUACUCGAAGUCGACAAUAAUUUAAAGAAAAUAACGUUUCACUCAAUUAAAGAAAAAAAAAUCACAGUAGAAUAGAAAUCGGAUCUCCUAUGCAGCACAAUGCAUUCACUUCCCACUCGGAAAACUUCAUACGGAUUACUACUUCAAAAUCAUGCACAGAGAUUCAAAUAACCCACAAAUUGCAAGAAAACUCUCGAUCGCGAUUGUAGUGAAAUUCAAAAUGGCGAACUAGAAAUACAACAAUCCUACUUUCUGAAAAACUAACCGAUCAUCAAACCAUGAAUAAAAGCAGAAAUUAAGUAAGUAAGCUUCAGAGAACUCACCAUUUUGAGAGAAGAGAUAAAAAGUUCCAACGAAGAAGAAGAAGAAGAAAUGCAGGUUCAGAAAUGAGGGAAGAAAAUGUAGAGUGGGUUUUAAUUUUUAUAGUGGUUUUUAUUAUUAUUAUUUUGAUUACUUUUUAUUUAUUUAUUAUUACGAUUAUCUGUGAUGGUGCUCGGGAGCAACGGUAUCGUGGCGGUGACUUGUAUCUGACAGUUGGCGGUGGGAUGAUGUCUGACCAACCAAUAUAAGCCACGUAUACUAGGAGCGUGGGGCGGUACCUUUAGCUGCGCCGCACCUUUAUAUAAGCCGGCUCCCUAGUUAACUUUAUCAUCUUCUAUUUCAAAGCUUUUUUUUUCCUUUUCAUAAUUGUUACUCAAAUUUAAUUUGACUUUAAAUAAAAUAUACCUUUUCUUAAUAGUAAAAUAAAAUGAAACUAGUCAUAAAUAAACAAAUAAGUGUGACUUUAAUAAAUAUUGAAACUAUGAAAUAGAGAUAUUUUUAAAUAUGAUAAAUUAAAUUAAAAUAUCGAUCUAGCAAAGUCAUAUUGUGUCUAUUAUUAAUGUAAUUUGAAUUUGUUGUUAUAUUUUAUAAAUAGCUCCCUUUUUGUGUUGUUAAUAAUCAUUUUAGAAAAGGUAAUAGUCAUUUAUAAGAUAUAACAACAAAAAUAAUGUAAUUAUCUUGUUAUAACUUAUAAAUAUUUUUAAAUUUUUGUUAUGUUUAAAAAUGUGAUUGUCAUUUUAAUUUAUAUUAAGUAAUGUAAUUAUUGUUAUCCGCUAAUGAGAAUAAAAAACAAAAAUUAAGAAUACUUAAUAUCCAAUAUAAAAAAAUUAAAAUUUGACGGAAAAAGGGGAAAGUAAAAAUGAAGUGAGAUGAUCGAUAAUUAAAAUAGUAGAUAUGAAAAAUAGGCCUAUUAAAAUAGUUCAUAUAGUUGUUGUAUAAAGCAUAUCUCAGCUUUUAUUUUCUAAGGUUAUCUCAAACUUACUAAUUUGAAUUUGAAUUGAAAUGCAAUAAUGUAAUUGUUUAUAUAACGUUAUAAAAAGUAGUAAGGUGAAAAUCGGCUAAAGCUCGGAGAUAGGCACGGCGAGCAGCUGGGCGGAAUUGGGCUCCGUUUAAAUCAUCGCCGACGUGUUUUGGUUAGUUAGUUGACAAAUAUUUUUAAAAAGAAAUACAAAAUAAAACGAAAAGGAUUUAUUUAAAUUUUGAAAAAUGGAUAAAAUAAUUGCGAUUUCCCUUUCUCGAGAUUCCUUCCACUGCUUUGAUCUAACGCAAUUCUUUUUUCUCCUUUUAUUUUAUUUUCUUUUAUUUUUUUUUCAAAAUUCUAUUUUAUUUAUCGAAACAUAUAUUCAAAUUAUUUUAAAAGAAUACACUUUAAUUCUAAUUAUUGUUUCACAUGAAUCUACAUCUCUCUUUUCUUUCUUUAACUGUAUAAUCUUUAUUUUAUUUUAAAAUGUUUGAGCCUUCAAUUUGACAAAAUUAGGGUGAUGAAUUGAUUUGAAUAAUUUGAUAUAUGUGUUGAAUAGUGGUGCAUUUUGAAGUUGGUUUUAGUUCUUUUUUUACCUAUUACAAAAUCGAUUCGUACGUGUAUAACUGACUAAAUUGUAUAAAAUAUACAUGCAUUUUGUCCUAUGUUUAAAGGAAAAACUAACCAUACGACCUCAACCGUGACUCCCAAAACGGGGAAUGGGACCCUUGCUUCACCCUCCCCAUUGCCAACCCUACCUUCCUCUUAUAUAAAUCAUAAUUAACAAUAAUAAAUGCAAAAAGAGAUCGGGGAUGCGAAUGAUAUUUAUUAAAUAAUCGAUCGCUUUUGUUGAUUUUAAUAGGUCACAUUAUUGUUUUCCCCCUCUUUUUCAGUGGUUGACUUGGUUGGAUAAGUUGACUUUAAAUCAAAAACGUAUACAUAUAAUGUUUUGAAAUAAUUACACGUUUUCGAUUAUAAAUACUUGAUAGAACUAUUCAUUUACUUUUACAAUAGCACGUAUUUUCCAUAAUAAUAAACUAGCAUCUUCCAUUUUUGUUAAUCGAAAACAAAAAACUUACUUAACGGUCAUUUUACUUAUUGCAUGUCAUGCUUUCACAGAUACAGUAACCCUCCGACAUUAGUCUAAAAUUCAUUAAUAUUUGUAACGUGAAUAAAUAAAGUACGAUAAUAUAAAAAUUAUCUUAUUUUUCUUCCAUCCAUUCACAUAAUAAUCGUUGAUCGAGUAAAAUAAUUACUACCAUCAUACUCAUGAAUGUUUGUUUUAUAAGAAUAAUUGUAUUCACACUUCUACCUCACAUUUUAUGCGCAUGCGCUAAAUUAUCCGAACUAAAAACUUUAAACAUUAAGAUAUAUAAGUAUUCAAUUCUCUGAGUUAUAUUAUGAUUUUGAAAUAGAAAAUUUAUUAACGAAAAAAAAGAUAUUGAAUAGUGUAUUGAAAUUUGUUUAAAAAAUUAAUGUGAUGACUAUUCAAAAUUAGAAGACAUACAUUAUUGUUAAAUGACACCAUUAGGGAUAUUUCACAUUUAUAUAUAAAGUGAAUGCUUAUAGUGAUUUUAUUUUAUUAUUACCAUCGUAAAUAAGUAUCAUUUUCUAAUUUACACAUUAGAUUACUUUUCACCAUUCGGGGAGAUAUUUAUUUUGAAACAUUAUAUUUUAUAAACAUAUUAUUUAAAUUACAAUAGUUAGAAAAAUUAAACUUCUUAAGGUUUAAGAAGGUUUAAGGCCCAAUUAAAAUCUAAAUUGGUAUGAAACUUUAGAAAAUACGUCUUCUACAAUUUACCCAAACAUGUUUUAAUGGUAAUUAAUCUUAUAGAAUAAAUUCACAACUAUAUACAUUAUAUAUAUAAUAUAUGGUUAAUCGUAUAGGUUUAGUAAUUAAUCUUUGACAACCAUAUACGUCUUUAAAAAUUGUAUAAAAAAUGUUGUGGAAUCAGAUUCGAACACUUCCUCACGAUCGCUUUUCUUUGAGACUGAAAUGGGUUUGAUGAAAUUAUAAUUUCACCUUAAAAAAUGAAAACAAUUUUAAAAAAAAAAUAAUUAAGGGAACGCAUGAACUGAAGAAAAAUAGUCAGAAAAUGAAAAAAGAAACUGAGAUAUUAUUUUUCUUCUUCUUCUUCUUCUUUUUUUAAAUUCACAAAGGAAAGCUGAGAUUUAGCAGCAAAUUAAAAAAAGGAACGAAACGACAGAUCGAAAACGAAAACCUGAUUCCACAUAAUCUCCAUAAUGCAAUCGAACGAAACGACAUCGUCGAGUCUCUGGUGCCGCUAGCUCGCCGGAUUCGGAGCAUCAUUAUUGGCCACCGCCGGCGGAGCAGGAGGCCUUGCGGCUACCGGAUCAGCGCUGCGGCUCUGCUGCGUUGGUCGAGUAAGAAGAGUACUCGAGUGCGGACCACCAGAUUCGACCGUCGAUCCCGGUCCAACUGGCGGUGGGGGGUCGGAGAGGUAAUCGGCGGGCAUGAAAACGCCCUGCGAAGGCCUCCUCUGGUGCCUGCUGGGUCGCUGCGACAUUUUACGGUGAGAUUUGGGAAUGGAGAAGAACAAAGGGGCGGAAACAGAGAGAGAAAUAGUGAGAGUUCGCCGGCGUAACGGUAGAGUUGACUGCUUUUUCUUUUCUUUUCUUUUCUCUUUUUCUAUACGUUUUAGUUUGGUUUGUUUGAUGACUUCUCGAUCUAAGCGAGUCAAACUUAUAAUGCCAUCCUACAAUUUCCAACCUCUUCAUUUUUUACCCCUCACUGUUUCAUCCAUUGAUUUACUUCGACUUUAGUUCAAUUCGCAUCAAAAUGUAUUAAAAAAAUAUUUAACUAUAAUAUAAAAUCGUCUUAGAUUAAUAUUAUUAUAUAAUAUAUAGUAUUUUGAAUUUUGCCUCCUUAAGUCUAUUACUUCAUUUAUUAUUUAAUUUUUGUUUCAAUUUUAUCUUUAUACUUUUCGAAUUUAAACUUUUUUAAUUUUAAUUGAUCACUCUUUCUAUUAAAAAAAACAUAAUUAACCAGUUACAACUAAAUCAUAAUUUGAUAAUUAAUAGACUUUAAAACUACUAACAAAUUGGUCGGUCUCUUUUUUAUAAAUGAAACUUACAAACUCUCUAAGUAUAUAUGUCAUGUCAAUAAUUUAAACUUAUUUUUAGUUAUUAUUUAUUUAUUUAUCUAAAGUUAAUGGUAAAAAUGUUAGGUGAGUAAGUUUAUUAAAGAAAAACGGUAAUUAAAAGUUUGUUUUAAUUAAAGAUGGAAGGUUAUUUAAGAGAUAAGUAUUGGAGGUCCGAGAUUUAUGGAAAUAAUUGGGGUAGGAAAUUGAAGUGGGAAACUUCCUAACUGCCCCUACGAUUCAUGCACCAAAGAGUGUCAUUGUACCCAUCCAAUUUAACGGAACGGAACGGGCACUUACAUGUGUUUUAGAUAAGAUUUUAAAUUCCCAUCUAUUGUCCAAAUUAACCCUUCAUUUUUAUUUUUAUUUUUAUUUUGUUGGGUUAGGUAAGUAUAAUCAAAUAUUAAAUUCAUAAAUACAAAUAGAUUUCAAGGGUGCAUUCAUAUCUACCGACGAUAAAAUAUAAGUUUACUGGACUUCAAAAUGUUGGUUUUAUACUCUUUUAAAAAGUUAACAUUUAAUUGGUAGCUUUAUUUGCUGAAUGACGAAAAUUUAGUUUAAAAUGUCAAUAUUGAAUUUUAAAAUUACUUUUAAUUAAAAAUGAAUAAUGUAUUUAAAUUAAUACACAAAAUGUUUACAUAGGUAGAUAGGUUUAAUGUAUUUAUUGUAGUUAUGGUUUGUAUAUUUUUUUAUUAAUGGGAUUAUGAAAUUCUCACUGUGUCAACAUUAAGUUUAUAAAAAUGUCUAAAUAUUUCAAAAUUAAUAUGUUGACAAAUUUAAGAGAGAUGUGAAGACAUAAAUCAACACGACCUACUAACCAUUCAAUGAAAUAGGUUAAUUUGGUUGAAUUGAAUCGCGUGAUAUAGGGUCCUACUUAAUUCACCCUAUUAUUUGGCUCGAAAAGAAACCAGAUUGAAGUCAAAUUGAUUGGACUCAAGCAUCGUCAUGAAAGGUUCAUAAUUUUAAUUACACGAAUGCUCAUUUAAUUCCCACGUUCACGAAAUUUAGAACUCACUAUCAAGUAAAUACUUAAUAGUUUAUAUAUCUAUGGAAUGGACCAAACCUAAACAUGUACCAUAUUUAUUGUUUUUUUAUAUAUCUAAGAAAAUCAAAUCUACCUUUUAAGUAGGUUUUAAUGUUCACAAUUUUUAGUUUAACUUGUUUAACCAAACACUAAAUAAUAUAUGUAUCUUAUCAAUAGUUUGAUUAAAAUAAAGCAACAACAAUACAAUAAAAAUACAAAAUUUAAUAAUAUUUUUUAAAGGAAAACCCUAAAAUGCAAUAUAUUUUUGUAGGGAUAUUUGAUUGAAUACCAACUUCAAUUGCAUCUAAUAGGAUGUCAAAACAAAAUAAUAAUAAUAAUAAGAUUUAUAGCCAACACGUGUUGAACGAGUUUUUUUAAUAUGACAUUGCCCUAAGUUAAAAAAAAAAAAAGUCAGAGUAAGAUUUUAUCGUUUCAUAGUUGGAUGUUUAAAUCGCACGGUUUUCUUAAUCUAAUGUAAAUUUUAAAAUUAAAAUUCAACUGAUAAAAUAAACUUAUUAUCCACCUUGGUGUAAUUAAAUAUCUAUAAAUAUUGUUAGAUUUAAAAUUUAAAAUUCAAAUGAUUUUCUACCUUUUAUAAUUUAAGGUUUGAAUUCAUAUCUUUUCACUUUUCGGUAUAAAUCAAUUGAGUUCAAAACUGGAAUGCAGUUGAAGAUGAUUGUGUCCGUGAAAUGUGAAUAUCUAAUUAAAAGGUACGUGAAAAACUCUUACCAGAACAGUUAUCUUUUUUUGUAAAAGACAUAUAAAUAAAUUCGUUAGUAUUAACUUUUGGUAUAACUAGAGUUUUAACUAAGGGACAUAGGGAAUUAUAUAAAUACCUUAUAUCAGUUUGAUAUUUCAUACACAUCAAAACUAAAAAGAAAUAAUACAUUGUUCCCAAAGCACGGUGGAUGUAGGCAUUUGCCGAACCACUUUAACGCCGUGCGUAAAUCUUCUUCUUAUUUUUCUCUUCAUCUCACCAUCAUCCAAAGUAAAAACCAAAGAAGAAAACCAUACAUUACAGUAAAGAAAGAAAAAAGAAAAGUGUUGAGAGCUCAUUCAAUAUUAUGUAUACACGCAAGUGAAAGGAAAGGGAAAAAGUAAAACACAAAUAAGUGAGAGAGAACUCACCUCUACGUACAAUUAGGUGGCUUAUCUGUAUCCAUAAAAGUGUCAAUCCUUCAAAGUAGAUGUAAUUUUCUUUUAGUGUGCAACGAUUUUAACGUAGAUAAGUGUGAGUUUGUAAUAUUUAUUUUGCUACUUAUAUUGUAAACCAAAUGUUUUAAUAUCUAUGGUUUAAUCUAGUGACACAUCCAGAUUGUAGAUCCAAUCAAAACUGGACCCAAAAAGUUGAUUAAGAAAAAACCAAGCUCAAGAGUAAGGAUAUGGGCUUGAUUACUAAAGGUUAGGUUGGUUGGCCCGAAAGCAUCUGGGUUUGAGUGAUAUCCCACUUUCUAGACUCAAAUUCCUCCAACCAUAAGGCACCAUUUGUACAUAAAAAAACAAAAUUCAAACAUACUAUAAUUGACACGACCCCUAACACAAUAACUUAGAAACUUUGUUACACUCUAAAUUUUAUAUUUUCAAAUGUUGAAAUUUAUUCAUUAAAUUUCAAAUAAAUCUUAAUGGUAAUAUUUAUUACAAACUUGUUGUUGGGCUUUUCAAGUAUUUUAUUAAUAUUUUUAUUACAAAGUUCGAAAAUAUAUUACCAAAUUGUAUUUUUUUUCUCAUAAGAACAAUGGUUAUUAUUUAAGUAAAUUCCAUAAAAAUCAAUCUUAAUUACUAAGUUUGAGUUUUAUUAAAAAAAUAGAAAAAAACAAAAUCCAACGUAGAUUAUUACACGAGUGGUCCUCAUCCUGUAGUUGCGACACAUCAUCAGAAAAGCAAUCCACCUAAGCACAACAGCUGGCCAGUAACAAGACGUGGUGGUUCCUCAUUGGAUAGUAAAAGUAGACCCCAUUGAGAUUUCAAACUGUCGUCUCGUUUCCUUUAAAGAUUGUGAACCAUGACGAACUUUACUAUUUUUGUUGUUGCUUUUCUUUUUCCUUUUUUAAAUAAAUAAAUAUACAAAAUGUUAAUUUUUAAUUUAAUAAUAAUAAUAAUAAUAUUAUUAUUAUUAUUAUUAUCUCUCUCAUUGGAGCUUUGUUUCUCUUUCCAUCUCUAUCUCUUGGAAGCUAAAUAUUGACCGCGAACCCAAAGCUUCUUUUCCAUUUCGGUUUUUUGCCGCUCUGUUUUUUCUCUUUCAGGUUUUCCCGGACAAAACCCUAGCCCUAACUAAUCCGCCUCUCGUCGUAUUCCGAUCUGAUUCUACUUUCCACACGCCUGAAAUCUGUUUCCGACCGGUUAGAUCUCAGAUCCGCUGUUCUUAAGAAUUUAAUUGGUGACUAUCUUGCUCGUGGUUUGGAUUUCAUCACUCAUUUCCUUUGAUUCUUGACUUGUUCUCAUCGGAUUUUUCAUUUUUAGGUUUCGAGAAAGGUGUUGAGGUUAGAUUUCUUAAUUUUUACGCGUUAAACUCUCUGUUUUUUAUGAUGAUAACCGCUGGCGGUUAGUCAGAAUUAAUGUUUUUCUGAUGCUUUUAUUUGUUUUUUGUUUUCUUUUUUUUCAUUUUGAUGAAUUUAGGUUUUUUUUAAGUUUAGCAUUUGAAUUUGCAGGCUUCAAGGAAUUUUAUUCAGUUUUUCUUUUACAGGAUUUUGGAUUUUCAUUUCCACUCUGUUUGGGCUUUUUGGAUGCUGUCGAUUGGGUUUGCGGGAUUGUUAGCUACUGGCUUUGCAGAUUUGGAGGAAUAUAUAUUGGAUGGGAGAAGAAGCAGCUGGUUUGGCUGCAGUGACAAAUGAGACGCUGGGGAAAGAGAACGCUUCGAGUACUGAAUUGAAGCGAGACCAUCAGUGUCUUGAUGAAGAUACGGAACCUGAGUCUUUGCAUAACAAGAAGCAAGCUAAGGAAGUGUCGAAUGAAGACGUUCGCUCAGAAGUAUCGAAUCCUGUAGUUUCUCCGAAAGAGAAUCAUUUCCAUGAUAUUACUAGCCAGCCUGAGGAGGUAGAAAACACUACCCAAGUUGAGCGUGGGGAGCUUACAUCGGCUUGUUCGGGGAAUUCAAGCUCGGAGGAUAUCUCGAGCGGUGGAGUUCGUUGCCAGAAUGACAUGUCUCAAAACGACGUUGAUAUGUGUGAUGUCAAUGAGGUUUCUCGGGUUGUGAUUGAAAUUCCCAAGCAUGCUAGUUCAACUGGAAUUAGGAAAAUUACGUUCAAGUUCAGCAAAAAAAAGGGUAACAAUGGCGCAUCCGUUUCAGCAGACAAAGUCCAUUCUUAUGGAAACUCUGACAGGGACGGUAAACCAGAACCUUCAUUGUUGGAUGAUGCUUGUACGGAAACGUCUGCACAUAGCUGUGAAGGUUCUGCUGAGAGCAGCAGGUAUUCUUUAGGCCCAAAUAAAAUGGAAUUGAAAAUGUCGAAGAAGGUUUUACCCAACAAUUAUCCGUCGAAUGUUAAAAAGCUGCUGUCGACUGGUAUACUUGACGGAGCUAGAGUCAAAUAUGUAUCUACGACAAGCGAGGUAUUUCUUGUUUUUCAUACUUCUUGAUAAUUCCCAGCGCCAUUUUCUUCAUGUUCUGAUUAUUUUAUUUUGUUUUAUUUUUAUUGUACUGUUUCUGUUAGAUGAAGCUACAAGGUAUUAUAAAUGGCGGAGGUUACAUGUGCGGAUGUUCAACGUGCAAUUUUACAGCUGUAAGAUAUAAGCAAUUCUUUUACAUGAUUUCCGGACUCCCUUAAGGUGACCUAACGAUGAUUUUGAACAGAUCCUUAGUGCUUAUGAGUUCGAGCAGCAUGCUGGUUUCAAGACUAGACAUCCAAAUAAUCAUAUAUACUUGGAAAAUGGAAGGCCAAUUUAUAGUGUCAUACAGGAAAUUAAGAGUGCACCUCUUAGCAUAUUAGAUGAAGUGAUUAUGGAAGUAGCGGGUUCGUCUGUUAACAUGAAUUCAUUUGAGGCUUGGAAAGGUAUGGAUAUUUCUGAUUUCUUUUUAAUAAACAUCAUCUAUCUCCUUUCUGGAAAAUUAUUGGGGUGCUUGGGGUUGGUUUGCUUUUAUGUAUACAAUAAAAGAUUAGUAAAAAAAAAUAUUUAAAUGUGAGAUCAAGUUCUGGAUAAGUAAUGAAUUCCUUCCUCUGGAAAUGUAGGAGUUGGACUCUCUUCUUUAAUUGACAAUUUUAUGUUCUGCAGCAAGUUUCCACCAGGACAGUGCAAAUAUUGUAGUGGAAAAUCAUGAUGUGAAGCUUCCUAAACUGUCACAUCCCGUUGAGAGGUAUAUUGUAAUAAUCUGAUAAUCCCUUUCUCUGGCUGUUGAAUUAUAUAAGGAUUUGUUGUAUUGAAAAGGGUAGUUCAUUCUUUGUUAUUUUUUUUCCCUAGCUGGAUUAUGUCCAUCCCCUUCACACUCUUGCAGCAAACGCUGCUCUUUCUGUGUAUGUGUGUAUAUAUAUUCUCAGUUGGCAGUGAAAUAAAACUUGUAUGUUGUUGUGCCUCAAAGACUUAAAGUUGACUAAGAGUUAAUUUUGGUCUGAUUCUAGGGCUUGAGGGCAAGGAAUAUUUUAAGAUAAGAAACUCCCUAAAUUUUUGGUUAGCCACCUUACUGAUCAUACACAAUUAGAUUCUCUUGAAUGGAUUAGACAUUUUUUGUGUGUGUUUUGGAGAUGAAGGAAGAUCUGUGAACCUUUUGCUGUCAACAACUUAAAAUACUUUUUAUUAGCGAAUUAACAUUUUGCUCCUUGUCAUUGCACGAGAAACAUGAAGCUAUGAACUAGGGUUGUUUUGGGACUUUUAACUUUUCUCAUAAUUAUUAAAAUUUUGAAAAUGCCUUUUCUUUGUGAGAUUUCUAUACUUUUUAUUUACUCGAUAAAUAAUAGUCUCUGGAAGACUUUUUUGCUUUGGUCAUAACAAUACUUUUUGUUUUAUGCAGACCAAACCCUAAUUUUUCCAAUGCCGUCUUGCAACACAAGAAAACGGCAGAAAAAGGCACAAAAAGAAGGUAUUUUUCUCUAAUUGGAUAUAGCAAGUCCAUUUUCUAUUUACUCUUUCCAAAAGAAGUUUCUAGCAUUCCCUGUCACUGAUAAUUUUCCACUAUAUUUGCAGGGAUAAUGAUCUUCACAGAUUACUUUUCAUGCCAAAUGGCCUUCCAGAUGGGGCUGAGCUAGCAUACUUUGUGAAAGGACAGGUAAUUAAAAUAUUAGCUGAUGUAUGUAUGUGAUGAACGAGUUUGUUGAUUGAUCUGAUAUUUCUUUCUUUCUGUUUUCCCUACUUCCCAUAGAGAAUACUCGGAGGCUUCAAGCAAGGAAAUGGUAUUCUCUGUAGUCACUGUAAUCGAGAGGUUAGUUGCUGCGAAGUCCCAACCUUUGUACUGUAUUGAUUUAUUUUUUUGUCUAUAUUUAUCUAUUUCUAAACUAUUUCACAAAUUUGAAACAGAUUAGCCCCUCCCAGUUUGAAGCCCAUGCAGGGAUGGCUGCCAGACGUCAACCGUGAGUAUGAUGUUACGUUUUAUGUUAUCUUGAAAUGCUACUAGAUUGUCAUACUAAAAAUAAAAAUUUCUAUGUAAUGCAGGUACCGCCACAUUUAUACUACAAAUGGACUUACACUUCACGAUAUUGCAAUUUCCUUGGCUAGUGGGCAAAAACUUACCACAGGAGACAGUGAUGAUAUGUGUGCUGCAUGUGGUAAUGGAGGGGAUUUGAUUUUCUGUGAUCGCUGCCCUCGAGCUUACCAUACAGGUGAAUUUGUCUUUUUCCGUUUUUUAUAUCAUUCCUGUCUUAGAAUAAGGUUUCACCAGGUUGAUUAUUUUUAGUUUUAUGUUCAAAACUGCAUCCAAAAUUAUGUAAUAGGGCUGGAGUACGGAUUUCAGUCUAUCUCCACACAUGGGCUUAGCAUAAUCAUUUUUACCCCACUCUGGCCAGUAGUUGUGUUAUUUUCAUUCACUUGCCUUUUGCUAAGUUCUUUGAACUAUAUCCUGCUUAUUUUACAGGCUGCCUGCAUCUACAGAAUGUUCCUGAAGGAGUUUGGUCUUGCCCAAACUGUAGAGAUAAAGUAGGUUCCAAUUCGAAGGCUAUUUCUGGAGGUUCUUUGAGUUUUUCAAAGCCAAUUGUUUUUAGGUUGACACGAGUUGUUAAAGCACCAGAGUAUGAAAUUGGUGGUUGUGUUGUUUGCAGGUAGUUACCUUUUUUCUCCCGCUCUUCUCUGACAGCCUUCACGUUCAUUCUUUGGGCUCCCUUUCUUUUUAUAUUUUAUUUAGCUGAAACUUUCGAUCCAAUAGUUGCAUUUUUUUUAAAAAAAAGUUAUUUUGUUUGUUUGUUUGUUUUUAUUUAUUUCAUUGGUUUAAAAAUUAAGGCAAUAUUUACUAAUUAUGCUUCUUAUGAAUUUUUUUUCUUUUCUUUUUUAAAUAGAUAACUGCUUCUUAUAGAGUAGUAAAAAACCAUAAAUCGAGUGUAGUUGACUUUCUAGGUGUGUCCUUUGUUCAUUAGUCUGGAUGACCGGGGGUAUCAAUAAACUGGUGGGCCAGCAUAAUGUUGAUUUACUGUUUCAUCAUAAAACUGAAGCUUUCUUUACUCUUUACAUUGUUUCUUAUAAAUUUUUAAGGAAGGAAAUUUCAUAUCCCCUUAUUUCUUAGGUAUAAUUUACAUGACUAAAAACUCUAACACAACUUCUCCUAAUCUUGUAGGCGACAUGAUUUCAGUGCUGCUAAGUUUGAUGAUCGAACUGUACUGCUCUGCGAUCAAGUAUGAACAUUAUUUCAUAUUUUACUUUCGAAUGGUUUAUAAUGUGCUCUGUUUAAUUUGAUGUCUAAUUUUCUCUUUUCCAGUGUGAGAGAGAAUUCCAUGUAGGUUGUCUGCGGGAUAGUGGAUUAUGUGAUCUGAAGGUAUGUUUAAGAUUGAUUUCAUUGCUUUUAAUCUUAAAUGAUACUAUGAAGUUACUUAGGGGACCCUGAUCUUCCUGUAGGAACUCCCCAAGGAUAAGUGGUUCUGCUGUGACGAGUGCAGUAACAUCCAUGUGGCCCUUCAGAAUACAGUUUUGAAUGGGGCACAAAUCAUUCCAGAUUCAUUAUCAGAUUUGAUAAUCAGAAAGCAUGUUGGAAAAGGAUUAUUAGUUGAUGAAGCUCUUAAUGAUGUUCGGUGGCAAAUUUUAAGUGGAAAAAGUCGCUUUCCAGAAGACCUUCCAUUUCUUUCAAGGGCAACUGCUAUUUUUCGAGUAUGUUUCUCCAUAUUAGUCCAAUACUCUUCUUUUUAACUUUCUAUUGAAAUUUCAAAUCCACAACUUUGCAAGUUUAGAAUUUUUAUUCCGUUCCUGUUACAAUCCAAACAUAUGUAACACACAAAUCUGAGCUUCACGAACCUAAGUUUUCUUUUUUUAAGUCUAUGAAUCAAAUUCCCUUGAAUAAUUUUUACAUUUUGAGCUAAUUCUUUCGAGUUUGAUUGACAUUAUUAAUUUUAAAGUUCUAAUCACAACUCUUAUUCCUUUAACAGGAAUGUUUUGAUCCUAUUGUUGCAAAAUCAGGUCGUGAUCUGAUACCUGUUAUGGUUUAUGGGUAAGAUAAAUGUUAUUCCUUAUGCUUAUCCCCGUUUUGUUGGCAAGAUAAAUAUUUGGAGUCAUAUCUCUACUUUUCCUUUUAAAUUUUACGGAGUUUAGUUUUUUCUUUCUUUCAAUUGAUAAAUUAUGGAGGAACUGGUCAAGUCACCGUGGCCAUGUUCCCCAUGGCACAGCAGUAUUGUUCCUUCAAUUGACUCUAGGGUCCUGUUGAAUUCAUUCCCCAUUUCUCAUUAACUGGAUUGUCGAUUGUCUGUUUGUGUAUUUAUACAGUUAGAUAUUUCAUGCUUGAUUUUUAUAACUUUCUGCAGGAGAAAUAUAUCUGGACAAGAGUUCGGAGGAAUGUAUUGUGUUGUUUUAAUUGUGAGGUAUGACUUACAUUUUUUUAAAAAGUUAUCAUUAUUAUUUUAACCCUAUGCUGAUUCUGUCACUUUCUUUUCUUAGGUCAAUAGUUGUAUCGGCUGGUCUUCUUAGGAUCUUUGGUCGUGAAGUUGCUGAACUUCCUAUUGUUGCCACAAGUAGAGAACAUCAGGGCAAGGUAGGCGCUUAAGGUUCUUUUUAAGAAGGCUAUAGGUUUUCAUAUCUUCUACUUUCUUUCGCCCUAGUUGAAUCUUUUUCUUUUUCUUAUGGCUGGCUUUUUAUGUGCAGGGUUACUUCCAAGUAUUGUUUUCCUGUAUAGAGCGGCUACUUUCUUCCCUAAAUGUGCAAAACCUUGUUCUCCCUGCAGCCGAGGAUGCCGAAUCAAUUUGGACCAAGAAAUUGGGCUUCAGAAAGAUGAGCGAAGAACAGGUAAGUGAUAUUCCAUAAUGCCAUGGUUGCCUUUUAUAUUGGUGUACAACAAAAAAGUUGGUCACUCCAAUCAAUUAGCUUCCUUUAAAUCGUUUCUCAUCUUGUUGUCUGUGAUUGGGCAGUUGAUUAAGUAUAUGAGGGAGGUCCAGCUGACUAUCUUCAAUGGAACAUCAAUGCUAGAGAAGGUGGUGGAGCAAUCAACGUUAUAACGCAUCAUGAUUGAUGCGCAAGUCUCUAUAUGAAACAAGUCCAAGUUAGAUUCUUGUUGAAAGGAAGGAAGGAAGGAAAGGUUUUAGGUGAAAGUUGGAAUCACAUAUAUAUAUCUAUAUAUAUUUUUAAUUUCAUUCUUUUCCCCCUUUUAAUAUCCUCCAUAGAAAAUAGUUGUGAUGUAUAAUUGCUGCGAGUUCUGGUUUCUGACUGGCAGCCAGAGGAAACAAUCUCAUCUCCUGGGAAGGUUGUUCUGUUUGUACAAACUAGAAAUUAGAUAGUCAACUAAUUGGAGGGGUGCGAGUGAAAAAGGAAAAAGAAAAAAGAAAAAAAACAGUGCAUGCUGACCUUUUAUUAUGCAUGCUGGAGAAAUCUCACUUUGUUUUUGACUUUGAUUGAUAAUAUUUGAUGUAGUUGUUCCAAAAGUGUAAAAAAGAAGAAUAAUAGAAAGAAAGCCUAAAAAUGUGCCAGAUUCAGUUUGUGUUGCUGUUGCAGACAUAGGCCCCAACCUUGGGAAGAAGGGAAGGCUGUGUUUUCCUUUACUCUUGCUUGUUGCCACUUUCAACUUUCAACUUCCAACUUCCAACAAUCUCUCCAUCUCUCUAUCUGUAUGCAUCCUUCUAAUCUCUAUCCUCUUUUUUCUUUUUCCAAAAUUUUCACAACUACUGAUCAUCUUUCUGUAUAUAUUUGCCUUCAUAAAUUUUGAUCUCAUGUGAUUUUUUUUUUUGCAUCUAUGUCUAUUCUAUUAGUUUUUAUUGUUCUUUCUUUCAUUUGCUCAAGCCUGAGUAGUUAAAAUUCUACACAUGGAGUCAUCAGUAGGAUAUUGUAUCUGUUGUUUUCAGUUGAACAACAUACAAGUGAUGACUUCUUUUCCCAUCUUUUUAUUGUAUGGAGUGAGGGAGUUUUCAUUUUGGAUGGAAGGGUUUGAUGAACUAUUGAUUAAGUAGUGAGUAUUUUUAUCACAUUGUGACCUUUUAAAAGAGAUUAAUGAGAUAUUACUAAUAUGGAUUGGAUCAACACGAUAGAUAUUAUUGAUAUGGAGCAUGAUAAGAGAAAUCACGAGUAGUGAUUGAUUAAAGAAAUUUUUUAGUAGAUUUGAAGGGAGAAGAUUACAAGUGCAGUCAACAAAGAAGAUAAAUAUGCUUUUAAGAGCUUUGGAUGGAAUGGACCUUUCAUCUAGAGCACUGGCCUCAUCCAAGUCUGACGGAGCCGCCAUCCAUAUGGAAUUGAUGUUUAAUAGAAAACGUAACAACUUCAUGUCAAUGAUCUUGAUUUACAUAUCUCCGUUUAAAAUCGAGUUCACCUAGAAAGAGGGUUGAGGAACAAUGAUGGAUAUCCUCAAGGAUCAAAUUCCGAUAAAAGAGCUAACAGAAAGUUAGAUCAACAAUGUUAGAAAGAGUCAUUGAUGACCAAUGAGUCAACCAAAUUGUGUAAGAGUUUUGAGGCUUAAAAUACUAAUGAUUGCAUGUCAUAUUGCUUAAUCAAUUUAAAGAUGAAGUUUGCUUUCCAUUUGAUCUAAAUAGUUACUUAUUUAUUUACAUUCAUUUUUAUGGAUAUGUAUAUAACACACCUGUAUACAUCCACGAAAAUCAUGAAUAGAUUUGUUGAUAAAAGGGUUGAAGGGAUUAAUAAAAAAAAAACUCCCUUAGAUUUGUAAACUUGCACUCCCUCGUAAAUCUGCAGGUUUCUAAUAUAUUCCAAAAUAAAAUCAUAAGAACUCGUUUUUGGAUAUUGGAUAUUUUUACUGAAGUAAAUAUUUUCUACCAUAAUGAGCUAAUUAAAUAGAUCAAAUUACGAGAAUGUUUUAAAUUCAACACUUUUUUUUAUAUGAAUAGGGCGUAAAAAUCGAGUUCAAAGGCUCAUAAUAUCCUCAUUAAUUAAUAGUUUUUUGUAUUGAAAAUAUAUACAUGUAUAUUUAAUUAUUUCACACACAUAUAUAUAUAUCCUACAUUAUAUAAUAUAAUAAUAUUUAAUUAUUUCACACACAUAUAUAUAUAUCCUACAUUAUAUAAUAUAAUAUUACCGCAUGAUAAAUUAGAGCAUAAAAUAAGAUAUAAGAGGUCAAAUUGUACAUAUAAUCCGUCAACUUGGUGUGUAGUGUAACAGAACCAAAGUAGUGAAGUUGAAGUUUGAAUUGAUAGCCGUGGAUGGUAUCGAACUCAAGGUUUAAAUUGGAGUUAUAAAGUUCGAUUAGGGUUGGAGGCAUUAGUCGGUUGACAUGUUGUCAAUGGUUGAAGACUUGUGAAGUAUGAGUGUGAUGAUGUUGUGUGUUCUUUAAGUCGAAAGUGACAAUGAAUGUAAAUGAAAUGAGAGAUGAAAACUAACCAAAAUCGAAUGAACAAUGACACCGUGCAAUAAAACCAAAAUGGUUAAACCUAAUAUUAUGCGAAGAUCUUUUUUAAGAUAUAUUGAAUCUUACAUUAACAAACAUUUAAACAAAAUUAAAUGAAAAUACAAACAUUACUUGCAAUAUAUAUUCUAUUUAAUGAAUCCAUUUCAAUAAUAAAAAACAUUAUAAUUUAACCAAGAAUAUACAAUAGGAUUGUCUUCAUAAUAUCAAAAUCUUUAACUAUACAUAUUUUCCAAUUAAGCUAAAACCAUGUCUUACACAAUAUUGUGUUUGAAUUUUAGCUAGGUUUUAAAGUUUUCAAAUCUUCAAUAUUCUAUUUUAUUUUUCAUUCAAGAUUCUUAAAAGAUAAUAGUCUUUAGAAAAAUAAAAUGUUGAAGAAAAAGCAAAGAAAUGAAUAUUUACCUUUCUGUCCCAAUCCAUCAUUUUAUACUUUGUCAUCAGUUUGUGACGAACCCUAUUUGGUAUCUUCUGAUUCUCCCUAACAUUAUUAUAAAAUUUAAGAAGAAAAGAACAAAAUGAGAUAAAAGCAAAACUAGGUGGUUCUUAUAAACUAUUUUUGUUGCAUAUAAAUCUACACGUUGUAUAUGAUCUCUAAAACUUCAAAUGAUUUUUUUAUAUAAAAUAAAAAACAAAAAAUAUUGAGAUCAUUAGAUCAUAAUACUUUCGAGAAUAUUUACAAAUACAACCAAAUAUAACUAAUUACUUUUAAAAAUAUAACUAAUUACUUUCAUAAAUGUGAUAUUUAGUAUAUUUUAUGAAUAUUCGAUUCCUUCUCUAUCUUAAUCCAUCUAUUCCCAUUUCCUAUUUAAAUAGACAUAUUAGAGAAGUAUUUGGCACUUAUUUAGAUUUAUAUUUUGAUACUCAUACCUUAACUAAAGUGAGGUAUUUAUUAAAUCACUAAAUUGGAGUUUUUUCUUUCUUUUUUUUUUUGUUGAGCAAACACUAAAUUUGAAAUUCUUUUGUUGAUAACUCCAAGGAUCUAGACAUUUCUUUUUUUUGAAAAACCUUCCUUAUAUAUUGUUUUCAAACCUGCCAAAUUCAAAAUAAAUUACAUAAUAAAACAUUCAAAGCCUCUAAAUUAUUAAUAAAAAAAUAAUAACUAAUUAUGAUUUUGUAAUCCAUGAAAAUAGUAGGUUAUUUGAGACGUUUUUCUUUAAUGUAUAACCUAAGUUUUUUGUUUUUCUCAAUUCUUUGUAUUAUAGACUUGUGAAGUGUAAUCAAUCAGCUAAGUUGAAACUUGAAAGAGAAACACAAAAUCAAUUCUCCAAAUUGAAUCCUUCAACCUCCAAAAACCCUCAAAAUUCUCCUUUAAUUUCUCUUUUCAAAACGAUGAUCCAGUCCCCCACACGUGAUCCUCACGUGCUCAAACACCCACCUCUUUACCAUCGCAAUAGCCGCCGUCUGCCGAUCAUCAUUUGAACUUCACUCGACCCACUAAAAUCAACACACACUCAAACAAAACCCAUUUCUUUAUUUCCUUUUCAACUUUAUACAACGCUUCAUUGAUCCAACCAUCGCCUCCUUCUUCUUCACUCUCUCUGUUUCAUUAUUUUCAACAGAACUCAACCAAUGUAUCUCUCUGUUCCUCACUACCCAUCUCUGAAAUUUUCCACCUUUCAAUCCCACAAGGUUUGUUUUCGUUCGCCUCCAAAUCCCUUUUCGAGAUUGCCCCCCCCCCCCCCCCCCCCCCCAUCUGUGAUUCUGUUUCUGGGUCCAAUUUUAGCUACAAAUUUGAGCGCAAUGUUCAUACCUCUUUUUCCCAUUUCAGCUAAAUGUUUGAAUUUUCUUCGUUUUAUUCCAUUGCUUUUGGUGAUGUUCUGUUCGUUUCUGUUUUUCUCUAGACGAGUUUUCGAGUGUUUUCUGUGGCUACCAAUGAGACCGCCAAUUAUUUGCCGCAGGCUCCGAUUUUGAUUCCUGAUGGACCAUGGAAACAGGUAAGGGGCUGUGAAUUUGCUCUCUUUGCAUCCUUAAUGAUUUCUUGAUUGUUUUGAUUCAGUUUGAGUUUCUGGGGUUGGCCGAUUACUUUAGUGGCCUUCUUAUUCUUGUGUUCGUUUUAUUUUCCUUAUCUUCUCUACAUAAGUUUUCUCAGAAUGUCAAAUUUUAUAAUCUAAAGAACAUUUAAUUUUGUACAAAUGUUCUUUGGAAGCGAUCGAUAAAGUAUAGGUAUUGUCAGAUUUUCAACUUAUUAUAAGUUGUCGUGUAUCCUCAGUUUUUUUUACUUUUUAUAAGUUCAAACCAAAAGUAAACUUGUUUUUGUAGAUUGAUGGAGGAGUUAGUGCUGCAAAGGGGUUCAAAGCCGCAGGGCUUUAUGGAGGAUUAAGAGCAAAGGGAGAGAAACCUGACCUUGCACUUGUUACUUGUGAUGUUGAAGCCAUUUCUGCUGGUAUGAGCCAACUGUUGAGUUUAUCUGUGUUCUAAAUAACAACCUGUUUUUGGUUGUAAGACAAACUAGAGAAUGAUUGUUAUAGGAAAAGUUUUGAUGGUUUUGGCCACGUUCUUGGCGAACUUAUCCCGACUCAUUUUGAACUUUUUAUUCAUGCCGGUUAGGUUUUGGUCGGGCACAUGAAACUUAGCCAGCUGUGUCUAAGUUUGAAGAACAUUCUGAUACUGACUGAGUUUGCUCAUUUUCAUUUCCAGGAGCAUUUACAAAGAAUGUAGUUGCUGCAGCACCUGUGUUAUAUUGUAAAAAGGCGUUGGACUUUUCGGAAACGGUAGGUUUUCUAUCUCUUGUUUAAGUUAUGUUUACCUAUCAGCAAGACAUUAAAACCGUAACUAAACAAGUUCACUGAUUUUGCUAACUAAACUACUGUUUAACAAAAAGUAGUUUUACCUUAUUUUCUAACAAUGAUUUGAUUGAUUCUACAAUUUGUUAGGCACGUGCAGUGUUAAUCAAUGCUGGUCAAGCAAAUGCCGCUACGGUAAGCUGUUGUUUUGAUGACAUCAAUUGAAUAUUGUUUGGACUCAAAAAGAUAAAAGUCUAUGCGUAUCUUGGAUGAAUAUAUACAUAGCUAAGUGUCUUUUUGUUGUUGCAGGGGGAGGUUGGUUAUCAAGAUAUGAUAGAAUGUGUGGACAAUCUUUCUAAGGUAUGCACCUUCAUAGGGUUCAGAACAAACUUCUUAAUCUUUUUCUGGAACAAUUGUAAGUUGUAUAUAACUUUAAUUGUAGAUUCUUCAAAUAAGGCCGGAGGAAGUAUUAGUUCAAUCUACCGGGGUGAUUGGUCAUAGAAUAAAAAAGGUACGAAGAUACGUUAUGUAUUGUGUUUUAACAGAAAAUAUACCUACUGGAUGGUUUGUCUUGAACUCUAAAGUUAUCCAACUUCAAAUGCAGGAUGCACUCUUGAAUUCUCUUCCAAAACUAGUUGGAUCCCUUUCAUCUUCAGUUGAAAGGUAUUCCUUUAGUUAGUUUCAUUUGUACUUUUUGUUGUUAUAUGUUCGGCUUCGGCUUCUCUGCUGUCCAGUCUUUUCCUCAUUAACUUUUCUGGUUGUGCAUAACUUUAUCAGUCUGUUUACAGUGCAGCUUCUGCGGCAGUAGCGAUAACGACAACUGACCUUGUUAGUAAAAGCGUGGCUAUUGAGUCACAAGUGCGUAAAAACCGUUUUAUAUUACCUUGUUCUGCUUGUGAACUAUACAAUAGUCUUGAUCUAACCAACAUAGAAAGCACUUUCAACAUUGUACUUUGAUAAAAUCAUAGCAUAAUGGAUUAACAGUUGAUUUAAUGCCCAGGUUGGGGGCUCAACUAUAAGAAUUGGAGGAAUGGCGAAAGGUUCUGGAAUGAUUCACCCGGACAUGGCUACUAUGCUCGGUGUACGUAUCUUGAAACUUUGCAUUUCGUACUCAAACAAGUUAAAUGGCUGGGAUUGUUUGGAAUAAUGUUGAAAUGUUACAAUGUGGUAGGUUGUAACAACAGAUGCUGUGGUUGCUACUGAUGUUUGGAGAAAGAUGGUGCAAAUAUCUGUUGAUCGAAGCUUCAAUCAGAUCACAGUAUGAUUGUUUAACGUCUUAACAACUUUUUUACUGUUGGUUCUCUUUCACAUAUAAUAUGCUCAGGGAAAAUUUACUUGUCCUAUUGUACUCCAUAUGAAUCAAGUCAAAUCAAACUAGCUAGUCUUGAAAAUUGGUUUUAGAGUAAUUCAUUUAGUUUGGGUUUGUAAAUGAAACAUUCAGGAUGGAUUAUAUAUUAAAAAUUUAGGCACAUAGGUGGAGUACCAUACCAAAUCAAUGAUGCAAUACAAUAAUGUUACAUAGGUGAGGUGACGUUGGAAGUACCAUCAAAAUUGUCCUUUUUAAAAGAGAGAUGGGUUUGAUGAUGUAGGUGGAUGGGGAUACAAGUACCAACGAUACCGUCAUUGCUUUGUCGAGUGGCUUGUCGGGAUCCAGUUCAACUAUGAUUUCGUCCUUGAAAAGUCGAGAAGCAGGACAACUCCAAGACUGCCUUGAUGUGGUAUGUAUUUUUGAGAAUCAGAACAUCUUCAAAAGAAAUUUGAGGAAAAAGUUAUUUCCAUGUUAUAGGAUUGUUUCUCCUUUCUAUUUUCAGGUGAUGCAAGGGCUUGCCAAGUCAAUAGCCUGGGAUGGAGAAGGUGCUACCUGUCUAAUUGAGGUCGGUCUGCCAUUUCUAUAAGCCAAAAAAAUCUUUUACAUAGUCUAUGCAUUUUAAUUUCAAAUUACCAAUGCCACAGAUUACAGUGACUGGUGCAAAUUCAGAAGCCGAUGCAGCAAAAAUUGCUCGUUCGGUGGCAGGCUCAUCACUUGUAAAGGCAAGAUUUUCAAUCUUCAUCAUCUUUCUCCUACGCACUUUACUUUGUGCAAGCAUAUCUCAUCAUUGUUUUUCCAUGCUGCAGUCAGCUGUAUAUGGCCGAGAUCCAAAUUGGGGAAGGAUAGCAGCGGCUGCUGGGUAUGCAGGGGUACCUUUUGAGCAGACGAAACUCAAAGUGUCCCUAGGAAACAUUCUCCUUAUGGAUGGAGGAGAACCCCAAUCUUUUGACAGGUUUAAAAAGACAAAUCACCUAAUCCAAUUUUAAUUUGACCACUUUUGACUAUAAUUGUAUAUUAUUACUUUUUUCAGGGCUGCUGCUAGUAACUACCUUAGAAGAGCUGGAGAAACCCAUGAUACCGUCAGAAUUUACAUUUCUAUAGGUGAGAAGAUGAUUUAGUAUAACUCUGAAUGGCCAUCAUGAAAACUAUAAUAAAAGAUACUUUUUUUAACACCAGCCUCGAGCUAACCUAGAUAGUUGCUUUGAUCGACAGGUAAUGGGCAAGGAGAAGGACGAGCAUGGGGUUGUGACUUGAGCUAUGACUAUGUCAAAAUAAAUGCAGAGUACACUACAUAAAUUGUCGUCAAGCCAGCUAGCUAUGACAGAAUAAUUGUAUCUCUCGGUCCUUUGGGGGAAGAAGUAUAUCAAUCGAAAUCAUUUAGUUGAGUUCAAUUGAUAUCUCAUUAAACUUUAUCUUCUUUAGGACAAGAUCUAAAUUAUAAUUGAGUUUAUUCCAAUUUCAAAGCUUUCCCUAUUUUCUCUAUGAAUCUUCUAUUUUUUGGUAUUUCUAGAAAAGAUGCAGCACUUCUAAAUUCCGUUAGUCAUUACAAAGAAGCAAAUCAAGCAUAUUCCAAUAGAAAAGAGAAGCAGUCACAACCAUAUCCAUAACCAUAGUAACAGUGUCGAAAUUCAACAAACAUCAUCAUAUAACAAAAGGUAAAUCCUCAGAAUCUCUCGUACAAACAAACAACAAACGAGUUAACGUCAUACAAUUUCUUGGUCCAAGCAUCUCGGUCAUCAACAAUCACAAAUGAAACCAAAACAUUUUAUUUAUUUACAGAAUACAGUGAGAGAAGAUGAAAACUUGGACGAGUAACGCUCACAAGGCUUCAGUAACAGAGUAGUGCACCUUGGUGACUGAUGUUUUCAGGAAGAUGCUUCCACAGUGAGAGUCUGAGCUCCCGUCGUCGAAACUCUCAAACUCGUUGAGAGUAUUAACCAAACUUUCAUGAGAGUUAAAUGAUCUUUGAUACCGAUCAGAACUACCAACAGAUUUGCGAGCCUGCCUUUUGUCCCUGCCACCACUUCCGCGCGAAGAGUUGCUGCCCUUCUGUCCUUUCUUCCCAUUCUUCCUGUUCUUUGAUUUCUGCUGUUUCUUGUUGUUUUUGACACAAUGGCACAACGAUGUCUGAGGAGGGUCAUACACAUCAGGAGCCCAUGUCACACUCAUCUUAGGUGACUCCCCAUAGUGUUGUGCUCGGCUACCUUUCAUCGCAGAUAAGAGCUUUCCAGGCACCUGGAUGUUGGAAGUUAAGUCAGCAAACAGAAAGGAAGACAAAAUGCAAAUAUGCAAUGGCUUCACAAACAUUUACUUUUCACUAAUUCAUUAUCUAAAAUUGAAUAUAACAUAUCUACAAAAAACCUCAGAUUAUGUGCUGCUUUACGAGUAACAAACCCAAAUCUGCACUUGGGGUGAACAAACAGAAAAUGUAGUAUAGUUGUGUAAAGAGAAUUAUUUUCAGGUUAUACUAAUCAUCUAAUGUCAACGAAGAAACGGCUAAUCAAAUUAACUUCAUACAUCAGUAUUGCAAAAGGCCAUCAACUUAGAAAGCAAGCCAGUUUGCCAACAGCAGAAUUGCCUUCCCAAGAACAGAAAAGCAUGGCAUAGUAAGAAAGAGUUCACAUUUUUUUUCAUUUAUGGAGCAAAUAGAUGAUAAGCCACUAUAUUUUAAAAAAUGGGUUUUCUAUAUAAUACAUAGGAUCAAUCGCGUCAGCCAAACUUGUAAAGCUUGUCCUUAGAAGUUUUCCUUCGUGACCAGAAAAAAAAUUAUGAUAUCAAUAGUUUCCAUGGAAAUAAGAAUCAGAGAUAGCAAAGCUACGUGACUGAUUACAAAAAUUAUUAAACGCAGGACACAACUAUAAUUUUUCCCUAUUUAAUUUUGACAAGAAGAGAACUUACUGGUAAAGAAAUGGAACGUGAAAAGGCUUGAUGAUUAAACUCAUUACAGGACACAUCACCCAUCGCUGUUUGUCGUUCCUUAUCAUUUUCUGAAGUAUCAUUUGGAGGGGAUGUUACAACAGGGAGGGGAAAGGAUUUGGAUUUUCUUAAACACUUCUUAGAUAAGUUCGAGGGAAUUUCAAGCUCUUUUUGUUUGUUUUUAACAUUUGAAUUAUCGCUGCAAUUCACAUCACGUUUAAAUUCUGAACUUUGAGUAUCUUCAAUGCUCAAAGACUUCUUAAAAAACCCAUCAAGAUCACUAAACAAUGCAGCAUCAAUUUCUUUCAAAGACGACUGCAGAUCAUCCACCAAACCGUCUACACCGACAGCCAACUUCUGAUGAAUCGAAGGGAUGUCCAUUCAGAUUUAUGUAAGACACAAGAAAUCUGCUAGAACCUGCACAUAUAUCCAGAAUAUCGUAAAACAUGCCGGAAAGAAAUUCGAUCCUGUAAAAUUUUGACGAAGAAAAUAAAAAGAAUAAGGACAAUACCUCGCACAAUAAUCAAGAAUGCAAAAACCCUCUCAACGAGUAGCCAAUUGCAAGUGACUCGCUUUCAGAGGCUUCGAUUGCCAAUAAACCUCAAGAUCAAAACAAUAAAUCCUUACCGUACAAUUAAAAUUUCUCUAGGAAUUCCAAACCUCGAAUAGAACCAAAAGAGCAAGGAGGAGGAAAGAGAAGAUUGAAGAAUACGAAUAGAGCACGAAAUGCACUAAAAGAACCCUAUGUUAACUAAGAUUACCACGCCGAUCACCCUUUUCGAGCCGCUUCAGACGAUGCGAAGAGGAACCACCAUGAAAAGAAGUCAAAGAAGGAAGCAGAGGGCGAAGGUAGAGAUCAAUAGUUAACGAAGGCAUAUUGAAAUGCUCUCCGUAACCCUAAUUUUCGUAGGGUCUAACAAAGCCUCAGAUUUGCGAGCCAAGAGCUUGAAGAAAACUUUGAAAAGAAAACGAAAAUGUGCGAAUCAAUCAAACUCAGAGAUUGAGAACAUUAAAACCUGAAAUCAUUGAGUCAAAUGGAUAAACCAGAAAUCAUCUGAUCCGUAACAUGAUGAAAAAGAUAGGCGGAGAUACAACGUCGGUGGAGGUGGAGGCGGAAGCGGAUCGGAUAAUUUUGGGAGGAUGAGGUCGAAAAUGGUGGCGGAAUUGGGAUCUUACGGAACUAAUCCUUUGGGUCAAGGGGAACGAAUCGGUCGCGUAGAUAUAGCUGCCACACCCAAUCACAACUCUCCACGUUUAUUACCUUUGACAAUUCGCUGAUUUAAUUGUUUUUAGAUAUUUCCAAUCUUACCCUAUUGGGCCGGGCCUCUUACUCUAAAAGCCCAUUUCAAAUAUAUUUCCACCCUUUUUCUUUCUUACAAUUAAACAAAUAAUUCAUUUGGAUGCAAUGGUUCUUUUUUCCAAAUAUUUCCUCCUUAAUUCAACAAACCCACCAUUGUUAUAUUUAUGUGGUGUGUAGCUUAUAUCUUUUGUAUACACUUAGAUAUCACUUAAUCUAUUAUACAGAUGUCACUUAUACAGAUAUAGCUUAUGGGUAUGUCUUAAUUUGUUUUGUUGUUGCUGUUGAGUUUGGUAAUUUGGGAUGAUUAGUUGUUCUCUUCUUCCUUUAUCUGAGUUGUGUAGCCUAUUUUUGGUAAUGCUAUUGUUUCCCAUCCAAUAGUGUAAUAAACUCAAGAGAAGUACAAGUAAUGAACUAUGUUUGUUCAUCUAUACUUAGCUUUUGCUCCAACAAAUAGAACUAUAUGUGGCCACAUUCCUCCACACCCCUUAGAAUAGAAUUACGUCUCAUAUGAUUGAUCCUUUGAAUCACAUCACAUCCCAUUAAGAAUUCUCGAUUAUUUUGAGUGAAUAAUUACUUAGUUCAAAGCACUUAAUAUUAAUAUUUAAUUUUGCGCAACAGAACAACACCGCUUCGCUUCGCUUCACAUUCAAACACUACGUACGGUAUUCCAUUUAAUAUACUUAUAUUUCUUAUCAUCUUUCGCAUCACGAGUUGCAAAUAACAAAACCCUAACCACAUCGAUUCUCUCAAAGCACUUAAUGCUAUCUCACUUCACAACUGACAGAAUCCUGCUACAAGCAAACUCAAUCACAAUCAAAAUGGCGUUCCUGAAUUACCUCGAUUCUCAUCAAUAUUGCCUAUCAUCACCAGUUCGAUCGAUAGAUCGAUCUCUUGUUAAGAAACUUUCAACUCAGAUUAUGAGAGCAUGUAUUCUAUAAUCGAAUCGAGAACAAAAUACCAGUCGGAUCUUCAGAAACCCUAGUCUAUCACAUUAUAAUAGAAGCAUCGGCCAUUUGCGAAAGAAAAUGGAAGAGAAUAUACCGAUGAAAGAACUUUGUUAUCCAUUAAAACUAUUAGUAGUUCCAUACACCUGUAACCAGAGAGAAACCAAGAUCUACACAAAGGGUAACCAAAACGAAACCCUAAUUCCAAAAUUCGCCGACAACGGUAUCUAUCUAAGAGCUUGUAAAUUUGGUUACGGCCUUAGUUCCUUCAGAAACAGCGUGCUUUGCUAACUCACCAGGAAGCACUAAUCGAACAGCAGUUUGGAUCUCUCGUGAAGUGAUCGUAGGUUUCUUGUUGUAUCUUGCCAAUUUCGAAGCCUCUUGAGCAAGUUUUUCGAAGAUGUCGUUGAUAAAACUGUUCAUAAUGCCCAUUGCCUUGCUGGAGAUUCCAAUAUCGGGAUGAACCUGCUUCAAAACCUUGAAAAUGUAGAUCUUGUAAGUCUCGUUGCUCUUUUUAACCUUCUUCUUCUUAUCGCCACCGUCUUUGACGAUCUUCUUCUCAGCCUUCGGCUUCUUCUCCGCCGAGGAAGGGGUUUUCUCCGCUGGCUUCUUCUCUGCGGGCUUCUUUUCGGCUUUCGUUGGCGCCAUUGUUGGAACUCAGAGUAUAUUCAGGAAUAAAGGUGAAGGUGGUCUAGCAAGGUUGAAGACGGAGAGAGUGAUUCAGAGCAACUGAACGAUUGUUGUAAAUGAAGCGGAGGAGAGUUUAUAUAGAAGAUGAAGCGGUUUCUUAUUGGUUAGUGGGACUUUCUCGCGGAUCGACGACGUGGCGUAAUAAGAACCGUUGGAUUUUAUUUAGAGAAGUUGCGGUUGAGAUUACGUACUUAGUUUACGACUCGUUCCGAACUUCAGACGGACUCGACAUCUAUCGCCGUGGGAAAGGCCUAAGUGUUCAAUUUUCAUACUUAAACUGGAGAAUUUUAUUCUUUGUUAAUUUCUAACAUUUUUUUAUUUUAAUAAAAUUUUGAAUUUGUUGAUCUUUUUUAUAAAAGAAAGUAAUUAUUAUAUAAUAAUAAAUUAAAAUAUUUACAAAAUAUUAUUCAUGUUAGUCUGUGAAGUUUUAACUUUUAAAAUAAUUUAUUUUAACCAAUACAAUAUAGAGGUUGAGCUUGGAUGGUUAAUGGUUUGUAUGGUUUGUUUGGAUAUUAUUCUUUGUUAGUUUCUUUUGUGUACAAGAUUAGUUUCUUCCUUCUUCCAUACAGUGUUGUCGUAGUGAGACAAAGGUUUAAGCGAAAGCUAAGAUUGCACGUGAUCAUUAACAAUUAACAACUACUAAGUGUGCUAAUAAGAUAAAAGUUUAGAAUACUCCCUAUUAUUGAAAUAAAUUUAAAAGAUAAGAAAAUAGAAGAUUUUAGAACAUUUUUACUGAUUCACAACUAAAUGAUAUGUCAAUAUUUUAAUGUUUUGAGUAAAGGUUGUUUAAUCAAUUGUAUCCAGAGUUAAAAUAUUGUAGCAUUUAUAACCACUGAGAGAUACAUAUCAAUGAGCAAUAAUAUAUGUGAAUUUCUCAUAAACAAAAAGGAUGAAAUGGAAAAAUCAAGCAGCAGGCAAAUAAUCCUUGCACAGUGGACUCAUAAGAGCUAAGAGCAAAUGUUAAUUAAAAACGAUGGAGAAGAAACUCAUCAAACAGAGAGAAUGUUAUUAACUCUAUGUAUUCAUCUCCUUUACUUUUCAGAACACACAAGUUCAGUGUCCUAACUGCAGAAACACCCAGGUGUAAAUUGUAAGACAAUAGUCCAUAGCAGCGUCCUUAGGUAUCUGAACUUAUUAUACUGAACCAAAAACUGCAACUCGGCUCAUUAAAACCUGCCCCUGACAAAAUGUAUAACAAAAUAGAUUACUUGUCUGAGUAUCAAGUUAAAAAAGUAAACUGAUCAUCAUGACAAAGGAAUAUGGAUUCAAUCUAAUCAUCGAUCUCAAUCAAGUUUGAAGUAGUCAAGAUUUACAAUAACAAAGUUAAUUGUGCAAGUGGAUCGAUCUAGUAGCAGGCCCAAAGAGAUGGAAAACCCAAAAAAGAACCAAGGAAUAGCUUGUAAGACUCCAAGUUUAUAGCACAAUCAAGCAACAAUGUGGUCUUCUCAUAUGCGACAAGCACAUAAGAAACAAUAAACAACUGUACCAAAACCAUGUUCCCGACUUUUGCUUCUAGCAGCAUCUACUUCAUCAGCCAUAUCCUGGGAUAAGAUUAUGGAAAUACAGUGAAGAGCCUCCAUGCAACUGUGUUGCUUCGUUCAAAACAUCGUGCAGUAGAUGCAAGUAGAUUUAUGACUCUUCUAAAUUUCUCGUUUCCUAACAAACUGUGACUCUCUCAGCUUGUUUUAUUCAUGGUAUUGGGAGUAAGAAAAGUUGCGAAAUCGAUGUGCACUAUAUGGAGAGACAACAACAACCUUUCUAGGAUUCUUGCAUUUCUCAGAGAUUCUACAGAUUUCUCGAGACCCAGCCGAAAGUAUGGCUCUUCUCUUCCAAUGGAACUAAUUUAUCUGUGGAAGCUGAUCUCAAUGAGACACAAAGAAAAUCACAAUUGCAGGAUUCGUGUGGCUGAGCUUUUGCUAUGCCAAUUUUUACUCAAUAAAGCACCUCCUCUGUUAAACUAUCACCUUAUGCUUUAGAUAAACUCCUUUUAGACUUUUACUACGAAGGUUUCAAUAUUAUAAGUAGACAUGAUUACUUCCAUAGUUCCAUCUACCACCACAUAUGAUCUUUUAACAAUGAUGAUAACCAUAAAUUUCUGUACAGACAACCCAGAUAGUUAUAGUAAGUAACGGAGCUUGAGAGAAGUGAAAGUAUGUACAAGAGCAUAAAAGAAAAAAACCCAACAAAAAAGAGACCCCAAGGUACUACAAAAUGGGACUCAAGUCCAACAAAAUCAAACAAAGGCCAAGGUUACACAGACCACAAAAACAAACAAGAUCUUAGCUCAACAGCACCCAGUGUACGUCGAGGACCAAAAAGUCCCUUCUCCAAGUCCCCACCUUCAUUUGUACUAAAAAAAAGUUACACAGACCACAAAGGAGGAAUUGAACCUUGCCACCUCCCAAACAUCAUCAAAUAACAUAAAUAUGAUCUGCCUAGACCUUUCCAUUCAUUAAAUCCUUCACCUCGUCCAUGAAACCAGUUAUUCUUUUAGUUACAUACAGGCGAGCCCAUGUCUAAGCAUACAGCGACUAGAGGAAUAAGAGAGAAAUGGUCGAAUCCAUGAACUUUGCAAAGGGAAUAAACUUUAUGACAUAUACAAGUUAAAAUCACACAAAUAGAACAGACAACAGAAUGUACCAAUGGCAUGCGAGAAUGAAAAGUAAUAGGCAACUUCAAAACUCUAUUAAGAAAUACACAAAUCCUCCAUGUCUUACGUUUCAGAUUCUCUACUUUUCAUCUGCAAUGUAAAAAUGCAAGAGCUAUUUGGAAACCUUUCCAUAAAAUAACCUUUUGAUUUGUUUUAGAAACCGCAUUUAAAAACGGCUUAUUAUGGUUAAACUUCCUGUUCCCUCCAAAUUCAUAAAGAACAUGAUUUAUUCUAAAGAAUUUCAGCAAAAUUGGGAGUAAAUUGUGCCGAACCUUUGAGAGCUGGGGUUAACAUUACGAUGAAGAAUCCGACCGACACUCGAAUCGCCGCCAUCAAUCAGCUCCCGAAGACCCAAGUCGCCCGGCUUCUCCUCUUUUUGCUCUUCUUCUUUCUCGUCUUCCUCUUCUUCCUCUUUCCAUUUAUUCAACUCACGGUUCACCACCUGCCUCUGAAGCCUCUCAAAGUAAUUCCCAUAAAUAUACUCCGGCGAGUAUCCAUUUUCUUCAUCAAACAACAUAAUAUGACCGUGCCAUUCCCAAACUCGAAAAUCCGAAUCCUUCUCUUCGUGAAACCCCACGCAGACGUGGUGCUCGCCGACUGUGACGGCUUGGCCGGAAUUGGGUUUUAGGGAAUCGGUAUUUCCGGCGAGAAUCACGCGAAUGAUCUCUUUUUCGAGCUUCGAUUCUUCUUUAGCGAGCGGUGUUCUGUUGUCGUCGUUGUCGUCGUCGGAGAGAUUGGCGGCCUCGAAGAUAAGUUCUUCAAGGGAUUGUGAGAGAAGGGGAUUGUUGAUGUUGUUGUAGUUGACUGGAGGCCUAAUUUGGAGCCUCGCCAUGAGGGUUUGAAGGAAAAGGUUGUCCAUAUUGGCGUUGUUGUUGAAGGAAUCCAUGGAUUGGUUCCGAGCUUCUAAAAGGUUUUCUAGGAAUGGAAUUUGAAGGGUUUUAGAUGAACCACGGGUUUGCAUCUUCUUUGUUUUUGCAUUUAUAUUCCUUUUAUUCAUCUCUACAUUAUAAAAGGAUUCCAAUUCAAGUUAUACAAAUUAUCAUAUUGUAUUGUUAAAUAUUAGGGUCUAGGGUUUCAAGAGCCCAAGUGAAAAAGCCCCUUUAUUAUGAUCAAAACAUCAAAUUUUCUAGUUGUGUAAUCACAUCAUAAAUUGUCGUAACAAUCCUAACAUGACCAUCGCUGGACAAUUAUUGCUGCUCUCCGUUUCCAAGAGGGAGAGCGCAAUGUUAAGUAUCUGUAAGAAAUGAAAUUUAUUGUAUAUUGUUUCAAAUAAAAAUAUGCAUAAUGAGAAGCAAGAGCUUGUCACGAGUUUAAAAGAGUGAGUGUGAGUAUCAAGAGAGAAAUGUCUAUAGCGAUGAUCAAGUGGUAAGGGACGCCACACAUGCUCUAAGAUCAUAAGGUUCAAAAAAAUUGUUUUCAACAAGGAAUGGAAAAGGAAUGAAUGUGUACAAACUUUUCAUCAUUUUAGUCUAUAUUUAUAUGAAGAUUAUAAUUUGUUAGUUGAUGGAGUACAAUUCAAUUUUAUUUAUAAGUAUAAUUACUGUAUUUCAAAUUUAUCGAUGAUAAGUUAGUUAAAACUUGACAAUUUAAAGGAGAUGAAAACCGAAGCACAUACACCAGCAUAGUGUUUUAAUCAUAUAUACGGUAAAUAUAUUUUAGUCUUUAUUUACUUUUUAAAAUUUGUCAAUAGUCUAACAUCGACAUGUCAAAACGAACAUAACUCAACUUACACAUAUAACAGAGUGUUAACCUUGAAACUAGAUGUCUCGUUCAUUUCAUUCAUACUAUCAAAAGAUAUACACAUUAAUUUCGUUACAUUGGCUACUAAAUUAGCAUAAUAGGAAUACGAAGAGGGAAUGACAUCGCUUGGACUGGGUUAGGUUGCUUUAUAUAUAUGUGUAUAUAAUUUUGACUAUUUUUUCAUUUUUUCCACUAGAAGUUAAAUUUUCAUAGCAAACAAAGUGUCAUAUUUACUUAAAUGACCUAAACAUGUUUCAUUGAUUUUUUAAAAAUUUAUAAUGAAGUUAAAUUAGAAUACUAAUUAGGUUUUAUUUAUAUAAGGUUCAGUUGGGUCGACAUUCGACCCCAAUAAUAUACAACACGGUAACUCAACUCAGUUUGCAAAUUUGCAACCCAACCCAAACCAUGGGUGGGUUGAGUAAUAUGAGUUGGAUGGCUUAUAGGUUUUUUUGAACAAUAACAGCAUCGCACGUGCGGAUGAGUUAAAACGACUUUACUAUUUCCAGCCACGAACAAACGACGUCGUAUAAUCAUGAACUACGGCACAAAAAAGAGUGCCCGUAGAAAUGAAGGCGGGAUUGAUAGAUUCGUUCUCUUCCGUCGGAUCAACGCAGAUAUUAAAAUCCACCGGUCACGGAGCUUUUCCCCGUAGCCUUAAGACUGAAACCAGGAGCAAUUAAAAAUAUAAGAAAUUAAAAAAUAUAUACACAUAUUUCCGCUCCCGGAAACCGAUUUCAACGGCCGUUCGGUACCGCCGUACCAAGCGACGCCAUCCCCUCCGUCGUAUCUCUCACUGUCAUUCUCUCCAGAUCUUGUAGCUGCUUCGUUCUUCUCAAUGGCUGCUCCACCUGCACGAGCUCGAGCCGAUUACGAUUAUCUCAUCAAGCUUCUGCUGAUCGGCGACAGCGGUACGUUAAUUUUGCUUUAUUGCGUUGGUCGAGUUUCGAUCUCGUGGUUUUCUUUAGUUUUAGAAUCAGUAAUUGUGAAAUAACUGGAUGUUAAUUGGAAUUUUGUUUUUGUAUACUAGCGUUCGUUGUUGUUUCAUUAAUAUAUAUGAUUAGAGGAUUUCUCUGUUGGAAUCUAGAGUGGGUAUCAGUUGUUGAUGGAUUCGCGGUGAAGUUUUCGAAAUGAUUUGUCAUUUGUGUGAUUAGAGAAUGUUAUUAUAGUUUAUGUUUUGUGAGAGUCGUGCAAUAUCAAUAGGAAUUUGUUUUUCUGCUUAAACUCCUAAAUUAUAAGUUCACGAGCUGUUUCUUGUGAGUUUGAUAUGAUGAGAGGAUUUUACGAUUAGUAUGUUUAAUAAGCCGUUGAUGGAUUAGCGGUGAAUUGCCUGAAAGGAUUUGUUAUUGACUCAUUUGUAGUAUAAGACAAUGUUGUUUUAGCUCUUGUUUUGUGAGAGCUGUAUUUUACCGGGUAGGAUUUCGUUUUAUUUCUCCGCGUCCUAAAUUACAAAUUCACAAGCUUCUUCUUGUGACAUGACAAGGCAGGUGUGGGAAAGAGUUGCCUUCUUUUGCGGUUCUCGGACGGCUCCUUCACCACUAGCUUCAUCACAACCAUAGGGUACGUGCAUUCUAUAUUGGUAUUGAAAAUGAAAUUAAUGUAUUUUAUUUUUUACUUCACUUGCCUGCUCUUCCUGAUUUCAUUGCUUUGGUUGUACUCAAACAGCAUUGAUUUCAAGAUUAGAACCAUUGAGCUUGAUGGAAAACGAAUUAAAUUGCAAAUUUGGGAUACUGCUGGUCAGGAGCGGUUUAGAACAAUUACAACUGGUCUGUAUACAUUCUCGUCGUGUAGUCUUGUUAUUAUUAUUGGAAUAUGCAAUUGUAGAAUGGUCCUAGAGAUCCUUUUUGUUUCUUUCUAAUUUCAUCCUAUGUCCUUUUUCAUGCAAUUCUUAAAAUUUCUUCAGGAUUUAUCUCAUAUAAAUGUUUCCAAUCUCUAAUCUCCAUCCUUAUUUUCAGUACCUGAUGAGUAGGGACAUCUUUUUUUAAUUUCUUUAACUGUAUUAUUAUUGUUGUUAUUAUCAUUGUUAUGGACGUAUCAUCAAUACUUUUUAUGUAGAUUUACAUGCUGACUAAGUUUCAGACUCUACAUAUCUGAGUUUUCAUACUGAUUUAAUCUCAUUUGUGUAGUUUUGUAUCCAAAUGUUUCCGCUGUUUCUGGGAGGUUCACUAAGACUAAAUCGCUAGUAAUUCUUUAUUUCUGCAGCUUACUAUCGAGGAGCCAUGGGUAUUUUGCUAGUGUACGACGUCACUGAUGAGUCAUCAUUUAACAGUAAUUUUUCUCUACCUUAAACCAAAGGUUAAAAAUCUGAAGAUGCUUGUUGCUCUUCUAAGUUCACAGUAGGAAGCUCUGCAGUCUAUUCAGAUAUUUCUCCAUCGAAGAAGAUACUAAUAUUAGAGUCGCUUUUGUAAUCCUUUGUGUUAUGGAACGCCCUUAUUUUUUUUUCUUCAUGGCAUUUUUGUUUCUUCUUUGUCAAGAUAUCAAUCUUUUCCUUUGUCCUUAUUUACAUUUUUUAAUGAAUUCAGACAUUAGGAAUUGGAUACGUAACAUCGAACAACAUGCUUCUGACAAUGUCAACAAGAUAUUGGUGGGUAACAAGGCUGAUAUGGAUGAAAGCAAAAGGGUACGCACCUUUUCAUGUUUUUGUUGCUACAACGUGUGUGCUUGCACAUCUCUUCCCCCAAAAAUCUAUGAGUGUUCAAGUCUCAGUGAAUUCAUAAUUGAAAAUGGAACUUUCAUUUAGGCUGUUCCUACAUCAAAAGGGCAGGCUCUCGCAGAUGAGUAUGGCAUCAAGUUUUUCGAGACUGUGAGUAAAAUAGUUGAUUGUUCUUGCAUCUGUUUCCUCCUGAAUAGCUAGUUUAGACUUUAGAUCACAUGUCUUGAAGAUGUUGUAAUGCGUGCAUGUGUGUAUCAAUUUUGAACUCAAGAUGUGGUAUAUUUCAGAGUGCAAAGACAAAUUUGAACGUAGAAGAAGUUUUCUUCUCCAUAGCUAAGGAUAUCAAGCAAAGGCUUUCGGACAGCGACUCUAAGUCCGAGGUAUGAACUGUUUGAGGUUCUAUGGCCAUAUUUUCUUCUGCUGAGUUAUAUGGACUCUCUGCAUAAAUCCAUUUUGGUUGUUCAUGUACUGAGCCUUUCUCUCCCCCCCUUUUGGGACAUUGCAGCCUCAAACAAUCAAGAUAAACCAAGCAGAUAACGGAGCAGGGGCUUCCCAAACUGCUCAGAAGUCAGCUUGUUGUGGAUCUUAAGACAACUACAGUAAAGGUGGUUUAUUUGCGAGGCAAUACAAUUAGGUUACUCGUGCUUCUUUUUCCGUCAUUUUUUUUCACUAGUACUAUAAUAGAACUCAAUUUGGGAGUUCGUAGUAAAUCCUUUAUCUGAAAAUUAAUUAUAUGGUUCAUCUGCCCCAUAUUUCAUUUCAAACUGAAAAAGAAGUUUCAUAUUUCAAUAUAAAUCCUUUUCGUAGUUGAGUUUACAAUUGAAUCUUCAUGAUUACUAAUGGAAGUGGCAAGCUGAGUAUACACCAUCUCUGUUCUUUUAUGAACUAUAACCUUUAAGUCAGUUAGAAAAUGAACACAUACUUGUAUGAAACUUGCUAUUAAAUAUAAACAUGUUAGAAUAGAUAAAUCCAGGGAUACAGUUACAGUAUCUUUCCUAUUUCCCAAUAUUUCUAGCUUUCUUAUACACUUUUCCUGCCCACCCAACUUUUUAUCAUUAACAUUCCCAUACCUAUAUCUACAAAUUUCUCAAAAAUUAAAAAAAAAAAAAGAAAAAAAAGAAGAAGCUCUAUCAAAAUUUUGAGCUUUGACGCCCAGAUCGUCCAAAUCUUGCUUGAUUCGAUUCCUUUUCCUUCAACAAAAUAAAAGAAUCACCAGACUGAAAUAUAUGGUUGAGCCACAAAGCACAAUUUAUGCGCAUGAGAGCUCAAGCACUUGAGAUCUAUCAGUCACAACGUACCGUUGAUUGAUCGAUGGGGGGCCAGAUUAGCUAGUCUUGAGCUUGCAGCUUUCAAUUAUCAGCUGUUUGGAAACUUGGAAAUCAAAUAUACAUUGGUUACUUUCCAAAAGUUGGUCAGUGACAGUACGACGGCUAGUUACAGUUACUGAAGGGGGAGGUGUCGAUGGUCUCCUCCCUGAGCAAGAGCUCUUCAGCUUGGAUUUUAGCUGCACAUAAAGACGACAAAGGAGUGUCGAUUGCUGGUUUUGCCGGAGCAGCAAUGUUGGAGUUUGCAGUUGCCAGAUUUUUGUUUGCCAAGUCAACUUGGACUGAAAACAGUGAGUAAACAGGUCUGUGAUCUGAAAAUCUACACUCCCCUCUAACAUACCACAUCUGCUUCAUUCCUACCCCUCUCCAUAAUAUCCGAUCGCACCUAUCAAGUGUUCGAUAAAUAAAAGGAAACCAAUCAGAAACAUUUUCCUUUUGGCAGGUUAAUAAGCUUCAUACUUAUCAGGUUAGAUUGUUGCAAAAUUAGCAGGAUCAGCAAAACAUACCAAGCCGGAGUGCGGCGUUUUUCUUUGGAUGGCUUCAAGUUCGAAGUCAAUGCAACAUAAUGGUCAGAAUUGGUGAUGUAUUUGUAAGUUGGAGCAAACUCUAUUCUUCCUUCUUCCCACCCUUUAAACACUCGACCAGCUCUUUGCUCUAACUUUAGCUGCCAGAACAUCAAAUAAAAGAAAUCAAAUUUCCAUGUUCAAAAUCUAGUCGAUUGGAAGUUUCCAUUCGCAAUCGAAACUCACUUGAUCUUUCUCUAGUAGUGCCUGCCAAUCUUUUUUCCUAAGAAGCUCAUCUGUUUCCCCACACCCAGUCGAAAGACGGUAAUUCAAAUCCCCAAGCCAAAUCACCUUGCUGCAUAUACAUUAUUUUAGAAUCAUCAAACAAGCAGUACCGAUUUGAUUGAGUUAAUAGCAAAUGAAGAACGUAAAAGGAAUUUACUCAUGAUCUAAUAUGGUCUCAGGAGGAGGUGGCUGUGCUCCAGUUGUAGCUUUACAAGAAUGUGAAAACCGAGUUUUCUUCAAAAUUUCACUCACGUCCGAGUUUCUUUUCACUUCAUCACCUUCCUUCUCCCCAGAAGUCAAAUGUGUGCAAACAAAGCAAAAGGUUGUUUGGUUCAAUGUCAUGCUAAUGGAGACAGAUCCCUAUCAAUACACCACAAAACGAUCAUUCAGCUUCGAGUCGAAUUCAAUAACACGGGAGCUCUUUUAAUACAAAAUGGUAGCUUAAGCUCACCUUGUUACCAAGAAACCCCAUGACUCCUCUCCCGACGUUGGAGACCUUCAAAUUGGAAACGUGUUUGUAAAGAUCUGCUCGAACCCACACGCACAAGAAAAUUCCCACCAUCUGUUUGCUUGCUGCAAGGCAAUACCGUCGCUGCGUUGGGAACACCCUGCUUUCACCAUUGCCAGUGUCAUCUUCUAAAGCAAGCAAGUCGGAGAAACUAUGCCUUGGCUUCUGGGGUGCUUGCCGCUGGUUAUCGUGGGUGUUUAGGGCUUGGUGGAUUAGGGAUACCCACUGGGCAGCAGGGCCACUAUCCUCCGCCCCAAGCACAUUGCCUGCAUUUAGAGGCACGAUUUCUUGGAACCUAUUACAAAAAUAUUACAACUAAUUCUUUAUUAACUUUAGAAUGCACAGUUCCAACUUUCAAAGAAAAGUUAAUAUAACAUUUUGUAUUGAUAAACUUGUAUUGGUGUCUACAAGUAAAAUAUUAAUUAAAUAAGCAUAGGUAACAUAGUCUACAUUCUAUGAAUCUUAUUUUCAAAGUAUUUCACUUUCAUUUAAGUCACCAUUUUUCAACUUGUUAACUUUCACAUUCCUAAUAUAUGAAUUCAACAUCUAACAACAUCUUUUUCAAAAAAAUAAAAUUACUUUAUUUUAUAAAACAAAGAGAGACAAAAAAAAAUUCUUGGUGGGCGGUUAGGGAUGGAACUUUUCAAGUACACAAUUUCAUGGAAUCAGUUUAAUUUAUAAUUUUAUGUAUAUGAAAAGUUUACACUUCUUUUUCAAUGUACAUCCCCAAGGGACGACUAUGAGUAGGCUAACUUUAGGCUUGGGUUGAGCUAUUAACUAUUAGAAAAAGCUAAAUUUUGAAGAUUGAUUGGAAAAGAUUAAGCUCGUAAAUACUACAUCAACUAUAUUUUUUAUCCACUCUCUACUUAUGUUUUAUAAACUAUAUUCAAGGUUUUAAAACUAAAAUAAGUAGUUUUUAAAACACUUUCUCUUGUGCUUAAUGUCUUAAAAAUUUGACUACAAAUUCAAAUAUUUAUAUUAGUAGGUCCUAACCAAAACAAGUGAUGGAGAAAAAAAAAACUACAUAAAGUGAAAUUAUUAUCAAACACAAAGUUAAUCAUGAUGCAACAAGUUUGAAGAGGAAGGGUUGCUAUUCAAGCAUGCAAGUUUAAGAACUCAGCUUGGUAAACCCUUUGAGAAAUCAAGAUUUAGACUUAAAAAUGCCAAAGUCAUUCACCAAAUCCUCAAAUAAAGCUAUCGCUAUUUCGAAAUGCAUGUUUUUCCUUGUAAUUUUUUUUUUCGAAAUUUAGAUGUUUGAAAAAUUAGAAAAAGACAAACAUAAAUUUCAACAAAAGAAAAUCAUUUUCAAUUGAAACCUUAGCACGAUAUACAAACUAGAAAGAGAGAGAGAGAGAGCAUACCCAAGAACAUAAAUAUCAAUCGGAGUUGGAGAGUUGAGCCAAUUCCUCAAGUUCAAACCUUCCUUCGGUGCCUUCCCUCCCACAUUCCAUGUUCCCACCAACAUCCUAAUUAUAAUUACAACGUAUCGAUCAAAUUUCUAAUAGUAUAAUCAUAUGAAACAAUUUCACAUUGUUCUACUUUUAACUUCUUCAAUGUGGCAAUGUUGAAAAAAAUGAAGCAAACAAAUUAUAAAGUUGAAAUACAAAUCAACAAAAUUACCUCAAGUCAAGAGAUUCAUUACUUGUCUUCUCUAUUCUCCAACUUUCAUCUAGAAAUUGCAAGAGAGAGAGAGAGAGACAACCAAUGAGAAACAAACACGUGGAAUUAAAAUAUUAAACAACAAAGACCCUAGAGUCUAUACUCUGCAAAAGGUCAGGACUACACUAAAUGUUGCACCCGCAUCUUCCACCGUCCACGUGGCACAUAUCCCGAAAACAGCAGAGUUUCCGUUUUUCUAACUCUUUUUUUCAUGAUGGGGUUAUUAAUUAAAAGUCUUUUCUCAUUAUUGUCCACUGAUCAAAUCAGGUAAUUUGAUCUGACGGCUCGGAACCAACUGAAUCUCUAGAAAACUAUUAUUACCCCUUCGCUGCAUAGUAAAUUCUCCAAUAGAGAAAAAUUACCUCCGAUGUCUUCUUCCGGCACGACGGCGCAGCGGUCUUGAUCGGAGCAGCUCCUUCUUCUCUCUGCUCAACCAAUAACCAAAUUGGUAAUUAAUUCCAAUUUUCAGAAUAUUGAAAAACAAAAUAUAAAUAAUAAACGUAUUAAAUUGCUGUUUUUUUAUUCUUUAUUUCCAUAAUUACUCAUAAAUAUGCAUUAAAAUUGAUAUUUUUGGUGAAAUUUAAUAUUACAAACCUUGAAAUUAUCCUUUUCUAAAAAGUGUGUAAUAAGUGAAUAAGCUUUUACUUUUCCGUAUCCAAUGUAUAAAAUUGAGAGAUGAACGUAGAUUUCACUUAAUUACUUGAAAAUUAUUGCAUAUACACGCGACAAUAUAUUUAUAGUUGAAUUUGGCAAAUGUCUUAAAUAAUAAAGUUAUAUUUUAAGAUUUAAAAUAGACAUCCGAUUUUGCUUCAUAUCUAUAACAUUUGUCUAAAAGUUCAUUAGAUAUAUAGAUAUGAACUAAAUUUAGACAUGUAGAAAAAAAAAAGUAAUUAUUCUUCCGUCUAAAAUUGAAUUUGUUAAUUCAAUCAGUUUCAAAUGGUUUAAAUUAUUUUUAUCGUUAAUAAUUAAUGCAGAGACAUAGUUUUACUUAUUUUGACCAAACAUAUGAAAAUCACAAUUAGAAAUAUAAAAUCAAAAUAUUAAAUGGAGGUAACAAAAUUAUAUGUUUUAAAUUUUAUCACAAUUUUAUCACUAAACAUAAAUAAACAAUGAUUUAGUUUUUGUGAUAAAAAGUUUCAAGAUUGGUGGAUUUGUCGAUCUAUAGAUAAUUAAAAAUCAGAACUUAUUUAAUUUUGAGAUUAAAUUGUUUCACCAAAAUGUGUUUUCUUUUUACCGAAGACUAAUCUUAAGUUUAAAGAACAAAAAAUGAUAUUAUAAUUAACCAAAAAACAAUUCACCUUGAGCGACAAAAUUGGACGGAAAACCUUCCUUAUCGGCCGGAAAACUCAGCCACUUCCUCGCAACAACCCUCGGCCACGACGACUGCACGGCGGAGCAACAAGUCGACAAAACGUCACAAGCAGAAUCCAAAAAGGAAAGAAACGACAUGUCGCAAAACUAUUAAACCUCCAUCCGUUAAGCAAAGCCAAUCUCUUACCUUAAAGAUCUUCCCUCGCUUCAUUCCCAUUGCUCCGUCGUCGUCAACUACCGAGAAAGCAAAUCAAAAUCUUUUCCUUCUUCUCUCUUUCAGGCCAGAAACCGCCGACUGAAACGGCGGAGUCAAUCAUUAAUGCCAAAAAAAUGCAAUUCAUAAAUUAGUAAAGAAUGGUAAUAUCUUUUCCUCUAUUUUAAAAAAAUUAAAGUAAGUAAUUAAAAAAGAAGAGGGAGUAAUUAAGUGGUUGAUUAAUAAUAAAAUUGCAACUGGGGUUUGAAACAGACUUUAAUUAUUGUUUUAAUUAACGUUUUCAACGCCAAUAUAAAAGACCCAAUUGCAGCAGAAAACGGAGACAGCCAGCCUCAGACAAAGAACAAAAAACAGAGAAAAUGAAAUAUCAAUAAAAUAGUGCACAAAGAAAUUGAUUUUUUUUAUAAAAAAAAUAAAAAUCUCAGCAACCCAUUUCAGAUCUUAUGAAGAUGAUCAAGUCCCAGUUCCCAAAAACUCUUUAAAAUUCCUUAUAUUGGAAAUUUUUCAAAAGAAAUAGAAACAGAGUUCGUCACAAUUUAUAUGAAAGAAUGAAAGGAUGGGAUUGGUUGAAAUGGUGAGAUCGGGUGUAAACAUUGAAGCUGAUCGAUGAGGAAAAAACAAGUAAAUAGAAUUAAACAGAGAGAAUAGAAUGUAAAAAUUAGGAGAAUUUGGGAGUGGGAAAUUGAUUAAAUACUUACCAAAGGAAGAGGGUAAGUGUAUGUUUAUGUUUUUUCAAUAAGCCAUGGUGGAAACAGGGGUUAGUACGGCGGCGAGAGGAGGAGAAGGUGACGGAGGAGACAGCGGAGGAGAGGAGGUUGGAGGCGGCGAUUUGGUGGUGUAAAGUGGAAAGAAAGGGAAGUAGUUGAUGUUUGUUUGGAAAAUAUUCGAAAGAGAAAGAAAAAUGAUAGUGUUCGUUUUGUUUGAAAGAGAACUACGACUGCCGUCUCUCAUCUACUUUCUUUUUAUGCAAAGAGACGAUGCCUUUUUUCUCCUUUUUUUUUUUUUAUAUAUACAUUUUCAAAUAUAAUUUUUUAAAAAUUCCAUUAAUUAAAAUAUCUCAAUUUUUAUUAUAAUUUAUAAAUAAGUUCAACAUUUUUAUUUUUCUCCCAAUUAAAAUUAGUCCCCAACUCCCCCAUAGAUCGAUAUGCAAUUGAGACAUUUUUAAAUCCAUCCUUUGUUGUUUGAAUCUUCGAGGGAAAAUCAAAUUUGAUUUGGUUUUAAGAUGUAAUAUUUGAGUUUUAUUUAAAUUUUGAAUCUUAAAUUUUAAAAUAUAAACUUUUAAUCUUCUAUUUCUUACUAACUACUCACAUUUAAUUUUGUCUCUUUAGGUUUAAUUAAUUUAAAAUAAUGUUGGGUGAGUUUUUAAGUUUAGUUUAAAUAAUGUCAGUGUAGUUAAACUUAACUAAUCAUGAUUAUUACAACUUUUAAAUCAAUUAAGAAAAUUUAGUAUUUGAGGUAGAAAUAUUUGGUAGCUUCGCUUUUUUUUUUCUUCAGUAUAAUAGUUGUGAGAAUGAGCAUUAAACUUAAGAUUGUGUAUGAUUAAAUUGAGUUGCAUAAUAAUUUUUUUAACAAAUCUAUAUGUUAAAAUAUCGAUGAGUGGAAGUUUAAUUGUUAUAUAUAUAUAUUACGUAAUGAUAUUUUUCCAAAAUUAAUCAAUCAUCGUAUAAGUUUAACAUUCGUUUUUUUCUACUUUUCUACUAUAUUGGCACGUCAUUUUAUGUUGAAUAAUGUAAUUUUAAAACUAUACAUAAUUGUUUCUUCCUUUUUAAAACCAUAGAAAAUUGAAUGGCUUGAAAUCAACAAGUACCAUAUGCUUUACAACAAUGAUUAUGAUUGUAGCGCUCUCUCAUUCUCAUUCAUUACAAAAAUGUACUUCCAACUCCAUAUAUAUAUAUAUAUAUAUAUAUAUAUAUAUAUAUAUAUAUAUAUAUAUAUAAUUCCUUCACCAUAACUUUAAACAAAUUAAGAGAAUAAGGAGAAGGUUAAUUGAGAUUGGAGUUUAAUUUAAAUUAUUGUACAUGUUCAACUUUGGUUUGAAAUGUACUAAUUAAUCAACUUUUUGGUAGAAUAACACUAAGAUAAAAUAGUCAACAAAUAAGACUGACCUUAUUUAUUAAUUAUGUUUUCCCCCUCUGACUUAUCUAUCCCUACUUGUGAUUAAUUCAAUUAAAGACCCUAUUUUGGAAUAAUUAUACUAUUUAAAACUAAUGUUCAUGAAAAGUCUAAUUAACCUCCAGUGGUGUGGUCUAGUUUGAGCUAAUUUUAUAGUUUAAUUACAUGAAUUUUGUUAUAUUUUAAACUUAACCCUAUUUUUAUCAAAAAUAGUGUAUGUAUAUAUAUAUACAUGUAGAAGAGAAUAGAUAAUAUUUCCAAUAUAUUUGUGGUGAGAACUGUUUGAAUGAUGAAUUUUUGUACACAGAGUUUCCUUAUCAUAAACUGUGGUUUUCAAUCCUAAAGGCAUUAGCCAAAAAGUUUGGGAGUUGUUUACGAAAUAGGGUUCGAAAAAUGGACAAAAGCAUCCAAAAUAGCCUUUUGGAUUGUACUAUAUUCAUUUUCCUUACAUUAUCAAAAUUAUUGACAAAAAUAGCUAUAUUUCUUUGAAAUUGUGCCAACAAUUUUGUGUGGGUAUGACAAAUGAAAUAAGGUUAUUGUUUUCUAAAUACUUAUCUUUAAAGAACUAUGUACUUGUUCUUUUAGACUUACUUUUAGUCUAUUUUUGUCGUUGUUAUUCAAUCAAUAUUGUUGGACGUCAUAUUCUAUCUUUUUUGUAAAAUUAUAAUUUUAAUGUUCGAGCGUAUAUCAAAUCGAUAUGAUAUUCAAUAACCAAGUUUGUGACCUACUUGGCCAGUUAUUAGCACCAUAAACAACUAUAUUGAGCUUUAAUUUUAAUCGUGAGAUGAACAUUAGAUAGUGUUUUUCGAAAGCUAGGUUUGAAUUCGAAUUCCUUUUAAACCUUUGGUUAAUAAAAUGCAUUAUUAUAAAACAAAAUUUCAGACUAUAUCAGACAUUGAUAUGCUUUUAUCAGUUAUAUUGAUAGACAGUGAUAAAAGUCUAUCACUAAUAGAAUAUAAUUUUUUGUUAUAUGUUGUAAAUAUUUUAGUUUAUUUUGCUAAUUGAAAAAAUGUUUCUUAUUUAAUUUAUAUUUACUUUUUUUAUUAUUAUGGUAGAAAAUGAAUAUAUGUUUUAAAUGGUUGAACUGCACUAGAUUAGCAAGUACAUUAUUUUGUAAAAUAAUAUGUAUAAUAUUACAUAUAUUUGUGAAUUUAGUAUAGUUUCAAAAGAGACUCGAGCUUUCGUUUAACUUUUGAUGGUAUAUUUUUCCGAAUAUUCGAAAAGGAAUUUAUUAUAAUUAAAGACAUAAUAUUCAAAUUGAUACCGUUUGAUUAAUAAUGAAAAAUUUACAUAAUUAAAUAAAAAUAAAAAAGUAGUUUUAAACGAAAAAAAGAAUUGAUUUAAUCUGAAAUAUUGGCGUUACACGUGGCCUAUUUGGGUUGCGGUAAGGUCAAGAUUUUGGAAGAGAAACACGCAAAGGGAAAUUAAUUAAAAUUACAUUAAAUUUGACCGUGUGAGUGCGCCACACCCGAUCACGUUUUCCGUAAUAUAUAUAUAUAUUAGUUUAAGGUUUAUUGCUUUUGUUUGGAUAUGGCACAUUUUAAAUGACAGACCAAUAAGAAAGAGCCAUGUGUCCCAUUAUUUUAAAAUUCCACGUGGACGGCUGUGUUUCCUCUCGGAGAUCCUGAAGAUCUUGCUGUUAUUAACCUAACGCAACAACAGGUGGUAACAUUUCUGCUCAUAAUUAUAAUCAUAUAUUAUGAUUAUGAAAUAUUAAUUCUGGAAUUUAUAAGUUUUGAAAGAGAUUAUCUAACCUAAUACAAGAAGUUGGUAAUGUUGAUUAUACAUUUUCGUUUGUUGAGGUCGAAGUUUCAAUUUCUCGUUAGAGUCGAUUAUCAUGAUUUGGAACUAUCAUUGUAUAAUCUACCAAAUAUAAUCAUAAAUUUCACGUGCCACUUUUUUAAUAGAUAUUUUUAAUAGUUCAUUUUCUUUGUGAUUAAAGAUUUCAGUUUCUAGAUUUUGAAAUUUGUUCAAUUUAAUCCAUAUAUAAUGGUUCAAUUUUAGCAAAAUGCACUUUUGAUCAAUCUUAAAUUUAGUCAUCAAUUCUAUUUUUUCGUUUAUUUUUUUAAAAAUAUCUUGUUAUAUCUUUAAAAUUUUAACUAUAACUUCUAAGAACGUUACAUACUUUUAUUUUAUUAAAGAAAAAAAUAUAAUUUUAUCAAUUUUCUUCAAAAUUAACUUUGAGAGACUAAAUUUAAGAUUUAUUGAAAAUACAUAAAUAAAAUUGAACAAUCAACCUGUGUAUGGACUGAAACUGAAUUACCUCAACACCAAAACAAUAUUUUAAUAUUAGUUAGUUUUCUAAAAAAUAAAAGGAAAAAAAGUAAAAACUAUAAUCAAAUUAAAGGGUUUGUAUCUUUGAACUAAUGAAAUUAUCCAAACUAAAGGAAUUAGGUUAAAUUAUAACAAUUGUGUAUAGUUGUAGUUAUGGUGCUAAUUGUGAACAAUUUUUUUUAUAAACUAGUAGUUUUGAGAGAUUGUAUGCUUUUUAAAUUAUUGUAUACUUACAUUGUCCAUUCAAAUCAUAAUAAAAUUGAAUCGUAAAAUAAAACAAUUUAUUAAUAUAAACAUAUCUCAACAGUUAAAAAUAUACAAAAUUACUCUAUGUCGAACAUAUCUCAAAUUGAUGGAUGACGUUCAUUAUUAAUACGUGUAUAAUGUAUACUAAUUCAACGAAAAGAUAUCAAAAUGAAUCAAAAGUUUUGAAAAAGUUCAAAUUGUUUAGGAUUGAUUUGCUCUUUUUCACCCAUCAAAGCAACCUCACACCAAUAUAAAAUGAUUAACAACAUUAAAAACAAGUUACUUUUGUUGACUCCAUAUCUAAAAUAAAUCUACCAAAACAUUAUAAAAACUAUAUAUUAAAAAGAAUACAUAACUAAAUCAUGUUAUUACGGACACGUACCACAUUUAAUUUCUUGGACAAACUUUUUUGACUUUCCCAUUACCAAAACAAUAUAUAUAUAUGUGUGUGUGAUUUUGUGUAUAGUUUGAUUAGUGCAUUGUUAUAGUGAUAGGGAGCUAUAGUCCAAAGAGAUUUAAUAAUUUUCAUUAUCCUAAGAAACUUCUAAUUAUAUGUCACACUCUUGAUCUCAAUUAAAUCAAGAAAAUCACAUCUUUGUCAAUCUGUUUAAUUUCUCCUUUUUCUUUUUUAUUAGAUUAAGAGUAAUAUGUACUGAUGUUAAUCCAUAAACUACUUGUUUUCUUAUGCCAUAAAUUAUCUGUCUAAUAUUCAUCAAUGGGGACCCUCCAUAUGUUAUCCUAACUAGUUGUGUCCAACUAAUUAAAUGUGAAAAUUAAUUAAUGUAAAAAAAAAGACAAAAAACCAAAUUUAAUUGGAUUUUUGGAGAAUAUUUCAAAAUGUUUUUUCACGUCACUUGUAUCUUCGGGUGGUAUUUGAUGAAGAUUUCAUUAGUAUUAUAAUUGAUUUGUUAUUGAACUUAUCGUCUUAUAAGGUUGGGUUAAAUAUAGAAAUGAAAUAUAUCUACAACUCCAUAUAUUCAAGUAGAGAUUAUCGAAGAAGUGAAACAUGUUAAAUCUUGCGGUACAAAGUUUACUUAAAAACCCCCUAUUUCAUAAGCUCAUUGGUAUCGUUGUUGGACAUGGAAAAAAAUGAGAAAGUACCAUAUAUAUAGUAUAUAGUAUAUCGUAUAUCGUUAUUAUAGUAUUUAUGUUCAAUCCCAUAUCAUCUAUGAAAUUUAAUUUGUUAGCAAUUAUGAGGACCAUCUAAUUUUAAAAAAUUAAGCUUAUAAUUAUAUUGAUGUUCACCGUUAAAUUUAUUUAUUUUAUCUUACUUUUACCAAAGUUUUAAAAGCCAAUAAUAUGCAUAGUUUUCAAAAACAACAACCUUCAUCUUACCGUAAUUAGUUUUUAAAAAAUGACCAUAAAAAACUAAAAACAAAAGAAUAUUAUAACAAAGUUCACAUUAUAUUAGUCUUUGAAUUAUGCAUGGCCUCACACAUAAUAUCAUAACUAUAUAUAAAUAUAUAGUUGAAACAAUACAAAUAAGAAUCUUUGUUGUUCUAAAAUUAUUUCAAUUAAAUUCUUUAACAUUUAAAAAUCUUAAACACUAAAGCAUAGUAUAAAAUUUAAAAUAAAGUCAAAGUUGAUGCAAUCACGUGGGGUGUGAAUAAUACAACUUUUUAUUAAUACUCUUCACCCUUUAUUAUGGCCUAUAGGUAUAUAUAUAUAUAUGUAAUAGACUUUUUGAAUGAUUUAAUUAGGAGAAUUUGACUUUCCAUUUUCAUGUGAUUGCCAAGCUUUAUCCUACUCAUCCAUACGAAGAGGGGUCAUCUCAUCAUGUUCAUUUUAAUUUUAAUAUAUGCUUUAAUUUUCAAUUAUAUGUACUAAAGUUAUAUAUAUAUCAUAUCGAUGUAGAUCUAGUUUCAUAUUUUAUUUAUUUUUAAUAACUCGAUAAAGUGGAUAUUCAUUUUAUUAUUCAUUUAUCUAUAACUCGUUAUUCUUUUUCAUUAACCUUAAAAAAGUUUAAAUUUUUGAGAAACUAAAUUCAUUACUUUUUCUCGUUCAUAUAAAAAAUUAUUGAGAUAAUCAUUAUACCUCUAAACUAUUAUAAAAUAUAUAAUAGUCCUAUACUAUAUAUCACUUGUGCUAUAAAUUUAUAUUGAUAUUCUAUGUCGAUUGUUUGGUUGUGAAUUGUGUGGUCUAAAUUUGUUUAAAUUAAAAUUUACGUAUAUGAAAGCACAAAAUACAAUUAUGUUUUUUCAAUUGACCUACGACGAAUAUCGUUGAUCAAUUUGACUGUUGAUGUGAGGAAUAAAUAUUUGUAUAUAAUCGGUGAAAGCAUGAGAUAAAUAUAUGGAAAUGAUUAGAUAAAAGAUAAAUUUGAAAUGAAAAAAUGUAAUGAAAGUAGAAGUUGAGUUAAUGAUUGCUUGAUGAUGGAAUAAUGUAAGAGUGGAUUAACAUAAUAUUAUUAUUUACAAUUAGUUAAUGAGAGAUUAGUGGUUGGGGAAAGAUAGACUAAUCAUUGAAAUGAUUUGGAGUUGUAGCUAAUUUAGUUAAUUUAAAUCUCUUCUCCUUUUUUGCUCAAAUGUGUGCAAUGGGCCAUUGUUGUGAGAAUGUGUUAUUAUGAGUGCCCAAAGCACUACCCCUUAAAGCUCAUUUCAUAAUUUCUAUUAUAUAUAUAUAUAUAUAUAUAUAUAUAUAUAGAUGUAUGUAUAUAUUUGAAAAAACAACUACAUAGAAAUUAAAUAAAGUUUUUGGUUGUCAUUGAUCGUUUCAUCUUUACCAUACAUGUACUUAAUCAUAACUUAACCAUAGGUCUGUAAUUUUGGUCUAUUAGUCCGUGACCAGAUCUCACAACGUUGUUCUAUAGUUUAUUAUGUAAGUCGAUAGAAAAAAUAGUUAAAAUGAGAUUUUAAUUAAUGUGAAAGAGAAAGAUAAAAUAUAUUUUUAUGUAAUUUUAAAGGACAAUUUAUAUAUGAAAUUGUUUGUUCAAAAAUAUUUUUGUUGUUUAAUUAUGUAUGUUUCGUAUUUAUGGUAUAUAUAACACGUGUGUGACGACUUUCCAUUCAACACGUUUUUAUUGUUAACCUUUGAUGUUUCAUAUUAACGGUUAACACAACAAUUUGAAUCCAAAUGGUUAUAAUAUAUAUUGAGACAACAAACCCUAAUUAAUUGUUCAUAUCCCAUGUUAUAAAUUACACUCCUAUUCACAAAAGGGAUUGAUGAUUGUUUUAUCACGUGUAAUCACUUUGAUAUGUAGCGAGACACAUGACGUGAUUGUCCACUAUUCAAGCAUAAAAUAUGCAAAUUUAAUAACUCGUUUUCUUUGACUUUUUACUUAUUUGAACUUAAAAGGGACUCUAAUACCAUAUAAUAGAGAAACAACACGACGUUUAAUCUCAAAACAAUUGACAAUAAGAAAGAUAAGUAAUCGAUUUUUCAUAAACGAGAGAUUGGAUGUUAAUCAAUCCAACCUAUAAAACAUGUGAAUCAACAAGUUUUUAUUUUCUUCUUUUAAAAAAGCACAAACCCACCACACCAACCAACCCCAAUGGCAAAGUUUAUGCACAAAACAUCCCAUUUAGUUGAAAAAGUAAUACCCCAUUUUCAAAUAUGAUAACAAUUAUUGGAGGUUAGGGAGAUGAACCUCCCAUUAAACAUACUCAUUAACAUUAAUAAUCAAAUGAUCAAUCAAUCUUUUUCAACUCUCAAUUUAAAUCCCAUUUUGUUGUCCUAACUUCUCUGUCUCUUCUUCACAUUUCCAUGGAAUCUCCUGUGUUUUUGGCAUUUUGGACCCAUUAAAAAAUAUUGUUUCUCUCUUUCAUUGUUUUGUUUAUUGAUUAUUAUUCAAUCUUUCCUCCUCUAAACAAUGACAUUCAAUUGCCUUUAAUCUUUCUUGUUUAACACCAUAUACAAUUUGAAGCAUGAUUCAAGUGUAUAUUAGUUUUUUUUUCUUCAUAUCAACUUCAACCACCCAACUUUGGAAUAUUAAAUUAAUUAAUCCAACCUAAGUUUAUGUUUAACAUAAAAUUCAAAUUCUCUUCCUCACCAAAACUUUGUAAACUUGACAAAUAUUCUUAGUAGGUGAAAUGUUGGUUUAUUUAAUUUUCAAUAUAUAUGUAGGAAUGUUUGGUUGUUCAUUGGCUUUCAUAUCGUGUAACCCCACUAUUUGUUAAAUUGUAUAUGUAACACGUUUACACUUUUUGAAAUGUAAUUUUGACCCUUUCGUUAAAAAAACUCAAUCUCACUAGAAUUAACCAUAAGAUCAAUCCAUAUAAAAUUUAAAAUCGAAAUCUUAUUAAAUUGUCUUUUAAUAAAAUCAAAAUGUAUUGAGUUUUUAUUAUUAUUAUUAUAAGAUUUAAAUCUUGAGUGGCUACUUGAUUUUAUUUUUAUUCGUGACAAUGACAUUAAUGUAAUGUAGAGUUUAAACAACACUAUUAGUGAAUAAUAAUUACAAACUAGCAGAUGUUAAUGAUUUGGCAUUUUCUCAAUAAAGAGCAAUACUUUUAUUUUCCAUUUCUUUUAAAUUCUAUAAUGAAAUAAGUAAAAAGAAAUAAAAAUUGAGAGAGACACAACACUUCAAUUUAAAAUAAAAUGCUUUAUUUAGAGGAAUUAUAAAUGAUUUAUAUGUUAUGCCUAUCGUAAUGGCUUUCAUCAUUCUUGAUAUUGUCGACUACUUGAGUUUAAUACACACAGAGUACUUUGAAAUUAUAUAGACUUUGUGACUUCUUCUGUAUGCAUUGAAAUAAAUAAUAAUAAUAAUCUCUUUUGGUAAGUGUGGAAGAUUCCAAUCAUAUAUUUUGUGAAGAUUAACUAUUUAUUAAUUGUAAUGACUUUACAACAUGUAACAAGUUAGUUAGGUUAUAACUUAUAAUAUAAUGUUAUGAGAUAUUUGUAUAUACACUUGCCCAUGUGGGCUCGGGAAGUCAUUCAAACUAAAACAAGGACCGUUAUUCUUUAAGAUUGGAAUCGAAGAAAAUGAUAAUUAAGUAAUUAACUGUAUCUAAUGCAAGAUUUAUCAAUACGUUAGAAUUACAAUGUAAAGGAAGUAUAUGAACGAAAACCAUUAGUACUCUGCUUUUAUAAGUUUUAUAAAUAUUGUUAAAGAAGUCCAUGUCGUUGGUAUGGAGAUAGUGUUGGAAACAAAUGUCGAUUCUCGAUGUGAUUUUUAAUCAAUUUUUUACGUUGUUUUAAGUUGGAAAGUUUAUAUUAGUAGAAAAUCAAAGUGAAUAUUUAUGUUUCAUUUGAUUAGUUAGUAGAGGAUCUUAUAUUGAAUUUACUAUCAGCUGUUAAAUUACAACUUUGAGUCGAUACAUAAUUUGAUGUAAUUAAACAUGGUAUCAAAAUUAUCUUAUGGCUUUAUAAUAUGCAAGGGCAAUUGGGUCUUUUUGAGUUGGUAAUGGGCCGUAAGGCCCAAGUUUUGAAAGAGAAAUAGUGGGCUCUUAUUUUCACGUUCCCGCCAGUAAAAUGGAGGAAUUUUAAAAAAUAAAAUUUCUUUUUUCUUUCUUUCUUUUUUGCUAUGAGAUGGGACCCACUUGUUCUUAACCAUAGUUAGGAAAAUAAACCGUUAUUCCUGGUUAGGUUAGCUUGAUCAUCAACCUGGGUUAAUCCCGUACUGGUUCCGACUUCUGUUCGAGAUCUGUUCCACGAUUAGGGUUUCGAAUGUUGAAUUUCCGUCAUCUUUGUUAGUUGAUUUCUUCGGUUUUCUUAGUUUUUUUGGAAUUAGGAUUGGUGUUUCGAUUGAAGCUCUGUCGUUGAGAUCUUCGACUUCUCUGAGAAUUUUGUGUGGGACUUGAGAAAGAAGAGAAAAUUGGGGAAAAACCAGGCAAAAUGGAGACUCAGAGGAUUAUUGAAUUUCCACACAAAAACAUGGAUAAACGUCCCAGGAAGAGACAGAGAUUAGCGUGGGAUAUGCCUCCUCCUGUUCCUCCACCGAAGGUAAUGCUUCUCGGGAUUUAUUAGAUUUAUUUUGUGUUUUUCAGACCUAAAUUUCUGUUCUUAGGAAAUGGUAAUUGUUGUAAUUCGUUUUCCAUUUUAUAAGAUAGCUGUGCGUUUGGAAAGGAGAUGUGAAAUCUUCAAAUCUUGGAAAUGGAUUUCGGCUUUUUAUGUGUUUUGUCCAUAUUAUGGCACCUAGAAUCCAAAGCGUUUGUGUUUUGACGACCGGAUUUGUGUUUGACAUAUGACUUUUUUAUGAAUUCAGGUUCUUCCACCACCAUACUGCGGGCAGGAAUUUGGGAAUGGGCAAGUUCCCAAUUAUGCAUAUCCGUCCAUGUAUUGCAGAGGAGCUCCACGCGUUGGAUCGCCUCCAUGGAGGCCUGAUAAUAAAGAUGGGCACUAUGUAUUUUCCAUUGGGGAAUGCUUAACUCCUCGUUGUAAGCAUCUCCCAGUUCUCUGAGUGUAGUACAUGGAUUUGCUUUUUCUAAUUGUUAUCCCUUGGUACACUUUAGACACUUAUGAGAGGGAUCAGAUUGGUGGUAAAUUUGUUGGAAUUUGUUCCUAAUUUGGAAGUUAUAUGGUUAUUUAAUGUUGAAUGUGGUAAUUGAUGGUUGAGACAAUCCUACAUUGUAUUUGUUGAUAAUUUGUGUUUAGGGUUGAUAUUACUGUCAUUAGCUUAUGUCUUCUGUUUAUGCUAUCUGCAGACACAAUUUUGAGCAAAAUGGGUGAAGGUCAGUACAUUUUCAUGAACCUAAUUUUCCUUUAUUCUCACUGUUGCUCCUAUUUAUUGGUUUUUUUUUUUUUUUUUUUGUCUUUUCUCUAUUUCACAGUGUUUCAAUAACUUUUUCUUUUUCUACUUCAGGAACAUUUGGGCAAGUGUUAGAAUGCUUGGAUAGUGAGAAAAAAGAGGUUGUAGCUAUUAAAAUUGUUCGAUCAAUAAGCAAAUAUCGUGAGGCUGCCAUGAUUGAAAUUGAUGUCCUUCAGAGGCUGGCUAGGCAUGAUAUUGGAGGCACCCGGUAAGAUUUGUUGAAUCUCACUUCACUCUUUUUGUUGGAGAAGUUUCAUGUAAAUAUUAGUAUAAGUGGUUUCAUUCUUUGCAGUUGUGUGCAAAUUCGGAAUUGGUUUGACUAUCGUAAUCAUAUAUGUAUUGUAAGUAUUUGUUAAUAUCUCCUGAUUUGAUUAAUUUGGAGGGGCAAUGCUAGUUCCUGCAUGCCUGAGUAUUGUGUGAGUUAAAAGAAAACUUGCGGAUGAAUUUAAAUGGUUUGGACAGGUAUUUGAGAAGCUUGGACCAAGCUUAUACGAUUUUCUUCGCAAAAACAGCUACCGUUCAUUUCCGAUUGAUCUUGUUCGGGAGUUUGCCAGACAACUUCUGGAGUCUGUAGCAUGUGUGUGAAUAAUUUUUGCAUUUUUUCUGUUAUUUACUUGAUGUUGAAUACACCUAAAGGUGGAUUCUGGAAUUGGAAUUGCUUAUUGAAAUCAUGGCAGUUUGUUUGCUGGAGCAUGAAAUAACAUAUACAUUCGAAUGUCUGUCUUACUGGCCCUUUAAAUGAUUUUCUGUAGUUAUGCACGAGCUACGGCUAAUUCACACUGAUUUGAAGCCAGAGAAUAUUCUUCUUGUUUCCUCAGAGUUCAUUAGAGUUCCAGAUCAUAAGGUAUAGCGAUUGCUUUCAAUUUCUCUGGGUCAUAGAAGGACAAUAUUCUUGCAUGGUUGAGAUAUGUUACUCUCUUUAAAAACUGACCUCCUGCACUCUAGUUUUUAUCACGUUCAGUGAAAGAUGGUUCCUAUUUCAAGAAUCUUCCGAAGUCGGCUGCUAUCAAGCUCAUUGAUUUUGGAAGUACCACGACUGAACAUCAAGAUCACAGCUAUAUUGUUUCGACACGUCAUUAUAGGGCACCUGAAGUUAUCCUGGGUACCUCUUUUUUCUCUUGCAGUAACAUUUGUUUAUCGGUUGGCUAUGCUUUGCCCUUUAACUGCACACUGUUUUUAUUUUGUCUACAGGUCUAGGUUGGAACUAUCCUUGUGACCUAUGGAGUGUCGGAUGCAUACUUGUUGAACUUUGUUCUGUGAGUAUCUUCUUGUAGACUAGGUUAAAAUAUUCUGUUCUUUGAUUAGAUUUUUUUUAUUCUCAAACAAAUUGCACUUUGAUUCAAUUUCAAUCUGUGACCAAGAAUGUUUGGAAAAUUAGACUUUCCUUCUUUUUUGGCCCUUCCAUUUUGGAAGAUUCCUGAUAAAUAUUAUCAUUAAGUAUUUUGGUGACAAAAUUUAUAUGAUCUAUUAUCUCGGUUACAGUUAUUUUGGUAAUUGGCCACAUUAAGUUGUUUUAACUUUUUUUGGAUAUUAUGAAUUUCGUUUUUAUGUUCUCUGAUUAGUCUGGAUUUUUUUAACCUUUCCAUUUUAUUAUUUUCUUUUGCUUGAUGAGCAGGGCGAAGCACUUUUUCAAACGCAUGAGAACUUGGAGCAUCUUGCCAUGAUGGAGAAGGUUUUGGGCCCGUUGCCCCAACAUAUGGUUCUCCGUGCAGAGUAAGGAUUUUGUUCUCCUUUUAUUAAUUUUUUGGGUUGACUUUUCGACAAAGCCCUCACCAUUCUUUUAUUUUUGUGUUUUACCUUUUGCAGUCGCCGUGCUGAGAAAUACUUCAGGCGAGGCAUGCAGCUAGAUUGGCCUCAGAGUGCAACAUCUCGAGAAAGCAUGAGAGCAGUCUGGAAGCUACUGAGGCUGCCUGUAAAUAUUUCUAUCUUUCAUUUUCACUUGCCAUCAAUUUCUUUAUGUAAUCCUAGGUGUAAUUCUUUAGUGGUCUCUUAUGAAAUGUUCGAUGCAGAACCUUAUAAUGCAGCACGUUGAUCACUCGGCUGGUGAUUUGAUUGAUCUCCUGCAAGGCCUCUUACGUUAUGAUCCAUCAGAGAGGCUCAUGGCAAGAGAAGCACUAAGACAUCCUUUCUUCACUAGGGAUCUAAGAAGGUGUGGUUACCCCUUGUAGUUCUCUCAUUCACAUUUUAAUCAAAGAGUGAGCCGCUAUCGAGGGAGAAAGAAAGAAAGAAACUUUAAAGCGAUGAAUUGUUUCACCAAUAAGCUCAUCAUCUCUUUCUUUUUUCUUUUGUAAUCGUCAAAAUUCUUGUGUAGUUAAAAUUGAAAAGAUGAUUCAAUCACACUCCCAUUUCUUCCCCCAUUUUACUUUUCUACAUAUUACCACAUCUAUUCCUGAUAAAUUCCUAGUUUGGUUGUGGAGGUUUUUAUGCAAAACCACAAAAGUAAUGUACUAAUAUUCUUUUGUUUUUCUUUUUUGGUAUUGAUAUGUACUCUGGCUAGUUCAUUAUUUCCAGGUAAGCUUGGACAAGGACUAACAGUUGGAAUGUAGAUAGCAAACUAAAGACUGACGUGGAAUUGAAACCCGAGAGGCAAGACUAGCCGAAAAGAGCGUGUCUAAGAGUGAAUGAGCUUUUGACCCACCGUACUGUUUUUUGGUUACAACAGAUACAGAAUAGGAAAGCCAAACACGAAGAUGGAGGUAACAGGAAACGAUUGAGAACAUGCUGAGUAUAUAUAAAAAUUUGAAACCUCUGUUGGAGAUGGGAAUUGGAAAGAAGGCCAAUUAUUUUGUAGGAGGUUUUUUUGAUCAUGUGAAUGACGAAAGUUACUGGCAAUCAAUUGAUGAUGGUGUUCGGCUUUCAGGCUUUUUUAUUGCCUAGCAAUUGGUAAAACAUCAUGCAAGAAUGGCGUUAUGCGCCUUUCAACGACCAACCCAAAGGCCCUCGGAAAAUAUAAGAGUUCAAACCGGAGUUUGAAGAACCACUUUUUAAGUGUUUAUUUUUUUUUUUCUAUUAAAAAUGAUUUGAAAAUAAAAAUAAUUACGAGCAGGAAUUUAAUUGAUUUUCUGAAUUGAGUAAAAGAAACCCAAGUUUUUUUUCUCAUGUUUAGUAUUAUUUGCUCUUUCUUAUUUUUUAAGAAAAUAAUAACUGUUUAAGUUUGAACUAUGGAAAAGUCAAUUAAAAAAAAAGAAGAGGAAUUUAGUUUUUUUUCUCUAUUCCUUAUAAUAUAUUUGAAACUGGUUCCUAUUUAUUCUUACAAUUUUCUACUACAUCUGCCAAAAUCUGUAGCUAUUUUUAUUUGUUUUUCAAUUGUUAUCAAGUUUUGUUACGAUUUUCUAAAAUGUGCUAUAGAACACAAGCGUAAAAUAAAAAAGCAUAGAAAUUUAAUGAUGACAUUCAAGAAAAUAAUUUAUUUAAAACUUGAUACUUGAAAUAGAACAAAAUGUAUUAUUAAUCUCGAAAGAAGAAAACCAAAUAACGAAACUUGAAAUGAAAGAAAAAAACAGUUCACCUGAAUGAAAAAUAAUAAAAAAAAAUUGUGAGCUAAAGGAAUGAGGCCUUUGCAAAUAUAAAUAUUUUUUUUCGAAAAUGGCGCCAAUUAUAAUUGGCUUCUUUUGUCUUUCCUGUUAAACGACGUCGUAGGGGGUAUAUUAGACCAAGAUUCCUGUACGGCAGUCGGCCGUCGUCGUUAUUCUUCAUCAUCUACAUUGUGUGCAACGUGAUCCGGGUUUUGGAGCGCUGUAAAUCCCAUUCCUCUACUCCCAUCCGCCAUGGAUUCUCUCGGAAGACUACAAGACUGCCACCACUUACCGUCGUUUUCAAGACCACUUUCGUCACUUAGCUUCAGAACCCGACUGUCGGUACCGUCGUCGUCGUCUAAAUCAUCAUCCAGAGCAUUUCCCUCGUUCCAAUCGUCCUCCUUUGACUCAGUUUUCCGAACUCCGCAACGGCCCAGAUCCUCACUUCCCCUAAUUCUAGACCCUAUUUCCUCAUCCAUCCUCAAAACCACCAGCGUUACUCUUACCGCGGCCGCCGCUUUGUUUUUCAUGCGGUUUUGCGGAAAACCUGCUAUUGCAGCCCCCAUUCCUCCGCCUACGGUGGAUUCGGUGAAGGAAUCGAUGAAAGACGAAGGUUCUCGUGGAGAGAAAGAGACGGUACUUGAAGAAGAAUUGGUGAACGAUUCUGUUGAAGCUCUUCGAUCGCUCAUUGAGGUAAAAGUUAAGGCUCGGAAGUUUCCUGAAGCUAUUAAAAUUCUAGACCGUUUAAUAGAACUUGAGCCCAAUGAUUUAGAAUGGCUAGUGUUGAAGGCCAACGUUUAUAGUCAUGUGGGUAACUCUGAAUUAGCGAGAAAUGAGUUUCAGAAGAUUUUAGAGAAGGAUCCUUUUCAAGUUGAGGCUUAUCAUGGGCUUGUUAUGUUAACAGAAACAUCAGAUAUUGAUUCAUUGAAGGCGAUUCUGAACAGGGUUGAAGAAGCAUUGGAACAUUGCAAAAAACAUAAAGGCAAGUCUGAGGAAAGGGAUUUUAAGCUCUUGAUAGCUCAGAUUAAAGUUAUGGAAGGAAGUUACUCUGAAGCUUUGAAAGAUUACCAGGAACUUAAGAGGGAAGAACCAAGGGAUUUUAGGCCAUACUUGUGUCAGGGAAUUCUUUAUACCCUGCUUAAGAGGAAUGAUGAGGCCGAGAAGCAAUUUGAGAUAUUUCGAAGACUUGUUCCAAAGAACCACCCUUAUAAAGAAUAUUUUGAUGAAAACAUGUUUGCAGCCAAGCAUUUCGUACAGCAGAUUGAGAGGGAUGCAGCCGCUUCGAAUAAUUGAUUGUCUUUUUAUAAUAUCUUCAUGACUUUCUGGUUCUGUAACCGAUGGUUUUGUUGCUUAAAAACUGUCAUGGUUAGUUGAAAUUAAGAGAUGAAAGGUAAAUAUGUUGUUAUUCCCAUUUUAGGGAGCUUGAUGAAUGUAGCUGUUUAGCUGAAGUUGCUCUUUGGAUCCCAUUUUUACAUUGCACAUGCCUUGGUGCAUUGAAUUUCAUGUCUAAUCGUAGUACACUUCGAUAAGUUUCUGCAAGAAAUGUAUAACCUGAAAUAAAUGACUGUGCUUUGGACUGAGUUAGAUAAGUUUCUGGCUUGUUCAAAGGAGAAACAUUUUGUAAGUUUGGACUUUGAAUUUCUUUCUUAAAUCUUAACUAGCUGGACAUUGGAAUCGGCUUCUGCAUUGUAUCUUCUCUCUAACAGGGUGACGGAUGAAGAUUAUGCAUUGUAUCUUUUCAUUAUUGCAAAUUGUAAUAUCAUUCACUUGAUUGAUUUUUAGGCCUUUAGUUCUGAUCAAUAAAAGGAUGGUGGUAGUUCUGUUUUCUUUCUUGUUGGUUUCUUUAUAUUUACGUCUAAUUAGCACAGAGUUUAGGAAUGUUAAAUUAUCCUUGAAAAACACCAGAUUACUAUUACUAUUCUUUCAAUUCGUUUUGAUUCGAAGGUGAAUCUCCAUGCUUCGUGGAACUUUGAGAAGAGUUGUGGUGGAUUAGAAUGGGUGAUUCAUGGUUCUCUCGAAUCUCCUAUUUGAAUAGGGUUCUGUAAUUUCACUCAAGAUUGGUUCGCUAAGUUGUUGGAAGCCCAAACGAUUAUCGAGUGUCUCAACCGUCUUUCUUCUGUAUCUUCUUUUAUUGCGGUUGAAUCUUAUGCAGGGAGGUGGUGGAUUUGAUUAACAACUGCUCUCCAAAGUUCGCUAAGGUGGAGUAUGCAAUUGACGAGAUUGGAGCUUUGGGGAGACAUUUGGGUUGUUUUUUUUUAUCCUUCUGUCUUCUUAUUGGAAAUCAGGUUGCUCAUACGUCACUGUAUUGUUCGUCAUGUUGCUGGUUCUUUGGAUAUUUUUUUUGGAGCUUUUCUUAAAAAAGAAGUUCAGAUUGAGGUUUAAUAGUAUGCCUAACUUUAUCGAAGAGGAAGGCUUUAGAUUUGAAAAAUGUAAUGGAGCCACAUUGUAUGCUUUUUGAAUAUUUUAGGUCAUCACCUACUCUCAACUUUUGUGGCCGUAUGUCUCUUCCAUGCUAGACAUUUCCCGUAACAUCUGCCCUUUUGAAUGCAAAACAUAAUUUUCUACCCUGAGAGGAAUUUGCCUCUUUUUCAUUUUACUAUUACAUUACACUUGUUGAUGUUAGACGAUUCUCAUGGAAUAGUGUUUAUAUUUCUUUUGAAUUGUAAAAAUGAAGGUUUGAGCUUCAUUUCAUUUAUGUCAUAUCGCAUUAAUUCAUCUGGACCAUGCAGUUGCAGAAAGCAAAGUACAAGUGGAGGCUUGGAGGCCAACAAUUCCCCUCUGGAUACGACACAAAAGGUUGGUUUAUACAUUUACUUGUCUUCAGUCAUAUUGAUGGCUGGUUUCAUGUGCGUACUCAUUGCUUCAUAUAGCAAAUGUCAAUUAAUUUUCUGUUUUCUUUUUUUACAUUUAUAACUAUGAUGAUCAUUGAAACAACUUGUUGAUUGUUCAGGUUGAAUAUAGUAUUGCACUUCUUGGUUUAAUGUAGACAUUGGGAUGAAUUUUGGAAUAUAGGUUUUAUAUAAGAUUGAGUUUAACAAUAUCAGGUUGGUUGUUUGGUCCUUGAGUUCUGAAUUUUGUGUUUAGUAGGUUGGUUGAUCUAUUCAACGUUUUAUUUUAAUUACGAACAUUAGGAACAUUAGAUACAAAAUUGAAAGCUGUAUGAUCAUAGAAUGAAUGGAUUGCCUUAAACUUGUCUUUUUCUUUUGAUAUCUGUGAGUGUUUGGACAACCCUCUAACAUACAAACAUUUGGGCUUGGUGACUAUGAUUGUACUCAUCACGAGAUUUCUUAGUUAAGUAUUGAGAUUAUGUCACUAAGUCGAUCCUUGUUCGUCGUGCAUAGGGAAAAAAAAAGAUAAAUGAUAAAAGGGAAUCUGAAAUUGGAGGGCCGAAAAUUGGGAUUUGACCUCAAAGAUGAUGCUCCACUCUUAGCAAAUUUACCUUUUUCCUUUUUAGUUUAAACCCAGAACUCUUGUCUCCUUCUUGGAAUACUCAAACAUUUCUACUAUACUUUUCUUUUUCUUUUCACAUUAUUUUCAUUCAAUUUUUGUACCUUCAGAUUUUGAAAUUUUGGGGUUACAUUUUGGUUUUUGUUUCUUAUUUUUAGAUUUUAGAUCUGGAAUUCAUAGUUAUAUAAUUUAGGAUUUCCAGUAGAAAAUGUUUUUACUGUGUUGUGUGUUCCUCUAAUUGCCUUCAUUGGUUACUUUUUCUUGAGUGUCAUUUUCACCUAUAGUAAAAUGAACAUUUUUUUUUCAUUCAAAAUACAUUACAGUGAUAGUUUACUUUAUUAUUUAUUACUUGAAAUUAAGUAGUGGUCUUUUGUUGUUUUUUUUCUUAAAAAAGAAUACAAAUGAUUUAAUGCAAAGUUCUCUUAAAGCAAAAUAAAUAUUGUAAAUGUUCUUAUCCUUUUUAGAAAAAUAGGUGGGGUCUUCCAAUAUAUUUUUUUUAUCUCUCCUCUUUUUAAGAACAUUUUAUUAUUUUAUUUUAUUUUAGCUGUUCUAAUUGUUAUAUACCUAUAUUUAUGCCCACAAAAAAAGGUUAGUUUCCAGAAACAAUCAAUGAUUAAAAUUAGUAAAAUUCCUAAUCUUUAUUUUGACUUUGGAUUAUAACUUUAAAAAUCAAAUCCCUAAUGUUGUUUAGUAUGGGCACGAGUUAAAAUGUCGACGUUGAUUUUAAUUAUAUAAUUAUGGAUAUAUUUAUAAAUGAUUGCUAUCAAAAUUUAUAAAAAUCAUUUAAAUUUAUGAUUGAGAUGUUUUUGCUCCUAAAUUAAAUGAGAUUAAUAGAAGAUAUUAAAGAGAUUAAUACUAAUCCUUAUUGUUAACGUCAAACUCUUUUAAUUACAAACAUAUUAGCGUAGAUUUCAAUUCAAUAACAAGUAUCUGAACCUUCAAUCUAUGAGAUUAUUGGGUUAAUUAUAAAAAUUUCAAAAUGAUAACAAAAUUUAAAAAAAAAUUCAAUCAUCCUUGGAUUGUUGUGAUGAUAUGGUAAGAUUUGUAGUAGACAUGGCAAAUAAACUUAGGUGAUUGCCCAUAUAUGUCACUUUUGUUUUUUUGUGCUAAGUCUAUCUCUAUAAAGUAAAAGGAAGGUUCAUUUGUCAUUUAUAUAUAUAUACACAAAUGUCCUAUCACUCUCUCCAUGUUUCAUGCAUCUCUCCUUUUUAGUUGCACAAUAAAACAUAUUCCAAUUUCUAUAAUUUCUUAUGAACAUUUUUGAAGUUUUAGUUUCGAAUUCUUUUCAAUUUUUAAUACCUCUAAGUAAAUUUAUCGAUUUGAAUAGGAUGAAUUUAAGUAAUUUUGGUAGAUGUCUAAAUUUUAAUAUCUUAAUUCGAUUACAUGAUUAUAUUUACGUAUGUGCAAGCUGUGUAUGGAUGGAAGUUUAUUUUGUACAUAAUCUUUAGAAUUGACAUUAUAUUUUGUUAAGAUACUAAAGUAAGUUAUACUAAUAGAAAUAAUUGAUAGCUGUGCCUCUAUAAUUGUGGGAGUCCACCACAAAUCCUUCCCUAAUUUCAUUAUUGUUGUACUUUUGAAUAAUAAUAUAAGAAAAAGCAGAUCUAUUUUUUAUUAAAUUAUAUUACGUGAUUAUUUACAUCAUUCAAUUUGCUUUUGUCUUUUGUAGUAAAAAUGUUGUUAUAUAACAUGAAAAUAUAAAGGAUAAAAAUUACUGGAAAAUUCAUAUUAUUUAAAAACUUAGAAUUAAUAAUCUAACUAAACAAAAUUAGAGAUUAAGAAUAUAAGUGUUUGUUUGAUUGUUUUGUUAGGAUUUUGAAUUUUUUUAAAAUUAAAUGAUUUUUAGCUAGAUUUUAAUUUGUACAAUUUUAGAUAUGAUUGAUUGAAGAAAAGUUCAAAUAAUAUAUAUCUUUUUUGGUAAAGAAAUUUUCAAAAUAAAGAAGAUUGAAGAUUUUAAAAAUAAUUACACAAAAGUCAAGAUGCUUCAUGCCACCAAACUUUUGUAAAUUCAUCCUUCUUUGAAUUACAGUGGAAUUCCAAAUCUACCCCUCUCAGCCAAUUUACAAAACUACCCCUUUUAAUUUCCCUAUCUUUCCUUAUACGAUAGUUUCAAAUGUCGACAUGGCGGCAUAAGCUUCCGACACGUCGACACUUUUUAUUAAGCCAAAUUGGCAUUUCAGUCCAUCCACUUGCCGCUCAUCUUUCUCAAUCCUUCACCAAUUUAAAUGUUCAAAUUCAUUUCUCUUUUUUCUUUUUUUUUUCCUCUCUCCGAUCGAUCCCUCCGGCGUUUCGAUUAACCGGAGCGGAACUUUCUUUUCUUUGAUUUGGAUAGGAUUUGUUCCUGUUCUACUACGCCACACACAUUCCUUAUUUAUUGUUCUUUCCAAUCUCACGAUCUGCGGAUUUUCGGACUGUACCGGAUUUUUUGAAUCUGAGAUUGAGAGGUGUCCUUCAUUUGCUUGUGGUGGAAUUCGAGGUACUCUCGGGGAAUUCGAUCGUGUUUUUGUUGACUGUUCAUUUAUUUAGAAAGUGCUUUUAGAGAAGCUUCGACCUGCUUCGACAAAAUAGGUAGGAGCUCACGGGAAUCACUUGUAUGAGCUUUCUGAACAGUUGUUUUGAAAGGGCGACGUAUUCGAGAAGUCUGUCGUUUCGUUUAGUUUUUUUCGUGAGGAAAUUUCGGUGAAGGAAAAGAGUACAGAAAUGAAUUUGUUUGUUUGUUUGUUUGUUCCUGUGCUUCUGUUGAAUGUACUGAGGUGGGAUAACGUCAAUCCAGUAUUUUCGUUUUUAGGUUUGUGUCACAGUUUUCUCAGCUGGAAAUUUGGGUGUUUUUCUUUUCUUUUCCUGUAAAAUCUUAAUGAACUGAGAAAGUUGCGACCCCCAUUAGUCUGAUUUUUUUUUUUUUUUAUUGUUUUUGAUAAUUUGAUUUGAAAAGCCAAGGAUUUGAUGUUUUGGUGUUAAUUGGUAUGGUGGUACUUUCAACUUUUCCUUUUGAGAAGAGAUAGAAUUGAGUAAUUGGAAAGAAUUUUUGUUUAUAUGUAUUUAUUGUUGUUUCUACUGUCGUCUGUUGCAGUUUGUCUGCAAUAUCAAGUCUCGGUGGUUAUUGCCUUAGCUUGAAUUCUUUGAAAUUAAAGCAGGUUUUCAAGAAGCUACUUUUUGACUUUUUUUUUCCCCACUUUUUUAUUCUUUUGCAGGGUUUUCUUCUUUAUAAAAUCAUCUCUUUCCGUAAUAAUUUUUCUGGAUGUAACUGAGGCGCGUGAAAGUAAGUUGCUCGGCAAAGUUAUCGCCAUGCAGGUACUUUCCGAAGUUCACCUUUAAAUUGAAUUUCAUUUUUGUUUUUGUGAACUCUUCAUUCCUCCCUUUGUUCUGCUUCUCUUUAUCUCCUUUUCUGUCCUUGUGUUUUUUACAUAUUUCCUGUAAAUUUAAAAUGAAUAUCUUUGGUUUGUUUUAGAACAUUGGAUUCUUUCUGUAGCAACACUUGAUUCCUUGAUAAAUCCUUUCAAAUUUCACUUUUUAAACUUGGGAUAUUUUAUUCCUUUCAAAAAGGGAAAAAAAAAAAAAAAACUCUGAUCCUUCACUCCUUUCUGGUUUACCGGAUUUUCCAGGUAAGAGCCAGGUUUUCAAAUCUCAUCAGCAGCUGAUUAUAUGUUGGUUGAACUAUGUGAUAUGGUCUAUACUACUUCCUUCAUCAAGUGGGUUUAGCUGAUUCCCCCUUGUUUUUGGUCGUUCUGUAGAAUGAAAAUGAAAACCGAACUUUUGGUUGGUAAAAUGAAUUCAAAAAUUGUAGUCCACGCUUAAGUUGAAGUGGGAGUUCUUUAAAGCAAGGUUAAAUAUUUUAGCAGAAGAAAUGUCUAAAGAGGUUGAAUUCAGGAGGUCACCGAGUCCCGUUGCUAAAUUGAUGGGUCUGGAUGGGAUGCCAGUGCCGCAUCGGCAGUCGUCUUAUAAACAACAGAUGACGGCAUCACCUGAAAAAUCUCAGAGGGGCCUUACAUCUGACGACAAUCAAUUGUAUGCACGGAGUUCGAGGCGGCAGCAAAAAUUUAAGGAUGUGUUUGAGGUACAGGAAACAUCAAUGAAAGGAAGCAGCAGUUUCUCAGUACCUAAGAAUUCAAAUCUGAAGCCUUCUCAGACAGAGAUGGAAUACAUUCAGAAGAAGUUCAUGGAUGCCAGACGUCUCGUAACAGAUGAGAAGUUACAGGGUUCCAAGGAAAUUCAUGACGCACUUGAAAUAUUGGAUUCGAACAAGAAACUUCUACUGAAAUAUCUCCAGCAGCCAGAUUCUCUGUUCAUGAAGCAUCUUCUUGACAUAAAUGAUGUUCUUCCUCACUCAAGUUGUAUUCAUAUGGCACCUUCAAAAUCAUCAGAUGAUGAGAAUCAUGGGUGCCAUGAAUCCAGUAGGAAGUUAGCGAGGAGAAAUCCACGGAAGAAGCACAGAAAAUCUCGCAAGCAUUGUAGCAGUCAUGUCAGUCCCUCUGAUUCUAAUUAUGUGGCGAAAUGUCCUGUUAAAAGUUCUAGAAUUAAAUUAGAGGACGACGAAAGAUUGUCUAUCUUUCCGAAAAGAAUUGUUGUUUUGAAGCCAAAUCUUGGGAAGGCGCAAAAUUCUUCUGGUGUUAUACCGUCCUCACAUUCUUUUCAGUCUAGCUGUAGGAAGCCAUCAGAAUUUGAAAGGAUGGAGAUCAGGGGGAUGGAAACUUUGAGGACAAAGAAUCAUGAUGACGGCCUAGGGGUAUCAAGUCAUGAGGUUAGACCUUCUAAAGAAGUUUCCAAGAAAACUAAGCAAGUGAGAGAGAAUUUUGAAUAUAGUUCCAUGAGUUCAUCAUUUGGAACAGCAAGACAUGAUAGGAAUGGAUGUCCUUUCAUUGGGAAUGAUUCGGAGGCUGGGAAAUGCAAUUCCAGCAAUAUGUUUGGCUUAAAUGGUCAACUCCAGUCUUCAUCCUUUCGUUACAAAAAGUCAUCCUUGAGUGCAGAAGCUAAGAAGAGACUAUCAGAAAGGUGGAAAACUACUUGUGACUACCAUAACACAGGUGCGGUUGGUAGGAGUUGCACACUGGCUGAGAUGCUUGCCAUGCCCGAGAAGGAAACUACACCUUCACAUAUGGAACCAAAGCAUCGGGGAGAAUCCAGCGGCAAAAUUUUUAAUGACCAGCGUAUUGAACCUUUCGGCAUAAGUAGUAGGGAUGGCUGGAAGGACAUCUGCUUAGAAAAGUUAUCUAGGUCAAGAUCUCUUCCUGCCUCUUCAACUUCCUUUGAGAUUGUUAAAACAAAUUCCGAAUCUCUGAGGAUGGAUCCAUUUGCGAUACCAAAAGAGGCCUUCAAGUGGGAAAGAAAGGAGGCAAUUAGUGAGAAUUUGUGCCUAAGGGAACAUAUAGGCCGCAGAAAUUCCAGACAUAGGAGAAGAAAAUCUCAUGGUUCUAUCUGCUCACUUGAGGAAUUUAGUGACCCUGUACUGGAGAUUUGCACUAGCCAGAAUCAAGAUAGUGAUUUUAAAGACAAUGAACCAGUCGAUAGGAAUCUUCUGGUUGUUGAAGAAUCAAUACAUUUCCCAGUUCAGGACCAAACUGAAGUUCUUGAAAGUUGGAUGAAUUUGAGAGUGAAAUCUGAAGAGGUGAUUGUAUCCUCCAAUGAGGAACUUCAACUUGAAUUGCCUGUUCAUUCAGUGGUAGAAGAUACUUCUCUCUCUGGGAAUCAGGGCUGUUUUAUCUCUAAGGUUUGUCUUAAAAUAUUCUCACUGUACACCUCAACUGCAUUUGAAAAUUUUCUCCGGUUUAAAACAUUUUGUUAUAUCCAGGGAUUGUCACCAGAAGGAUCUGAAGAUAUUUCAUUCCAAUUGAAAUCUGUAUCUGGAAUAGAAUCUCCUGUAAGCUCAAAGGAGGCUGAGCAGCCCAGUCCAGUUUCAGUUCUAGAACCUCCUUUUGCAGAUGAUCUACCACCUGGUUCUGACUGCUUUGAGAGUCUUAGUGCUGACCUCCAUGGUAAUUACAUUCGGUUACGUUCUCCUUUAGGCAUUUAUUGAAGUGAUUUGGCAGAUGACAUCAACCUAUGUUUGAAAUAAUUCUUAUACGUUUGCCUGUUGGUGUUAUUCAAGACUGAUAUUAUUCAAAUCAUGAACAUAUUGAAUUUUGCUUCGAAUGUGAAAUUGGGUGGUUUUCGUUUGUAUUUGUACAAGUUGUUUGACUCAAUUUUCAUCUUAAUAAGUAAAUGCUUAUAGUUUCUUGUCAUACCAUUGACUCUUCUGAUUAUCAUGCAGUCCAAUAAUUUCCUUUUUUUUAGUUCUCCAAAUUUAGCUAGACUUGCGAUUGAUGAAAAGGAAAAAAAAUAAAAUUAUUGAAUGGACUGAUCUAAUUUUCAUUCAUCAACGAGCAAGAAGAAAUGGAUGAAUAUGAUAUUGAGAAUUGAGAUCUAUAGAGUUACAAUAUAUGAUCUCAUUCAAGUAUUCUGAAAUGAGAACUAGUAAGGUCUCUAUAGAGACUAGAAUCUUAUGGCUUUAACUAUCAUUUACUUUCUGAAGCUGGAUAAGUUUUAAUUUGUUGUCCUGUGUAUCAUGAAUACAGGGCUUCGAAUGCAACUCAAGUUACUCAAGUUAGAGACUGAAGCUUUCACUGAAUCUGAAGAAACACAGCACAUCUCGAGUGAUGAAGAUGGAGUGGAAGGUUCCGUCGAGUCUCCAGAGGAUAAAUAUACAUCCAAUGGUGAAGAUAGCUGGGAGAUUUCAUAUGUAACUGAUGUUUUACAAAACUCGGCUUUUAAAGAUACUGAACCGGACAUGUUUGUUGCAAUGUGGCACUCUCUGGAAUGCCCUGUUGAUCCAUCUACAUUUGAGGAUCUCGAGAAGAAGUACGCGGGUAGGUCUUCUCAACCAAGGUCAGAAAGAAAGCUACUUUUUGACUGUAUAAAUUUAGGAAUUUUGGAUAUUUACCAAAAAUUCACUGACCCUUAUCCAUGGGUAAGGCCCCCAACAAUACAAGUAGGGUAUGGUGAAGGGCUUUGCAAUAAUUUGUGUAAGUUUCUAGCUAAGCAGCAAGUGAAGAAAGUAGAUGAAGACAUUGUAGAGAAAGUGGUGGGAAGGACGAGUCAAUGGUUAGUGUUGGGGUAUGAUGUUGAUGUAAUAGGUAAGGAGAUUGAGAGACUAAUGGUAGAUGAACUCAUAACUGAGGUAGUUGACAUGUAUUUAUAGAUUAUGUAGCUUGAUGUUGAAAUAAGAUAUUAAAGCCUUUUAAAAAAAAUUGCAUGAGAAGAAAAAAAACCAUUCCAUGAUUAAGUGAUGCAUUUUUUAGGUAAUAGGUAAGAAGAAUGCAGUCAGAAUCAAAUUGCUAUUUCUCAUAUAGCUGGACUACUUGGGCAAAUUAUUCAAAAUUAACUUUCUAAGGUUGUUUCUUACUUUUUUAAAAGAUAACAAGAGAAUGAAUCAACAAAUCACGUCAUUGUUAAGAGUAGAGGAUACUCAAAUUAGACCUUCUCCAACAAGCCUUGUAAGAAUUGCUCAACCACAUUCUUUGUUUAGAAAAUGCUAAUACAAAAUGGUUCAAUUAUAAGUUUGUUGUACCGCUACUAAAUUGUUUAUUACUUAUGGAUCAUGCAGUGGGGUGUUAGAUGUAGUUUUGCUUAGUGUCUAGACAAUUUUCCUUUUUAAAUUACAGGAGCUAAAUAAUCUUAUGUAAUAAACUUACAAUGUAAUUUGGGUUUAAUCAUUUAGGCUGAAACUUUACUCUUACCAAGGUUUGAACAGCUUCCAAAAGCCACAUUCUAUGGAAUAUUUUUGGAGAAAGACAAACCUCAUCGAUAACAAAGGCUUUGGGAACAGAAAAGGCAUGGUUGUUUUGUAUUACAGCAAGACAUUGUUAUGGGGAAUCCAAUUCCCUUUCUUUUAAAAAUAGGAUAUUGGUUCUCUUUCUCAAUAGUUUUGCUAGAAAGAUGCCACUCUUUUCCUUACUUAAAGCUUAAAACUUCAAAAGUAACAAAGGAAAAGAGAAUUAAAACUUGAAACUUCUCAACAGCAUGCUCUACAAUCCCAACUUUUUCCAUCUAUGAAAGCAUCAGAGUCCAGUUUUAAACUAGAUGUACAGUAAACUCAAACUUCUUUUUUAAUCAUAAGAUAUGAUUAAUCAAAGCUGUUUUUCUAGCAUUUCUUCUGUCGUGGCUGAUGUUGAAGCCACAGUCAACGAGGUGGAUACCGGUGACUGGGGCGGCGGUGGAGUUGGUGGUUGAGAAGUCCAAAACUUUGCAUGCUUUAGCUUUGAUACACUUGCUAAAACUCCCACCGGUGUUACAUCUCCUUCUAUUGUCACUUUUUUUGCUGCAUAGUCUAUCUUGAAGGAUGUAACUCCUGCUUCCAAAAUUUAAAGUUAAAUCUUUCUUAUGCUCAGUAUUUUGAUAGAACCCAAAUUUAUUGAAAUAUAACCAGUAGCCAACCUAACAAGAUAAACAAGUUUUCGAUGUACUUGGAUCCUCCCAAUCUUAGAAUUACUCUCCAAGCCGAAUUCACUCACUACAGUAUUGUGUAUCUUGUUCAUUCUCUUCACUUUCUUCUUAUAAUCAACAAGUACGACAAACUUCCUAGCUAAUUACUAACAUAACCUUAACUUUCAUAUCACAUUUUGGGUUAAGAACUCCUUUAUCAUAACAUAUAUUUGUUGUAAUAAACUUUUGAACCAAUACAAUACUCAUACUCAAUCAUGUCAAGGGAUAAUUUUGUUUUUCUUUAGGUAAAAGAUCCAAAUCCUUAGAAAGAAAAGAAAGAUUAAGAAUGGAUGUCUAAGAACAUGUCUGAAGAGGUAGCAGUUUUUACAAAGUGUUAUCAAAAGGGCCAAAGAAAAUGUCAAACACAUUCUUUAAGGAGGCUACAACUUACCUUCCAUUUUUGAAAGAUGUUUCCUAACUUUCCCUUCACAACCUUUACAGUGCAGUGACACCAUCAACACCACAACCUACAAACAAAACCAAAACCAAACAUUUCCAUUGAAAAAGACAGCCAUUUACCUUAUAGAAUGUUAAAAGUAGUUGCAUUGUUUUUUUUAUCCUCCAUAAUCAUGUUCUUUAUCACUAAAAGGUCUAGCAAAGUGGCAAACCUGUUUGGUUGGAGUUGGUUUGGGCUCCUCAGACAAUGUUGGUUGAGUUGUUGAAGAAGUAGACUCAUCUUGAUUUACCUCAGUUUUGAGUUCUUUGUUAUCAUCAACCGGGUUGAUAUCAUAAACAGGGUCGAUCUCCGGCAACUCGUCGAAAAAUUGUGAUUGUGUAUCACUUUCAAGUAGGUACCUAGAUGAUCCAACCAAGGGCGGAGGAGGAGGAGGAGCGACCAAAUCACUCAAUUUAGCAAAGCUCCUUGUAACAAUAUCAGUGGGAAUGAAGGAGCUCUUCUUCAAAAAAUCAGUAGAUGGAAGACUGUCAGAACUUUCCUUCUCUUCAUCUUCAUGUUUCACAAAUGGGAUUUUGUUCUUGGUUUUUCUAUUGGCUUUUGAAGAGGUUUUCUUGCUCUUUGUGAGUUGAUGAUGGUGAGGUUGGGGACUAAAAGGUGGUCGAGAAAAUUCUCGUGGAGGUGUUAAUAGAGUAUUUGGGGCAGUAAUGUUUCUUCUUCCAUCACAGAUGAUGGGAUUGUGACGAUCGAGAGCACGUCCACCGAGCUGAAUAACGGGCGAGGAAGGGUAGGAAGAGGACGAUGAAGAUGAAGAGGCUUGCUCAAUUUCCAUGCUUGAGUUCAUAUGGCUAUCGAGGCUUGGUAUACAUAGAAUAUAUCUAUGCCAUCCAUCUUUUGGCAAUGAUUUAUGAGAGAAAAAAAGAGAGAAAUGGUAUGGCUGGGAGAAUCUGAACCUAUGGGAAGAGAGAGAAAUGAAAGCUUUUACAGAUAGGCCAUUGUUCUUUUCUAGUUUUAAGCUCAGAGAGAGAGAAGCGAGAGAGAGAGAGAGAGAGAGAGUUUGAUUCUUCUUAUUACAUUUUGAAAAAUAUUGAGACCACUUUUAUUGGCUAAGAUUCAUAAAUAACGCAGUCAGAGCCCUCCAACUGAAAAGAAAAACAUGUAAAAUUGUAACAGGGAACUACAAUCUUUUCUAUCAGCCAGAGCCUUCAGAAUUUAUUUGAUAUGUCCAACAAAUUCAUGUCUUUAUUCAAUGAAAACUUUUCUGAUGAAAUUUACAGAAAAAUUCAAUUCCCAUGUUUAAUGCUCUACCACAGCAGUCUGUAAAUUCAUCUUCUUUCAACAUCAUACAUUCAGUAAAAAAAACUCAUAUAGAUUUUCUCUAGAUAUGUUUUUCGACAUGUUGAUCGACGUUUUAAUGAAUCCGUUAUCAGGCAUUAGUUUCCUCUGAAUAAUCAGAAGAUUCAAUCAAACUCAGAGCAACAUAAAACUUAGUUCUUUCCCAUCAGAAAAGAAAAUGAAGGUCAAAUCUCAUAAAUGGGGAUUGUAAUACAAAAGAGAGGGGAUAAUCACUUAAAAGAAUAAGAAUUACAAGGAUUUUAGAAGUUGUACCAAUUUGUUAGUAAAUCCUUUUUCUUUUUGGAUGUUGAAAAGUAUUAAUCUCAAAGCUACUUUUGUUCUUCUUUGUUUUUCUAAUAUGAAGCCAAAGCCAUGGAAUUUCCUUUCAGUAGCUAAUUAUGGGAAUCAGAUGCUGAUAGAAUUGGUUUGUUUCUUUCUUUUUGCCUAUUUUCUUUACAUUUAGGCCAACCCAUUUUUACCAAUAGUUAAAGCCUCUAAUCAAAUCAAGUCCUUAUGUUCUUUCUCUCUUACAUUUCAUUCAAUGCGAACCUACACUUUGGUCCACUUUAUUCUUUUACCAUUUCUUGUUUUUUUCCUCCGAAAUCAUGGUCAGAAUGAACUUAGUUCAACUAAUAUAGUUCAAUUUUUCAAUUCACAUAUCGUGAAGACAAAAAAAAAAAUAUUGACAGUUAUUUUAGCCUAAAUUUAUUUUUGGAAGAGGUAACAUGCAAAUUAUACUAAUAAAUAAAGGUGUGUAAUCUGAUAAUAAUCGAAGUCGUUUAUGCAAAAUCUCGCUUAUUAACACAUUUCAUCAUUUUGAGUUGUAAUUAUAAGAAAUAUCAAAUCAAUAAUUUUAGGCAGCUGGUGGACAUGUAGUUACAUUUUUUUUAGGAAGAACACUUCUGCUUUGACUUUGUAUAUAGCAUAAUGCAGAAAAAGUCAAAUGUACAAAUUAUACAAAGAUGGAUGGUCUACAUAGAAUGUAGAAUGGUGUUGUUUCAAAAACUUAAACCCUUUCUAAAAUUUGUUCCAUUUUCUGUACCUUUUUCUGUGGGGGAGGGGAUUGGAAUCUGUUCUUUCUUUUGGAUAGAAUUGGAUUCUUGUACAUGAAACAAAGGGAUCUCUAGAAUGCUUUGGAAUCAGAUCCCGAAGUGUCCAAUCAUCUAAAGUCGUUUUUUUUUUUCCAUUUAUCCAAGAACAGUAAAUUGUCAAGAAAAGAGAUAUGUAUCAUGGCAUGGCAAGUAUAACUUCUCUUUGAACUCACACUCAAUUCGGUAAGAGUUGUAGAAACAUAGUGAAAUAAUCACUUUCUUGAAAACAAUUGCGACAUGACUUCAUGUUAAUUGCUCCCUAGUCCUCAGGACAGGUUAUAGCUGGAUUUUUUUAAAAACUUUAAGUAAGAGAAAAUAAAAUUAAAGAUCUUAUUCAAACCAAAAUUUUAAUUUCUAUAUAAAAGUUAGCUUCCAAACUGGAAGAACCAAAGCAUAUGCUGCAGCCAGGCUUAGUAAAUAAGUUAAUAACUUGUGGUUGUUUCACUUAUUCAACAGGGUUCUAUAGUCGAUAUGUAUGAUGAUUUUGAAACAAUAUAUCAUUCAUCAUUAUGGGAAGUUUAAAACAAAAGCUCUAUAAGAAUUCGCUAUCUUUUCAUUGAAGAAAUUCAACUACUUACCUACUAGCACCAACCACAGCAGCAGUUUAAGGAAACAGUUCCACACCAUCAUAUGAUUCAUAUCGACAAAUACAAUAUAUGUAUGUGAUGUUUAUUUGGAUGGAUACAUAUAUGUAGUGUAAUGGGGCAAGUAAAAAUGACAAGCCCAGAGAUAAAGAGGACACUGAAAGCCCAUACAAACAGAUUGGGCUGUUUCUAACAACCAAACUUCAGGUAGCCUAAUCAUAUGCUGGGUCAAGG